rnacentral:lncRNA from 1 species
GUCGCUCUGGAAGGUCCCUCCAGGCCUAUGUUUUGGCCUCCAAAGUGAUGAAAAGGCGAGUGACGUAGGGGUGUAGCUCUGGAAGGUCGCUCUGGGUUGGGAGCUACCUUAUGGUGUCGCUCUGGAAGGUCACUCUGCGAUGCUCGACCAGGAUGGAUAUGGCUCUAGUAAAUUGAUCAUAACUCCUUCUUUACAUCUCCAAAUGACUUGAAACCACUUCCAUUAGAAAGCUAACUCAAUUUUCUGUGUCUCCACAAAAUCUUAGCAACAGAAGAUUUCUCUAAAGGCUCCAUCCAUGCUCAUCUUUCACCCCCUUUUGGAUCAUAAUGCUCCCAAACAUCUCAAAUCACUCCAUGGAACACUCCAGCACCUAAUAAGGACAAUGAAUGCAAAAUGCAACCUAGACAUGGCUAAAUCCUAAUCUAUAUGAUGAAAAUGCUCAUGGAUGAAUGGAUAAAACAAUGUAAAUAUGCAAGAUAUCACUAGCACACUAAUUGUUUUAAUUAAUUUUUCUGAUUCUUUGUUGAAUAAUAUUAUUUGCAGAUUUCGUGAUUCAUGGGUUUACUUCCGUCGGACGUGCUAAUCAUUACAUGCCAUCUUUGAAAGAAAGUUCCAUUGUGAAAGUCGAUCGUUUUGAGGUUGCUAGGUGCUCAAGUAUGUACAAGAUAAAUGAUCAUUCAUUCGUCCUUUGUUUCAUUUCACUAACCAUUAUUGAUGAAGUCAUCACGGAUUCUUCUGAGAUCAAUCUCCAGUCAAGAUUAGACUGUUCGACAAUGUCCAAGUGAUUGCGAACACAAACCUAUAGUCCCAGCUAUAUUAUCAUAUUGCAUCUGGGUUUAUAUUAUGUUUCGAUAUCAUAACUGAUAUUUAAACUCACAGAUGUGGUUGGGCAAAUCCGUUAUGUCCAGGGCUCUGACGUCACCAAAGAAACAAGUCGAGUUGUCAUCCGUAUUCUCAACAAUCAACACAUAAUUCCCUUUAUAUUACUGUCUAUAUUGUUCUAACAUCAAUAAUCAAAAAUAUUUCAUACCCAAGAUUUGUGGUCGUCUAUCUAUGUCCCUUACUUAUCAAUCUAAUUUUACACGAAUCUUUAUUUUACAGCUUAAAAGAAACUACAAAAACUCAAACAAUCAAAACACCAAAAACUAGAAUCCCAAAAAGACGAAUCAUUAAUGAUCAUCUUUCUUUUUGUCUAAUCUUACAAAUAAACUUCAAAACAAAUAUACGAAACCAAUCAACUCAACUAAAACUCAACGACACAUACAUUGAGCCAGCUAAACAAAUACAAACUACACGAACAGCUAUUUAACAAUUUACAAACUUAAUUUUGCAGAUGCUUACGAAGAAGACGAAGACAACAACCAAUAUCAGUGAAAUUACCUAAACAAAAAAUAGAGUAAGUUAAAAACUCUAAUAAAUACAAUUGGCAAUGAUUUUUGUUUACAUAUUAUCCAGCAAAUAAAAGAGAAGCAAACACAACCACACCAGGAAAUACAAGAGACAAUCCCAACAGACACAAAGGCGGCAAUACCAUCUCCACCUGCUCACUCCUAUUGUCUUAUGAAAAUAGCUUACAUGCUCAAUGCCAACAAGCCAAUGCUAUUGUCUUCUUAUGAGAAAUACAUAUAUUCGUUUAAAACCCAUUAACGCCCAAAUACUAAUUGUCACUAAUUUUAUAGUUAUUUCUACAAGUCUUCAUGUAUUUGUUUUAAAGGUCCGUUAAAAGCAACAAGUUUAAAAAUAAAAAAAUAUAUAUAACCAACAUAAUAAGAAUUAAAAAAAUUAUUAGUUAACACAUACAACUUACACAACUAAACUGGAGAAAAAAAUAUCUAGAAACAAAAAUUACUCUCAACAACAUUAAUAUAAUUUAUGUAAUCUCAAUAGUACAAGUAACAAAUUAAAAAGACAAACAAACAAUAUGUCUCAGUGACACAACAAGCAACACCACAAACUAUAUUAAUCAUAUUAUUAAUACAGUUUAGUCUUUCAUGAGUGGAGAACAAUGCAUACACAAUUCAUCAUCACAACUCUAACCCUAUAACAAUAAAAAAAUUGAAAACAUUGAUCAACCCAAAACGCAAAAUUCACCUACAAUAACCCUAACAAAUAUUAAGAUGAAACAAGAACAAUGUCAUAACUCUGCGUUUGCGUGGAGGCAAUGCCCCUAGUUGUUUUAAAACACUAUAAUCUUGAAGACGAUCUGAUGAAUGCAUAUCUCAUAUCUUGUUAGAAGCUCACGUAAAACUUCCAAGCCUGGUGAUAUUUUCUAUUUGAACAUAUGCAUGCGAUGCAAACAUUAUAAACAUAAAGACAUGUAAAGAUUUCAUUAGAUCUCCCCUCAGGCUCUUGAGAAUUUUGUUUUAGAAAUCUACAAUGGUUACAAAUACACAAUAAAGAAGUUUUAAAUAGCACCGAUGUUUUUGAGGCCAAGAACAACUCCGACUCCGAUGAUAUGACCAACGGUGCCACAAGCCAAAGUGUCAGCGAGCGUGAACCCGGCUGGAUCACCCGUUUGUAGACCCGAGUCACGUGCCUCGAGCUUAAGUCCAGCGGUUGCUUUUCUAUUCGCUGAUGGUGCAAGUCCGAAUCUCCCCGCGAACAACAUCAGGGUUGUCGACGUUACCAUUAUCUAGUUAGAGAGUAUCUAGCAUCAAUCAUUGCUUAAACUUCAAUAAAUGUUCAUUUCAUUUUUCUUCAAUUACCAGAUUUGUUGAUGAACCAAUGAAGUCACCACACUUUGCACCCAAAGCUCCAUUUGCCUUGCGUCUCAUGGGCUGAACCGUUGCCUAUGGUUUUUUUAAUAAGAAAAUCAAGAAUUAAUUAAUUUUAGGAUAUUUACAACAAAUUAUUUCUACAGGGUGAUAUACUUGAUACUAGAUCAAUAAAAAUUAUCCAUAAAAUAUGACAAAUAAUCUCGAAUGAAUCUACCAUUAAAACAUAUAAUAAUCAACGACAAAAUUGACCGUCAAACUCUUUAUUUUUAAAAGCAAAAAAAAAUGUUAAUGCUUGUACAUUUCAAAAAAGUGAGAAGACGAUGAUGAAAUCACAUUUUUUAAAUCUAAAAACAAAUGAAAAUUACUAACCAGGCCUUGAACAGGAGCUGCAGAGAUCUUGCUGGCUCUAAGACCAUUGAACUGAGGCAGUGUAGUCAUCACAGUGCUCGCCAUUUUCUUCUGACUUAUUUUCGUGAAAAAAAAACUUGUAUUAUCUUGGGCGAUCUGUGUUGCAGAUUUAUGAUUACACCAGUUUUUUUCUUCUUAUUUGUCUUUAAAAUGAUUUAGCCAAGAAUCAUCGUGUGGCUUUGGCGAUCACAGAAUGGAUUCUGCUUUGUUACUUCUUGCUGACGCGUCAUAUACCUAUUGGUGAAUUUUAACUCUAGAUAAGGCUGUCGUAUCAUUAUCAUCACACCGCAGAUUUUGUUUCUGAACCUGUUCUUAUUCGGGUUUCACUUGAGGCCCAUUUAUAAUUGAGAAGUUUAGGGAUAGUGGUAUCUUACGUAAAUUUUACGAGACAAAGGGGUACAACUGAGAAUAGGAAGUAUACACAUCAUUCAGACAUUGAUUUAGUAGUCAUCGACGUUCGGACGAACUUGCCGUGGAGAGACUUUCGAGCUUAGUCAAUUAUUUUCAUCCUCAGUUACUUUCAACGAAAUCUCAAAUGAAUUAUUUCGUCAACCGGUCUACUUCGAUCUGUUUUAUACUACAUAACUUAAAUUUUAUAUCAUCGAAAUCAAAAUGAAAAUUCAAACAGUAUAACUAUUAAUUAAUUUAAUUUAUUUUGAGUUCCACAAUAACAUUGAAAUCUAGAUGAAAAUUCAAUGUUGUGUUUUUUUUUGCUUCUACCAACUCCAAGAAUGAAAGACCGAAAAUUAAAGGAUCAGUUAAGUCAAACUGUUUGGUCUUAAAUUCCAUUCUAAUAUACGUACGUUUUUAUAAAAUAUAUAGUCAGAUAUUGUGUUUGUUUUUAUGUAAAUGCUCCUAUCUACAUAUAGGAAUACAGAAUAUUUAUAAGAUUGUAGAUCAUCAUUAGUUGGCCUGUUAUUAACAAGAAAAUUGGAACUACAUAACCUAACACAAAAGCCGACACAGCAGACUCUUGUUCUUGUAUGUAUGAUUAAGCAGCCGUAACUAUUAAAAUGAUCAAGCUGCCAAAGAAUAAAUGGUAAAAGAAGACACUGUCAACAAGGCGUAUUAUUAUUACUUUGACCAACUAAGUAGAGAAAAUUGAAGAUGUCGUUUCCUUAUGAAAGAGAAGUUUAGAAAAUUAAUUUCAUCUAGAUGGAGUUGUUGGAUCUGGUUAAUCUUAACCGAGACUGAUUUUAUUAGUUAAUCACUUGCGCUUACUCAUAUUUAUAACUAAACCGAGUAUUAGACCGGCAGUCGCCGUCCGUACGGAACGAUGUAAUAAUUUGGAUCGGGUCAAAACAUUUAUUCUUCAUCUAUGAUUUUGAGUCUUCCUAGAAGCUACAACUGCGCGUGUGAUCAUAUAAGAUUUCUUCGUCUAUAUAACACUUAGAGAUCAAUUCCAAAACAUAUCAAUCUCCUUCUUGCUACAACACAUAUCACUUGAAUAACACUUAGAGAUCAAUUCCAAAACAUAUCAAUCUCCUUCGUCUAUAUAACACUUCUACAUCACUUGAAUAGUUCUUCGACAGAUAACUCAGAGAUGGAGAAGUCAACGAUCAAAACUCCAUUGAGAAAGCUAACAAGAAGAACAACAAAACGAUCCUGGAAACUGAAGCAAAAGCUCAAGCUGGCAUGGAAGUCUAUCAAGAUGCGGGUCAGGUCACAUCUACCGGGUUUCUUGUCAACCAAAAAACGCCUCACACACAUGAAAUCAAGAAAUCAAGAACAAGAAUUAGCCCAAGCGGCCAGGAGGAUCUGCAAAAUCUCAAACGACGCCACCAACUCUCUGGCUUAUCUGCUUCAGCUUCCAAAGUAUUCAGCCUCUGAUUUUUUAGACCGCGGCGAUAUGAUGACUCCAGCUGCGUCUCCAAGAGAAAACAUAUCCAAAGCGUGGCGUGAGCUUCACGGUUCCAAGAACUGGGAGAAUCUUCUUGAUCCUUUGCAUCCAUGGCUGAGGAGAGAGAUAACCAAAUAUGGAGAGUUCGUUGAAUCAGUCUAUGAUUCACUCGAUUUCGAUCCUUUGUCCGAGUUCUGCGGAAGCUGUAGAUACAACAGGAACAAACUCUUCGAAGAGCUUGGUUUAACAAGACAUGGUUACAAGGUAACCAAAUACAUCUACGCCAUGUCUCAUGUCGAUGUUCCUCAGUGGUUCUUAAGCUCAUCUUUGGGAGAGACAUGGAGCAAAGACUCGAACUGGAUGGGGUUUGUCGCUGUGAGUGGAGACAGAGAGUCGUUAAGGAUCGGUCGGAGAGACAUUGUUGUGGCGUGGCGUGGAACCGUGACUCCUACUGAAUGGUUCAUGGAUCUUAGAACUAGUAAAGAGCCGUUCGAUUGUAAAAGUGAACACGGCAAGAAUGUGGUCAAGGUGCAAAGCGGGUUUUUCAGCAUCUACAACUCCAAAAGCGAGCUCACAAGGUACAACAAAGAAAGUGCAUCUGAGCAGACAAUGGAGGAAGUGAAGCGGUUAGUAAAGUUUUUUAAGGAUAGAGGCGAAGAGGUGAGCUUAACCGUGACCGGUCAUAGCCUUGGAGGCGCGUUGGCUCUUAUGAACGCUUACGAGGCAGCCAGAGAUGUUCCGGAGUUAUCUGGUAAUGUUUCUGUGAUCUCGUUUGGUGCGCCUAGAGUAGGUAACUUGGCGUUCAAGGAAAGGAUGAACAGUUUAGGUGUUAAGGUCUUGCGAGUGGUGAACAAGCAAGACAUUGUCCCUAAGCUUCCAGGUAUCGUGUUCAACAAGGUUCUAAACAAACUCAACCCAAUAACUUCGAGGUUCAGCUGGGUCUACAGGCACGUUGGCACGCAGCUUAAGCUCGAUGUAUUCACUUCGCCUUAUAUAAAACAAGAUUCUGAUUUAGCAGGGUGUCACAAUCUAGAGGUGUAUCUCCAUGUUUUGGAUGGCUUCCACCGCAAGAAAUCAGGGUUUAGGGUUAACGCCAGGAGAGACGUUGCCUCUGUGAACAAGAGCACUGAUAUGUUACUGGAUCAUCUAAGAAUACCCGAGUGUUGGUACCAAGUGGCACAUAAGGGUCUGAUCCUCAACAAACAGACCGGCAGGUGGGUGAAGCCGGUCCGUGCACCAGAAGACAUCCCCUCUCCAUUAUCGACCGGACCAAGACCAAUUUAUAGCUUAUGAAAAAUAAUAUAUUUCAAUUCCAUUUGUUCGUUUUUUGAAUGUUUUGUCUUUGUGAGUUUUGGUUACAACUUACAACAUUUGAAGUGAAUGUACAGAGAUCAAGUUGUGAAAGUAAUGUAUAUGGUUGCGUUUACAAUUCGAUAUUUCAUUAAACAAUGUAAACUUUACUAAGCGUAGACGCAAACGUAUAUUCCGUUUGAAUAAUCUUCUAAAACGAAAAUUUAUUGAAUAAUUUAUGGCUUAUGAGAAAUGAUUUUUUUUUUUCAAUUCCAUCUAUUGAGUUUUUUUUCUUCGUGUGUUUUGGUUACAACAUUUGAAGUGAAUGUGUACAUAUAAGAUCAAAUUGUGAAAGUAAUGUAUAUGGUUGCGUUUACAAUUUGAUAUUUUCAUUAAACAUUGUAAACAAGAAGCAUAGACGCAAACAUAUAUAUAUAUAUAUUCCAACAGUUCCUAGUUUAUAUAAGUUUAUAAAAAUACAUUUAAUGUCCUAAAUUGAUUGCUUGUCUUGAAAGGUAGCUUCUACAAAGUUAAAAGUUACAACAACUGAAGAACACAUGCAAAGAAAGAUCCUAAGUAAACCCUAAAAUUACACAACAAUAAAAAACAAGAAAACAAAUCAAUGAGAUAAUUAGGUAUUGGAUUCAAAUCUUAAGCAGCUGAUAUUGCAGCAUAGUCUUGAUAACGAGACAUUGCGCCUUUAAACUGGUGAUCUUCUGGUUUGUGAGUGCUCAAGCUAUGUGGGAUGAAUGACCUAAAAAUCUCCUCAAGGUCCGGUCUCUCCUUCAGGUCACGGCAAGCAACCUCGAGAGCUGUGUGUUGGAAACCUGAGUAGAACUUCCGGCGACACACGUAUCCGAAGAUGAGAGAGAUGACGAUGAGAGGAACCAAGAGGGUCGCCCAAACGAAUAGCUUGACUCCCAAGUAACCAAACAUAACCACUUGGAACAGAAACAAUGCCGCUAGUAUGCGGGUGUGAAUAUGUGGCCACAUCCUUCCAUAGCUCUCGUAUGAUGGAACAUACACCUUCAGCGCCUGCCAUAGAUCAAAAUCACGUUUGUUACCGAUCAAGAUCACCAGAAAACAUCGCUUAAACCUAAUAGGGUUUUAUGAGAAAGCCUGACCUGAUUCCUCAGGAUGAGCCAACCUAAACCAAAGUAGAUAACACCGAAUACGAGGAUUAAAGGAGCGAAUACAGAAUAGCAGAAGGUGAUUGUGAGGAUAAGCAUGUCGCUGGGAACCCUAGUUGCGUAUCUUAGGUCUCCUGGGUACCAAGCUUCUUUGACCUCUGCUUCGGUUUUGUAUAGAUACUUCUUUUUCAGAUGGAAUAUUAUCAAUGGUAUGAUCCGUGACAGCUCAAGACCAUAGCCAAUAAAGAACCUGAAAGUUUCAAGAUUCAAGAAACAUUUAUAGAAGAACUGCUAUUUUAUAUUAGUCGAAAGGAAGUAAAACUCACUUGAGAGCAACGUAGGUCAAGAAGAAAGUAGCGUUCUUAGGGAGGCUAGUAGCCAAAACGGUUACAAUGGAGUUGGGUUUCUGUUGAAGAGCCUUCAAGUUGUCGAACAGAGACCCUGCAAGGGUGACACCGAUGAAAACAUUCAAGACCGAGAAGUAAAAGUACUUCCCCGAGGCAGCUCUAACGGCGUGGCUCCGCGAAGGAAUCCCCUCGGAUUUAGAGAGGAACAUGAGGAACUUAGGCAACAUCGCCAAGAAUAUGAUGAGCGCAAUCUGAGGAAGGUAAGACUCAAGAACGGUUCUUAUGAAAGUUAUCUUCACAACUGGCUUUAUAAAAGGAAUAGCCUUCUGGAGAUUCGCAAGAGUGGUGAUCGCAGAGACAAACGCGAUAGGGAUCAUGUAAAAUAAAAUGGUUAUUGCGACAAUGAAGUAGAUCAAGUACUGUCUGAUUAGUCUAGUGAAAAACUUGAUGUUGAGAUUCUCCCAGAGGAUCUGGCGAGGCUCAGGUGCUUCAGUCACUGUCCAUGUAUCGACCAUCUGGCUGUGUAGAGACUGUGCGGCUAAAGCAGCAGUAACUCGGUCGGUGAAGAAGACAAUAGCUGCUGUUUGCUGCUUCUCAGCAAGAACCUUUUUCUGCUCAGUCUCUAGUUUGGCUACAGACUCGUUGAUUAGGUCGGUAUAAUACUCUAUGCUGUCUACUUUUUUUCCGGCCAGACCAAGCAAGCCUGUUUUGUUCGUUGGUCGGUUACUAGUCGCUGCAAAUAUCGCUUCUGCACGUGCAAGCUUCUUCUUGUAACCUUCCAACCCUUCCCAUAUCUUAUUAACCUACAAAACAAGAAACAUAGGUAGAGGUGUCAAAUGGUCCGUUUGGCGCCCAAUAGAGAGUGCCCAUAAAGACCAUUUUUAUUUUGGACAUUUAUUGGUUGGUCCAUAAACCUGUACAAUGUACAGCUCAUUUCAAUAUAAUUUUAAAUUCAUCUAAUUAUUUCAUAAGUUUUAAUUUUCUCCAAAACCAUAAAAUCCAGUUUUUAUUUUGGACAUUAUUGGUUUACCCAAGGGUUUAGGGUUUAGGAUUUGAGAUUAGGGUUUAGUAUUAGAGUUUAGGGUUUAGUGUUUUGUUGACAACUUUUUUUUUUUUUUGAAUUCGUUUUUUAUAUAUUAUUUUUAUUUAUUUUUAAAUUUUAUUUCGAAAAGAUAAUAUAAUUUACCAAGUUAUUUGGUUUCCUUAAUUAAAAGAUACUAGAUCUAAAAUGACAAUUUUCUAUUGGUUGGUGAAUCUAAAGGGGUGAACCCUAGAAUAACUCUUUUUCAAAACCCUAAAGAAUCGUGUUGUCCCGACAAAAUAUGCAUUUCGUAGGGCGAAAGAAUUAAAAAUAAAAAGUUAAAACAUUAAGACAGAACAAGAAGAUACCUUUCUGUUUUCUGUGACGACAAGCGAUCUGUAGAAUGUCUCGGGGUAUAUAUCUCUGAAAAAAGAAUCUAUAAACUCUUUAUGGGUCUGUCCGUUAGGUGGGGAAGGUAUAUCCCUAACAAGAAUAGCGAACUGCUCCGGAAUUGUAUCAGCAGACAUGAGAGCUCGAGCUCUUAAUGUAGAGACAUGCUUAUAAGCUUUCCAUAACAUGAAAUAUGUGACCAGAGAUAUCCAGUAAACCGCUCCUAGAAAAGCCCACAGCCUUGAACUCUUUCUCUAGAAAACCGAAAGGAAAAACAUUAAAUGGAAUAAAACAAAAGUUAAAUGAAUGAAUGUGAUGUUUUGUUUUAACUUACUGUGAUGUUAGCCAUUGAUAGAUUGUCAAGUUGGCUAAACGUUCCUUUGCUUGUGGUGUCUGUUACGUCCCUUGAGUUCUUUAUACUCUUGUCCGUAGCGGCUAAAGGGAGUAGAAUCGGUAAGAUGAGAAGACUGGAUAAAGCAAAGAUCCCCAGAACUGUUCCAAACAAAAGCCAAUUUCAAGACCAUGACCAUGAGAAACACUUUUGUUAGGUUAUAUUAAGGAACGUAGAAGACACUGAACAUAUCCAGAAGAAAUAAACUGUUUUGUCUUUUCCGUUGAACUAAACAACAUGUAAUAAAGAUAAAAACGUACUUUAAGCAGAUAUGGACAAAAAGUAAAACAGAGCAAACAGAGACAGCAACAUACAAACAAAAGGAAACGUUUUUUUUUUUCCUAAAUUGUCUCCAAAGAUUAAAACUUUCUUUCUUACAUUAAACUCCAAACCCAGAUCAGAAGCAACGAAAUCAACCAAACAAAAGCUGGAGAGAGAGAGAGAGAGAGAGAGAGAGAGAGAGAGAGAGAGAGAGAGAGAGAGAGAGAGAGAGAGAGAGAGAAUGUUCGAACCAGUGCUCAAGAAGACGAAGUAGACUGCAGUAUCGACGCCGGAUAAAUUAACGACAUCUUGUUCAGAGGAAGUCAAAGCUUCACGGAUCCAAGCAAAUGGGUUUCGGGUCAAGGAGCUGCCUUCCCAAGGAUCCAUCCCUUUGAGGAUCCGGUUCGGGUAGUAAAUGGAAACGUUUCCGGGUCUACGAGAAAGCCAGGUGAAGAGGAACAUGAGAACGAGGAAGAUGAAUGCUGAUGGCCCUAAGGACAGAAGAAACGCUUCAAAUUCCAUCUGGGUUUUGCCACACCAAUCUCUCUCUCUCUCUCUGGCUAUGUGUCUCUGUUUCUCUCUAUUCCUCAAGCGCCCAGUUUUAUGGGGAAGAGUGAGUUAUGGUCAAGGGAAAGUGAAAAAGGUAGCCGUUUAAAGCAAAAGUAACCGUUAAGGCUGUGAAUUAAAGAGAGAUAUAAAAGUGUGGGUGCGAGGUAUCUCGUUGUUCUUCCUUCCUCAGGUAAUUGAAGGUGAGAGGAAAGGUUUUUCGUUUGUUUUGUUCACAGGAAAGGAGAAGAAAAAUAUAGAAGAAAUUCAGAGAAAGAUUAAGAGUAUUGCUUGUUCUGUGGAAAUGGGUUUUGUGGAUAGGGAGAGAAUUGGUUAAACUGUUAGGAGAUGGAGAGAUGUACUAAUAAGAGAGUGAAAGUGCGUGUUCAAGAGGAUCUUCAAUGUACAUCUCCAAACUUUAUUAUUGAAGUGAAUUUGCUUUAAUCUAUGUGUCUAUGAUAAAAUUUCUCUAUUUUAGAAGAACUAUAGAACAAUCCUACUUUUUGCUUUUAUAUUUGGAGAUGAAAAUAGUAAUUCUCUAUAUUUUUUUGUAUAAAUAAAAAAAACUAUAUAACACAGAUAUAUAUUGGAGCAAGUCCACAUAUAUAAGAAACUUUUUCUAUUUUAAGAGAAAAUACAGAGAUGAAAAUAAAGGUGAGUUAGAGAUAGUCUAAAUAAGAAGGUCUACGGGUAUUUGAUGAAAGAGACUUUACGGGACACCUGGUCCGAAUGAUUUAUUUAUCAAAACAAGCUGUCACCACUCGUCAUGUGGAAGUGUUGUUAAAUGAUGAGGUCUUGAGUUCCAGUAACGCCAAACGCAUCAAUAAUCUAUAUGGAGAGUUUGUGAAGACUCACAUGUGAGGGGUUAGGGACGGUGCCCUGCAGGGCCAGCCAGGGAUCCACGGAACGGGUGGGGUCCACGGGAUAUGUUGUUACAAGUUUAUGGAUUCAAUUUACAAUGAAAAAUUAACCACUAUUACUAAUGAUUAGUCGAGUGAUUUAGAGUUUUCUCCCCUUCCCCUCCCCCCAAACCCCUCAAAACGUCAAGUGACUUUUGAGUAAAAAGAUUGCAAAUUGAAAUAAUUACACUUUAAGUCAGUUUUUAACUUUAAUAUAUCAUAAAAAGACACUUCUUGCUCCUAGAGCAGUUUUGCACAAAAAACAAGAAGAAACAACACAAAUGAACCAUACAAAAUUCCAAAAAUACCCUGUUGUUUUCUCAGUUAAUUUAACGUAACUUUAUCUUAAUUCUUAACCACAAAAUCCAAAAGACAUCGUUGACAAUAAGUCUCAUUCUCCCUUCUUCUUCAUUUUCUUUGUUCUCAAUUUUUUUUUUGUAAAAUAAAAUUCACUUCUCUAGAUUUGUUUUUUCCAAAAGCGUUAUAUUAAAUCAUUAUAUGAUCUGUUUUUUUAGAUAUAUUAAGUUGAUGGUCGAAUGGUAGUGUAAUGGUGACAUUGACAAAGGCGGAUACGUAGGCGUCAUCAACAUAGACGAUGGUAGAUACGUAGAAGACAGAGGAGACAUAGUAACGUUAGAGAUGUAGGUGCCAUCGACGUAUAUGACAGAGAUGGCGGCAAAGACAUAGACAAAGGAAAGUUGAGAGCAGAGAGAAAAAAAAUUGGAUACAGCUGAAACAGAAAAAAGUGAAUGGUUUGAAAGUUUGUUAAUUGUAGUCAUAGACUCGUGGGUCUAAACUAGACAUGUUCUAUUUGAGCCAUGUCUUCUUCUUAUUCUUCGGCUGCUUCGUCUUCGGCCUUUGGAUCAAGAAUGGAUGAGAGCAUGAAGAAAACGGUGACUGAGACACCGUCAUUGAUUACUUAAAAAAUUGGUGCUCGUAUGUUUCACUUCUCAUCAAUAUAUCUAAAAUUUUCAUUGUUUUGCGUAACCCUAUAAUGUGUUUGUUAAGUAUCCUUGUAAUCUUUGUUGUUAUAAGCUUAGUCUGGUUAAUUGAUUAACUUAUGAUAAUAUCAAAACUUCUCAUCUCCUAUGUGUCUUAUCUCCUUAUGUUGAUGAAGUGUAAUGGAUUUUGUCAAGCACUGAACAUAUACACAUGUAUGCUAUCACAUUUGUUGUCCACAUGGACGCUACACUUUUGUGUCCACAUGUACGCUUGAAUUAUGUGUCCACAUGGACGCUACAAUCUCAUGAAUAUAUCUAGAAUUGUCAUUGUUUUGUGUAAUUCUAAAUUGAGCUUGUUGUUAUACGCUUAGUUCGGUUAAUUGAUAAAAUUAUGAUAAUAUCUACACUUCUCGUCUCUUAUGUGUCUUAUCUCCUUAUGUUGAUGAAGUGUAAUGAAUUUUGUCAAGCACCAUGUACACAUGUAUGUUAUCACAAUUGUUGUACACAUGGAUGCUACAGUUAUUUGUGUACAUAUGUUUGUUUGUUAUCCACAUGUACACAAAAGUUAUAAGAUGUUAACUAUUAGUAAUGAAAAAUAAAUUCAUACAAUAUGUUUGUUGUUCAUAGUGGUGCAAUUUUACUGGAAAAUAAAUUCAUAUACUUUAAUCAUUUUACUGACAAUCUUGCUUUCUCUGAUUGUCCAAAUGUUUCUUAUUGGAUGUGUACAUCAAACUUAUAUUUUACAUGUGUACAUGAAACUCAUAUCGUACAUGUGUACAUGAAACUCAUAUCGUACAUGUGUACACAAAAGUCGUAUUGUACACAUGUACAUCAAACUCAUAUUGUAUACAUGUUGCUAAGUGUACACAUCGCUCUCUUGGACUGGCCCGAGAAAGAACUCCACCUCCAUAACAUGCUCUUGCUUCCACUGCCGUUGAGCUGAGGCGAGUUCGUCGUCAACAACCUCACACUCAACUUCCACACCUCAGCUACUAUUUUCAUCAGUGCUUUUAGGGAAAGGUCCGACGAGAUAUAAGGUCGGUGUAAGUGACAGAUGAGAAACCUCCACAUUAAAAUCAGCCGGAGACGAUGAUGUGUCCUCCGUAUAUUCUGUGAGGCGCUCGAUGUUGUUAAUUAUGCAAGGGAGAUGUUGUCGGCCUUUGUGGUCGAUGCCCCACCGUUGCAACAACCGCCAUCACAACCCAAUAAACAUCAUCUUCCACCACACCUUCUUCUCUCCUCUCAUUAUUAUAUGCAUUUCUUCUAUUUUUUCACUCUCAUAUUUUCUCUGUUAUCAUAUCUUCAACGAGAAUCCUAAAUCUCAGUCUCACGAUGAGAGAGAGAGAGAGAGAGAGAGAGAGAGAGAGAGAGAGAGAGAGAGAGAGAGAGAGAGAGAGAGAGAGAGAGAGAGAGAGAGAGAGAGAGAGAGAGAGAGAGAGAGAGAGAGAGAGAGAGAGAGAGAGAGAGAGAGAGAGAGAGUUGGAGUGAAGCUUAAUAAUAUCUUUUUUAUGUGUGGCUGAGACUAAAUCAAUCAAAUAAUUUGUUUUUUGUGUGACUGUGUUUAAAUGUAAUAAAUUAAUAAAGUAUGAUAUAGAUAUUUUGAAUUUAUAUUCAACACACGUGACAAAAAGAAAAAAAUGGUUUAGUUUGUUGAAAUUGAGGGUAAUUGUGUAAACAAUCAACAAGAAACUAUCAUAGUAGCUGUAACUGUCUUAGACUGUAAUAAAAAACAUAAAACUGACCAUGAGUGUAAAUCAUGCUUCAUUUUGGUCUCCGCUCACAAAGAGUUUCGAGCGGACGAUGACGCUGCUUCUUCUUGCUUCACGGCGACGGUGAGAUUCCUGGUGGUUUAAGUCGGUGUUUAUGGUUUCAAGAAGUAGAUCGCUUUUCAAUUGGUUAGAUUUGGUUUUGGGCUUUGCUGCGCGUGGUGGAAGUGAGAAGGUCCUUCCAUCCCUUCUAGUUAGCGGUGAUUCCUUGUCGUAUCUGGUUUUAGUAUGUCGUGUGAUCAUGGGGCUUGGUCUUGUGUCUCUCUUUGGUGUCGUUAAGGACCAAUUCUUUGUUACUGUAAUCAAGUGAACUUUAAAGGUUUUCACUACCUCGGAGGCGAGUCUCAAGUUGAGGUAUGCCGGCAGAGUUGGUGUUUGACCCGGUUCAAGGCUCACAAGGGUUUGGUUUGUAGUUUUAAAAGCGGUCAUCUAUUGCCCUCGGAGACUCCUGCUACCUCUUAUCACUUUGGAUCUCCUUUACUUCGUUUCUUGAUGGUAACUAUUUCUGUGCAGGUUAUUAGAGACAUGCUGGUCAGAUUGCGGUGGUGACUUCAAGCCAAGUCUCUUGCUUCACUUUCGGUGGUGAAUGCGCGAGUGCACAUUUCGAGUUUCUUGGCGUCUUUACCCAGGUGAAGUCUCUCUCUCUCUUCUCUCGUCAAGUGAAGAUUACAAGCUUAGAUGAGUUUACCAGAAGCCAUAUACUCUGGAAGCGACACUUGAAGCCUCGAUAUCCAAGGAAAGGAGGUGAAUCUCACCUUUAUGUAGUGUCUGUCAAAGGUUGAGAACGGUAAAACGAUACUCGGUUUUAGUUUUGGUCUAGAGGAACGCGUCGGGUGAUAGGUUGAGCAAAGCUAGUUGGGAGUUUAAAAAAAGUUGGGUAAUUUGUUCGAAUCUGCUUGUAGUCUAAAACUUAAUCCCGUUUUCAUGUUGAAUUAAAAAAAAGUCGAAGAGAAUAAAUUAUACUGCUAAAAUAAAAAUCAAUUGGCUGGAAUUUAUAUGGAGCCGUAAAUGACCUUUUUUGAACUUACUUGGCAGAACUUAAGAAAGAUUAAAUAAAGUCGGAUAAAGUUAAUUAGGCCAAUUUGCUUAAACUGCCUAUCAACAGUUUGAUUAAAAAAGCUGAGUGGAGUAGCUUAUUCUUGCAAGAUUAGAUUCAAACAAAAAACAUCUUCUGACGAAUGGAAUAAUGUUGGAGAGAUUCACAAUACGAAAGUUUGAUGGUCAAAACGUCAAUGCAUAUUUCAAUCGCUUUUGUAUAAGUUUAUUGGUUUUCUCCUCAGUGAAAUCGCUGGGAUUUGGAAUUUUAUGCUAUUUUUACCGUUUUCACAACUGUUUUUUUUUUCUAGAAAAACAGAUAGAUGAAACAUUAUCUUGUUAAGUGUAAACUCAAGAAGAUUAAGAUGCAUAAAGAGCCAGUUUACAGUGCAAUGAAAACAAGAAGAUUGCAAUUUUUAAAUGGUGAUGUGGCACCGAAGAAUAUAGAAAUUGUGUAUUCGAAAUAUGGAAAUACUCGAGUAUAUAUUCUAGAAGGCCUAAAUAUUUUAGGUUAGCCAUUUUCAAGAGAUUAGAGCAGUCGAAUAAAAAAACAUGAGUUUAAAGUUCUUGGUGAAUGAUUGGUUAGACGUAAUACACAAAUUGUUUAUAGUCACAUAAAUUUGAUUGAACAAGACUAUUUAGUUUGUUCAGAGAAUUUCUAAUAAAAGUAUUUGUAAAGAAUAGACUCAUUAUCUCAAAUCUUUCGUAUUAUCCACAUUUUAAGUUCUGCAUAUUGUAUACGUAUAUACAACAGAUCGAGAGACCACACACAAGAUUAAAUGGUUGACACAUUUCCAAAAAGUCAAGAAAGCAGAAACAAAAUGCGUCGACGAUAAGAGUAAAGGUGACAAUAAUCAGUUACUUGUUUUAAUUCAUUUACGACCCACGGGGAACUUGUUUUAAUUUUAUAUAAAUGGAUAUUAUUUUAAUGUUUAUCGGUUAAUAUUGUAAAUAUUUAUCAUAUUUUAAAAAAUUAUAAACACAAUAAUCAAAUAGUUUAUGUGUGAUAAAAAAUAGUGAUCCGUACGUCCUACUAAAUCUUACAAAUAUUAAUCUAUUAAUAUGUUUGAGUAAUAUUUUUUUUAACACGAAAUUAUUUUUCUAAUAAUAUAGAUAUUUUUCCUAACCCUUGAUUUCUUUAAAAUUCAUAUCAUUCUUAUAUGUUGCCAUCCAACCCAUUAACUUCUAAUUUAUUUUUUUUAUCAGCUACCCAUAUCUAUUUAUACCAAGUUUUAGUCAAACCAAAAGCAUAUACGUAUAUCAGUGUCCGAUCUAUAUAGGGAAAAAAAUAAAGAUUCUAGUUUUUGCAUCUUUCACUAUUGAAUCUAUCCAGCUAUUUAUAUUUUGAAGAAUAUGAAUGAAAUUUACUUUCUUAAUUCUUUAUGUAGUCUUUGAUACUAGUUACUCUAUCGGAUCCCCAGUCAAUUCCAAUAGAUUCGGAUAAUCCGUUUUCAACCAGAUGGAGUUUAUAUUUUUUAGCUCCUAAUAAAAUUACUGUUUUGUUUGUUAUGUUUUUAUCACCAUAACCAAGAGCAUUGGUCGUCAAUAUCAUCAACUGAUCCAUUGCAGACGUAUGUAAAUACUUUACUUGUUUUUUGGGUCAUCCACCCCACUUGUUUUUUUUUUGAUCAACCCACCCCACUCCCUUUAUGGGGCUUAUUUGCGAAAUAGCCAAAAAAAAAGAAAUUAGAUUUUGAGAGAGAGAAUAGAGAGAAAUAGGAAGAUAAAGUAGGAGAUAGUGAGUGUUUUUAGUUAAUUAGUGAAUUUAGUUUUUUUUUGUGUUUACUGGGUGCAAUUUCCCUUUAAGUUAAUAAUUUUUAUGUUUUCAUAAUAUUUUCUUUUUUUCAUAAUAUCUGAAAGUAAAUAUUUUAUAAUAAAUACAUCAUCUUGUGAUAUCAAUUUUCAGAAAUGCUAGAUAAAUAUUAGUUUGAUCAACAUAAUUAAAGUUUUUGACAAUAAUUAAAAUUUAUACUUAUUUUUUUUUAAAGAUAUAUCUUUGAAUAAGGAAAUAAUAAUCAAAAUGUUUGGUAUCCAACUGAAUCAAAUGGAACUUUUUGAUAAAUAUUAGUUAAAAUUUGGCAUCCAACUGAACCAAAUGGAUUGUUUUUUUUUUGGUAAAUAUUAAUUAACAAUUAUGGCAACCAACUGAAUUAAAUGGCUGGCUCAUUUUGGCAAAUAUUAAUUAAAACUUUUGGCAUCCAAUUGAAUUAAAUGGAUGGCUCAUUUUGGCAAAUAUUAAUUAAAACUUUUGGAAUCCAACUGAAUUAAAUGGAUGGUUCAUAUUAAUCGAAACGUUUGCCUUCCAACUGGACUUUUUUUUUUUGAACGGCUCCUUCCAACUGAACUAAUGGAUGGAAUUCAUGAAGAAACCAUUAAUUUGGGCGAGUAAUCAAUGAGAACCGACGACUGGCGGAACUCUACGAAACCUUGUCGGACAUCGUCUUUUUUUUCUUCUAUCUUUCUGUUCCUGUCGUUUCUCUUUCAUUCCACGUUUUGAUAUUGGGCCUGCUGAUUAAUUAGCCCAAUCUGCUCUAUUCCUUAGGUUUAUUGGACGUAAUUUAUAAGAACCCUAAUUUAAGUUUUAAUCAAAUCAGUUGCACAAAAAAAAAAUAUAAAUUUAAAAAUAUAUGCGAAUUUGAUAAACUUGAAUCCUUCACAAGGCAAGAGGUAAACAGUAAGGCAUUGUCCAGUAGUUGACACAUCAUCAUAAACUUCAUUACCUACAUUGAUUUUCUUAUGUUAUUCAAUAAAACUCUAAAAUUUUAUCUAAUUAGGAGGUGUUAGAGCAUCUCCAACCCCACUCUAUUUUUUACUCUAAAAUAGAGUUUAGAGUAAAAAAAAUGCUCCAAUGGUACUCUAUUUCUCACUCUAUAAUAAAGUGAAAAAUAGGUUUACUCCAAAUAUAGAGUAAUUUGUUUUUUUUUGUUCAUCACUCUAUUUUCUACUCUAAAAUAGAGUAUUAUUGGAGCAAAUUCAAACUCUAUUAUAGAGUUACUCUAUUUUAGAGUAAAAAAUAGAAUAAGCCAUUGGAGAUGGUCUUAUUGAUUGUAUAAAUCUAAAUCAACUCCAUCAGACUUAAAAUAGAUAAGAUUUUAAAAAAUUUGGAUUCAGUUUAAAAUUUAGUAUAUACGAUUUAUCUAUAAUUUUAAAAUCCUUAUCAAUUUAUUUACAAAUCAAAAAGAUAUCAUUUUGUUUCUAUAACAGAAUUGAACUACAUUUAAGAGGAUUCUAAUUUGAAAUUUAUGUGAAGGAAAUUUUUAUAAGAAUAUAAACUGAAACAAAAAUACUUCAAACACAACAAAACUAUAUAAUCAUAAGAUUACUAUAGACGAUGACAAUAGUAUUUUAAUAAAGAGCACAUUUGAAUUAUGAAACGAAGAGAUUGUGUUUCAACAAGUUAAUCAAUUUGAUAGAAGGAAAAUCGUUUGGUCCCAGAAUGAAAGCUAUUUUUCUAUUGGAAAAUAGGUUUGAUGUAUGCUCUUUUUUUUUGUCACGAAUGUAUGCUCUCUCUUGUUCUUAUAGAUAUAAAGUAGAUAACGUUUCUUCUAUUUUAUAUUUUGUUUCUUUUGUCCCUAAGUUAGCUUGACGUUAGAAUUUACGUUAGAUGUGUUUUGGUUUCACAAAUCUCAAGAUAAAAUGGAAGAUUUUGAUUGAAAGAGUUUACACAGAAAAGAAAAUUUAAAUCCCUUCAGAAUAUUUCAAAUCAAAUGAAUUGUAAGAAUCUAUCAAACAUGAAUAACACUAUAUUUAAAAUGUUGAAUUUAAAUCUUUGAUUGAAUAACACAAGAAUUAAAAUUCUUUUGUUAAAAAGAUUUGAAAUACAUAAACUAAUAACACAAGAUUUUAAAAUCAUUUAGUAAAGAUAUUUUAAAUAUAAUAACCAAUAACACUAGAUUUGGAAACGAAAUUUAAAAUUUAUAACAAUAGAUUAGAAAACCUAUAGAAUUAAUUCUAAAUCCACUAUCCAAUAACAUCACCUAAAGUAUUUCAGUUAGUUGUAAUCCUUUAUUUAUUAAUUAAGAAAUUUGCCAAUAGAGUAUUGGUUUGGUAAGUUAUUUACAUAGUAUCUUUGCUGAUGUGUCUCAUGCAUUUUUAGUCAUGUUUUAAAAACACACUUUAAUUACUAGACUAAUUACGGAUGAAUGCCACUACCUAAAAAACUUUGAUCCGACAUAAUACAACACACACUAAUAAAUCAAUUUAACACGUCUGUACGCCAUGUACUAUGAAAAAUCUUUGAAAGGAAAUUGUAUUAUAAUCCGACACUUUGUUACUGGUGUUGGAGAGUUCUUCUUCGAACAUAUAACUCAAUUGUACCUACAAAAAAUAAGUUAUGUAUAUUAUUCCAUUUGUAUAACAAAUCUGCAAAUUUAUCGCACAUAGCAAGAACAUUGGAAAAUUAGUUAUGCGCACAUAUAACGAUUCGUAAUAAAUUGGUAUGUACGUCUAUUUUUUAUAAAAUGCCAAACGUCCUAUGUAUAUGCAAAGAGUCAUGCUCACAUAUAAAAUACAAGGGAUACAUAUACACAUUCUUAGUGUUUGUAAUGGUAGAAUGAGGAUAAUGCUAAUAUGAGUCAUCUGCAUGCAAAGAGUCAUACAUUCAUAUCAAUCAUGAAUUUUUAAUAGUGCUGAGGAAAAGUCGGUAUUAAUAUCCGCUUAUAGCCAAGUUUAGUUUUAUAGAGGAGUAAUUUAUCAAGUGUUCAUGCUAAUAUCCUGGACAAUUAUCAAGUGAGAAUGCACUCCGAUGAAUGUAAGCAAAUUAUAGUUCUAUAUUUAUAUACUUUUAUGCAUAAAAAUCAUAAGAUAUUGAUCAAAGUAACAUAAUACGCUUGAAAAAUAUAACGCUAUCUAACACAUAAAUAUAACGCUAUUUAUCAAGGGUUAGGAUGAUUUUGUAAACUAUUUGCAAAUUUCAUUUUAAAAAAGAUUGUAAACUAUUAGUAUCUUAUAUACAAAUAAAAUAUUUGAUAGGAGAAAAGGCGACGGCGAUGGCGAGUUCAAAUUAGGGUUUGGAUGUUCGAUCGAGAUUGGGAUCCGGGUGCUCAUAGGAAUUUCACGAUUCGAGGAGAAUCAUAUGGAGAUGGGAAAUCAGGGGAACUCAGCGGAGAUCUGCGAAUCAGUUACCUAAUAACGAGUUCGAUAGAGUUUCAAUCGAAAGGGGUUGGGAAUGGAGAUACGAUUGGGCUUUUUAGGAUAUGGUUAUCAUUCAGAUCCUCGGAGUGGAUGCGGAAUCCAGAAGAUCAAGCACAAUCAUUAAGGGGUCGAACUGGAAAUAUCUUACAGAUGGAGAAGGAACAGAUAUGGAUCAGGUGGGGACAACAGAAGUUGUCGAAGAAGAUAGAACUGGAGGCAUUGUUGAGGGUAAGGGGGAAACGGCGGCGGAGAAGAAAACGGGGCUGCGCAAGCCUUUGUUUUCAGUUACUGGUGGACACAACUCCAAGUUUGCUCAAGUGCUUAUGUAGCCUCGCAAACGGGUACAAGCUAAACAGAGCCUCCACAGGGGUGGUGGUGCUAAGCAAGUGGAAGAAAAGGGUACCUCACACCCGAAACAGCUACCCAAGCCUUAACUGUUUAUGGAUUGUGGGUGUUUUGAAGACAGCUAUAUUACGGGUUUGUUUGUUUUUUUUUACUUUCAGUUUUUUUGUUGGUUCGAUAAGCUCUACGAGCAGUUCAAGUUUUAUUUGGUAUGUAUGGGUUUUAAAUGGGCAUUUAUUAAAAUGUGGUUUGUUUGGUCUUUGGAACGUAUGGAAUAAUAUUUUUGGUAUUGGUUUUUGGAUUUGGUUUAUUUUGUUGAGCGUAUGUGAUCAUAACAGGAGGGUUGGUAUUCUCGAAGCGGUAUUAUUUAUGCUGGUUAUUGUUCUUAAAAGACAAAUAAAUGAUUUGGCACUUGUGUGUUUUGUUGGUUUUGGGAAGUGGCUCACGACAGAACAUAACGUUCUUGUUGUAUCGACUCGAGACCUGUGGCUGGUCUCUUUAAACCAGUUGCAGAUGGUUUAUUUGGUGAAGAUUAGAGUGGUUACUUUGGAAAUAAAGGAAUUGAUAUUUGGUAUAGAUAUUGAAGAUGGUUUAGAAAUGUAUACAGAUUAUUCUUCUCUGCUUUACGUGAAGAACAAGUCUCAUAUGUUUGUUUUUUCUAUCAUGGUGUUUAUUGGUUUCAAACUAGAUGAUGAGGUGGAUUUGGAAAUAAUGUAUAUCAUUGGAAUAGGGACAGGACGUACCAUUAUUAUAUUGAAGCCGUUUUUUUGUGACGGGUGGAGUGAAAGUUUGGUGUUUUAUGGGGUUAUGGUGUUUUGGUGGUUGGGAUUUCAGGGUAUCAUUAAAUCCAAUUUUGCUAACUCUUAGGAGUAUUUUUAUAUUUUUUUAAAUGAGAAUUCUUAGUUGGAAUUGUAGAGGCAUGGGAAGUAAGUGGACUAUGAGCUAUCUAAGGGAGAUAUGGCAUAAACAUAAACCAGAUUUUUUAUUUCUAUCUGAAACAAAGCAAGAGUCGCAAUUUGUUCAAGACUUUCAAGCACAUAUUGGCUUUGAUAAUUUGUUCACGGUUGAUCCAGUCGGAAGGAGUGGUGGGUUAGCGCUUUUUUAUAACAAUGAGUCUCAGACCCAAGUCUUAUACUCUAGUAAUAGAAUGAUCGAUGUGGAAGCGGUGGCUCAUGGAAAGACGGUUUAUCUUACGUUUGUGUAUGGGGAUCCUGUUCCAAAAUUAAGGGAACAAGUAUGGGAACGUUUGACCAGAUAUGGGCUUGCGCGUUCGGAACCCUGGUUCAUUAUUGGGGAUUUAAACGAGAUCACUGGAAAUCAUGAAAAGGAUGGAGGAUCUUUGCGGAGCGCGGAUUCUUUCGUCCCUUUCAAUAAUAUGAUAAGGAAUACUGGUUUAUUGGAAUUUCCGGCUCGGGGAAAUAAAAUGUCAUGGCAAGGAAGAAGAGGAAAAGGGAAAGGGGCAGUUACGGUAAGAUGUCGCCUAGAUCGUGCUUUAGCAAAUGAAGAGUGGCAUACUUUUAUACAGAAUAUUUAGGAAUGGUGGCAUCGGAUCAUCGCCCAAUCGUGGCUUAUCUGGAUGAUAAGGUCACUAGGAGAAAAGGGCAAUUUCGGUUUGAUAAAAGAUGGAUUGGACAAGAAGGUCUUUUGGAAUCAAUUACAAUGGGCUGGUCAGAUUAUAGUGCAAGAAGUAAAAUUGGGAUAGUUGAAAAAAUUAGUAAUUGUCGACACGAAAUUGCUAAAUGGCGGAAAAAUAACCCUCCUUAUGGAAAGGAAAAAAAUAAAUGAGUUACAGAAAGCUCUUGAGGAAGUACAAACAGAUGAUACUAGGUCUCAGGAGGAUAUUAUAGAGGUCUCAAAGAAGUUGCAAGAUGCAUAUAAAGAUGAAGAAGAAUACUGACACCAGAAAAGUAGGAAUACGUGGUAUACAUCCGGUGACCUCAAUACAAAAUUCUAUCAUGCUUUAACCAAGCAACGACGGGUACGUAAUCAGAUUGUGGGUUUAUAUGAUGCUUUGGAAAAUUGGAUUACAUAGGAUAUGGGCGUGGAAAAAGUGGCAGUUGAUUAUUUCGAAGAGCUUUUUACUACAACGUCCCCAAUGGAGUUUGAUGACUUCCUCACAGAGGUAACACCGGGUAUUACUCCUCAGAUGAAUGAACGUCUGUUGAGAGUAGCAACGGAAAAUGAGGUUAGAGAAGCAUUGUUUAUGAUGCAUCCAGAAAAAGCACCAGGACCGGAUGGUAUGACAGCUCUUUUCUUUCAACACUCCUGGCAUAUUAUUAAGAAGGAUUUGUUGGACAUGGUGAACAAUUUUUUGGUUACUGGAAGUAUGGAUCCAAGGUUAAAUAUUACUAAUAUUUGUAUGAUCCCAAAAACGGAAAGACCUACAAGAAUGACAGAACUGAGGCCAAUUAGUCUGUGUAAUGUUGGGUAUAAGAUCAUUUCGAAGGUACUAUGUCAGCGAUUGAAGAUAUGUUUACCUACCCUCAUUUCAGAAACCCAGUCGGCCUUUGUUCCAGGACGUUUAAUAUCUGAUAAUAUUCUUAUCGCUCAGGAAAUGUUUCAUGGAUUAAGGACGAAUAAGGCAUGCCAAGGAAAAUAUAUGGCAAUUAAAACGGAUAUGAGUAAAGCGUAUGAUAGAGUGGAAUGGAAUUUUAUAAAGGCUCUCCUACAAAAGAUGGGUUUUGAUCUUCAUUGGAUAACAUUAAUGAUGGAGUGUAUUUCAUCGGUCCAAUAUCGGGUACUAAUAAAUGGUCAACCACGGGGUCUUAUCGUCCCGCAUAGGGGUUUAAGACAAGGGGACCCUUUAUCACCUUAUUUAUUUAUCAUGUGUACUUAGGCUUUGGUUGCAAAUAUUAGAAAGGCGGAAAGAGGGAAACUCCUAACGGGAAUGAAGGUAGCUAGAGCAUGUCCAUCGAUAUCUCAUUUGCUUUUUGCGGAUGAUAGUCUCUUUUUCUGUAAAGCUCAAAAGGAUGAAUGUCACACUAUUCUUAGAAUUUAAAAGGAAUAUGAGGUUGUAUCAGGUCAGCUUAUAAAUUUUGAUAAGUCUUCUAUCCAAUUUGGGCACAAAAUUGAGGAAUCAGUCAGGCAGGAGUUGAGAGACAUAUUGGGAAUUCAGAAUCUUGGAGGUAUGGGAUCUUAUCUAGGCCUUCCAGAAAAUAUGGGAGGAUCCAAGAUACAAGUUUUUAGCUUUGUGCAGGACCGAUUAAACAAUAGAGUUAAUGGUUGGACUUUUAAGUUUUUCACAAAAAGAGGUAAGGAAGUGAUUAUUAAAUCUGUGGUUACAGCAUUACCAAACCAUGUGAUGUCUUGCUAUCGUCUACCCAAGGCAACAGCUAAAAAAUUGACGACCGCGGUUGCACAAUUAUGGUGGAGUCCAGGGGGAAAGACAAGAGGCAUGCACUGGAAAUCUUGGGAUAAGGUGUGUCUUGAUAAGGAAGAUGGGGGAAUAGGUUUUAAGGAUAUUACGGAUUUUAAUACAGCAAUGCUUGGUAAACAGUUGUGGCGUCUGAUCGAGAAGCCACAUACUUUAUUUUCCCGGGUUUUCAAGGGACGGUAUUACAGGAAUGCAUCACCCCUGGAACCGAUACGCUCUUAUUCUCCGUCAUAUGGCUGGCGGAGUAUCGUUUUUGCUAGAUCUCUGGUAAGCAAAGGACUAAUCAAAAGGGUGGGAUCAGGAUCAUCUAUAUCUGUAUGGAAUGAUCCAUGGCUCCCAACCACUCGCCCGAGACCAGCAAAUAAAAAUCACCACAUUUUCGACCCAGACCUCACAGUGGAUUCUCUUAUUGACUCUACUUCGCGAACAUGGAAUUUGCAUACACUCAGGGCCUUGAUGGAUCCCAAGGAUGUGAAAAUUAUAGAAAGUAUACCGCUGAGUAAAACCCAGAUGGUUGACAGGGAUGGAUGGCAUUUCACAAACAAUGGGAAGUAUACGGUUAAAUCAGGAUAUUAGAUCGAACGGAUUUAUCCAGACAGGGUCCGGGGAGAUGGUGUUUUACGGAUGGUUCUUGGAAGGAGAAUGAGGUCUUCUCUGGGCAAGGUUGGCUGAGUACUUUAGAAGGUUUUGCUGGGCUGUUGGGAGCAAGGAAUGUCUGGGCUUGUUUAUCUCCUCUACAUGCGGAGAUAGAAGCACUAUUAUGGGCAAUGGAAUGCAUGAGAAACUUACGCCAAUUUCAGGUUACGUUUGCAACGGAUUGUUCUCAGUUGGUGAAGAUGGUUUCGGAACCAGAGGAAUGGCCAGCAUUUGCAAGUUAUUUGGAAGAUAUUAAAUCCCUGAAAGAAGGUUUCACACGUUCGGAGAUCAUCUAUGUACCAAGAACGCAAAAUUCAAGAGCGGAUAGCCUAGCACGCAGUGUUAGGAAACAACCGUCGUUUGUCGUUCACAUGGAUCAACAUCUACCGGAGUGGUUCACAGAGUCAGUAUGAGUCUGUUGUUGAUGAAAAAAAAAAAAAAAAAAAAGAUUAGUAUCUUAUAUAUUAAAACAAAUGUAAUGACUUUGUUCAUGUGUGAUUUUUUUUUUGUUUGGACCAUCCUCUAAAACGUUUAUCAAAUUUUACAUAACUUAAUCAUCAUAUCUUUUAAUAUCUUUAUCUUUUAUUUAACAUACAAAUAAAUAUUGUUUAAGAAAAUUCUAAGAAAUUUUUUCAGAAUUAGGAUAAAUUUUAUUUUUGAAAUUAAUGAACUUAAAUUUUAAUUAUCAUAAAAUAUAAUUAGAAUUUCAAAUUAAAUAUAUUUUUGAUUGAUGAACGAAAAUUAUAAUCAUACAAAUAUUUUAAUGAUAAUAGCAAUUUAAAUCGAUUAAUUUUCAAAAUACAUUUUAUAAAGAUCUUUAAAAGAUUUUGUUAGAAAGAAAUAUCCUUUAUGUUUCAAAUAAAAAUAUUUACUACAAAAUUACUUUGUAAGUACAAUAUAUUAUAGUUUCUCUUUUAAAAAUAUUUUUUGUUGUUCUUAACAGAAAUAUUUCUUCUCUAUUAUGUAGGUCCAAUUUAAUUUAACUUCCAUACAUAUAUUUAAAAUUUAGAAAUAAAACCAGAAAUUAUGUUGGUAAGUUUCAUAUAUUCACUAAAGCUAAUAAUAUAAAAUCUUUGUAACUAUUUUAAUAAUGAUAUAUUUUAAUUUUAAAUAGAAUUAUUAUUAUGCAUUGAUAUUUUUCUUAAACACUAUUAUGCAUUGAUAUAUAUUCAGUUAUCAUUUAUAAAAUGAAAAAUAAGAAUUCUAUUUUAUUUUUAUAUAUUUUAUAAUAAUAAUAUAAGUGUUUUAAGAUAUAAUUAUUAUAUUUUGGAGUUUUUUUAGAGUAUUUACAGGUUCAUGUACGUUCUGGAGAAAUAUGGUGAUUUUGGAGUCUUUUGAGGUGCAGAACUGCAUAGACGCAUCAUAUGUUUAGCUAUUGAUGGAGAGCUUUCCACAGUUAGAUUGAGCCCAUCUUUUGCCACAAGAUAUAGGUUUUAGUUAGAUUCGUAAUGCCACCGGUUUGAGGUCAAUCAGCAUCAUGUAGCAGAAGUUAUGCAUGUUUUACUGAAGAGUGGUCAAUCUGCCUCGCGAUAGGAAGCUGUCGAGGAGAUGAAGGACUGUCUAUCGAUAAAAUAGCAUUGGUGUCGAUCGACAGUGAUGCCAGAAUAUGGCCUGAGCAUAUUUUAUGCCCGCUGAAGCCUAGAAUCAAUCCCAAGUUACCAGAAUACCCUUGGACAACCAAAAACCCUAUUUAUGUUAUUUUAUAAGCCACUGUUGACGGCUACACUAUUGAAGCUUUCUUGAAUUUAUUGUUCUUAGUUAGGAAAAAAAGGAGGAAAUCCUUUCGUUUUUAUAAUAUCUAUUGCAGUUUCUUAUCUAUUCGUCUAUGAUUUCUGUGACAAACUUCAUGUCUGAAUAGAUCCACAUGUUAAGUUUACGGUUCAUAUAGGAUGAUGGAUUAGCCCAACUAUAGAUUCGAAGUUGUGAUAUUCAUCUUUAGGAUUGUCAUUAAUGCAUGUUUCUAGAUUAGCUACUUAGAACUGGCCCUAGGAAUUGUAGACAUAAGCGAUAGCUUGCAUCUCAUCCUGAAACCAUCUUAAUUGAGCUAAAACUUGCUAGAGUAAGGUAAGAGCUGAUCUAGUAAGCAUAGUGAGCACAUUUAACGCACGCGUUAAAGCUUAACCAAAAGCGUCGAUCGAUAUUCUAAUCGAAUAAUUGGUCGACCGUUCAACAAAUGUAUUGAUCGAUAUUCCUAUAGAAUAAUCGAUCGACACUAAUAUAAGGUCAAUAGACAAACCUAGAAAGCGAGAGCCUAAUGGUUUGUUUAUAAAUGUUGAGCUUUAUAAUAUCAUGCAUAUUAUUUAUUAGGCAUCUGUAGGAUUAUAAUUCUGAUUGCCUGAAUAGAAACCCUAGAUCUAGCAAUCAUCCUUCUAUCAAACCCCAAUCAAUCAAUCGAGCAAUUAACUUGCUCACAAAACUUGCUAUUUACAUUUAACCAUUAAAUCAACCUAGCUUAAUCAAUCUGAUUAGAUUUAUUUGGUUUCCUAGCUCUCUGUGGAUUUGAUCCCUAAGUACUACAACUCGACCUCUUAUUUGAGAGAGUAUAAAUCACUCCUUAGGGUAAUUUGAGUGAUAUCACAUACUUAGCCUAUUAAUCUCGACAAACGCUCUUUGGCCCUCGACCAAUUAUACCUUCCAGUAAAAGUCUGAACCAGAAUUCCGGCAUCCCCUUUAGGACAAUUAUAAACUAACAUGACCUAAUGUUAACACAAAAGUGUCACGAUCUAAUCCUUGACCUGCAAUGUCCUCGGCUAUGCGGCUGAUCAUAUCCUUCAUGCCAAACCAAAAAAUUUGAACAACCAUCGCUCCAUCCGAUCACUUAUUGGCUAAACGACAAUCAGCGAUUUGUCUAAAACACCAAGUGACGGUUACGCAAAAAAUUAUCGCAUAACCCAUAAACCGAAAUCAUAUGAUAAAUACUUUUCAACAAGACUCAGUCCUAACAACCAAACGGUUAGCGAAAAAAAUUAACUUGUCAAAAAUCGAUCAAGUUCCAUAUACUCUACAAUUCACCUUAAGCCCGCAACAUUUUUCUCGUAAAACGCAGCAUGUAAGGUAAAAAUCGUAACAGCGCUCCUAGAGCUAUACGAACCAUCCUUAAAAAUACACGAAAUAAAUCUUCAGGGGCCAACUCUUCACAAAACACACUGAAGGAAAACGCUUCUUCCCAGGGACAGAUCUACGCAACCCCUUGGUCCUAAUUCCUCUAUCAUAAAUAAAACCCCUUAACAUCCAAACAGGAACAACAAUGUUGGCUGCGAACAUGGGUAAACAAACCAAAAUGUUUCUCUAACGAAGGGUUAAGACUAAACCCUUGCAAUAUCGUGAAACAUCUUCAAGCCCAAAAACAUUUCAAGCACGAAUGUCCCCGAGAAACCUUUCUAAAAAGAAAAUAAGAAUACGGAACACUGAAACUUCGUAUUUUUAAAAGACUAUUGAACGACCAGCUCCUCGCAAGAGAUCAUUCAACCCAUCGAACGAACAAGUCCCAAGCAUCGAAACAACCAAUCCAACAUCGUCCGACCCACCAUCGGAAAGUUGAAUAAGCUGAGACCAACUCACCCAACGGCGAGUUGGACCGACCAAUCCAACUCGCCGUUGGGUGAGUUGGACGAACCUCGACUCAAUCCAACUCGCCGUUGGGCGAGUUGGAUCAGUCUUGUCCAAUUCACCCACAGGCGAGUUGGAUCAGCCCACAAUCAUGCAUUCUUAUUGAUGUACCCCAGUCCACGGACUAGUCCGAGGAAUCAGACCAGCAUAAAGUUCAGGACAUUCUGAACAUUUUAUCUGAGGUUCAUAUUUUUCACCAUACUGGCCAGGCUGACCGUACAGUGUACUGGAUCGUCCCACAUGCAUCUGGAAUGAAGCUUUGGCUGGAACCAUGGCCAGAUGACCGAUUUUACUGGACUUCGUCUUUCCCGUCUUGUUUUCCAUUUUAAGAAGAACAGUCGAGACAUAAUCACAUUCGGACGCAUGUUGGGGUCAAACUCAGUCACGACGCAAUCAAUAUCUGAAAGUCAGUAAAAAUCAGCAUGAACAUUUUUACGAAAAAUAAUCUUCGUAAAGAAAUCUUUACGAAGAGCCUUGCGGUAAAAUCUUGUUCAAAUCUCAAUCGAACCACUAAAUACCGAUUGUCCGAAGGCAAUGGACAUGUAUCCAAAUCCGCCACAGAUCUUAUCAACAGGGGUGAAGCCCAUACCCUCCUCGUUGAGAUUUCCAAUCUACUACACUGGACAUGGCUCGGUUGCUACGUAGCGACCGAGCUCCAACCAAGCCCGGUCGCUACAUAGCGACCGAGCACGUACAAGGGUCGGUUGCUACGUGGCGACCGAGCUCAAGCCAAGCUCGGUCGCUACGUAGCGACCGAGCACAUACAUGGCUCGGUCUCUAUGUAGCGACCGAGCACGUAUCGACCGAGCAUCUAGCGACCGAGCAUGUAUCAACCGAGCACGUAUCGACCGAGCACGUAUCGAUCGAGCACGUAUCGACCGAGCAUGAAUCGACCGAGCACGUAGCGACCAAGCACGUAGCGACCGAUCACGUAUCGACUGAGCACGUAUCAACCGAACACGUAUCGACCGAGCAUGUAGCGACUGAGCACGUAUCGACCGAGCACGUAUCGACCGAGCACGUAUCGACCGAGCACGUAUCGACCGAGCACGUAUCGACCUAGCAUGUAUCGACCGAGCACGCAGCGACCAAGCACGUUGCGACCGAGCAUGUAUCGACCGAGCUCUCCCAAAACGUCGAUACGACAUGAAUCAGUGUAUUCUUGUCUACUCGUUAAUGCUAUCUCCCACGGGCCAUGGGUAAACCAUUCUAUGUUUCUCAUCACUCGAAGUCAUCAGUCAAACUUUAAGAUAAAAACCGCGGAAAGUUUGUUUUUAUCGAAGAAACUGUAAUAAACGUUUCGAGUAAAAGACAGCCCAAAGAGACCUAAGACAUGACUCGAAGCCCACUUACGAUUUCUUAACCAAAAGAUCGUAAACCGUAGGACGGUUUAUGCUUGGUUCGCAAGGAAAGAUAAAUGUCAAGUUUCCGCGGAUAAAUACGAAGUUUUGGAAGAUAAUUACGAAAAUCGGGAAAAUGGAAUAUCUUCAUUUUUAAGCUAUGACGGCUUAAGGGCAGAAGGGGAAAAGCGUAAACCGACGUAGGAGCGAGUAUAUAAGGAGUCCUAGGCGAGAGGCAUGGGGGAGGGAAUUUUUUUGACACAGCAAACUUAGCGCUUAGAGCGAUUUUAGGCAAUUUUCCGUUUUUGUUAUUUAAGUUGCAACUCAAUUAGGUUUUUGCCGUCUUAGGGUUUUUAGAAUUAGGAAUCUCGCCGACAGCUCUCGUAGCCCAGCCACUUACCUUGUUGUAAACGCUCAAACGCAGAUUCGGAAUAAGAACUAUCUUGCUCUUUUUUUUAUUUCUUGAAUUUUCAUCGUUUUCAUUCUCGUAUUCUGAUUGCUUGGGGUAUGGUUUAGCAGAGAUCCGGGAUCUCUGGAAAAUUAGAGUUUUCCUAAAUUUCCUAAUUUAAACAAAAAUCAACAGUGCAAAUUUUGGUUCCCACAACGCUUUAAUCUUGAUUCAGUUCAUCGCUUCUCUUUUCUGGUCUGUACCGCAGUACCGCACGGAUGUCCGGAUUGGAGCUUCAGCAAUACCCACGACCAGACGACCGAAUCUUCCGAACUGGAGCUUGUCUUUCCUGUACGGUUUUGCAUUUAUGAUCAACGGAGCCAGAUUCGAAUUCGAACGAGUGGAUUUCGAGUUAGUUCGUGCCACUUCAUUUCUGGCUAGUUUGGACUGUACUGGCCGCAUACUGACCCUGUCCGCAUAACAUGCUAAAUAUUCAUUGAAUCUGGACAGUGGAAUUUGAAGGGUUCAACUGCAGUCAAUAUUAUUUUCCGUGCCUUGACCAGAUCUGGUCAAGUUUUUAUUUUCUAUGUCUGUUUUGCCCACAUUUUCAUUAAGUCUUUUGACUAGAAAACUCUAUAUAAUGUAAUCCCAUUUCUGAAUAAUGAUCAUCUCGUUUUUCCUUUCUCUUUUGAGUGUUUUCUCUCUACUCUUUGUCGAGAACACUUCUUAGUUUUAUUUGUGUGGUUAACUCCAAACAAACGCAUCUUUCUUGUUGGACCGGUGCGUCAUACCCGGCAACAGAUCGAGUUUGCUUCCUUGUCGGACCUGUGAGUCAUAUUAGGCGACAAUCAAGCACUCUGGUAGUAUCAUUGUGCCCUCCGCAACCCUUUAUGUCACCAUACAUCCCAUCAGUUCUCCUUCCUCACGGAUCGAGUCCAUAUCUUUCCUUACCGGUCGAGUGUUUGUUCUUUAGGGCCCUUAAAGUGGUAUCAGAGCCACUCUUCCGGUAUUCUCUAUUUCAUUCCAUCUUCUCAUCUUCCAUUUUUUCAUAAACUCUUCUUCUUCUAUCAAUCUUAAAUCCGGGCCCCUCAUUACCAUCCAUUAAAAAAAAAAGAUCUACCAUUAAAGAAAAAAAGAUUCAAAGAUUGAUUUGUGGAUUAGUGGUGGAAGAGAAAGCAUGCUGGCUGAAGAGAAAUCGAGCCUUUGAAGUGGUUAAAACGGAUUUCAAAAACCAAAAAUGUCUUAUCUUUCUAUCUUGAGAAAAUUUCCUUGUUUGCUUGGAUCUACCCAUUGGGAUUCCUUGAUCUGUUCUCUUAGAACAUUGAGAAGAAGCUUGUGUGAUCACCAUAAAAUCUGAGAGAAACACUUGAGUGGGUGAGAUUAAAAACUUGAGAGUGUGAGGUUUUAUUUUCUUACUUUUGUGUUGAGAUUUUCAGAUUAUGAUGUUUGGUCUUCAAAUGAAAAGUAGAAAGGAGAAAUACCCACGACAAACUUUCUCUCAACCUCCAUUUAAAUAUUCUUAGAAUAAUUUUGAUGAGUUUGUUAGUGUACAGGAACAGGUAGACAUACGGUGCAAGGAUCAUAUCAAAACGACCAGCGAUGUGGCUGAUCCAAAAAGGCGAUUACUUCAGUUUGAUGUCCAAGAAAUAUAUGACAACUUUGAAAAGAGAAUGAUGAAAUCCCUCGAAGACAUCAGCAAAAGCCAUAAGAAGAGCACAUCCACACGUGCACCUGUAGCUGAGCCAUCCUUAUUCACCAGCAAGAAAUCCAAAGGUAAAUCUGAAACCCAUAUUGAGGAGUUGAAAGAUUUUUUAGAUUCUUUACCUACCUUUGAUGAAUAUGAUGAAGAACCAUUUGAAAACUUUUUUUCUUGUGAGAAAAAUUGUGAUCUUCCUUCUCUUGAAUUUGAGUUUAUGAAUGAUAAUGAACAGACUAUAGUAGAACUAACCGUUUUGCAACCGGAGCAACCGAGUAGUCUUAUUUUAUCUCCACAGGUUUUUGAGGAAUAGCCACUGGAGUAUCCACAUCAAAGACCACGAAUUGACACUAUAAAACCCUUGGAUGAUUAUCCAGAUCAUAUCUUUGAUGAGGAGGAUGAACCUGGUCCAGUCUUUGAUGAGGAAGCAACAAGCAUCACCUUGUUAUGGAGAUCCAUCUAUGUUUUGAUCCGAAACAACUCAUGCCCCUUUGUCUUCUGAACUUCAAGAGCACUGUGAGCAAUCUAAUUUGCUUAAUUCUCAGCCUGAUAUUAUGGGAACCGAAAUUUGCACUGUCGAUUUCCGUUUAGAUAUGGAAAGUUAGGAAAACCCUAAUUUCCCAGAAGUCCCAAAUAUCUGCUAAACCACACGCCAAGCAAUAAGAACCCGAAAUAAAGACGAGAAAAAUAAGAAAUCGAAAAGAGAGCAAAAUAUAUCUUAUUCUGAAUCUGCGUUUGAGUGUUACAACAAGGUAAGAGCCUAGGCUACGAGAGCUGUCGGCGAGAUUCCUAGUUCUAAAUCCCCAGUCCACGGAGCAGUCCGAGGAAUCAAACCAGCAUGAAGUUCAGGACGUUUUGAACAUUUUAUAUGAGGUUCAUAUUUUUCACCAUACAGGCCAGACUGACCGGCCAGUGUACUGGACCGUCCCACAUGCAUCCGAAACGGAACUAUGGCUGGNNNNNNNNNNNNNNNNNNNNNNNNNNNNNNNNNNNNNNNNNNNNNNNNNNNNNNNNNNNNNNNNNNNNNNNNNNNNNNNNNNNNNNNNNNNNNNNNNNNNNNNNNNNNNNNNNNNNNNNNNNNNNNNNNNNNNNNNNNNNNNNNNNNNNNNNNNNNNNNNNNNNNNNNNNNNNNNNNNNNNNNNNNNNNNNNNNNNNNNNNNNNNNNNNNNNNNNNNNNNNNNNNNNNNNNNNNNNNNNNNNNNNNNNNNNNNNNNNNNNNNNNNNNNNNNNNNNNNNNNNNNNNNNNNNNNNNNNNNNNNNNNNNNNNNNNNNNNNNNNNNNNNNNNNNNNNNNNNNNNNNNNNNNNNNNNNNNNNNNNNNNNNNNNNNNNNNNNNNNNNNNNNNNNNNNNNNNNNNNNNNNNNNNNNNNNNNNNNNNNNNNNNNNNNNNNNNNNNNNNNNNNNNNNNNNNNNNNNNNNNNNNNNNNNNNNNNNNNNNNNNNNNNNNNNNNNNNNNNNNNNNNNNNNNNNNNNNNNNNNNNNNNNNNNNNNNNNNNNNNNNNNNNNNNNNNNNNNNNNNNNNNNNNNNNNNNNNNNNNNNNNNNNNNNNNNNNNNNNNNNNNNNNNNNNNNNNNNNNNNNNNNNNNNNNNNNNNNNNNNNNNNNNNNNNNNNNNNNNNNNNNNNNNNNNNNNNNNNNNNNNNNNNNNNNNNNNNNNNNNNNNNNNNNNNNNNNNNNNNNNNNNNNNNNNNNNNNNNNNNNNNNNNNNNNNNNNNNNNNNNNNNNNNNNNNNNNNNNNNNNNNNNNNNNNNNNNNNNNNNNNNNNNNNNNNNNNNNNNNNNNNNNNNNNNNNNNNNNNNNNNNNNNNNNNNNNNNNNNNNNNNNNNNNNNNNNNNNNNNNNNNNNNNNNNNNNNNNNNNNNNNNNNNNNNNNNNNNNNNNNNNNNNNNNNNNNNNNNNNNNNNNNNNNNNNNNNNNNNNNNNNNNNNNNNNNNNNNNNNNNNNNNNNNNNNNNNNNNNNNNNNNNNNNNNNNNNNNNNNNNNNNNNNNNNNNNNNNNNNNNNNNNNNNNNNNNNNNNNNNNNNNNNNNNNNNNNNNNNNNNNNNNNNNNNNNNNNNNNNNNNNNNNNNNNNNNNNNNNNNNNNNNNNNNNNNNNNNNNNNNNNNNNNNNNNNNNNNNNNNNNNNNNNNNNNNNNNNNNNNNNNNNNNNNNNNNNNNNNNNNNNNNNNNNNNNNNNNNNNNNNNNNNNNNNNNNNNNNNNNNNNNNNNNNNNNNNNNNNNNNNNNNNNNNNNNNNNNNNNNNNNNNNNNNNNNNNNNNNNNNNNNNNNNNNNNNNNNNNNNNNNNNNNNNNNNNNNNNNNNNNNNNNNNNNNNNNNNNNNNNNNNNNNNNNNNNNNNNNNNNNNNNNNNNNNNNNNNNNNNNNNNNNNNNNNNNNNNNNNNNNNNNNNNNNNNNNNNNNNNNNNNNNNNNNNNNNNNNNNNNNNNNNNNNNNNNNNNNNNNNNNNNNNNNNNNNNNNNNNNNNNNNNNNNNNNNNNNNNNNNNNNNNNNNNNNNNNNNNNNNNNNNNNNNNNNNNNNNNNNNNNNNNNNNNNNNNNNNNNNNNNNNNNNNNNNNNNNNNNNNNNNNNNNNNNNNNNNNNNNNNNNNNNNNNNNNNNNNNNNNNNNNNNNNNNNNNNNNNNNNNNNNNNNNNNNNNNNNNNNNNNNNNNNNNNNNNNNNNNNNNNNNNNNNNNNNNNNNNNNNNNNNNNNNNNNNNNNNNNNNNNNNNNNNNNNNNNNNNNNNNNNNNNNNNNNNNNNNNNNNNNNNNNNNNNNNNNNNNNNNNNNNNNNNNNNNNNNNNNNNNNNNNNNNNNNNNNNNNNNNNNNNNNNNNNNNNNNNNNNNNNNNNNNNNNNNNNNNNNNNNNNNNNNNNNNNNNNNNNNNNNNNNNNNNNNNNNNNNNNNNNNNNNNNNNNNNNNNNNNNNNNNNNNNNNNNNNNNNNNNNNNNNNNNNNNNNNNNNNNNNNNNNNNNNNNNNNNNNNNNNNNNNNNNNNNNNNNNNNNNNNNNNNNNNNNNNNNNNNNNNNNNNNNNNNNNNNNNNNNNNNNNNNNNNNNNNNNNNNNNNNNNNNNNNNNNNNNNNNNNNNNNNNNNNNNNNNNNNNNNNNNNNNNNNNNNNNNNNNNNNNNNNNNNNNNNNNNNNNNNNNNNNNNNNNNNNNNNNNNNNNNNNNNNNNNNNNNNNNNNNNNNNNNNNNNNNNNNNNNNNNNNNNNNNNNNNNNNNNNNNNNNNNNNNNNNNNNNNNNNNNNNNNNNNNNNNNNNNNNNNNNNNNNNNNNNNNNNNNNNNNNNNNNNNNNNNNNNNNNNNNNNNNNNNNNNNNNNNNNNNNNNNNNNNNNNNNNNNNNNNNNNNNNNNNNNNNNNNNNNNNNNNNNNNNNNNNNNNNNNNNNNNNNNNNNNNNNNNNNNNNNNNNNNNNNNNNNNNNNNNNNNNNNNNNNNNNNNNNNNNNNNNNNNNNNNNNNNNNNNNNNNNNNNNNNNNNNNNNNNNNNNNNNNNNNNNNNNNNNNNNNNNNNNNNNNNNNNNNNNNNNNNNNNNNNNNNNNNNNNNNNNNNNNNNNNNNNNNNNNNNNNNNNNNNNNNNNNNNNNNNNNNNNNNNNNNNNNNNNNNNNNNNNNNNNNNNNNNNNNNNNNNNNNNNNNNNNNNNNNNNNNNNNNNNNNNNNNNNNNNNNNNNNNNNNNNNNNNNNNNNNNNNNNNNNNNNNNNNNNNNNNNNNNNNNNNNNNNNNNNNNNNNNNNNNNNNNNNNNNNNNNNNNNNNNNNNNNNNNNNNNNNNNNNNNNNNNNNNNNNNNNNNNNNNNNNNNNNNNNNNNNNNNNNNNNNNNNNNNNNNNNNNNNNNNNNNNNNNNNNNNNNNNNNNNNNNNNNNNNNNNNNNNNNNNNNNNNNNNNNNNNNNNNNNNNNNNNNNNNNNNNNNNNNNNNNNNNNNNNNNNNNNNNNNNNNNNNNNNNNNNNNNNNNNNNNNNNNNNNNNNNNNNNNNNNNNNNNNNNNNNNNNNNNNNNNNNNNNNNNNNNNNNNNNNNNNNNNNNNNNNNNNNNNNNNNNNNNNNNNNNNNNNNNNNNNNNNNNNNNNNNNNNNNNNNNNNNNNNNNNNNNNNNNNNNNNNNNNNNNNNNNNNNNNNNNNNNNNNNNNNNNNNNNNNNNNNNNNNNNNNNNNNNNNNNNNNNNNNNNNNNNNNNNNNNNNNNNCGACUGAGCACGUAUCGACCGAGCACGUAUCGACCGAGCACGUAUCGACCGAGCACGUAUCGACCGAGCACGUAUCGACCUAGCAUGUAUCGACCGAGCACGCAGCGACCAAGCACGUUGCGACCGAGCAUGUAUCGACCGAGCUCUCCCAAAACGUCGAUACGACAUGAAUCAGUGUAUUCUUGUCUACUCGUUAAUGCUAUCUCCCACGGGCCAUGGGUAAACCAUUCUAUGUUUCUCAUCACUCGAAGUCAUCAGUCAAACUUUAAGAUAAAAACCGCGGAAAGUUUGUUUUUAUCGAAGAAACUGUAAUAAACGUUUCGAGUAAAAGACAGCCCAAAGAGACCUAAGACAUGACUCGAAGCCCACUUACGAUUUCUUAACCAAAAGAUCGUAAACCGUAGGACGGUUUAUGCUUGGUUCGCAAGGAAAGAUAAAUGUCAAGUUUCCGCGGAUAAAUACGAAGUUUUGGAAGAUAAUUACGAAAAUCGGGAAAAUGGAAUAUCUUCAUUUUUAAGCUAUGACGGCUUAAGGGCAGAAGGGGAAAAGCGUAAACCGACGUAGGAGCGAGUAUAUAAGGAGUCCUAGGCGAGAGGCAUGGGGGAGGGAAUUUUUUUGACACAGCAAACUUAGCGCUUAGAGCGAUUUUAGGCAAUUUUCCGUUUUUGUUAUUUAAGUUGCAACUCAAUUAGGUUUUUGCCGUCUUAGGGUUUUUAGAAUUAGGAAUCUCGCCGACAGCUCUCGUAGCCCAGCCACUUACCUUGUUGUAAACGCUCAAACGCAGAUUCGGAAUAAGAACUAUCUUGCUCUUUUUUUUAUUUCUUGAAUUUUCAUCGUUUUCAUUCUCGUAUUCUGAUUGCUUGGGGUAUGGUUUAGCAGAGAUCCGGGAUCUCUGGAAAAUUAGAGUUUUCCUAAAUUUCCUAAUUUAAACAAAAAUCAACAGUGCAAAUUUUGGUUCCCACAACGCUUUAAUCUUGAUUCAGUUCAUCGCUUCUCUUUUCUGGUCUGUACCGCAGUACCGCACGGAUGUCCGGAUUGGAGCUUCAGCAAUACCCACGACCAGACGACCGAAUCUUCCGAACUGGAGCUUGUCUUUCCUGUACGGUUUUGCAUUUAUGAUCAACGGAGCCAGAUUCGAAUUCGAACGAGUGGAUUUCGAGUUAGUUCGUGCCACUUCAUUUCUGGCUAGUUUGGACUGUACUGGCCGCAUACUGACCCUGUCCGCAUAACAUGCUAAAUAUUCAUUGAAUCUGGACAGUGGAAUUUGAAGGGUUCAACUGCAGUCAAUAUUAUUUUCCGUGCCUUGACCAGAUCUGGUCAAGUUUUUAUUUUCUAUGUCUGUUUUGCCCACAUUUUCAUUAAGUCUUUUGACUAGAAAACUCUAUAUAAUGUAAUCCCAUUUCUGAAUAAUGAUCAUCUCGUUUUUCCUUUCUCUUUUGAGUGUUUUCUCUCUACUCUUUGUCGAGAACACUUCUUAGUUUUAUUUGUGUGGUUAACUCCAAACAAACGCAUCUUUCUUGUUGGACCGGUGCGUCAUACCCGGCAACAGAUCGAGUUUGCUUCCUUGUCGGACCUGUGAGUCAUAUUAGGCGACAAUCAAGCACUCUGGUAGUAUCAUUGUGCCCUCCGCAACCCUUUAUGUCACCAUACAUCCCAUCAGUUCUCCUUCCUCACGGAUCGAGUCCAUAUCUUUCCUUACCGGUCGAGUGUUUGUUCUUUAGGGCCCUUAAAGUGGUAUCAGAGCCACUCUUCCGGUAUUCUCUAUUUCAUUCCAUCUUCUCAUCUUCCAUUUUUUCAUAAACUCUUCUUCUUCUAUCAAUCUUAAAUCCGGGCCCCUCAUUACCAUCCAUUAAAAAAAAAAGAUCUACCAUUAAAGAAAAAAAGAUUCAAAGAUUGAUUUGUGGAUUAGUGGUGGAAGAGAAAGCAUGCUGGCUGAAGAGAAAUCGAGCCUUUGAAGUGGUUAAAACGGAUUUCAAAAACCAAAAAUGUCUUAUCUUUCUAUCUUGAGAAAAUUUCCUUGUUUGCUUGGAUCUACCCAUUGGGAUUCCUUGAUCUGUUCUCUUAGAACAUUGAGAAGAAGCUUGUGUGAUCACCAUAAAAUCUGAGAGAAACACUUGAGUGGGUGAGAUUAAAAACUUGAGAGUGUGAGGUUUUAUUUUCUUACUUUUGUGUUGAGAUUUUCAGAUUAUGAUGUUUGGUCUUCAAAUGAAAAGUAGAAAGGAGAAAUACCCACGACAAACUUUCUCUCAACCUCCAUUUAAAUAUUCUUAGAAUAAUUUUGAUGAGUUUGUUAGUGUACAGGAACAGGUAGACAUACGGUGCAAGGAUCAUAUCAAAACGACCAGCGAUGUGGCUGAUCCAAAAAGGCGAUUACUUCAGUUUGAUGUCCAAGAAAUAUAUGACAACUUUGAAAAGAGAAUGAUGAAAUCCCUCGAAGACAUCAGCAAAAGCCAUAAGAAGAGCACAUCCACACGUGCACCUGUAGCUGAGCCAUCCUUAUUCACCAGCAAGAAAUCCAAAGGUAAAUCUGAAACCCAUAUUGAGGAGUUGAAAGAUUUUUUAGAUUCUUUACCUACCUUUGAUGAAUAUGAUGAAGAACCAUUUGAAAACUUUUUUUCUUGUGAGAAAAAUUGUGAUCUUCCUUCUCUUGAAUUUGAGUUUAUGAAUGAUAAUGAACAGACUAUAGUAGAACUAACCGUUUUGCAACCGGAGCAACCGAGUAGUCUUAUUUUAUCUCCACAGGUUUUUGAGGAAUAGCCACUGGAGUAUCCACAUCAAAGACCACGAAUUGACACUAUAAAACCCUUGGAUGAUUAUCCAGAUCAUAUCUUUGAUGAGGAGGAUGAACCUGGUCCAGUCUUUGAUGAGGAAGCAACAAGCAUCACCUUGUUAUGGAGAUCCAUCUAUGUUUUGAUCCGAAACAACUCAUGCCCCUUUGUCUUCUGAACUUCAAGAGCACUGUGAGCAAUCUAAUUUGCUUAAUUCUCAGCCUGAUAUUAUGGGAACCGAAAUUUGCACUGUCGAUUUCCGUUUAGAUAUGGAAAGUUAGGAAAACCCUAAUUUCCCAGAAGUCCCAAAUAUCUGCUAAACCACACGCCAAGCAAUAAGAACCCGAAAUAAAGACGAGAAAAAUAAGAAAUCGAAAAGAGAGCAAAAUAUAUCUUAUUCUGAAUCUGCGUUUGAGUGUUACAACAAGGUAAGAGCCUAGGCUACGAGAGCUGUCGGCGAGAUUCCUAGUUCUAAAUCCCCAGUCCACGGAGCAGUCCGAGGAAUCAAACCAGCAUGAAGUUCAGGACGUUUUGAACAUUUUAUAUGAGGUUCAUAUUUUUCACCAUACAGGCCAGACUGACCGGCCAGUGUACUGGACCGUCCCACAUGCAUCCGAAACGGAACUAUGGCUGGAACCAUGGCCAGAUGACCGAUUUUACCGUACUGGACUUUGUCUUUCCCGUCAUGUUUUCCAUUUUAAGAAGAACAGUCGAGAUAGAAUCACAUUCGCACACACCAAUCCUGAUUCAGUUCACUGCCUCUCUUUUCUGGUUUGUACCACACAGACGUCCGGAUUGGAUCUUCAGCAAUAUCCACGACCAGACGACUGAAUCUUCCGAACUGGAGCUUGUCUUUCCCGUACUGUUUUGUAUUUUAAGAUCAACGGUCAAGCCAGAUUCGAAUUCGAACGAGUGGAUUUCGAGUUAGUUGGUGCCACUUCAUCUCUGGCUAGUUUUGGACUGUACUGGCCGCGUACUGACCCUGGCCGCAGGAUAUGCUGAAGAUUCAUUGAACCUGGACAGUGGAAUUUGAAGGGUUCAACUGCAGUCAAUGUUAUUUUUUGUGCCUUGACCAGAUCUGGCCGCGUACUGACCAUGUCCGCAGGAUAUGCUGAAGAUUCAUUAAGUCUUUUGACUAGAAAUCUCUAUAUAAUGUAAUCACAUUUAUGAAUAAUGAUCAUCUCGUUUUUUCUUUCUCUUUUGAGUGUAUUCUCUAUGUUUUUGUCAAGAACACUUCUUAGUUUUUUUGGUGGGGUUAGCUCCAAACGAACGCCUCUUUCUUGUUGGAUCGAUCCGGCAACUGAUCGAGUUUGCUUCCUUGUCGGACCUGUGAGUCAUAUCAGGCGACAAUCAAGCACCCUGGUAGUAUCAUUGGGCCAUCUGCAACCCUUUGUGUCACCAUACAUCCCAUCAGUUCUCCUUCCUCACGGAUCGAGUCCAUAUCUUUCCUUACCGGUUGAGUGUUCGUUCCUUAGGGCGCAUCACUUAUCUCCGGAACUCAUCCCCCUUUGGGUCUCAGUUAAGCUAUCUCUUGUUUUGUCUCGAUCGAAGUUACCGUUGAAACUUUACGGAAAAAACGAAAAAGACAUAAGUUUGGAUGGAUCGUAUAAAACGAUGACGGUUUACUAAACAACAAGGUUAUCUCAGCUAUACGAUUGAUCUCCACUGUUUCGUAAAACCGGCGUCGUACCGAAGUUAUUAAUCCUAAAGAAAUCGUAAAAAUGUUUUCGUCGAAAACGGCCCAAAAGGUGUAAAACGCGGCAAAAUCCCACUUAUGAUUUUUAACGAAGAAUUGGCCUAAAGUCAUUAUGACGGUUUAUCGAUUAUUUGCGAGAGGAAAUACAUGUCAAGUUUAUAGAUAAAUAUCAAGUUCGAAGAUAAAUUUCAAGGAAUAAUCGUGAAGAUCGAGAAAAAUGGAAUAUUUUCGCGAAAUGGGUAAAUACGAAUCAAGGAAAUAAAAGGAAGGAAAGACGACCUUGGAGGCAUAUCUAAGGGGAGCCAAGGCCAAAAGCGCACAAAGACAAUUCUUGAGACUCUUAGAACUCUCCGCACUUAGAAACUUUUGGCAUUUUUCUCAACAUGUUAUGUUUCUAUGACUGGCACUAGAUUACUAGAUGAACUCGCACAUGCAUUUCGAUCUCUUGGUUUACUCUUUCAAUUAAACUAUAUUCGGCUUGAUCUUCGAAAUGGGUACAUAGGCAGCCUUUCAUAUGGUUCAGUCUGAAAUCAAUAAAAACAUUUUUUGUAUCUUUUUCGUUUGUUGUUAUCGAAGUGCGACUCAACUAGGUUUAAGGUGUUUGUUGGCUAGAACUAGGGAACUCGAUGACAGCUCUUGCAGACGAAGCUUUUAUAAUAUUUUGUAAUAAUCGCAACGCUCUUACACGGAUUUGAAAUAAAGAUCUAUUUUCUCUGUAAAUUCAUUUUGUUAUCUUUUCAUAUUUUUAGCAUUUAUUUGUUCAUUUGUUGUUGGCUCUCGUAGAAAAUCCGGACCUCUGGAAAUUUAGGAUUUUCCUAACUUUCCUUAAUUUUAUAUAAAUCGAUGGUGUGAAUUUCGGUUCCCACAAGCUCCACGAAAAACUUCUCAUUCGAGAAAACUAUCUUGGAACAACAGAGGAUAUCACUAAUUCCUCUGCUCCAUUGACGGCUAACACAGCUCAAAAUCGCUAGUAUCAGCAAACUCAAUGACCUCAAAACCUUGGAUCAUCACCAACUCGUGGAGAUUAUAAAGGUAUGUUCGUGGAUACCUUGAAAAAUUCCAAAUAUGUGGUGUUUAGAGACAAAGUGCAAGACGUUGUCCACAAUAUUGAUCUGCUCCUCAACCGAAAUAUCGUCUAGGUACACCGCCUAUGCAAACACCACAGUGGCAUGCUCCUCCACCAAUGCCACCUUCUCAGUGGAACCCUCAAGCUCACUACACUGAUGCAAGUGCCUCUUACAUGUCCAUGUCACCAUGGUUCCUCGACAGUGGUACCUCACAUCACAUUGCGCAAGACCUCAACAACUUGUCUCUACACGCGCCUUAUAAAGGUGGUGAUGAUUUCAUGAUAGGCAACGACACAGGACUCCCGAUCACCCACAUUGCUUCAACUAAACCCCUUUUUUCCUCUCGACCUUUAACUUUAAAUAAUAUGCUUUGUGUUCCAUCGUUCAAACGUUUCUUGAUUUUCAGGUGAAAGAUCUCAUAACGGAAAACUCUACUCAACAGCAAAGCCAGUAAAAGAGUAUAUGAAGUACCGACUGAAUCUGCUCCCUGUCUCAACAAUCUUUUGGCUUUUUCAUGUUUUAAAACCUCAAGAUCGGGUGGGCACUCUUGUCUAGGCACCUGAAUUCUCAAAUUCUUAGUCAUAUGUUUUAUGGAUUUCAUUUACCAGUUUCAUCUAUGUCAUCUUAACCUUGCAAUUAUUGUUUAAGCAUUAAAACACAUUAACUUUCAUUCUCAAACACCACUCUAUCAUCUUCUCGUCCUCUUGAUAUUUUAUUUUCUGAUGUCUCGACCUCGCCUAUUCACUUAAUUGAUGGAUACAAAUAUUAUGUAAUAUUUUUUCCCAUUUUACAAGGUACACAUUGAUGUUCCCAAUAAAAACAAAAUCGUAAGUGGCUCAGAUCUUCCUAGAAUUCAAGAUGUUGGUAGAAAAUCGAUUUAAAACAAGCAUCACAACCUUGUAUUCAGACAAUGGGAGGGGGGAGUUCAUAGGACUGCGUUCUUAUCUGGUCAUGCACGACAUAACGCAUACACAACUCCACUAUACACUCCUAAAACACAACGGUAUUGCUGAACGCAAACACAUGCACAUUGAGAAGACAUGCCUAACUCUUCUCCAGCACGCAGACAUUCCAAACACAUAUUGGAGUUACUCAUUUUCUGCAGCGGUUUAUCUUAUUAAUCGCAUGACAACUUCAGUGUUGACGCACUCAUCACCAUUCCAAAUCAUGUUCCAUACACCACCAAAUUAUAGCAAACUUUGCUCCUUUGGAUGUCUUUGUUACCUAUGGACACAACCUUACGGCAACAACAAAUUCACACCUCGAUCAGUUCCAUGUGUAUUCUUGGGUUACUCUCUAACUCAAAGUGCUUUCAUCUGUCUUGAUGUUCUUAACUCUAGAGUCUAUAUAUCUCGUCAUCUUAUUAUUCAUGAAACCAUUUAUCCAUCUCAUCUCUUUCUAAAGUUUCCUUUAACACAUAUGACACUGUUCACUGACUCCUCCACCAUAUCUUCCUGUGUUUCUAUUUUCAGUCAGUCAAUCACAGAUUCUUUGGUGCCUAAGUUAGUAGAGUCGUCCCUGGUCUCAGACACUUAACCAUCAUCAACAAUAACAACAACAUUAACUCAUGCCACGACAGCAAAAAAGUCAGACAUCACCAACUCCAACUCCUCCUCUGAGCUUCAACUCACAAUAUCUCAGCCCACCAGCACACACACCAUGACAACACGAUCCAAUAACAACAUCAGCAAACCAAACUGCAAAUAUGGUUUUGCAACUAUCUUGGAAGAACUUGAACCACAAAGUCUAGCACAAUCGUUGAAGGAUAAGAGAUGGAGAUCUUCAAUGAGUGAUGAAUACAAUGAUAUGAUCCGCAACAUAAAUUUUGACCUUUUUCCUCAUUCAUAAGCCAAUAACAUUAUUAGUUGUCGUUGGAUCUACCGCAUCAAGUACAAUCCUAAUGACACCAUGAAAAGUUUCAAGUCGCGACUAGUGGCAAAAGGCUUUCACCCAGGGCCUGGAAUUGAUUUCCAUGAAACAUUCGGUUUAUUAAUAAAACAUGCUUCCAUUCAACUGGUACUUGGAUUAGCUAUUGCACAAGAAUGGGCUCUCAAACAACUAGAUGUCAAUAAUGCCUUCCUUCAAGGUGAUUUACAUAAGGAAGUCUACAUGACCCAACCACCAAGCUUUAUAGACAAAGACAAGCCUGAUCAUGUUUUCAGAUUACGCAAGGCUAUAUACCGACUCAAGAAAUCCCCUAGAACCUGGUACAAUGCACUACGAGAAGCACUUAUUGGUGUCGUUUUCAUUAACUCAUUGGCUGAUUUCUCUCUCUUCGUCUUCACCUCCAUACUUCUAAUUAUCUACAUCUGGACUUAUGUUGAUGACAUCAUCGUAAGAGAAAACAACUUCCUGGAAAUUACCAGGUUCAUCAAGUAUCUUUUAAUCUCAUUUCACACUAAAGAACCUUGGUAAUCUCUCCUAUUUUCUUGGUAUGGAGGCUCACAGAACUAGUAUUGGUCUUCAUAUUACUUAGACUAAAUACAUCACUGAUUUACUUGCCAAGACGAAGAUGAUAAAUGCCAAAGUUGUUACUACUCCCACGUACUCAGCGCAAACUCUGUCCCACAAGGGAAGUAUCUCGCUCAAUGAUCCUCUCACCAUCAGAGCUGUCGUGGUAAGCUUGCAAUACCUAUGUCUCACAUGUCCAUGCAUAGCAUUUGUAGUCAAUAGACUAUCUCAUUUCAUGCAUUGUCCUGCAACACUACACCUUGAAUCUGCAUAACGAGUGCUUAGAUAUCUUGCAGGCACUGCCAACAAAGGUCUCUACUUCUCACACAAAACUCCUUUCACACUUCAUGCCUAUUCAGAUGCAGACUGGGCAUGAGAUCAAGAUGAGACACCUCUACAGGAGUCUACAUUGUCUAUCUUGGUAAACAGCCCAUCAUCUUGGAGGUCACGUAAGAUGAAAAGAGUUGCUCGCUCUAGUACAGAGGCGAGUACCGAAUCCUAACAGCGACACCAGCAGAAGUUGUGUAGAAUGCUCAUUUACUGACUGAGCUUCGCGUUCAAAUAACAUCAAUGCCUACACUAUACUAUAACAACAUAGAUGCAGCAUACUUGGCAGAAAAAUUUGUUUUUCAUUCAAGAAUGAAACACCUUGCCUUAGACUAUCAUUUUGUUCGAGAGUUGGUGCAACAAAAGUAUGUACGAGUGUCCCGUGUCAGCUCUGCAAAUCAACUAGAUGAUGCCUUAACGAAACCACUUCCACGGGCUAGGAUCCAUGAUCUUUUUGUCAAGAUUGAUUUGUAUCCGACAAGCUUAUCUUGAGGGGACUUAUUAGUGUAUAUUUUGUAGUUCAGAUAAUUACUUUAGAUAGUUAUUUACUAGCCGUGUGCUUAUCUAUAUAUUGGUCUUAUCAAGGAUCUUGCACAACUUGUAUAAAUAAGCUCUGUUAGUGAUAAGUAAAAUUGAAACCUAUCUUACACGUGUUUCUCCUGCCAAAAAUAAUUGUUUGUGCUUAACUUGCAUAUGCCUUAGAAAUUUAUAUUUACAUCAUUUCUAUUCUAAGAGAAUAGUUUUAUCUAACUAUUUCCUAGUUCAAAUAUAUUAUAACUCAUCGAUUAUAGCUUCCAAAGUUUAGGCUUCGAACAUGAUGGUCCAUUAUAAACCCUGUCCAAACAUCUUUUGCGAAACUUAGGCUUUUUACAUCAAAUCGUCAUUUUAUUAACCAAAGUAAAACAGCCAACAUAAAAAAAAAUUAUAUGGAAUGAUCUUGCAGUCUUAGCUAAAAAAAUCAGGAAUCGUGUUUUGCCUUUGUGAAACAUAGGAUAGCUUGAAUGAUUGAAAUCUUUUUGAAUAGUAUUUUAUUUCCUUCGGUUUAAUCGAGAAAUUUACUAUGCCAGAGGUUAUGUGAUUAUGAUGAUCAAGUCCUUGCAAUUUGAUCCAAAAUUUUGACAAUUUGAAUGACAUAACAUAAUCUCUAUCGUCCAAGUAAGCAGUUCUAACUCCGAUUGUAAAGCGGACUCUCGCCGUCUCAAGUUCCUCAUCCCCUUUAAUUUAGUUUGUCGACAAAUAUCCUACCAAAUCUAUCCACGACCACUUAAUUGGUGAUGCGAAAGUAUUUGAGCCAUCUACCAUACAUAUAUAUGUUCAAGCAUAAGGCUUGAGAGUUGUUGUUAUUUGGUGGUUGUGGAAUUGUAGAAAUUGUUGCAUUGGAUGAGAACCAAACUUGACAAUCUUCUCAAUAUUUAAUUGUUCUAAAAAAAUUUGAUAUAUCAUUAUCCAAAGAUAAUGAUCUCUAUCCAGCUCAUGCCAGUAUGUCAUUCAGUAAAAGGUGCCCCCAUCUAUUCUCUAUGACAUAGCUUCGAUCCUCCCAAGAUUCCAUAUAUUAUGUUUGCCGUGAUUUAUGAAUGAUCUCUAUACAGUUUUGGGUAAAUGAUUUUUCCCUUCAUUGGAUAUUACAUUAAAUUAUAUUUUUAUAUUUAAAAAUAAAAUAGAAUAGAAACUAAAUACACAUCUUACUUAAAAACAGAAACCAAAUGAUUCGGUUGAAUAUUUGUUGUUGUUAAAUGGUAAUAAAUGUGAAAACUCUUUUUCAAAAGAAAAAUAUAUAUAUGAAAGAGUUGAUUAAAGAUACUUUUUGUCUUUCCUUUACAUUGAGAGUCACUUUCCACUUGUGAGGCAUUUUUUGGUGGGGUUUAGGUGUAUUUUUGACAAAUUUAUCCUUAUGGAAAAUGGCGAGUUGUGGAUGACGAAUUAUGGAUGACAAGUUGUGACGAAUUGUGGAUGACGAGUAACUUGUGAAUAUAUGAACCAAAGAAAUACAAAAAAAUAUGUACAAUGGUUUACUUCUACUAUUACAAAUUUGAAAUCUUAAAAAAGUUGACAUGUACGCAAAAUAUAUAGACGAAUAAGAAAAUAAAAAAAUAAAAAAUGUGGAUUAGUGAAAAUGUGAACAAAGAAAUGCGGGUCAUUGGAAAUAUGGACUCAGAAAUGUGGAUAAUAUAAAUAUGGAUAUGAGUUCAUGUGGACACUAUUUUUCUAUAAUGUGAACAAAAUUUUGUGGAUGAUUUUUCAUCUGCUAAUCACCAGUUCUUCAACUUAUAAUAUAGUAAUUUAUGUAUAAAAGAUGUGAGAUCACAUCGUCUUGAUGAGUUUGAACAUAGAACGACAAAACUUGAAAUUCCAAGCUCGUCACAGUGAAGAAGAAGAACUGUGGCAGAUUGGAGUGCUGAGCACGAGUUUGAGAGGACCGACGCCGUCACCACCACAAUCGAGUUAUGGUUCCAACUCUCUAAUGGUUUUAUCUUUUGAUCUGAUGUACACCGAUCUGCUGGAGACUUCCUCGAUGACCACGUCCAAUCCAACACAACUAGUUCUUGAUCUCCAAUAAGACCGUUGUGAUCGAGCUCCAAUGGAUAAGACAACUCUGAUUUGUUGAUGUCCACAUCUAAUCUAUAAUUAUAUUAUCCAUGUUUUGGUGUCUACGUCUACAUUUAAUCUUGGUUACAUAUUAAUGUAUAUAAUAUAUAUAAAUAUAUAUCUUAAAAGAUAAAGAAUUUUAUAUAUAAUUCAUUAUGAUAAUAUUUUUAUUUAAUAUAUUUUAAAUUUUGAAAUAAAAGUAAAUGAAAAUAUAAGAUGUGAUAAGAAAAACAAUAAAGUGCAAUAAAAAGAUGAGAGAGAUUUGUACGAUGGAAAUAAAACAAAAUGUUCUAUUUUCUUUAGUCUAGGGUCAUGAGAGUCUAAAGAAAAGUGUGUGUAAAGUGAUAAGUGUGUUGUAGUGUAAUUGGUAUGUUAGAAAGUGUUUCUAGAGAUAAAAAUCUUUCUAUGAAAACCGGUGCUCGGAUAAGGGGUAUCAGAGCAAGCUUGACGAUGAAAGCGGAACGAUAGACAAAUUGACACAAAAUUGACGGUAUACAAUAAGAGGAAGAUAUGGGCUUGAUUUCAUUCCUUUAGGUCCAUCUUCUCUUUACCCUCUCGACUUGGACAUGGCUGAUUAUUAGACGGUAUACAAUAAGAGGUGUUGCAUCUCCUUGUAAUGGCUCAUUUGGACACAAAAUUUCUCUGGGCUUUAAUGGACUUUAUAAUGUACUUAGUCAAAGUUGAGUAAAUGAAUCAACUUUCAUUCAAACAAUUGGUCUCAAUGUGAAAAUUACAUCUCGCGACUUUUUCGAAGGAUUUUAUUUUCUGUCAAUUAAUUCAAAAUGUAAAAGAAACGGAUGAGGAGGAAACAGUGUCUCCCGUUAGGAAAGCAUGUUGGAAGAAAUUGAGCUGAAUAAUUACUACCAGCUUUUCGCAUAUCUUUUAUAUUAAUGUUUAACCUUUCCCUUUUUACGUGUGUUAAAAGAUGUACCCAAAAAGUAAAAGGCAUCUAUAAUCAACAUUCGAAUGGACAUUUUCUUUUGCUAUAAUCUUUUUACAAAAUAUCAAUUUAUCCAGUUUCAGAGUUAUCAAAAUUCGUUUUUUCUAAAGGAAAAUAUAUAUAGACCCACUUGAUGAGAGGUUUAUCAUUUCGAAAUCAUAAUUCUUUAUGUAUAUAUUCGUCAGAUUUUAUUGAACUUUUAUUUGUUAAAUUUAUCAAUACACCCAUCAAAUAUAAUAUACUUUACAGUAUUGUAGACUUGAUUAUUACACUGCACAGAUAUGAACCAGAUACAAAACUUUAAUUUAUUCCUUUCUGGCCUACACCGUCGAUAUGAUUCCACUACAAGAUCUCAAAAGUGCAUGCUCAUGUUUUUUAUUUAUCGUGAAACCAAAUUAUGUCACUUUCUUAUCUCAUUUUUACCACACACACACAUAAAACUUCUAGUUUCUUCAGUCCCCGUCAUUUACCGAGUUUUUUAGAUUCAUAACCUUUCUAACAUUUUAAUUUCAUAAGCUUAUAAUUAAUAGGCACGUACAGGCUACAGCCUAACUUUAAAAUUUUGGUUUUACAGCGUUUAGUGCAUCCCUAUAUUUCUAGCGUAUUUUUCAAGUUCCAAUAUAUUACAUGUGUGUUAUAACUUAUAAUAAAACUAAUCUUGAAGUUGUCAUAAUAUCAAGUGGAAUGUAGAGAGAGAUAUAAAAUAGUAUUGAAUUAAUAUACAUUUAAUUAAUUGUAGUAGGUAUGUGACAUGAUAAACCGGGCCACCCUUAUUUCAAUGCAACUUUUUCUCUAGCACGUUGCAUUUGACUCUUUCUUGGAUUUCACAUUUUCCUCAAGUAUAUCAAUUAUGGCUAGAAUCCACCUUACAAUACACACUUUUAGAAGAUUAGAAUUUUCCUUUUAAAAUUCUUUAAUUUUGUUAAAUCAUAUCUUCACUGAUGAUCACCUAGACAAUCAGAAGAAAGAAAUAUAUGGUUAAAACAUUACUUUGACUUAUAGUAUUUUAAAUAAGUUUAAUAAAUUUUACCAAUUUCCAAAUUAUAUUAUAUAAAAAUAAGAAAAUCUUUUUUUUGUUCAGUAAAAAAUAAAAAAAUAAGUAAACCAAAUAUGAGAAAUUUGCCAAAAAAAAGCUCAAAACUUGAUUUUAAAUGCAAAAGUAUAUCCAAACUUUAAUCAAAUGCAAAAGUAACAUAAAAACCUUGUGAAAUUACAACCAAUUCUUUAUCACCAAACGAAAAAUCAGAAGAUAUUUUUACGAAUAUAACUCUGUAAAGUCUUUUGCGAGAAUACUUUCUAGAAGUCUUUUCAUAUAGUAGAUUUUAAAAAUAGUUUAUAAAUUUUUAUAAAAAAUAUUUUGAUAGGGAAAAAAUUGAUAUCAUGUAAUUAUAAAAAUUUGUAAAUGAUAUAAAUUCAGAUAUAGUAAAAUUGAAUUGUUCUCAAAAUAGAUGAUUGAAUGUAGUGUCUCAUGAUAUUAUUUGGUUUUAGGGUUUGGUAUCAUAUGUUGUAAUAUUGUUUGUAUUUUUAGGGUUAGAUUUUGGAAGCUAACAUUUUUUUGAAAAAUUAAAUUUUGAUUUAUGUGUGUUUAGUUUUGUUUAUAUUAAGCACUUUUAACGUUGAUUUUAAGUUUUAUGAAGUGUUUGUUUCUACUUAGUUCGUUAUUUUGAGUUUAGGGUCUAUAUGAUUUAAGUCUUCCAGCAAAUAAUACUAAAAGACUUCCGCGGAAGUCUGUAAAAUCAAAAAUAUUUAAUCUUAUUGGAAUUUUUGUCUCGCUAUAUAAUUUUUUUACAGCCUUUAUCUUCCUCUCAAAUGGCUGUAACAAAAAUGUAAUGUUUUUCACUCUAAAACUCUACAAUCUUUCUCUAAUCUCUUUGAAAACAUCAAAUAGUAUAUCAAUUUCUCCUUUUUAUCUCAUGUCUUUAUCACUCAUUUAUAUGGUUCUCAUCUUCCAUUCAUUUAAAAGUAUAUCAAUAAAUCAUAUUUUUUCAUUUGGUAACUUCUUGUUGCUUAAAGCUCUUACCUUUUAUUUUCGCAGGCUUUUCAUUAUAUGGUUUUCAUCUUUUAAUCUUUUAAAGGUAGAUCUAUAAAUCAUAUUUAUCAUUUGGUAAUCUCUUGUUGAUUAAAUCUCUUAUCUUUUGAAAAUUCUUUUUGUUAUUUAAAGUUUUUACCUUAUUUUUAAAUAUUUUUUAUGUUUUGAAGUCAUUAAUACUUUUGGAUAUGAAGGUUUUUCAGAUCUGAAUCACACUUGGAAGACUUCAGAGAAGUCUUCUCGGAAGUCUUUGAACAUAUAAUGCACUAGUAGACUUCCUAGAAGUCUUCUCCAAUGUCACCUUUUUCAUAACAGAUCUGAGCGUUUUGGUAAGUCUCCAUGUCUGAUGUUUUUUUCAUUUGAUAACCUCUCGUUGAUUAAAACUCUUACUUUUUCUGAAAUUAUGCUCUGAAUCUUUGAUUUAGUCUCAGAUAUAGAGCUAUCAAAGUGGAGGAGUUGUCCGAUGGUAAACAAAUCUGAGUGUGUUGAAACUGGUGGAAGUUUCAAGUUUGACGAAGAUUUUAUGAAAUCACCAAGAAGAUUGUUAAAAUAUGUUUUCUCCCAGAUGAUGAUGAUAUUGUGAUUAAUUCUCUUGUUGAUAUCAAGGAGCACACUUUAAACUAUUUUGACAAUCUUCUUGGUGUUUUCUCUAUUCCUUCCAGCGCUUAUGUUUCAGAUAUUGAAAGGAUGGUCCCAGCUCGUUGGUUCGUGGAAUCAGUUGCUCUCCUUUCAGAUGGUUUUCUAAUCUUGAAAUCAAACCUGCUUUCUUGGCUCAUCCUUGAAACAAAUCUCCAGGUCCUUAUUGUUAUCAUGUAGAGUUUUCUCUGCUUAUUGGGAAGUAUUUGGUAGCAAAAUGAUUGUCGCAGUGUGCAAAUUUCUCUCUUCGGGCCAGCUCCUUCAGCAGAGUAAUUCAACAACUCUGGUGUUUGUACCAAAGAAAACCAAUGAUUAUCGUAUCACAGAAUUUUGGCCUAUUGCUUGCUGUAACACCAUCUACAAGGUUGCUUCUAAACUGCUUGCGAAUAGGCUCAAGCUGGUUCUGCCUUCACUCAUAUCUAAUCCAAGUCAAACUUUAUUCUGGGUAGGCUAUUGGUGGAAAAUUUUCUCUGUACCACUGAAUUAGUUGCGGUUGACAACUAGAAAAGGAUCUCAAAAAGAUGUAUGUUGAAAGUUGAUUAGCAUAAUACCUUUGAUAAUCUCAACUGGGAUUUCAUCUUGAAGGUUCUUAAGGCUCUAAACUUCCUCCCAAGUUUCAGAAUGAUAAUUUCUUAAUGCCUAACUACAACAAGAUUUUUGGUGGCCAUCAAUGGAGAGCUAUGUGUCUAUUUCAAAGAAGUGAGGGGAUUGCGUCAAGGGGACCAUCUAUCUCCUUAUUAUUUUCUAUUUGUUGUGGAUGUUUUCUCUCAAAUGCUUAAUAGAGAGUACACAACCCAUCGUAUUGGCUAUCACCCCUAGACAUCUUCCAUACAUGUCACUCAUCUUGAUUUUGCUGAUGACAUAGUGGUGUUUUUUGGCGGAGAAAAAGAAUCUGGAAUGUAUUGCGGGAACCUUGGAAAAUUUUGCCUCUUGGUCAGGUUUAAAAAUGAAUAAAUAAAAAAAAUGAACUGUUCUUGGCGGGUAUAAACAGUGAAGAAACAAUCAUACUUCUAGUCUUGGUUUCAACAAUGGCUCAAUGCCCAUAAAGUAUUUUGGCCUUACAGUAAUGCACUGUAAGCUGGUGUUUAUCAGACUAUCAGCCUCUUAUUGAAAGCAUAUCCGGAAAAUUCAACAGCUGGUCGGCAAAAGUAUUAUCUUAUGCAGAAAGGCGCCAAUUCCUAUCGUCGUUACCUAUGGAAAAUUAUAUUUCUGGUUUUCUGCUUUUGUAUUGCCAAAAUGCUGCAUUAAGAGGAUCCAAAGUCUGUGUUCUGUGUUUAUUUAGACUGGUAACAGAAUGAUAAAUUAUGUUGCCAAAGUCACUUUGAAAAACAUCUGUCUUCCUAAAGACGAGGGAGGUUUGGGGCUCUGUGAUCUCAUCCAGUAGAAUAAUAGUUUGUGUCACUAGUUCAUCUAGUUUCUAUUCACCAACAAUGACUCUUUAUGGAUAAAUUGGAUGUGUACUUAUUGUAUUAAAGAUUGGAUCUACUGGAAAUUUGAUGUUGAUGAUGCAAGCUCUUGGACUUAGAGAUCAUUGCUAAAACAGUGGGGUCUAGCUACAAGGUUCCUAAGGAGAAAAGUAGGUGAUGGUGCAAGAGUAAGAUUUUGUUUCGAUCACUGGACCUUCUUAAGACAUUUAAUUAAUAUUUUUGAACCCACGGGUGUAACAACCCUAUACCGUCCUAGACAUCGACAUAAAAAACUCAAUGAUACCGCAUAGCUUUUAAUAUCCACCACCCUUCAUAAAAAAUCACUCAAACAAUAUAACAGGUCAAUCUCAUGUAUUAAUUUCGGAAAGCAGCAAGUAAAUCAACCAAUCGCCAAUCACAAUCACAAUCACAAUAAUAAGAUUUUAACUAACUACGACUCUAGUCUAUAACGAUUUACUUGACACAACUCUAACUUGGGCCCUGGUGAUUUUGUGUUCCUCCUCAACAUCGGCAAUAUCCUAUCUCCUUAUCACAAAGACUAGAAGAAGGAAUUUCAACCAACCGCGGUCCACAGCCAUUCAGGUCACCGAGCAACAGGCCACAACCAUCGGGUCACUGCCGAGUGUCGACAGCCCCAAUAUAUUCGGGUCACUGCCGACCGUUAUACCACCAUGUAACACUCAUCCAUAGACCAUGACCUCGUCUAUCUGAGUCUUCUCGAUCUAGCGAAAAGGGGUUUCUUUGAACCUGCUCGGUGCUAUUCACCACUAAACAUGCUUAGCAUGGCGGGUUUCACACAUGCUAUCAGGCUUCACUCUCUCACUACCUCUCUUAUUCCAGAACCUAGUCUAAAGACUAAAGUUCCAGAUCCUAACUAGACUCUCGACUAAACACUAACCACCAGUAUCAGUAAUCCGGCUUAUAUGACCUAUGACCCCUAGUACUAACGUCUAAUAAACUAAACAACAACACUUAACCAAAUAACCUUAAUUCUAAUAACUCAACUAGUUAGUCACUCCCUUACCCGUAGCUGACUAACCUCAAUCAACAAGCAUUAAUUAAACGAGCAAUCAUUGAAUUAAAUCUAACAUCAAAUCUACUCAAUCAGAUCGUUACCCAGAUAUUUCAGUCUCCUGCUAUGAAUAUAUAUUUACAGUUAACGGGAACCAACACUCAAUCAUAUCAACACACAAGAAUAGAAAACAUGAUGCAUCUAGCCCAAGUACUAGUCAGAUUACUAACUCAAUCUUAACUCGAUAUGAUUACUCGACCUAACCUAAGUUCGAAGUGGAACUUAAUCAACUCAUUAUCCUAAAUUCUAAUCGGAAUUCUAAACGGAAUUCAAAAAAUACCAACUCACAGUGUUUCGUGCGAUAAGCAGCUGGUUGAUCGAAUAGGACUUGGCUAAAACCCAACUGUGACUUCGACUAAACUGAACAUGUGGAACUGAACUAAUUCUGGAUAGCGCCACUACUUGACCAUCAAAGAAAAUAACUGGCUUGGACGGAUUGAUUUGGACAGAGCUUCCACGUCACAAUCGUUGAUUGGACAAAAGCUGAUUUUUCGCUGGAGUAUUUGUUUUAAGAACUCAACUACACUUUCAUAAAAUAUCCUCUCUCUAUCCCUAUCUCUCUAACCCGCGUUUUUGGAAGUGGCUUUGAUGUGGAAUGGAUGUCUGAAACUGAAGGGAGGGCUGGGUAUUUAUAGAAACCGUUGGCCAGUAAGGUUAGGACACACGGUCGACCAUAUUCAGCCCGCAUGAUCCCGCUCGCAUGCGCGACGACACACAGUGCACACAUGGCGGUCCGCAUGCCGUGGUCGUAUGCAAUGCAACACCUCGUGCUCCACAUGGCUGCUGCGUGUACCAGUUGCAUGUGUUGCAACAUCCCGUGCUUCCCUGGACACAUAUCCAUUCGCCCAUACAGAUCACAUACAUCGAGCUACCUCGUGCUUCCCAGUCCGUUCGCCCAUUUUGACCUUUCUGACAUCUUUUCGACCCGCGAGCAACCCGAAUAUUGUUUUUACGCCCGUUCUGAUGAACUGAAUAUUUUAAAUAAUUCCAGACUGAAUUAUAACCUUGACGGUAAAUAUUUCCUGAUCCUCUGCCUUCCUCAAAAAAUAUUCUUUGAUGUCAAAACAGGGUUUUCACCCAACUUUGGAUUUUUCCGUCGUGCUUACUUUUCGUCCUACUUAUUCCAUGUCAUGCUUCCAACUUAUUAUGCUUCCACCAUAAUAUUUCAUUAAUACGACGUUCUUCCAAAAACGUCGUGCUUCUAAUAUGUUGUGCUUUUAAAAUGUCAUGCUUCCAAAACGGCAUGCUUCUAAAACGUCGUGCUCUUAACCAAUCAUCUAUCCCCACGUCCUCAUGUGCACCAAAUACUUAGAUUGAGCUUCUUGUCUUGAAAAGAAUGUUGAAGUGAUCCAAACACCUUUUAUCGAUCACAACUACUCGAUCGACCCGAUCACUCGUGACUCGACCACCAAAUGGAGAUGUUCGACCAACUUCUAUUUUUCUAAGAAUCAGGUUAAGUUUUUUUUUGGGAUCAAAACUUAACAUACCUGACGAUACUUGGAUUUCGAAAAACUUGGCUCCGAAUUCCGACUUGUCGAUCUCGACCAUUUUACCCCUUCGAGAGGGUUACUACAACGGGUCUUAAUGGAACUUGCCUUGCCAUUGACAACCGAUGUUCACUCUGCUUGCACUUAUGUUGGUUGGAACUUCAGAAGAGCUAAUUCCCCUGCAGAAGAACAACUUCAAAUUGCUCUAAUGACCCAUCACCUACCUGCAGCCACUCGUGGAAGACUACGUAUGGAAAGUUAAUGGUAACGAAUUAUCAGCAUUCUCCAUUAGAAAAACUUGGGAAAUUAUCAGGAAUAGAGAAAAAAAAAAGUGUACUACACAUAUUUAGUUUAAAGGCAUAGUCCCAAGACAUUCUUUCAACUUUUGAAUUACACAUCUGAAUAGACUGCCAACAAGACAAAGGCUUGCAAGCUGGAGUAUGAUAAUAUCAGACUCUUGUUGUCUAUGCGAUUCAGCACCUAAAUCUAGAGAUCAUCUCUUUCGUCAAUGCGAGAUCAGUGAAAGCUUCAGGAUUAUGGCCUUCCAAAGGCUGGGAUACAUGUCCUUUCUUUACCAUGCUUGGAUUUCUUUCAUGCAUUGGCUUUUCCACAGAGACUUUUCUUGCCCUUUACUUCUCAAGAGGCUGAUGGGACAAAGUAUUGUUUAUGGGAUUUGGGCGGAGCGAGACCGCAAAGUCCAUGAAGGAAAAACAUCAAUAUCGAGUGUAAUUUUCAAGUAAAUUGAUAGGUUUAUUCUGGACACAAUCUUAGGCAAUAAACGAUGGAAACAAUACCAUCCUUUCAUGCAACUUUGGCCUCGAAACGAGUAACACGUUUGUAGCUUUCUAUUUCGGUUAUAAUUCGAGUUUCAGUGCUUUUAUUUAUUUUUGCCCCGGUUGAUUCUUCGCCGUUUAAACCAUUUUGUAUCUUUACAAAUUAUUUCUCAUAUUUUAUUAAAUUCACAUAUUUAAAAAAAAAAGAACAUUAUAAUACAUAAAAAGAAAACUUCAUUUUAGUCUAGAAUUUGUUUAAAAAUUCGAGUGUAAUCUUGGAUACCCUCAAAUUUUUAGUAUCUACUUGACCAAAGUGAAAAUAAAAAUUAUCACAGUUCAUUGCAUUUCGCUACCUUUUUGUGUGUGGAACGGCUUAAAUCGUGAGAAACAACCUUAUUUUUGAAAAAAAUAAUGAUUGCCUAUAACAUAAUUAAGCACCACGAAUAUCCUUAAUUAGCACUUAUCAACACUAAUCGCAAGGCUUAGAAUUUCACGAGACAGACAGGGGUUGUCAGUGUCUUUUCAAAACACUCGAACAUGUCUUUAUUUGUUGUUUGGUUUCUUUUUAAUUAGCACUAAUCACUGUCACCGUCCCCGUUAAUUUUUAAAAAAAUUCUUUAAAAUAGCUAUUUUUAAGUUUUUGUUAUAAAAUUAGUCUUCAAUGAAGAAAAUGACCAAAAUAAAUUUAUUAAAUGAUAAAAAUGUAUUUUUACCUUAUGUUUAACUAAUUUAGAUUUAGGAUUUAGGGUUAAAAAGUGGAACUUUAGGGAUAUAGUUAUAAAUUUAAAAAAAUAAAAAAUAAAUAUUAAAAAUUUUAAAUUAAAAAAAAAAAUAUUUUUAUCAUUUUUUUUAAUAUUAUUUUUUGACAAAAACUUAAAAAUUACUAUUUGAGAGAAUUGCUCUAAUUUUUAUUUGUCAAUUUGUUUUGCUCCAUUAAGGCUGAGGGGCCCAUUUUAUUAUUGGAAAAACAACCUGAUUAUCAUUUAGCUUCACAGUCUUGUCUCUUGACAUGAUCUAAUGCUCUUACGAGGUUACAAAGAAAAUCUUUGCUAAUGUGUUUUGUUUAAUGUUGUCUUGCCUGAAUAAACAAAGAAAUUUUUUUAUAACUUGACUUAAUGUGUCUGAUCUACUUUUCACAUGAAUUAAAUAUUUUAGAAUGAUGAUAAAAACAUAAAAUGUUUGCAGAUACAACUAAAAAUAAUAGUGAACUCUCUAUUAGUCGAGGUCAAAAAUAGCAUACACAUACUCCCAGAGCCGUGCCUCCAUUGGCCAAAAAUAAUUUGGCUCAGGACAUGAUUUUUUCAAAAACACUUAAUAACAUACGUUUAAUUAAUUACUAAUCUUAAGUAAGCUUAAUAUAGGCUUCGAAUUUAUAAUAAUAUAUAUUUAUAUUUAACUAGACAAAUUAUAUAGUAUUAUAUAUUUAUAUGGGCUUAACUUUAAACCUUCAGAAGACAAAUUAUGUUUUAGAAUUAUUAUUAGUAGACAAAAGUUUAAUAUAUUUAAAUUUAAGUAGACAAAUUAUAUAGGGAUGGACUUAAGUAGACAAAUUUUGUUUUCUAAUUUUUAUUCAGUGUUUUUUAAAUGACUGAUUUUAUAAAACGUAUUUUUAGUGAACGAGAAAAUUUGUUUUAUCGCUUACAUAUGGUAUUAGUGUUCGUACGGCUCUGCAUACUCCUCUUUUUGGUCACGGUAAAUAGUUGUAGAUUAGAAAUAGUUUCGGUUUCAUUUUUCAUUAGUGCUCGCACGGUUCUGCAUACCUACGUUCGCUACCAGAUCAGUAGCAAACCUAGGUAUAGGAGAGUGGGUGCAUUUACCCCAUAAUAAUUUUAAAUUUAUUAUAUUUCAUACAAAUUCGAUGUUUACACCUAUAAUCACAUGUAAGUUUACACAUAUUCUAGUAUUUGUGCAUCCACUAAAAAGUCUUUAGAUUCACCCCUGUACCAGACUACUUAUAUACGAUAUCAUGUACUUUCGUAGUUGUGUAAUAGCAUGUUGAAAACUUUUGAAUUCGUUGGUCGCAUCGCAGCCAACCGGACCAUGUUAGUUAAGAUUACCAAUUAAGCUUUUUCCUUAUUAAUAUAGCUAAUCUCAUGUUUUGAUAUUCACUAUUUUUUACAAAAACUACCACUCUUAACAUAUACGAAAAUGUAAUUUUUUGUUACUUUAUUGAUACAUUACAGCUCCUUUUUAUAAAUAAUAAGCUUAGUAGAGACAAAACUGAAAUUUAAUUUGAAAUUACGUGUUAGAACUACAAAACAAUAGUUGGGAAAAAAGAACUACAAAACAAUAUUAUUUGUAAACACCAGAAUAAAAUCUUAAAAUGACAUUUUUAGAAAACGAAUAGAAUUUUGAUUAAAAAUAUGUGUGUUUUAUUAGUUAAAUAGCAUAUAAUAAAAAUCUAUUCUAUUAAAACAGCAGUGUGACCUAUUGAUAAAAGUACUGUCCAACAAUUAUUCACUCAUAACCUACUUUAAAAAAAUAAACCAACUCUUUUAUAACCACAUCAAAACAUAUUUCGUAUAUUGCAACCUCUUCUUUCUUUCCUAUUUUCAUGGAACCCAUGACUCCCUCUUUUUUUGGACAAUAAGAACCGUAACUCCAUCUAAACAUCUUAUGUGAACUUAUAAUUUAUGUAUUUCAUUUUAAAAUUGUUUUGUUUAAUUAAUCAAUGAAGAUGAUGUAAAAAUUAUAUUUUAUUCUCAGUGUAGAGAUUUUGGACGGGGAUGGUUCGUCGUGACUUUUUUCUACUCAGUCAAAAACACAUAAUGUUGAAUUUUUUUUGUAUAGUGUUAGUUUGUGUAAAAUCCUACUUAUUCUUAAUUGUUUGUGGUUUUUUGUUUAUAAAUUUAAGAACUAUGAAGAAAAAAUGAUGAAACAAACUAAAAAGAAGAAAGAAAGAGCGGCUAAAUAAAGUUUACAUGGAGAGAGAGAAAGAAGAAGACUUUUUAAUGCUUUGACUUUUAUAAUUUCUUAUUGGAAAAUACGAACAUCAUAAUGAAAAAGAGAUAUACAUCGACCUAAGUAGGACGAAAUUUUGGUUGUUUAGCGAAUUCCAGUAUUUCAUUAAAUAAUGAACAGCUUUUCAGUGGCUCAUUUAAUCAAUACAUUUUACAUUGAAACCAAAUAAUAUAAAUCCACUUUGCAAGUCCAGUAAAAUUAAAAUUAUUUUUUAUUAUAUAAUCAAAAAUCCAAACAAUAAAUGUACAGAUGUAAUAAAGUACAAAAUAUGAAAACUUUCAAUUUAUAGAAAUAAAAGUAUUUAAAAAAAAAUAAAAUAGGUUUUCAAAACUAAAAAAUACGCAUUUUGAUUAUAAGAGAAUAUGGAUUGAUGUAAAGAAUAAAAUUGCUUAAUAAUUACACAAGAAUUUGGCAUAAUAAUUAAUUUAAUUUAUGAAACAGUUUUUUAAAAAAUUUAAAUGCUAAAAAAGAAAUUAAUACACUUACAAUAAAAGUAUAAAAUUAAUAUACUUACAAUGUAUAUAUGUAUAUAUAUAUGUAACAGAAUAUAUUAAAAUUAUUUUUUCACAUUUUUCAAAAACAUUGUUCGUUCUCCGGGGCAGGUAGUGGCAGGUUGGAUUUAAUAUUGGUUUUCGAAUAUAACACUUUAAGAAUUGUUUGGGUAUAUAGUUUAGGUCUAAUAGAAUACGAGACUUGAUUUUCCUGUCGAUUCCAAAAUUGGUUUAAAAUAUGUAUGUUUUGUUAGUUAAAUAGCAAAUAAUAAAAAUAGUCUGUUUCGAACCUCCCCGACGUUUUUUUCUUUAUAAAAAAAAGGCUAAAUAAUUAUCUCAUACGUUUGAAAAGGAACUAGUUAAUUAUCGAUCUUUUUAUGACUACAAAAUUGUUAUGGUAUUUGUAAUUUAAAAGAGGCUAUCGUAUUUUGUUUCCAUAUUAACAAAACAACAUAAAAGUAGGUUGAGCUGUACGGAGUCUUAAUAAAUUUAAACUCUUUAAAACUCAUACUUUAACAAAAGUUGGAUGCUCAUGAGUCAUGAAGUACGAUCUUUAGACCAAAUUGUCUUCCAUUAUAACAUAAAGAUAUGGUUUAAGUGAUCUUUACAUAUAAUCGUUACAAGUUGUGCAGAAUCCUUGGCUAAAGAAAUGUUCUUUUCAUUUGUUUUUUGUUUUUAAUUUCCUUUAGCACAAAAGAGGGUUCAAUGUGUUCUAAUUAAAGAAAACAUCCUUAAAAGAGAAAAAUGUUUCAUUUAAGGUAUCUUCCUUUUUUGAAAAAUCUCCUGAAAAAUAUUUCACAAUUAUCUUAUCGCAAUUUGUAGAUCUGGUCGUUUUAUUAUAUCCAUCCAUUGUAAUCAUUUCUUGGGGAUGAUCCUGUGCAUGCUCCCUUUAGAUUAUAAUGAAAAUUUAUGUAAUCAAUUUAAACAUAGUGCUUCUACGAUGUAUAAUAUAUAUAUAUAUGCACGUAUCUCUGUAUUUUCUUAAAAUAUGAUAGCAAAAUGUAAAUCAACCUAGUGGUACCAAUGGUUUUAUAGGGUUUAGGGAUCAAUCCACCAUUUUCGCACCACAAAUAUCUUAACUGAUAGAAAUUUGGGAUUUCAAUAAAUCUCGGAGUUUAGUCUUUACUUCGAUCUACAAAUGAUUAGAUUAUGUAUGUAUCAAGAGACCAAACGGCAAAAACUUACUAAUUGUGAUUACAUCGACAAAUAUAUUUUUUAUUUUUAAAGUUUAUCUCAUUUUUAUUGCCCAGUUAUUUUAUUAUAGAUAUGGCCCAAACUAUGUAUAACACUAAAUGUUGUAUUAUAUGAUCAUUUACAAAUUUUGGUUAAGUAAAUGAUGUACACUACUUAUAUUGUGUUAUGUGUAAAAGGUUUAGGAUAUGGCAAAAAACUGAUUUUCUUCCUAUGUCUGAUUUUUAGUGAGAACUUAUUUAUAUCUAAUUAAUAAGUUGAAAUAGUAUAAUUCGUUAGACAUAUUAUAAGUUUGGUGAAUGGAUAUUCAACAGUGACGUGUAUCUUAAAAGAUUAAUCAAAUGCUAAAAAUUUGGAUCAAGGUAAUCCAUAAAAUAUUGUUGGCUCAUUAUUACAGUUUCUGUAAAUUAAAGUAUAUAAAUGCAAGUUUUAAAACCACUGAAGAUGUUGACCUAAAUCCAAAUAAUUUCACGGGACAAGCACAUUGGUUAUUCAGAACAUCCUAAAUAGUAAAUACCGACAAUAAUUGAAAUUGCUCUAAAGUCAAUAAUUUAUAUCUCAAGCUACAUAUAGUUGAUUCUUAAGGCACUAUAACAGCAUAAACUGGUUAUAUAUAUAUAUUGACACCAACAAAUAUUUGCUUGCAUUUCUAAAAUAAGAAAUAUCUCUUAUUCAUGUAUUUCCCUAGCUACAUCUCUAGUUGGCUAGUUGCACAUAUAUUUACUUUAAACUAAUAAUAGGACUCUGAAAUAAACUUGCAACAAAAGGUGCCUGUUAAAAUUUACAUUUUUUUAAAGUAAAAAAUACAUUUUCCAUGUAAUUUACAUUUUUAACCAAAACAAAAAGAAAUGUAACUAACAUAUGUAAAUAGUUAUAAAUAGGUUCUGAAUGGAAAAGCGGAUCAGGCGUUGGAUCUAACGGAUCAAACGGAUCGAACAAAACAAGAGUGGAUCUAGCGGAUCUAGCGGUUCAAGUGUGUAUCAAGUGAAUAUAGUUGUUCAAAUUACUGUACAAAUUUAAAACAACUUACAUAAAACUUUAUAAUACUAUUUAUUUUCAUAAUUAAACAGAGUUAUUAUAAAAAAUACUUUAUAAAAGAAAAAUAAUUUCAAUAAGUAUAAAUAUUUUUCAAAGUAUAAUUAAAAAAAUUAAACAUAUAUAUAUAUAUAUAACUAUUUUGAGCUUUAAAAAAAAAUAUAUAUAUAUAUAUAUCUACUUUUGUGUGCUUUAAAAUAAUUAUAAGUAAACAGUUUUAAAAUAUAUUUUUUCUGAAAUAAAAUUACACAUUGUCAAGAAAAUAAAGUUUAAUAUCAACUAAUAAGAUAUAUAUAGUAUAUAUAUAUAGCCAAUAUAAUUAGGAGUGGACAUUCGAGUAUCCGUUCGGAUAUCAGUUUGGAUAUUCAUUCAGGUCUACUCAUGUUUGAGGACUAAAGAUUUGAGUUUUUUCCAGAUAUUUAUAAAUCGGUUUGGGUUCAGUUAUGUUUAUUGUGAGUUCGGUUGGGUUCGGAUACCUAUAUAAAUUAUGUAAAAGUUUCAAAAAUUCAUUAAUUUUUUUAAGGUUUUCAAAAUCUUAAAAUAAAUAGGUUAACGAACUCAGCCAAUAACUGAUUUUUGAAUCCGCCAACUUGAAUUAUAUUCGUAAUUAAAAAACAAAAAUUUUGGUAUGGUCGAUUCAGUUACAUUUAAAAAUUAGAAAAUAAAAGAUAUUAAUUACAGAGUAAUUAUUUUAGUUACUGCACACAAAAUAAAUAAAAUUUUAAUUGAAUUUUAGUUUUUAGUUGAAUUUAUAGUAUACAUUAAUUUAUAAUUGAAUUUAAAAUAACUAAAGUAUAAUACAAGAGCCAUUUAAAACACUCCAUAUUGCAAGCACACUUUUGAUCCACCUGUGGUUCUUCACUUUUCUUCGGCUCCGAAUGGAAAAAGCGGAUCAAGCGUUGCGGAUCUAGCGGAUCAAGCGAAUCGAGUGGAACAAGAGUGGAUCUAGCAGAUCUAGCGGUACAAGUGUGGUUCAAGCGGAUCUAGCGGUCUAAAAUAUAUGUUUGAAUGGUGAAAGUGGAUAAGAAGCAGUCUAAAAUACUGUACAAAUUAAAAAAAAUAUAUAAAAUGUUGUAUUAUUUAUUAUUUUCAUAGUGAAAAGUAUUUUUAAUAAUUUAUUAAUUUAAUAAAUAUACAUUCCUAUUCAUAUUAUAAUAAUUUAUGUAAGUAUAUUUAUAAAUUUUAUUAAAUUUAAAACUCAUUAAUUUUUUUAAUUAUUUUUGUCAUAGAAAUAAUUCAUUUAUUAUUUAAUCAUAUCAUUUAGUUUUUAUGUACAUUAUAUAAUAUUAUUUUUUUGUAAAUUAAAAUAAUAUAAUAUAUAAAGAAAACCACUUGUACCACUCCAAAUAUGAAAAAUGUUUAUUAGUGGUUCUUACUAAAUCAUAAAAAUAUUUAAUAAGACUAUCUCCAAUAGUUCACUUUAUUUUUUUCAAAAUAAUGUAACUCUAUGAUAGAGUUGAAUUAUAUUACAGUGGUAUUAUAUUUUAGAAUAAAAAGUAAAGUGAUUAACAAAAAAUAUUAUAGCAUUUUGCAAAUAUUAAAUUAUUAUAGAUGUAAAAAUAAAAUAGUGAAUAUAUAUCUAGAACAAUAUAAUUUGUAAAUACUGAAUAAAUUAUAAAAUAUUUUGUUUGUUUAGUUUUAUUAAUUCAAAUAGUAAUAAAAAGUAAAUUGUGGAUAUAUGAUAGUUUGAAUUAAAAAAGAUGCAACAUUAACAAAUCAUGAUAUUUCAAAUUUAUUUUUAAAAAGUUUAGACUGCUUGUUACACUCCCUUUGUCUUGUAAAAACAGUCCUCCACUUUUUUUGGCUAAAAGAUAAAAAAAAAAAAUCUGAUACACUAGUGUAUCUUCCACAAAUGUAAUGUGUUUAGAAAUUUUUGCUGAAUGGGAUGAAAAAGUGGAGGUUUCACUUGAAGUGUAUGGCACACCAUUUGCUCCGUCUCUCAUUCAUUGCCUUCAUAUUAAAGGACUGGCUUACUGUUUAUGGUAUUUCCUCCGUUAAGUGUAACUAGAUAAAUAAUUUUGUUGAAUGGAAGAUUAUGAUGUAGAUCCUCCAUUAGGUGUGAGAACUGUUUAAUAUAUGCUUCCCAUUCUUAGAGAUAAUAUGAACCAAUAUAAUCACUGAUUCACUAUGAAUUACUUCUAAAUAAAAAUAUCAUCAAAUUUUAAUAAGUAUAUCAACGGGAAAAAGGUAUACGUCCAGUGGCGGACGCAAAGCCAAAGGCAUGGGGUCAUGUGCCCCCAUCCCUUUUUUUUUCUAUAAUAAUUAGUAUGACAUAAAGAGUGCCCUAAUUAGAGCAUUGGAUAUAGUGUAUAUUUUCAUGUGUCCCAUCUGCAUAUAAUCCUGGAUACGUCCCUGUAUACGUCUGACCAAUUUUCUAUAGAUGUGAAUGGAUAUGGUGUGGACGGGAUAGGUAAGGGAUGACGGAAUGAUAUCAAAGUAUGAAAAUUUUGAUAUUACUUCAUCCGUCUUGUAUCCAUCCCAUAUUUCUUCACAAAUUCUCUUUUCGUUUCGAAACUUAUUUCAAUGGUUUCAUCUAUGUGGUGUUGUUAUUUUGGCCAUCUCUGCUACUCGAUUUCAAUCAUUUUGUUUUUUAUUCAGGUAGCUUCGAGCCUCUAUUCGAUUUUGUUUUCCAAAAACUUUAGCCAGAAAGAUAAUGAUUAAUAAAGUUAAGUAGAUUGAAAUAAUAGUGGAAGAUAUAUUAUACAUACAUGAUAUCAAAAGAGAUGGGACGGGGAAAUCUUAAGCGAUGAAUGGUGGGUCUCCCAAAUCUUACACUUGACGUGUUGCUUUUUAUUUUUAUUUUCCCACAAACCACUCUCCUUUGGCACAGAUAAUUCAUAACUGUGCAGUAAAUCAUAUGCAUAACCGCAGCACUACCAAAAUAUUUUUAUUUUAUUUUACGAAUCAUACCGUGUAGUUUGCAGUUCCCAAAUGCGCCAUACUAAAUCAUUGAAUGAUAUUUUUCAUAUAUAUGGUUCGAAUGAUUAACACGAACAACAACUGUGAUUCUACUAGUAACAAAAACAUAUAAAUAAAUGUUGAGAUUUUUAUUAAUAUUAAUUGGAUAUGGUACGGUGCAGUUUGCAAACAUUCGGACCCAUAAUAUAUACGUGAAAUGCAUCUAUAAUUAAAUGAUCGGAUCUUCAAAUAUUUAUGGUCAUCAUGAUUAGGGCGCUUAUACUUUCAUAGUUUCAUUAAAUUAUCUUUAACUUACACCGAUAUAUGCUACUUCUAAGUUCUUCCUAGUAUGAUAUUUUAGUAUACCACUUCGGUACCAAACGGGUACAAGUAGAUAUGACAAUGCGGUCGACUUAUAACAAAGACGAUUUGUAUUGUCAGAACUGUACGAAAUAAACAGUCACAUUAAACUGUUGAAAAUGAACUAAUAUAUGACGCACAAAAGUUUUUUUAGAAGUUGUUUCUAAUGAGUAAAAUUCAAGAAAUUUCAUAUCUCGACAAUAAUAGGUUACAAUAGAAGUGCAAACUCAAUACUCCCUCAGUUUCAGUUUAAUUAUCGUUUUAUAGUAAAAUUUUCGUUUCAAAAUAAGUGUUGUUUUAGAAUUUCAGUACAAAAUUUAUUAAUAAGAUUUUCCACUUAAUUUUUCUAUUGGUUGAAAUAUGGUUAUGUGCAUAUGUAAUAAUGUUUUUGUUUUAGAAAUAUGCAAAAUUAAAUAUUUCUUAAUCUCGAUGGAUAAACCUAAAACGGCAAUUAAAAUGUUACGGAAGGAGUAGUAACUAAACUUCUUUUUUAACAACAUGAGAUUUUGAAUGCAGUUAAAAUUCACUGAACCCAUAAAACAAGGUUUAAUAAAACUUAAAUGAAUUUAUAAAUAAAAUAAAACUAUAAUUUGAAGACCUUAAAAAUUCUUACAACUAGACACAAUACAACCGAUGUAAUGUCCAUAUAUAUAGGCACAUAAUUGCUAGUUUGGAUUUCAAAAUCUAAUUAGAGUAUGUAUCUGUUGACAAAAAAAAAAUCUUACAAGUCAUCUUCUCAAUCAUUUUUCAACCAUUUCAUAGAUUUUGCUUUGAAUAAAGUAUAGAAAAAUAUGUUGUCAUGAAGCUACCACCUCCAGUAUAUAUAUAUAUAUAUAUAUAUAUAUAUAUAUUUGCAGUAUGGAGGUGGUAGCUUCAUGACAACAUAUUUUUCUAUACUUUAUUCAAAGCAAAAUCUAUGAAAUGGUUGACAUGACCAUCAUUCAAAAGCUUAUUGUAGUUAUUAAAUAUGUGUUAUAAAUGGUGUGCUAAUUGAUUUAUGAUGAACCGUGUUACAAUAUAGUUCAUCUUCUUUUACCAUGCUAAUUAUUCUUCAUAUAUAAUUAGAAGUAAUCCGAAUUAUUAGCUGCGACUAAUAUUUUCAGAGGAGUUUACUAAUGGAAUUGCCUACUCGCAAGAUUUUCUACCAUAUUUAAAGAAGAUACUAUUUCGAGUGAACAAAUAAAAAUUGUUAGAUAAUUUUACAUACGAAGAGAAUCGAUGUCUAUCUUUUUUUUUAUAAGAAAAUACAUUUCAUUCAAUUAAUUGUAUACAUUACAUAUCAUCCCUCGGGACUACAGCUUUGACCUCCGAUCAACAAGAUCAUGAUCCAAAGACAAAUAAUAUGGAGAUUCGAUCUCUGACUUAUACCAACAUGGCAACUCUUCCUAAAAUACAGAUUAUUAAACAACUAUCACUUACCAUGCUAACUAAAUUAAUUUAUGAUAUCAAACCUUAACAAUAUUUAUCAUUCAAAACAUUUCAUAUACCGAGUGAUGAAGAGUAUAAAAGAGUACAUCAAAAGGUUUUGAUUCCAAACUUCCAAUAGUAAUACUUUGUUAUACGUGUAAAUAGCAUAGCUGCAUAUGACUGCAUUUAAUGUGUUGUUUGGAUUGAGUUCUUGGUUAUAUAAAAAGUGUGUUGGCUUAUGAAAAUGUAAAUUUGACCAUUAGUCCAUGACGUUGACUCGAAUGACAGAUUUGCCAGAGAAGUCGGUGUUUUAAAUAGAUUGUUUUUUCUGGCAUCAAAUAAUUAUUUAAACGUCAGAUACAAAAUAAUUUUGUCUAGACACUUAUAUUUCGUUAAUUUUUAUUUUUAUUCUUAUUCUUAUUCAUGAAAUCCAAAGAAGAGUUAACUUCCACUCGACAAGACAGGUUUCCCGUGCAGUGCCCAUAGACUUGAAAUAAAAAUAAUUCUAUCUGUUUCAUAAAAAAUAGAGAAUUUGUAUUCCCUACCCACAACAUAUACCCUAUUUGCACUCUAUACCCUAUUUCCCCCCAAUUUUUUUCCCCCCAUCAUCACCAUUUUCCCUCAACUCUAUGGUAUCUCACUUCUUUUUGGAUAUUGAGCUAAUUUACUCUAAAAAAUAUCAUUCUAACUUUUUAAUGUAUUUUUAAAAAAUUUCCAUUCUACCUUUUAAUGUAAAUUUUCAUAAUAAUUAUCUUUCUUACUUUUUUAAUUAACCAAUAUAUAUUUACUUAAAUUAUUUUCAUUUAGUAAUUGUAUAAUAAAUAAGAAUACUAGUAUAUUUUAUUAUUUUUAAUAUGUUUAAAAUAUGUCUAAAUGACACUUACUAUAAAAUGAAAGAAAUACUACAUUUUUAGAGUUAUACUAGAAUUUCACCAAUCAGACAAUUUUAAUUAGUAAGGAAACUUUAAAAUUUUAAUAUAUUAUACUAAAGAGACUGCGUUGUUAAUCAAGUGGUGGUAGUUUAGUGGUAAUCUCUUGGAGGGUUGGUGUGUAUCUACGUCAGUUUUGGGUUCGAUUCUACAAAGAAACUACUAUUUGGUCAGUCUUGACUUGAAUUUCGGUCCAAAUAAUUUACAUGGUGGAUUGUAACAGACGAUCGAUUCACCCCUUAGUAAUAGUCGGAAGAUAUUCAAACGCAGAUCGAACAGUAUUGUAUGCUUUUGGACUAGCUCAUUUUGUAGCACUACCGGAUUGCCAAUAGAAUUUAUAAAAAGAAAAGAAAAAAAAAAGAGAUUGCGUCGUUAAACUGACCUAGUAAUGUGUCGGAGAGGAAUUUAAUCGAAAUUAUUAUUGGUAAUGGUAUGCUCCAGGAUUAUAAAUAUGCGAUAUUAAGACCAAACAUUUGGAUAAGUCAUACGCCAAAUUUGCACGAGACAGAAACACUUGGAGUUUUGUAAACCAAGUUUAAGAAUGAUGGGAUGCUGAUAGAAAGGUAUCUCAUUAUCUAAAAUGAUCCAACAUAUUAAAAAGAAAAAAUUAAAUUAAUAUACAGGCUUUUCCUAAGAAUUAUGUAAACCAUGUCUAAGAAUGAUGUGAUGCUGAUAGAACAUGUAUCUCUUUUUUUUUUUUGGAUCAAUAUCUCUUUUUCUCAAAUGAUCCAACUAAUUAAAAAGGAAUAAAUGAAAACUAAUUUAAUACCCCAUAUUUUCUAGUAAAUAAUAAAAUCUAUAGUUUUGGAGGGAGAAAAGAAAGAAACAAUAGACCGCAUGUGAGAUGGGCCAGACAAUCUGAACCAACUGGCAGUUUUUCGAGAGACAUGCAUGAAUGCCUUUCUCUCUUUUCUUACUCAAGUUUAUAUGCUUUUUUUUUAAUUGCGCAUCUACUAUUUACUUCUUUUUUUCUCUUCUGUGCUAAAUACUAUUUAUUUUGUAGAUUGAUUUUGUUAUCUUUAUAUCAUUUCUUCGUACAUACGUUCUUAUCUCUUUUUUCUUUUUAUAUCAUACACGAUUUGUUCUGUUGAUACUGUUUCUCAGGAUAGAUGCACAAGUCGCUUGUAAUUCUCGUAAUUCUUAAUUUAGAUAUUAAUUAUUAGAAAAAUCAAAAUAAUACAAAAUCCAACUUAUGGAAAAUAAAAAAUAAAAUAAAAUUGUCGUUAUAAAAAAAAUGUUAAACAACCCUUUGUAGAUCUGUGUUGGAUAAAAUGUCGAUGUCGAGGUAUAUCGCCACAAACUUCUACGAUUAAAAAAAAAGAAAAGAAUGACUUUCCCGCCACUGCACUGUCACCAUGGUGGAGUAUCCGUCUGUCUGAUUAAAAUCCGAUGGCCACACCAUUAACUACUGAAAAAGCCAUCUCAUAUAUCUGAGAAUCGAAAGCUGUACCAGGUUCUAAAAGGCACCAUACACCACCGUCAAGCUAUCACCAUUUUUAUACGGAUCUACAUUGGAGUUAAAAACCACUAGAUAACUGGUGAAUUCUCCAUACCGAUUAGAGAAAGAUGUCCUUCAAACCACUUCAAAAUCUAUGACGGGUCUUUCCACCGUUCUCUAGCAGAGACGAAUGUGAUAAUCCAAAUACUCCUUCAACGAGAGAUCUAAGAUCAUGCACUAUCUCUUCCACCAAAUAUUGCAUCAUCACUCCUGAAGAACAUAAGUAAACUUUUCCUUUUGCUGAAAUAUUGUUAUUAUUAAUUAAAUUUGACAAAAAAAGAAAAAUUGGAAAGGAAAUUCUUGCCUGAUACCAACAUGCGUUAGAAAUUUUGAGAGAAAAAAUUGUACGCAUGUGAAACCAACGUGCGUCGAUCUUAUUUAAUAUGUUGAUUAACGAUAAGUAUUUUCGUGUAGUUCUUGUAAAAAUUGAUUCUGAAUUUCAAGUAAAAACGAAAUAACUUGAAUACUUUUCCGGUAUAGUGAUAUGUGGUGUUUUUAAUACCAAUACAUGUGCACUUUGAGCUCAUUUUCAGUCUAAAUUCGUGUUUAAUUUACAUCAUUCUAGGUUGGGAACAGGUGAAAGAGUAAAGGAGAGAGUUUCAGGAAGUCUGAUGCUGUUUCGAAGGAUUCAACGUGGAACAGUCAUUUAGAACAACCCAAGGGUUGCUCCCAAAGAGAUCAAGCAUUAGACUGCUCCCGCUCAUUAAGGAAACUUCCUAUUCUGGAGUUUGCCCUAGUUUCGACUUUCUCUUUCUCUUAUUCUCCUAUCACCAGCGCCUCCCUAUAAAAGGGGAGGCUAUCGUUUUCUUAAAGGACACACGAGUUUUACAAGAAACCUAGAUUACUCUUUUGGAUUUUACGCAACUUGUAAGGGAGAAGGCUCCAUCUCUCAUUCUCACGAGAAGAUUACCCUGAACCCUUUGUCUUUUUACUUAUUUUAUAUGCAGUAUUAUUCAGGAAUCUUGCUUGUGUCAUCCUGCUUUAUGAUUGAGUAGUAGGCAAAGCUUGCUUAGGGUUGUAGGGUGUUAGCCGCAUGAACUGAACACAAAUAAGUGAUCUCAACUAUCUUCAUUCAUAUUGAUCUUACUGCCUGUAUUGAACUGAUCACUUAAUGUUGGAUCUAUGAUUUAAUCCUCUAGCUAACCGUUAGAAGAUAAGUCGACCUAUAUUGAAUGAGCUUAGUAUCUCUAAUCAGCGAGAGUAGAUAUUAGGGUAUUAAGUGAACUAAUCAGAUCUCGCAUCUAAAGCUUGCUUUCGCGUCUUGUUCCAAGCGAGAGCAUAGGAUUCAAGACCGACUCGCAUAGGGAAUAAGAUCACGAUAGUGAGUUGUUCCAGCUGAGUGAUCUGAGUUCUAGAUCGCAUUUCAUCGCACUUGAAUAGUUGUUCAGUUCUGCAAGUAACAUCCGAUUAUUGACCCUAAGUCAGCUUCAUUUAAAAUGAAUUCAAAUUACCUAGGCAUUCUUGUUACUUUUGUCGCAAUUAAUUCUCAAAACCCACUUGUUUCUCAGCUUGACAUUGAACUCAUAAGAGUAAAGAGUAAACUGGUCCUCUGGAUUGAAUCUCAAAUAUUACAAUUACCACUGUUAACUUGACAGUAGCAAGGAUUCAUUUUUAGUGUAUCAUAUAGCGGCUAUGAAUAUCUCCAACUUACAUCUAUUUUUUCUGUUACGGCAUUUAGGGACAUAACUAUUUCAUCUCACCUCUAUUUUUUCUUCUGAAAUAGAGAUCAUUAUGUUUAUCUUCGUCUCUUAGACAUUAUUUGCAAAGUAAUUUUGACACAUGUCCUCUUUACAAUAAUUUUCACUAAAUAAAUAUGACAUGGCAUACUAGAAUUGAUGACAUGGUAUACUAGAAUUGAUGACAUGAUUUAUGGUUAAAUGUGAGGGCUUUUUGCAAAAUUGACCUACAACUUAAAGUCAAACACAAAACUAACCUCUUUUUUUUUUGAAAAUUGGUUUUGCCCUAUUCACCCCACAAGUUCAUAUGAUUUACGAAAAUGCCAUCAAUUUUUUUUUUUUCGAAAAUGACAUCUUUACUCUCUCACCCUCAUCAUUUUCAAGUAAUUACAAGAAUGCCAUUGUCAUCAAUACCACAACCACCAUGAACAACCAAUUUGAAGCUCUUAAUGCUUCCAAAAUUGAUUUACCCUUCUUCUUUUUCCAUUCUUGUGAACUAAAUACAACAUAUCUCUCACUUUCUCUCCACAAUGAGCUAAAAAAAACCAAGAUUUUGAUUCUAAAAUUUUAAUGGUUCAUAGAGUCAUAGAAGCUAACGAUUCUGGGUGGGUGACUUUCGUUUGUGAUUCUGUGUGCUUGGAGAAGCCUUAUGUAUGCUAAGGAACUUAUCUCACCAAUUUAAGGUAUGACAUCGAGUUUUUUUCCAGAUCUGUUUGUCAGACGACUUACUUGGGAAGUCGUCUGGCUGUAGACGACUUACUUGGAAGUCGUCUGGCUGUAGACGACUUACCUAGAAGUUGUCUGGUCAACGCAGAGGUUAUUUUUGCAAUUGACUUUGAAAUUUGUAACCUGAGACGACUGAAAGUUAAGUCGUCUACUAUUGUUUGGUUUCAAAAAAAAUUUCAAAAAACCUAGACGACUUAUAUUUCAGUCGUCAUAGGUUAGUUUUGCAUUUGACUGGAUAAUUUCAGAAGUUUGACUUCCCCAGACGACUUACAUUACAUUUCAGUCGUCUGUCGAAAAUUAAAAUAAUAAUAUUUUUUUAAAAGUAAACGACUUAGAAGUAAGUAGUCAUAGGUUAGUUUUGCAAUUGAAAAAAAAACUUCAAGAUUUAAUUAUACACAGACGACUUAUAAUUCAGUCGUCCACCAGACGACUUACGUGUAAGUCGUCCAGGAUUUUUUUCCGAGAUUCUGGUCAAACCUCGUAAAUCCUGGACGACUUACAUUUCAGUCGUCUCGUGGACGACUGAAUUAUAAGUCGUCUGUAUAUAAUUAAAUCUUGAAGUUUUUUUUUUCAAUUGCAAAACUAACCUAUGACGACUUAACUGUAAGUCGUCUACUUUUAAAAAAAUAUUAUUAUUUUAAUUUUCACUAGACGACUGAAAUGUAAGUCGUCCAGAAAAGUCAAACUUCUGAAAUAAUCCAGUCAAAUGCAAAACUAACCUAUGACGACUGAAAUGUAAGUCGUCUAGCUUUUUUAGAGUUUUUUUUAACCAAACAAUAGUAGACAACUUAUUUUUCAGUCGUCCGAAAUAACAGAUUUCAAAGUCCAUUGCAAAAAUAACCUCUGCGUUGACCAGACGACGUAUAGUUUAGUCGUCUGGACAACUUAGAUUGAAGUCGUCCGCGUCUUCUCCGCUAGUUUUUAAGUCUUCUACGUUAGUUUUUGAAUAACUUGUAUUUUUAAGAGUGAUAAGUAACUUCAAGAUAUGUAAAACUCAUAUUUACAAAAUAUGUUCUCUUCCUUAGUUUUACUAAAUUUGACUAAGUUUUUCAACGCACACUUAUAAAAAAUAUGAUAUGCUUUGACUAGUUACUAUUGUUUGUUUCCAUCUCUUAAGUAUUAUUGUUAUAGACAAUAAUGAUGACUAUUGUUAUGAGUUGGAAGAAGGGUUAAAUGCUUCUUAAAAUGUUGUAUCAAUAUGAAGCUACCAACAUUCUUGUUUAUUAAGAUGAGAAAAAGGCCAUUGGAGUUUAUUAUUGCAUAUGAGAGAUCCAAAGAUAAGAAAAAGGCUACUGAAGUCUAUUAUUUCAUUGAUUUGUAAAUGUGUAAACACAUUGUUAGCACAUUUAAUACAUCUUGGAAAACAUUAUUACUGAUUUUACAAAAAAUUCACAACUAAAAUAAUAGACAUGCAAUUCACAAAACAGACCACAAACAAAACUAUUAUAUAUCAUUCCUCUACAAAGACAAGCUUGGAUUCCACUUGAGUAGACAAGACCAGACGACUUUUAAGAAGUCCAGACGACUUUGUCAGAAGACUUUUAGGAAGUUCAGACGACUUCCAGACGACUUUACAGGAAGUCCAGACGACUUUUAGGAAGUCCAGACGACUUCCAGACGACUUCCAGAUGACUAACAGGUAAGUCGUCCCAGAAGUCUUCCAGAUCUGAAAAACCUGCAUAUUAAAUCCAGAUCUGAAAAACCUGCAUAUUCAAAAACGUUUAAAUGGCUUAAAAACAGAAAAAAUGAGUGGAAGAUUAGAUAAAUCUACCUUUACAGAACACAUAAAAAUACAUAUCUAAAAAUAAUAGAUCUACCUUUAAAUUAGUGGAAGAUGAGUACCAUCUAAUUAAAAACCUGCAAAAAAGAUAGAUUAGUAAGAAAGACAUGAGACAAAACUGAAAAAUUCAUAUAAAGUUUGGUGUUUUCAAGUCAAAAAGAUUAGAGUGGGUUUGGAGAGUUUUAGUUUGGGAAAAAAGUAAGAACUUUAUACAACAAGAAGUUACCAAAUGAAGAAAAAUCAGACAUAAGAACUUACCAAAACGCUCAGAAAAAUCCAGACGACUUCCUGGAAGUCCAGACGACUUUCUGGAAGUCCAGACGACUUUCUGGAAGUCCAGACGACUUUGUCAGAAGACUUCCAAGAAGUCCAGAUGACUUCCAGACGACUUCCAGACGACUAACAGGUAAGUCGUCCCAGAAGUCUUCCAGAUCUGAAAAACCUGCAUAUCAAAUCUAGAUCUGAAAAACCUGCAUAUCCAAAAACGUUCAAAUGACUUAAAAAUAGAGAAAAUGAGUGGAAGAUUAGAUAAAUCAACAUUUAUAGAACACACAAAAAUACAUGUCUAAAAUUAAUAGAUCUACCUUUAAAUUAGUGGAAGAUGAGUACCAUUUGAUUAAAAACCUGCAAAAGAGAUAGAUUAGUAAGAAAUACAUGAGACAAAACUGAAAAAUUCAUAUAAAGUUUGGUGUUUUCAAGUCAAAGAGAUUAGAGAGAGGUUGGAGAGUUUUAGAAUGAUGAACUUUACAUUUUUGUUGCAGCCAUUUGAGAGGAGUAGAGAGAAUGUGUAAAUUUUUCUUUAUAUAGGGAGACAAAAAAUCCAAUUAGGUUAAAUAUUUUUGACUCAGACGACUUUCUGGACGACUUACAUUUCAGUCGUCUGGUGAAGAAAUUAAAACAAACGACUUACAUGUAAGUUGUCCAGAAGAGUUUAAUAUUUUUAGCGGGAAAUUAAAUAUUUUUAGCGGAAAACUAAAAUAGAAGACUUUCCAGACGACUUACAAGUAAGUCGUCUAGUUUAAAUAAUUUAAGCGGGAAAAUAACUUUUUUAAAAAAUUUUAGGCGGGAAUAUUUGGACGACUUACAUGUAAGUCGUCUGUUUUAAUUUCUUCACCAGACGACUGAAAUGUAAGUCGUCCGAGUAAAAUGAUCCGGUUAGGUUAAAACGUACAUUGGUAAAAUUAAAGGUUCGGUACGAUGUGGAGGACUGAAAUAUACGUCGUCCGAGUAAAUUAUUCAACAGACGACUGAAAUAUAAGUCGUCCACACCCUAAACAUAACCCCUAAACUUAAUUAUUUAAUUAAACACUUCAUAAAACCAAAUCAAACUUGAAAAGUGUUUACUAUACACAGAAAUAAACACAUAUUGGUGAAAACUAAUUUUUGAAAAAAACUUUUUAGUUUUCCAAAAUCUAACCCUAACAAUACAUACAAUACUACAACAUAUGUUUGCCAAACUCAUAAACCAAGUAUUUCAUGAUUCACUACUUCCACUCAUCUAUCUUCAAAACAAAUCAAUUUUUUCAUAUCUUAAUUUAUAUCACUUAAAACUGUUUAUAAUUACUUGAUUUUUAUUUUUCACGCAUCAAAAUAUUUUUUUACAAGAUUUAAAAAUUAUUUUUAAAAUAAACUGGUACCAGACGACUUACACUUCAGUCGUCCAGACGACUUCCAACAUCUCAGACGACUCAGACGAUUUACUGAAGCUAUAUUCGUAAAAAUGGCUUCUGUUUUUUUGUUUGGUCACAAGGGGCUGAGCUGUAAUUUCACUAGGCUUUUAGGUUAGUUUUGCAUUUGAUUCAAGUUUGGGUAUAAGUUUGGGAUUAAAAUCAAGUUGUGGGUUAGUUUUGGCAAAAACCUCUAAAUGUGACAUGGACAAUUUCAUUUAAUUUUUAUUUAUAUUUCUCGUAAACCUUUUAGAAUAUGAUAGUAAAUUAUGCAUCACCAACAAAUUAAAUCUACUCAAAUAUGAUAUUAAAUAAUAUGAUAAAAUAUAUAAUAAUAGUAUACCAAUUUCUAAUUAUUAUUUAUUUCUAUUUUUUAUAAUUAUAAUUACUAAAAAAUAGUUUUCAGUAUUUUUACAAUUUAAAAAAAAUAAUCGGAAUAUUAUUAGCUUCUUGUACUUUUUUAUAAUUAUACAAAUUUUAUAUCAACUUUUUAUUAAUUUUAUACAGGCUGAUUUAAUAUAUUUUCUCCAAAAGAAAUAGAUAAAAAUAUAUCUGAGAUUAUAAUUUUAAAUCUAUACAUAUCUGUUUUCAAAUAUAAGUUAAAAUAAAUAAUUUGUUUAUUUUAUUUAAAUUUAUGUUCAAUUAUAUCAAAAUUUAUAUUAAAAUAUUAGAAAGAAAGUAAUAAAAUAUAAAUUAAUUAUAAAAUUUUAUUUUAAAAUAUAAUUUAAAUUUUAAAAAAAAAUUGCUGCACAUUGUGCAGGAAAAUACUUAAUUUAUAGAGAAAUAAAUAACAUUCCUCUAUUUUUAUUCUAUAUUUUGAUAUUGCUAUUUUAUAAAAAUACAUUGAAGCAAAUUACAUUUUUAAUAUAUAAGAAAGAUGGUCUAUUAAAGAAAGUUAGCAAAAAAUAUUAAAGAUGGUCUAUGAGGAGACAUUGUUAUUUUUUUUUAACACAAAGAGAAGACAUUGUUAAUCAAUUGAUGUUGAUGACUUGUUCAGUUCAAACGUUUUAAUGGAAGUAAUGGUAACAACCCAAAAUAAAUUCCAGUUCAAUUGGUGACAGCUUGUCCUGUGGAAGAGUUGUUAAACGGUGAUGUUUUGGGUUCGAAGAACGCCAAACGCACCAACAACCUAACUAUAGGGUCAAUGAAGGCUCAUAAAUAAGAGAUUAGAGUCGAUGCCCUGCAUGAUCAGCCUGGGAUCCAUAGGACGGGUAGUUCCCACGAGACGGAUUGUUAUAGUAAUAUGUUCUACGGAACAAGUGUAAUAUACACGGAUAUAAGAAGUGGAAUAAAGAUUUAAAAUAUAACUUAUAUAAAUAAAACCAGUAAAACUCGAUAAUGUUUUUGUAUUUGAUGUUAAAUCAACCCAUCUCAUUGCCUAUCACCUUAAACUUGUAACGAUUGCAUUAUCAAAUAUCAUCUGAGUGUCCUUCCGAAAAUAUUGUACUAGUGUCCUCAAGUAAAUUCAACUUCGUCCAACAGAAAACAAUAUAACUAUAUUGAUCUGAUUUUGCGAACCUCCAAGACCUCUCUUAUCGUCGAGAGAUGAUGAUAGAUCAUAGAAUUUGGGAACCUUCAAGAGAUGAUGAUAAUGAAUCAUAUAUAGAAAUGAAUCAUAUCACAAAAAAAAAUCUUCAUAAAAAAAUGAAUCAUAUAUAUAGAAGAUAGAAAAACAACUUCGGAUUUAUUAUGACGUAUACAUGUAUAUAUUACACAGUGAAGCACGUGUAUGAUGCGAGUGUGUGUGGGAGCACAAAGGUAAAUGCGUGUAGCUAUGGAACACCGUAAGUACUGUGAAAGCGACCAAUGGAAGUAGCCCUACUGAUAUAUGAAAUGGCAUGUCCUAUCAACUCAUGUAGGUCCUUCUUACGUUUUUGAUCUAACGGCCGUAAUUGGUUCCUUGGUUUCAUAACCUAUCAUCGUACACCGCUCACUUCCGACUCCUACCCUUUUCUGUAUACACUGCCAUCUUUCUUCUUCCUUUCCAUCUCCCUAUGCAUUUAAUAAUAAUAAUAUAGAUGUGUUUAGUAUAUACACUAUGUAUAUAAAUAGUAUUUAUUCUUGUCGACAUUGAAAAUCUUUCCUAUACGAUCCCACUGUAUAUAUCGCCGACAGAAAAAAUUAUGAUAUACAGUAUUUAUACUAAAUACAUAUGCCGGCUGUAGAAAUAGAGGUAUCGCUUUUAAGACUCUUGUGACCAUUUCAAAAGCGCAUAUAUAUAUGUUUUGUGCCCGAGUUUAAAAAAGAAUGUUCAUAGACAAAUUAAUUUUAGUUUCGAUUCCCAUUGCAAGUGUGUGUGACUGAAUACAAAGCAUACGACAUCCUUUCGUAAUUUCUAAAACUCGAUAUCAAUAGAUAUAAAAUAUAUAUGAAACAUUAAUAAGUUUUGUCAUGUUCAGCAGAUGGUUCAUCGACUCACUCUACGAAUAAAAUCUUCAACAAUACAUGUUUAUUAUAGGUUAUCUUAAACAGUUCUGUAUGUACGUGAACGAAAGAACCAAAUGAAAACGAAUUAAACACGUCAGCGGAUAACUGCAGUACAUAUUUGACGCAGAUAGCACACACAAAUAUAAGAGGAGAUACAGGUUGAUACCCGACGCUGUCCCGAAUGCACAAACUAAUAGGUUACAUAUAUAAAACUAGCUAGCCACUAAAUUAACAAACUCAAAUUACUAGUAAUCCUAGAAAUUUGAUUGUAUAUCGUUUGUAACUUUGGAGUGAUCAAAAGAAUAAUAUGUCGGCGAACUAUAUCCAAAAGGACUUCUAAUCAACAAUUAAGACAAUAGGUUUUAUUGAAUAAUAUACCAUAAGCUAUAUAAUCUCGUAUACGAAUUUAUUUUUCCUUCUAUGUUUAUUUUCUCUUAGGACAUAUGAUUUUCGCAAACUGUGAUAUAAAACCACGUAAUGUUUUCUUAAUCCCACAUAGCCGGGAUUUUCUAGCAGCUGAGUCCCAUGUUACUAAAAAAAAUUCAAUAAUGCACCUAUAAUCGAAGCAAAGAAAAAGGAAGAAAAAUCCCAAAAGAAAAGACGACGGUACUAAUCUAUUUUUUUUUUACUAAUCUAUUUUUGUAUAAGUGUACUGAUGUUGUCGUUUCCAACGUUACCCUCGUUAGAUAAUGCACGUGUUUUCUCGCUUACCAGGUUACUAUUAUCAUUUUCCUCUAGAUAUAAGAUUACAAUAUAUAUUUACUGUUUGUGAAAAAAAUUUCCUCAUUAAAAACACUUCGAAAGAUCAACAAAUUUGGUAUGCAGUAAUUUUCGGGUGAAAAGGUUCUUCCAAUUCUAAAAAAAAGGUUCAUUUCUAAUUUUAAUUUGUUAAUCGUUUAUAUAAAACACAGAUAAUAAAAAACGUAAACCACAAACAAACACGUAUUAUUCCUUAUUACAAUUUAUAGCUGAACAAAAACAGAAUCACAAUUUUCCAAAGGAGGAAGUGAAUGUCAGUUCGAAAAUUAUAUAGAGGUGUGUAUAUUGCCCUUUUUACCCUCUCCGAUAUGCAAUUCCAGCUAUAUAUAUCAAUAAAUAAAAUACAGCAGAAUCAGAAAGCCCUAAAAGCGCGUCCUGUCAUUUUUAUCAGGUGAUUUCACUGUCUACCUUGACGUAUUAUCAUUACUCAAUCUAAUAAUGAGGCUAAAGAAUAUACACAAGGGGAAAAAGAGCACUUAGUUAAGAGGAAUAACUAAACGCUAUUCCUGGGAUUAAUAACCGAAGAAUAACAAAAAAAAAUUGUGUAAGCCCAAUCAAAAAGAUAGACUUUUGGUUUAUUACAGCCCAUUAGAUUUUACUCAAGCAAAAAAAUCAUAUUAUAUUUAUACAGAGCCGGCCUUGGAGGGAAGCCAAUGAAGCUGGUGCUUCCGGCCACCAAAUAUUAUCACUCUAACCGGCCACAUCUGGAAAUAAAGUUCUUAGUAGCUCAGUGGUUUGUCUAGUGUUGUUAGUGUUUCAGGUUGCGGGUUCGAAGGACAUCAGCCACAUUUUUUAAUUGGCUUCUAGCCACAUAAUAACUAGGACCGCCUCUGUAUUUAUAGUAAUCAUUCUCGUUGAUGAGUUUAACAAAGUUUCGAUGUGGAAAGUUUACACUUCGUAGAUAUAAAAAUCUUAAAUAUUAUUAAUGCGUAAACAAUUAUAGAGUUUUUUCGUAUAAAUUAUUUCCUUUAAACUCAAGAAUACAUAAUAUUCUAAAUCUUGUUAGACCCCUAAAAUCUUGCUAACCACGAUUUACAUUAUAUUGUAUAUUUUAAAAAUUAUUAAUAAGAAAACAAAUAACAAAAUUUUGAAUAUUAUGUUUUCAAAUGUCCAAAAUAUCGUUAAUAAAUGACACAAUUUUAACUGAAAAGUAAGGAAUUUUAGGGAAAAAAUCUGUGUAACAUGUUUUAAUAGUAUAUAUAACUUUUAACUCUUUCAAUAAUCAUGACAUUUGUGAAAAAAAUCGUAGUUUAUAGAAUUUUUACUGGUAAAUAUAUUGAAAACGUGUGUUAUUAAUAAUCCUUAUUUUCAAUUUGUGAAAUUUUUUUAUUAACAAACUACUUUUCUAAAAUUAUGAUUGACUAUAGUGAAAUGAUUAUUAAUUAAUAUUGCUAUGUAGUUAAUUUGAUAAAAUUAUGUUUACUAGUAAUCAUUUAGAAUUGAAUUAGUCAUUUAGAACUGAAUUCUUAGCUUCGGCUAAGAGACAGUUUUUAGUUUUUCUUAGUAAACCAUCUCUUAAAUAAGAGAUAUAAGAGCACCAUUAACCAAGGGUGCUUGUAGGGUGCUUAGACUUUUUUUAAUUAAAAAAAAGGAAAGAGAAGAAGAAGAAGAAAGAGGAAUGCUUAAUUAGGCAUCAAAAGUACAUGUUGCUUGCACUAUGCGCAGAAUGCUAGGGUUAAUGGUGCCUUUAAGAGUUGUCUUUUAGCCGAAAAAUAUAAAAAAAAAAAACAAAAAAAAUGUCAAAUCAUGAGUUAAAAACCCUAAGAGCAUUUCCAACCCAUUGCUAUUUUCACCUCUAUAAUAGCAUUUAGAGGUGAAAUUGCUCCAACCCAUCUCUAUUUCUUCCUCUAUAAUAGAGAUUUCUAUUUUUUCCUCUAUUUAUAGAGGAAGAAAUAGCAUUCCUCUAUUUUUUACUCUAUAUUUUAGAGAUUGCUAUUUUAGAGGAAUACAUUGAAGCAUAUCUCACUUCUAUUAUAGAGUUCCUCUAUUUUAAAGAUGAAAAUAGCAAAAUAAAUUGGAGAUGGUCUAACUAAGAGACUUGGGUUAAUCAUGCCCUAAAGAACCUAAGAAAGGAACCGCUUCUCGUUCCUUUGGUUGUCGCAUCUGUUAUGUAUCAAAAAGAAAAAAAAAAAACCUAAGAAAGAAAGAAAAACCUAAGAAAACAAAACCGUACAACAUGCAUGAUGAGGUAAACUAACCUGUCUAACACAACUUCUAAAAGGUUAAAUAGUUACUAGAAUCUAUUGCAUACUAGUAUCAUCCUAAAAGUCAAAUACAUCACCGAUGACCAAUAAAAUAAUUUGAAGCUGUACAUUAUGUUGACAAUGAAAUCAUCAUUAAUUAAUGAUUAAUAAUUUAAUAUUGUUAUUAUUUUUAAAAGAAUUUGAAUGGUAAAAGAUAACGAAUGCGACGUUAGUAGCUAGCACAGGAUAUAUCUAAUCUGAUAUAUGGAAUAUGAGUGAUAUGACCAUGAAUGUGUAUAUAAAAUAGUACAGCGGAUUUUAAAUAUCAAUUAUCUACCAUAUGGGUUGGAUGUAUAAUAUUAUAAAAAUGGAAAAUGUACUGAUAUAAAUAGUUUAGUUACAUGGAGGACGCAACGAAGUUUCGAAACUCGGGAGGAGCAGCAAGCAAUACAUAUUAAAGUAGGGCACGAGUCCCCAACGGUAAUAAAAACAUAAAUCAGGGGUAAAAUAGUAAAUGAAUCGUGUACUUUUUGGAAGAACAAGUUGCUUUAAAAAUGUUAAGCGAAAAUAAAAAGACCCGCUACGUUCGGGUUCGGGUCAAAACAGCCAUUGUCGUUCUUUUAUUUCCUUUCGUUCCGAUUCAAAUAAGAGAGAGAGAAGUAAGUUUCGAGCAGAGAAUAACAAUAAUAGUAUUAGCAGAAGCUCAGCUCCGCCACCGCCACCGGAGAAAUCAUUCUCAGUUCCAAACAAACAAAUAAAAAAAAACCCGUCUGUAUCUUUCUUUCUUGGGUAGACAUGUUGUGCAACAGUUGAGAGCAGUUGCAUGCCCCUCCCCACCCAUAACUUCCUUUCUCAUUUCCCGAUCUUCGCAUUAAUCAUACUCCUGGGAGAUCUCACGACACCAAAACCCAGCUUAAAAGAAGAAGAAGAAGAAGAAGAUCUACUUGUUCCAAACGACACCUUCUCCUGUCGUUUUAGUUAACGCCGCUCGAGAUCUGUGUCUCCUUCUUGGCUUUUGAGCUAUUGGCGGUGCUGGGUUUUCUCUGGAAAAAUCUUUUUUUUUAUAUAUAAAAUUUCUAAUGGGAGUUAAGGGUGGGAUAAGUGGAUAGUUUACAAAGUAAUGAAGGAGUGGAAGAUUAGGAGAAGCGGCUUUGAGGUCGGCGAGACAAAGAUUGCGAGCUUAUUUGGCUGAUGUGUGUUCUGUAAGGAAAAAGAAGUAGUAGAAGAAGACAUCUGUUUUUUUUUUUUUUUUUUUUUUAAUUAGGGUUUUUGGAUUUGUGAAAAGAUUUGGUGGGUGGUGGGGAGAGUAACAAUUAAAAAAAAAACAGUUAGAGCUUUUUUUGGUGUUUCCUCGUCAUAAUUACAUUUGGGAAUCUUGGAUCUUUGAAGAAACAAAGUUGGAAAGAAAGAUGAGAUUGUCUACUGCUGGGUUUAAUCCUCAACCUCAUGAAGGUACUACUUAUUAAUCUCUCUCUCUCUCUACUUGCAAAUGUAGAAACUUUGGAUUUUUAACUUAAUUUGGUGUUUGUGUGUAGUUACAGGGGAGAAGAGAGUUCUAAAUUCUGAGCUGUGGCAUGCUUGUGCUGGUCCUCUUGUCUCCUUACCUCCUGUUGGAUCCAGAGUUGUGUAUUUCCCUCAAGGUCACAGUGAACAGGUCUUUCUCUCUUCUCUUCUUUUCCUGCUUUGGAUUCUUUUUGGUUUUGUUAACAUUUUGUGGUUUUUUUCAGGUGGCUGCUUCGACCAACAAAGAAGUGGAUGCUCAUAUACCAAACUACCCCAGCUUGCAUCCUCAGCUUAUCUGUCAGCUUCACAAUGUCACAAUGCAUGUGAGACACUUGUUCCAUGAGAUGCUUCUUCGACUGUGUUUAUUCUGUUAACCAAGAACCUGAUUCCUUCUAUUUCAGGCUGAUGUGGAGACUGAUGAAGUCUACGCACAAAUGACUUUGCAACCAUUGAACGCUGUAUGAGACUUUUUUACAUGUUAUCCAUACUUUGACUUCCUUUUUUUUUUUUGUGUCGGUGUUGUGAACUGUUUGCUUGGUUUGAAUACAGCAAGAACAAAAAGAUCCAUACCUUCCUGCGGAGUUAGGUGUCCCGAGUAGACAGCCUACAAACUAUUUCUGCAAAACUCUGACUGCUAGUGAUACCAGCACUCAUGGUGGUUUCUCUGUGCCUCGCCGAGCUGCUGAGAAAGUCUUCCCUCCCUUGGUAAUAGCUCAUCUUCUCCUUACUCUCAACUUUUCUUUUUACUUCUUUCUAACCUUUUGAUUUUCUGUGUGUUCUUACUUCAGGAUUACUCUCAGCAGCCUCCAGCUCAAGAGUUGAUGGCGAGAGAUCUGCACGAUAACGAGUGGAAGUUCAGGCAUAUUUUCAGAGGUUAGCUUUCACUUAAUGUCCACUAACUGAAGAACAAAGAGGUUUUAUUGACUCUGCUUUUGUUUCUCCCCGUUUCAGGCCAACCUAAAAGACACCUCCUUACUACUGGUUGGAGCGUAUUUGUGAGUGCUAAAAGGCUUGUCGCUGGUGACUCUGUUCUUUUCAUCUGGUUAGAACCACCUUUUUCAGAUGCUAUAAUGAAACUUAUGAAAAAAUGGCUAAUGUCCUUUUGUUGUUUAACGCUAGGAACGACAAGAACCAGUUACUUCUUGGUAUAAGACGGGCCAACCGUCCACAGACUGUCAUGCCUUCGUCUGUUUUGUCAAGUGACAGUAUGCAUCUAGGCCUUCUUGCUGCUGCUGCUCAUGCUGCCGCUACUAAUAGUCGCUUCACCAUCUUCUAUAACCCAAGGUACAGGUUCUUGAUCCCAUAUGAAUGCUGCAGCUAUGUUGUUUCUUUGCAUUUUUUUGUUAACAAAAGUUUGUGUUCAGGGCAAGUCCUUCAGAGUUUGUGAUACCACUGGCUAAGUACGUGAAAGCGGUUUAUCACACUCGCGUCUCUGUUGGCAUGCGGUUUAGGAUGCUGUUUGAAACCGAGGAAUCAAGUGUUCGUAGGUAUGUGAAUUUUAUCAGACUUCCUAUUUUUUUUAAUCUGUAUUCAUCAGUCUCCUUCUCAAGAACAUCCGUUUGUUGGCAGGUACAUGGGUACAAUAACUGGCAUUUGUGAUCUAGAUCCUACUCGUUGGGCUAAUUCUCACUGGCGGUCCGUUAAGGUUCAGUUCAAACACCAAAACUAUCUUUGCUUUCUCGUAUAUACAUAUGUCAUCAUCAUCUUGAUAAUGUUGCAGGUUGGAUGGGAUGAGUCAACUGCAGGAGAGAGGCAACCGAGAGUUUCCUUGUGGGAGAUUGAGCCUUUGACGACAUUCCCUAUGUAUCCGUCUCCUUUUCCUCUAAGGCUUAAACGUCCAUGGCCUCCAGGUCUCCCAUCUUUUCAUGGUAUUGUUAAAAUUUCAACACUUUGAUUUCAUAACCCUUGAAGUCUUUUAUAUCUUCUAAUCUUGUUGCCUCUCUUUUUUGUUUCUGUAGGACUUAAAGAAGACGAUAUGAGUAUGGGUAUGGGUAUGAGUUCGCCGCUUAUGUGGGACAGAGGACUUCAGUCUCUAAACUUUCAAGGAAUGGGAGUAAACCCGUGGAUGCAGCCUAGACUUGAUGCUUCUGGCUUGCUUGGUAUGCAGAAUGAUGUUUACCAAGCAAUGGCUGCAGCUGCUCUUCAAGACAUGAGAGGCAUUGAUCCUGCUAAAGCUGCUGCUUCACUUCUUCAGUUCCAAAACCCCUCGGGCUUCUCAAUGCAACCCCCUUCCUUAAUGCAGCCACAGAUGCUACAGCAGCAACUCUCUCAGCAGCAGCAGCAGCAACAACAACUCUCUCAACAGCAGCAGCAACAGUCUUAUCUGCCCGUUCCUGAAACCCACCAGCCUCAAUCUCAGUCAAACACUCUUCUCUCUCAGCAGCAGCAGCAGCAGCAGCAGCAGCAAGUGGUGGAUAAUCAUAAUCAGUCAGCCUCCACUGCUGCCGCUGUUUCUGCUAUGUCUCAGUUUGGUUCUGCUUCUCAGUCCAUGACUUCUCUGUGUCAGCAACAAAGCUUCUUAGACACCAACGGAGGAAACAACAAUCCUAUGUCUCCGCUCCACACUCUUCUCAGCAACUUCUCUCAAGACGAGUCAUCUCAACUGCUCAACCUCACUAGAACAACAAACUCUGCUGCAAUGACUUCUUCCGGUUGGCCAUCAAAGCGUCCUGCAGUUGAUUUAUCAUCGUUCGGCAACAACAGCAACACUCAAUCCGUAAUUGAGCAACUGGGACAGUCCCACAACACAAGCAACGUUCCUCCAAACGCUGUCUCGUUGCCUCCAUUCCCCGGUGGGGGUAGAGAGUGCUCAAUAGAGCAAGAAGGAGGAAGCCCCUCAGACCCACAUAGCCAUCUUCUGUUUGGAGUCAACAUAGAUUCAUCUUCCCUCUUGAUGCCAAACGGAAUGUCGAACCUUAGAAGCAUAGGCAUUGAAGGAGGCGACUCCACCACUCUACCUUUCACAACAUCUAACUUCAACAACGACUUCUCCGGUGGUAAUCUUGCAAUGACCACACCUUCUAGUUGUAUAGACGAACCAGGGUUUCUACAGUCCUCUGAAAACCUCGGUUCUGAGAACCAACAAUCCAAUAAUACCUUUGUGAAGGUUAACUAAAGUUUCUUUUCCGUUUCCUUUUCUCCCCAAAGUGUGUGCAUAUGAGCUAAUGAUGGGGGAUGUUCUUUGCAGGUGUACAAGUCAGGGUCUUUUGGACGAUCACUAGAUAUAACGAAGUUUAGCAGCUACCACGAGCUGCGAAGCGAGCUUGCUCGCAUGUUUGGCCUAGAAGGCCAGUUAGAAGACCCUGUGAGAUCAGGCUGGCAGCUUGUAUUUGUCGACCGAGAGAACGAUGUUCUUCUCCUCGGCGAUGACCCUUGGCCGUAAGUUAAUUACUUCCUUUAUUAUCCACUUUGAUCUCAUCACCCUCCCACUCAUCUAACUUUGUGGUUGACUAUAGGGAGUUUGUGAGCAGUGUGUGGUGCAUAAAGAUACUGUCACCACAAGAAGUGCAGCAGAUGGGGAAAAGAGGCCUUGAGCUUCUCAACUCAGCUCCUCCAUCCUCGAACAACAACGUCGUCGAGAAGCUCCCGAGCAAUAACGGGAACUGCGAUGACUUUGGGAACCGGUCAGACCCGAGGAACCUUGGUAACGGUAUUGCAUCCGUUGGGGGUUCGUUCAACUACUAGAGAAGAAAAACCCCUUUUCUUGGUAAUCAAGUUAUUAUGUUUUAUCAAAAAUAGUAUUUGAUCUUCUUAGUUUUAAUUACUAGUAAGCUAAACUGUCUUUAUUACUUACAAAAAGGGAGCUUUGCGUUGGCCUUUGUGGAGACAAAAAAAAACUAAAACUAUGUAAUAGCUCUUAUCUUUUAUGUCGUAAUACUGUAAUUAUAAGAUCUUUUUGGUCUUUUUCUUAUAUGAAUAUUUUUUUUAUGUCAUUAUCUUUACUCACUACUUCUUCAAUCAAUAUCUGAUAGUGAAGUGCUGUUUUUUGGAGCUAUGUUAAGACUUUGUCUGACUAAGUGGCCCACAUGGAAAGUGAUAUGGGUCCCAGCUCCCUUAUUGGUUUUGUGUGAAACACUGAAAUAUUCCGACCCGCUAUUUAGGGCUUUACCCUAAAAUUAGAUCUUGUUUUGCGUCAGCACUAAGCUUUUCCUCAUGACACGUAUCGAUCCCUAGUUCGUACUCGUAGGCUUAGUUACUAGGUCAUUAAUAAUAUAUGCCCUAACGGUUAUAGGCAAACGAUUUGGUAGUAGGUAGGUACGUAGUUGAAAUAUAAGGAAUAUGAAAAGAAUGAUAUUGUAACAUGAAUACGUUAACACGAAUAACUUCAAAUAAACAAUGGAAAUUACGGACGUUUUAAUAUCCAAUCAAAAUUGUAGUGAAUUUGAAGAUAUCUUGUUUUUGUUUGUUUCUGAUUAUUGGAAUGGAUGUUUGGUUAACUAUGAAUAAAGCAUCAUUGGAAUAAUUGAAGAACUUAUGAUUUGGGUUGGUGUUUGAUUGUCCAUUAGGAGAAUGUAGUGAUCAAUUAAUGAGAGAGCAUGCUUUUAAGUCAAAUAAAUAACAAAUCUGAUAAAGAGAUAUUUGUAAGUAUAUGGUUUUGAUGUGUGGUGUAUGAAUGUGAUUCACAUAAUAUCUUUAGUGGUGUGACGAUAUAUUCUAAGUAAGAAAUUGAGAAUGGUUGAAAAUAAUGUUGGGUGCAUGUGGUAGGGACAUAUGACAUAAGUUAGGGCACUUUCAUGAGCCCUAAUUAAAUAGUGUAUGGUGACCCAUCAUUUUGAAAGUUCUCACCUAUUCUUUUCUUUUUGACCCAUUUUUAAAAUGAAUUUUCUUAUUCUUUUAAAAGUUGUUUCUUUCCUCUUACAAAAUCAACUAUUAGUUUUAUCUUUUCACAGGAUGUUGUAGCCAUUCAUUAGGAUGUAAAGAAUAGAUUCAAAUGUAGAUCUAAGAACAUGUUGCAUGUAGCUUUUGCCUAUAUACACAUAGAAUCAUUAUAUAUGUCAUAACUAUAUAUUGUCAGUGUUACUGGAAUUUUCACGUUGCUAUAUUGAUUUCAUGGUAUAAUCAAUUCUUGUAUUCUUUAUAAAAGUGGAUCAAUCUAUAAUUGAUAUUAGUGGAAGCCCGUUUAUUCAAGUAGUUUUGCUAAGAAUUCAUUAAUGUUGUUACAUUAUGAAAUCUGAAUUUGGGACUCUAAAGCGGGUUACUAAAACUCCACAUUAAUAAAAAAGUUUAUAUGAAAUUUUUGGCAUGGUAGUAAAACAAUCAUGCAUGAAUCUUAUAAGACAUCUUAUAGUGAUGCAUUCAAAUGUGAAUUAGUUGUAUAGGAAGCUAUAUACUAUUUUUAUUAUUAAUAAUUCUAUAAUAAAUAAUUGCCAUGAAAAUUAACAAAUUUAAGCCGGAAUUUGAAAUUCCAAAAGCAUUUUAACACUUGAGCUUUUUGUAAAUGAAAUAAUAUUUUUGCUCAGUAGAAAAAUACCGUACACAAAGUCUAUAAAUAACAAGAUCAAGUAAUAUUAUAUGCAAUGGUUUUGUGUCUAAAAGACCAUUUACUUUGACCCAAAAACUAUUUAAUAAUUGAAAAAGUUCAUAAAAACUGUAUCACUGUAUCUUACAUCUAUUUGUUGACUAGGUGUAAUGUAUUAGAAUUAGAUUGCCAAAUUUGAAUUGAAGAAAUCCAAUUGGAUCACAUGUUUGAAAUAUGAGAUAAAGAAGGAUGUAGAAAUUGAUAAAACAAAGUUCAGAAUAAAAGUACCCCGUAGUCAAAUGGAAGUAUUCUAAUAAAAUAUAUAAAAUAUAGACGAUAUUAAAAAAUAAAAAAGAGUAUAAUCAAAAUAAGCUUUUAGCAGUAAGUGUGUGACUUUUGAGUGGAUUAUGUAAGUUGUUCUUGUGCGACUAGUUUUCUCAUUUAUCUCCAUUUAAAACGACGAACAUAAAACGUCAAAUGUGAUAUUAUUGAUGGACGAAGUACUUUUUGAACAAAGUAAUAAAGGAACUUUUUGAGUCAUACGAAAAUAAAUUUUAUGUACCAUCCUAAGUUGUUAUGAUGGGAUUUAUGCGAUGGAGAGAUUAUUAAUAAUCAAUAUAAAACUUAUCUGAUUAUCAAAAUUAAUAAUGUAAAAAAUAUGAACUGGUCUGUUGUACUUUAGAGAGACGUUUUGAAUAAUUUGAGUGACGGGUUUAAUCAUUGAUGGAAAACCAAAGACAUAAUCAUCCAAGUUUCAAUUUUAUUGUUUUUACUGAUUAAGAGGUUUUGGUUUGUAGUCUAGCCAUAUCGUAAGAGUAUCUUCAACUUCAUUUGUCAUUAUCUGAUAAAGUAAAACAUUAAAAUAAUUUAUUUAUUUUUGUUAUUUAUGUUACUUUUUAUUUUAAAAUGAAGGAUUGAAAUAAAAUUCAAUUUCAUUAUAGAAUUAUUCCAUUAAAAACAUUAGAAAGCAUCUUCAGUGCAUUUAUUUCAUUGUACUCUCCAACUCUAUUUUUUAAUAAAUACAAAAACAAAUGAACUAUAUAUACUAUUAAAAUAGAAUCCAUCACAGAAUUAUGUCCUUAUUUUUGAAGAUAAUUAAUUACCAUGGCAGAUAGGUCUUUACUAGGCAUCAAAGUCUCAAAUCGAAUCCCCGCUGUAAAUCAUCUACUAUUCGCUGAUGAUUUACUUUUCUUCUCUUUGGCUAAUGUGAAAGAGCAAAAAAACUGGAAGAGAUUUUCACGACUUAUGAAGUGGUAUCAGGGCAAGCAAUCAAUCGUAGUAAGUCUGAGUCAUCAAUUACUUUUGGAAAAAGGGUCUCUCCUGAGAUUAGAAGCCUAACAUUCAGAGUAGGAGAUGGAUCAACAACUAAUAUGUGGCCUGAUCCGUGGAUCCCUAAUCGUCCACUGAAACCUUGUUCUGAAGGUAUUCAAGAAGAAAAGCUCAACGCUUAUUUUAAUGCAAUGGGAAGUGAUUAGAAUGAGGCAAGACUCAAACAAUAUAUGGUUCCAGAAGAUGUAGACCAAAUAUUAGCUCUCAAUAUAAGUUCAAAAAUAGUUAAUGAUCUAGUUGGUUGGCAUUAUAAUGAAGAUGGGAUAUAUAUGGUGAAGUCAGGCUAUUGGUUGGGAACACACCUUCCUGAUAAUAACAUUCCAGAACCGAUACCAGGGGAUCCUCAACUAAAGCAUAAGAUUUGGAGGACAAAGUUACCAGCGAAUAUAAAACAUUUUCUCUGGAGGAUCCUCUCAAAAAGUCUUGCAACAUGAAGUGAUCUUAAAAGAAGACAUGUGAUACAAGAGGAUCAGUGUAGGAGAUGUUGUCAAAUUGAAGAAACAGAAGAUAAUCUUUUCUUUGACUGCGAUUAUGCUAAACGUAUCUGGAGAGCUUCAGGCUUUAUGAAUUUGGCAGUUAUGGGAUAGCAUGCAACACUGGAAGAAAAGAUAGAGGCAUGUCUAUCAAGCUGUUCAUCCAUAAGAUUAACUAAUUUUCAAGAACUCCCUACAUGGAUUCUAUGGAGACUAUGGAAGAGCCGCAACGUCCUUGUCUUCCAGCAGAAGCAAUUGAAUUUGAAGUCUGUUAUGGAAUAUGCCUGUAAUGAUGCUUCAGAAUGGAGACCGACGGGUGCAACACAUAUAACUCAAGGAGGUUAGAACAGUAAAAGACAAGGCUUACGAUGAGAAGGUAAAUGGAUAGGACCCCCGAAGGACUGGAUCAAGUGUAACACAUAUGGAUCCUUUAUGAAUAUAGGAAUACAGAGUACUGUUGGAUGGAUCAUCAGAGAUGAGAAUGGUGUGUAUAAAGGACCAGCUCAAGGUACUGAUAAAGGGGUUAGGAACCCGCUAGAGAGUGAGCUACAAGGUAUACUAAUGGCUCUACCACAUUGUUGGGAAUUGGGAUUUCGUAAAAUCGUACUGGAAAAUGAUUGCAGCAAAGCAAUUGGUAUAGUCAAAGGUAAAACAUUACAUUUCAGUUUCUAUAACUGGAUCAGAGAGAUAAGAUGGUGGGUAAUGAGAUUUGAUGUAGUAUAUUUCCAAUGAACAUCAAAAGAAGCAAAUAAGUGUGCUUAUAAACUUGCGAGAAGUAGACUUCCACAAAACGGAGUUUUUGUGUUUCAUAACUGUACCAAUGAUUUUAUCAAAUCUUCUAUAUGAAGAUUAUGUAAACUCAAGUUUUAAUUAAUAAUAAAUGAAGAUGUUAUAAAAAAAAAUUUACCAUGCCGCUGCUUUUUAGAAUAUCUAUACUAUUAUUUGCGAAGUAAAUUUUUGGAAUCGAGCUCUCACGUUAAAAGUUAGAGUGGUUAAUAUCGUUUAUACCCUUAAUGAAUAAAAUCUAUAAAUUAACUAAAACAUAAAAACGAAUUUAAAACUAUUUGGUUAGAUAAUUUAUUAUUAGAGUGGUUAAUAUCGUUUAUACCCUUAAUGAAUAAAAUCUAUAAAUUAACUAAAACAUAAAAACGAAUUUAAAACUAUUUGGUUAGAUAAUUUAUUAUUAAUAAUAAAAAAACUUAUCCAAAAUCUGAAAGAUAUAUUUUAAAAUAAAAGAUAAUUCCUAUAUAUUUUGUGUUGUUAUCCGAAAACAUAUUUUAAUAAAAAUUUAAAUACUAAAAAAUUAAAACUAAAAACACACAGAAAACAUAUAACUUAAUAUUAUUCAAAUAAUAUUAAUCAUAUUUUAUACUCAAUUAUUAAUUUUAAUAAAUAAUGUUUUGAUAAUUUUUAUUACAUGUCAAUAUAAAAAAAAUUUAGUUGAGAGGUUUUAACGUUAAAACCCCAUAAAUCUUCUAUCUUUUACUAUAUUAUAUUAAAAUAAAUAUAAAUUCAUGUAUAUAGUUUUAUGUACAUUUUUAUGUAUUUAUAAAUUUUUUGAGGAUUAUUUUACAUAAUAAUAGAUAUUUUAUUAAAAUAAAAAACUUUAGCGCAUAUAGAAAAUUUAAUAUUAAAUUAAUUAUUAAAUAUUUAAAAACAUGAAAAUAACUUAUUCAAAUUUUUUAAUUGAUAAUAUAUUUCUUUAUAAAAUUUUAUAAAAUUAUUAAGCCCGCAAGUACGGGCAAAACACCUAGAUUUUUAAUUAAUUGUGGCAACUAUAAUUUCAACCAAUGGAAAAUGAGAGUUUUAAAACCAAUCAAAGUCCAGCAAAUAUUAUCAGUCUCGACCAAUGUCAAGGCCCAUCGAAGCCCUAUAUUAUAUGAAGGUCACUAGGCCAUGCUUGUGUAUAAUCGAUUAAUACAUACUUUUACCAGCGAGGCCCAAUUAUUAUUGUGUUUUCGUCAGAGUUUUGGAUAUUUUUUUCUGGCAAACAAUUAUGUUCUCUUUUUUUGCAAAAAAAUAUUUUGGUUGUUAAUUAUUUGUAAAAAAAAAAAACUUAAUCUGCUAUAUGAUUUUGUCAUAUCUCUAUAUAAAAAUUGGUUCUUCAAAGUUGCUAAUUAACAUGAUCGCGACACAUGACAAAUAUAUAUUUUAAAAUUGUGACAUGUAUUAAUCUAUCUCAUAAUUAAAAAUAUAUAUACUAAAAACUAACAAAAACAAAUUUUAUUAACUGGCAAGUUUUAAAAAUCUUAUUAUAUAAAGCUUGGUUCUUCAAAGUUGCUAAUUAACAUGAUCACGAUACAUGACAAUUAUAUAUUUUAAAAUUAUGACAUGUAUUAAUCUAUCACUUAAUUAAAAAUAUAAAUAUACUAAAAUAUCAAAAAAAAACAAAUUUUAUUAACUGGCAACUUUUAAAAAUAGUUAAUAUUAACUGAAAAUAAUUAUUUGAUAGAAAUUUUAUUUUUCUAAAUCCUAGACAACAUAUAAUUGUAAAAUAUUAUGUAAUAUUAAUUUUCUUUUCUAAAAUCCUAAGAAACGGUAAAAGUAUAUUUGAUAGUUGUUUGACCAAAAAAAAGUAUAUUUAAUAGUUGUUUUCCUUUUUUUAUAAAAAUAAAUCCUAAACAAAAGAAAUUUGUAUCAUAUUUUUAAGUCCUAACCAAAAAAGAAUUGAACAAAUUUAUUUGAUAAUAUUUUUAAGAGAGUACUAGAACUUGAUCCGCACGCCCGUGCGGGUGUUUGAUUUAAUUUAAGUGUUUAGUAAUUAAUAUUUUUAAUAGUUCACUAAGGUAUAUUGGACCAAUUAUCUCUAUAUUAAAAGGUUUGUAUGACUUUUAAACUAAAAAUGAAUAAUUAAAUUCUUGUUUUUCAAUUUAUUGUUAUAAACCAUAGUUUUAUUAUAUAUUUGUCUUACUAAUUUUUUAUUUGAUUAUUAGAUAAUGAAUAUAUAUGUGAAACAACACAUAUAAAUAUUAAAUUGUAUUAAAACUUAAAUAUUCACAUGUAUACUUUACAUUUGAAUUAAAUAAUUAUUAAUAUAUUAAGUUGAUUUUAAAAUUUUUAAAAAAUUAAUGUAAAAAAAUAUUUAAAUAUUUUUUAUUAUUUUUUAUGUGUAUGAUAAAAUAGACUAUACAUUCAAAACAAAAACGUCUAAUGUGAUUUUAGUAUGUUUUUGAAGUUUGGUUAUUAAAGCAUAAUUAUAUAUAAAUAUAUAUAUUAGUUUAAAUAUAUAAAUUGGAAGUAGGGUUUACUGUUCUGCAUAAAUAUACAAAUGUACAUAGAUACUUACACCAAAUUGAUCUUCACAUUCAUGGUUAGUGUUAUGGUUAAACAUAUAUUUUAUAAAUAUUCGAAAUGUACACAAAUAAUUGGGGAAAUUUUAUGUUUACCGUUUUCAAGCUACCACUUUUCAUCUUUACCAUCAUUAAAAGGAUAUUUUCAAAAGUAUAUUCUUCAAUAAGUGGCAAAAGACUCUUAUAUCCUUGUUAUUUAUAUAUAUAAUAAAUCAUUAUUUAAAUAAAAAAUUAAAAUCAUAGAAUUUUUUUUUAUGUUUUCGAAUUAUACUUUUUCAAAUUCGAACAUUUUUAUAAUUUUUUUUUUAAUUAUUUUUUUGAAUUUUUUUUUCGAAAACUUUUUUUUUAUUUUUUUUCAAAUUUCUUUUUGAAAAUCGAAAAUUAUGUUUGAAACUUUUUUUUUUAAUUUUUAAUAUUUUUAAGUAUUUAUUUAUAGAUUUAUUAAAAUCCUAAAUUUCAAAUUCCAAAAACCCUACUACCUCUCAAUUCUAAAACCUACGUCUAAAUUAGUUAAUUUUAAGGGUAUAAGUGUCUUUUACCCUUCAUGAUAAGUGAAGGUAAAAAUGGUUAUUGUAAACAUGAAAAGUAGUAUUAUGAAUGUGAUAUUUAUGGCAAUUUCCCUAAAUAAUUACACCAAAUUUGUGGGCCAUAAUCUGUAAGAAAUAGUUAGUAAAUUUCAUCAUGUGUACAAUUUAGAUUUAGUAUAAUUUAGAGUUUUUGGUAUAUUAUUAAAGUGAAAUAGUCCUUGAAAAGCAAUCAGAUUUAAUUAUGUAAAAGAAAAAAUCGGUUUUUUUGUUUACUUAUCACAUGGCUAUUAUGGGUAUGGUAAAAAUAAACAAAUUAUUUGUUUUAUUUGUCAUAAAGCUAAUAAUUGUUAUGAUCGGUAAAAAGGAAUAAAAAAGUUAUGGAUAUAUUAUUAUUCUAAGUAAUUAAUGAUGAAAUUACGAAGAGUGGAAAAAUAAAAAAAAUGUAAUAAAAUUGUUCAAAAGAAAGUUUGUUCUAUUUCAUAUUUCAGUUUUAAUAAAAUUGAUAUUUUUUAUAUUUCUAAAUUUUAGUGUAGAUAAGAAAAGGUGAUACUGAUACAAAUACAAAAUCACUGGAUUACUUAAACCAGAAAAAACGUAUGAAUCAAAUAUAUAAACACUAAAACAGAACCGGUUGUCUAUAUGCACCAAGGUACUUACAACCAAAUUAGUAAAUAUAUAAAAUGUGCAUAUGGACAAAGAGGUCGUGUAUUGUUGUAAUAUCUUGUAUAUUAAAACAAAAAUCAUGACUUUGUUAAUGUGUGAUUUUUUUUUGUUUGGACCAUCAUCUCAAAAAUUUAUCAAUUUUUACAUAACUUAAUCAUCAUAUCUUUUUCUUUUAUUUAAAAUACAAAUAAAUAUUGUUUAAAAAAAUUCUAAGAAAAUCUUUUCGAAAUCAGGAUAAAAUUUAUUUUCGAAAAUUAAUUAACUUAAAUUUUAAUUAACAUAAAUAUAAUUAGAAUUCAAAUUCAAUUUAUUUUAUUGAUGAACGAAAAUUAAAUCAUAUAAAUAUUGUAAUUAUAUUUUAAUGAUAAUAAAAAUUUGAAUUGAUUAAUUUUCAAAAUAUAUUUUAUAAAGAUUUUGUUAGAAAGAAAUAUCAUUUCUGUUUCAAAUAAAAAUAUUUACUACAAAAUUAGUUUGUAAGCACAAUAUAUUAUAGCUUCUCUUUUAAAAAUAUUUUUUGUUGUUCUUAACAGUAUCUCAAAAUAUUUGUUCUCUAUUAUGUAGGUCCAAUUUAAUUUAAUUUCCAUAUAAAAAUUUCAAAUUUAGAAAUAAAACCAGAAAUUAUGUUGGUAAGUUCCAUAUUGAGAAAUUCCCUAGGAUAGCCAUUUUUAUUUUUUUUUUGUCACAAAAAUAGCCUUCAAUGAGAAAAAAUAACCAAAAGAAGUUCACUACAAGAAAACACAAGUUUUACGAGGGCAGUUUUCCUCGUGACUUCGUCGUAAAAGCAGUGUUACGAGGAAUUAGCGAGGAAACCCGUUUCGUCGUUAUACGUUUGUCGUAACGCAUAUAUCCUCGCUAAUUCGUCGUAACGUAGCGAGGAAAUAAUUUCGUCGUAAAAGCGAAGAAGAAUAUUUCGUCGUAAAGACCACGUAAAGUUUCCACGUAAGGACGUCGCUAAAUUUCCUCGUAAAUACCUCGAAAGCCAUUCCUCGUUAAAGCCACGUAAAUAACUCGAAAGUAAAUACUCGUAAAGUAAACGUAAAUACCUUGAUAGCUUUCUUCGUAAAGACCACGUUAGAGGAAAUAGAGAGGCUUACCAUUGCAACGAAACAGGGAGGAAGUGGAGAAGAAGUAGAGAGGAAAGAAAGAGCAAGCGCUCGGGGUGUAUAUAUAAGAUUACAUUACGUCGCAAAUUCCUCGUAAUUUUACGACGAAUUACAGAGGCCCGUGUUUUUUUUACGACGAAACAGCGAAAGAUUACAAAGGCCCGCGUUUUAUUAUAAGAGAAAGUUACGAGGAAUUACAAAGGCCCGUGUUUUUUUUACGACGAAACAGCGAAAGAUUACAAAGGCCCGCGUUUUAUUAUAAGAGAAAGUUACGAGGAAUUACAAAGGCCCGUGUUUUUUUUACGACGAAACAGCGAAAGAUUACAAAGGCCCGCGUUUUAUUAUAAGAGAAAGUUACGAGGAAUUACAAAGGCCCGUGUUUUUUUUACGACGAAACAGCGAAAGAUUACAAAGGCCCGCGUUUUAUUAUAAGAGAAAGUUACGAGGAAUUACAAAGGCCCGUGUUUUUUUUACGACGAAACAGCGAAAGAUUACAAAGGCCCGCGUUUUAUUAUAAGAGAAAGUUACGAGGAAUUACAAAGGCCCGUGUUUUUUUUACGACGAAACAGCGAAAGAUUACAAAGGCCCGCGUUUUAUUAUAAGAGAAAGUUACGAGGAAUUACAAAGGCCCGUGUUUUUUUUACGACGAAACAGCGAAAGAUUACAAAGGCCCGCGUUUUAUUAUAAGAGAAAGUUACGAGGAAUUACAAAGGCCCGUGUUUUUUUUACGACGAAACAGCGAAAGAUUACAAAGGCCCGCGUUUUAUUAUAAGAGAAAGUUACGAGGAAUUACAAAGGCCCGUGUUUUUUUUACGACGAAACAGCGAAAGAUUACAAAGGCCCGCGUUUUAUUAUAAGAGAAAGUUACGAGGAAUUACAAAGGCCCGUGUUUUUUUUACGACGAAACAGCGAAAGAUUACAAAGGCCCGCGUUUUAUUAUAAGAGAAAGUUACGAGGAAUUACAAAGGCCCGUGUUUUUUUUACGACGAAACAGCGAAAGAUUACAAAGGCCCGCGUUUUAUUAUAAGAGAAAGUUACGAGGAAUUACAAAGGCCCGUGUUUUUUUUACGACGAAACAGCGAAAGAUUACAAAGGCCCGCGUUUUAUUAUAAGAGAAAGUUACGAGGAAUUACAAAGGCCCGUGUUUUUUAGGUGCGAGGACGUUACGACGAUUUUGCUUACGUGGAAUUACCGAGGAAAGCUUCCCUAUAAAUAUAUAGAUCAAUGAGAAGGAUGUCAUCAAUUUCUUGUUCAGGUUCCUCGACUUCAUUUAUCUGUUCUUCUUGCAAUGGUGGUUCUUCUCCACUGAUAAUUCGUCCUCGAGGUGUAACUUUGAUCACAGCUAACCAAUUUAUACCCGAAUCUCUCAUUUUCCAAACUCUAUCUUUAUUUUCAUUCCAAACCACAAUUCCAUAUUUUAAUUCACUCAGAGAGUCUUACGUGGAAUUAGCGUGCCCCGCUUUCUUUAUUUUUUUUAAUUUCGUCGUAAACUAAUUAUCCUCGUUAAACUUACGUUUUCUUGUAGUGGUUUUAUAAAAAAGGUAAAACUACAUUUUUACCUUAAGGUUAACUAAUAUAAACUUAAGGUUUAGAGUUAAGGGGCGGGUUUUUCGGAAUAUGGUUUCAAAUCUUUAUAAAUAAAAAAUAAAUAUUAAAAAUUUCAAAAUAAAAAUGGGCUAUUUUGUCAUUUUUAUGGCUAUUUUGUGACAAAAACUUAAAAAAGACUAUUUGAGAGAAUUUCACUUCCAUAUAUUCACUAAAGCUAAUAAUAUAAAAUCUUUGUAACUAUUUUAAUAAUGAUAUAGUUUAAUUUUAAAUAAAAUUAUUAUUAUGAAUUGAUAUAUAUUCAGUUAUCGUUUAUAAAAUGAAAAAUAAAAAUUCUAUUUUAUUUUUAUAUAUUUUAUAAUAAUAAUAAAUCAUGUUAAAAGAAACUAUUAUAUUGAACUAAAUGCGAUAAAUUAAAUUAAAUUGAUAAAUUUAUAAAUUUAUUUUCCUACAUAUAAAUAUUUAUUUUAAAAAUAUAAUAUGUUGACAGAACGGCUUAAUAUUCGCAAACUAUAUAAUACAUGUAUAAAAAUUUUAUAUAUCUAAUUUUUUUGUAUAUACAAUAAUAUAUUAUCUAAAAUGAAUGAACAUAAAAAAUAUUUGUAAAAGAAAAUCCAGUUUUGAAAGACGGUGAGUCAGAAUUUAGUAUAAAUUAAACACAAAAUAAUUUUCAGAUAUGUUGUUUCAUGCAUAUAUUAAUUUUUUCAGUAACUAAAUGCAAACACAAUAAGAUAAAUAUAUAAUAAGAAGCUAUAAAUGCAUGUGACGAUUUUAAACAAUUGAUUAAUUAUGACGUAUAAACUAUAAAAUUAUUGUAUUUGAAAUAGUUAUGUAAAUAUUUAUAUAUAUGAUUAACGUUAAAAAUGUAUACCACCAAUGAUCUCAAACGACAUAUAUAAAAAAAUCUCAAACGACAUAUGUAAAAAAAAUCAUAAAACUAUAAUAAAAUGAUUUAUUAUUUUAUGGUUUUUCUUAAAUUAAAACAUCAAACAAAACCCGUUGCAACGCAAUGAGCUCAUAUCUUGUAAAAAAUAUUAUAAACUAAGAGGAGAAAUUUAUAAAAUUUUCACAAUAUAAUGGUUAGGUGAAUUAAAAAUUAAAAUUUUCAAACUAUAAGAAAAUAUUUAUUUUUAAAAUUUAUACGAGGACAAAUAUAUAACUUUGUAAAUAAUUUUCAACAUCUAAUAAUAUUUUUAAAACACAAACAAUCAACAAAGUUGUAACUAUAAUAGAUAAUUUAUACUAUAAAAACAACAUCCUUUAUAAUUACAAAAUAUUUGUCAUAUUAAAAGCAAUAAAUUUCGCACUUUUAAAGUACAUAUCAAAAUUUAGUAUAUAUUAUUAAAGCAAAAAGCCAGUAGGGAUUAUGCCCCUGUGUUUUCAAGUUGUUUACAAGUUUCUGCCAUUGCCUUUUUCCCUUGAAAAAUAAUUUUCUUCCUUAUUAAUUCGACCAAUCAGAAUUAAUUGCGCUUUUAUGACAUAUCCACAGCAAGAACAAUUUAAACCCAAACAAAUUAGACCCAGUUUCGAGUAAGCUCAUGUGUUUUUAAAGCCAAUAAAAAUGGAUGUUCAACCCAUCCAAAGCAUCUUGAUAAUCAAUAACCCUGAAGACAAAUAAAGGAUGGUAAGUAUAAUAACAAAAUUAACCGUUAAACAACAUACUAAUAUAUUCUUUCAUACAAAAUUUUAAAAAUAAAAAGAUAAUUUAAAAUAAUUUUUUUUUAAAAAGUAAAUAGAUUCUCGAAUACAAACCUUCAGAGUUUUGAUAUUAUUUAAGUCUAUCGAUAGUGGAACAUCAUUUGAAUGUUUUUUCCAUUGCUUUUCUCAAUCGAUUUCUCAAGGCCGGAUUUUCAAUGCUUCAAUUCUUAUUCGUUCACUUAGAAUCGUUAUAAUCUCGUAGGAUUUCACAUGCAAAACAAAAGAGAGAAAAAUAGAUCUCGAUAGUUAGUUCUAAAAAAAAUAAGAUUUAAAGGUUAACUAUUAAUCAAAAAGGAAGACAUAAUAUUAUAUCUACCAUUUUGUUGUCUUUUGAAAAUUCUUAUGACUUUGUUGUAUAGAUCGGAAAGGUGAAGUCAAUAACUGAUGAGUCUCGUAUUUGUUGGUUUUUAUCAUUUGUUUAUAGUCAUUUUAGUGUCCAAAAAGUGGAUUUAGGGGUCAUUAGGUGUUGCAUAUGUAUAUUUUGCAUGUAAAUAGGCUUGGAUGCACAAUUAGAAGUAUUGGGGAAAAAAUGAGGUUUAAUAUGCACAUUCAGAAGUUUCGGGGCCAAAGUAGAAGUUCACAAAACCACAGUGAUCAAACGUGCAAAACCAUAGAAGAUGGGUCUUGGAGCAACGAGGAAGACGAAGUGUUCGAUGGGUGUCUUCCAGCUUGCUCGUUCUGACGUCCACGGUCCCGAGCCUCGAUCCCCGAACCGACCAGCACGAAUCGAGGGCUUGAGACGAACAGACACUCGCUGUAUGAAGAACAGCUCUCUCGAUUCCACCUUCUCGGCUCGUGCGACGACUUCAACGGAGGAGACAGCUAAUCCCAGAGCUCCUGUGAACGCGGCUGACGACGGCGAUGCAGCAACAAUCUCCGGUGGUUCCGACGAGCCGCAGCAGCCGCCAUUGAUGAAGCUCGAACUCGAGCUUGAAGAAGAUGAAGCAAACGCGUUUUGGUUCAAACACUGCGUCUCAAAACGCAGUCGCGGAAAAUGGUGUUUUUCGUUUUAUCUUUGGCAUUUGAUUUUUUUUUUUUUUUUUUAGCUCAACAACAACUUUCAUUAUCCAAAUUGUGAUUACAAACAUUUUAACCUCAUAGAGAUUUAAACUUCACAUACAAUACCAAGAUCUAGUACCACCUAAAAACACUUAGAUGGAUCCUACGCUACCUAAUCUCGAAAGACAUUGUAUUUUUCACCACGAUGAGAACAAAUUCACCUCACGACUCGAGAUAAACCGUCUGUUAAACCACCUAAUUCUACCACUAAAACAAGAUAACAAAGCCAUUCAUAAGCCGUUAAGAGAUCCUCAUAGUCAAGAAAAACAAAUGAAGACCAAACCAUUGGUACCAAGAGAUCGGAGUGUGGUGCAUGACCAACGACAGCAACACCAGAUGGCGCAUGCUCCCAAUAUGAGAACUCUGAGUGACACAGAAUGUGAUGCUUUGUAACGUUGCUGGGGGGAGGGGUCGAAACAGCAUCAACCGGAGCUCCUAAACAAGGGCAAACCAGCCAAUUUGAAGCAAACGCCCAUCCCCAAAAAAGCCGGGUUGAAACUUCUACAAACCCGCAAUCCAGCAACUCUAAACAGGCAUAGGAGGAAGCAAAUCUACCAGAUUUGACACUGAAUCGAUACUGCAAAUAAUUUGCUUCGAAACAUGUACGCCACCAAGACCCUAACUCUCCCGUUGACCAGUCGAAGAAAGCUACGGUUUUUACACGUCCUGCCUCCGAGAACCGGAGGAAAGCCUUUCCCGGGAGUGCCUUCACGCCGGUUACAACUCUGCUCGUCCAACUAAAGCUUCUAUUCUCCAACCGCCAGUUAGGCCAUAGACGACCUUCCACAGUUGUUGGAUCCUGAGUAGCACGUGAAAAUCAGAGCCAGUUCAGUCAACACCCAUCAACUGUAUGCACUAUGUUCACGCCGUCGAGAGAAGAAUCCCUCUACGUUCAUUUGGCGGUAAUAGAGACGAUGAUGACGCAAACACCGACAUUGCACCACGGCCCCUACACGUGCCUCACACCUUUUGGAUCUGAACUUCAAGCCGUCUCAACAGGACCAGCCUCUAGAUCUGCCGGUGGGAUGACGAGACACAAAGUCACGCGCCUCCAUCUCCAGGAAAGAACCACCAAUUUGAAAGGGAAAACCAUCGGCAAGUUCCAACCAAGCCCUAAAAACGCCGACCCAUCCUGCAACCUCCUUAGUACCAGAGAGACGUCUUCCACCUGCCUAGCCGUGCUCCGCCGCGGUCAGAACUGAGUUAGGAGUCUCAGCCGCGCUCCAGGAUCAUUCGCAUAUCGUCAGGGUCAUAGAAGCUCGCAAGGAGGGCAAAUAGAAAAGAAGAGUAAAGGAGAGAGACACCUCCGACGCCGGAAGAGGUUACCGGACGCCGGCGGACUGCGAUGAAUUUUUUGUUUGUUUGUGGUGGCUGAGAGAGGGAGUCGAGAGAAACUAGGGUUUAUCAGUUUCCAGCCGCAUUUGAUCUAAUUUUUAAGAACCUAUAUAUAUAUAUAUAUAUAUAUGUUUUCAUAAGCCAAAAACCUUCUAUUUUUAUCAUCUAUCUUAGAGCACCUCCCACGGCUCUCUGCUCAGGAUCACGUCUCGUCGGCUCUUAUGGCAGAGGCCCUAGCAGUAAGAAGCGCUCUCCUCCACGCGAUUGAUCUCAACUUCAACUCCAUCUGGCUCCAAUCAAAUUCUCAAGUGUUCGUUGCAGCGUUAUCAUCAGGACGACAUCCGACUGAGCUCUACAGAGUGCUCUCGGAUAUCGCCACGAUCUCCUGUUCGUCCUUCUGUUUCUGUCGCUUCACUUUCAUCAAGAGAGAAUUUAAUGGGCUUGCGGACUCAUAUGCUAAGGUCUGCUUACAUUCUAGUCCAAGCCAUUGUAAUUCUUGAACUCUUUUUCUAAUUAAUGCAAUUUAGUUGUCCAAAAAAAAAUCUUAGACCACCUCCAGUGGGGUUCUUCCCAUUGGAGUUAUUAAUAUAUGAGUUAUAUAUAUAUGUAUAAGUAAUUGUGGAGUACACAAUUUUUGUGGAACCCCAUAGGUAAGGGUUCUUAAAAGAGGGUUUUAAGAAUUCUUAAGAACAUCAUUAUCGAGGGUUUCUUAGGAAAGAGUUCUUAGGAGAAUAUAAGAAACUGUUUCUUAUAUUUCCCUAAAAACUCCUUCUUAAGAAACCAUGGAUAAUAAUGCUCUAAAAACCUUUAUUUAUGGAAUUCCACAAUAAUUGUGGAUCCACAAUUAUUUACAGGUAUAUAAUAUAUACAUACAUAUAUAUACAUAAUAUAUAUUAAGAAUCUCAAUGGGAAGAUCUCCCAUUAAAGAUGGUCUUAACUUUUUUAGUUUUCUUAGUUUUAUAGCAGACUUUAACUUUCAGAAAAAUCUUUUGAACUCUGUGAUCGUUUUGUAUAUAAUCAUAUUUUCGUUUUUUUUUUUUUUUCAAUGCUGAGUAGAUGUGCAAUUGGUUUUUAGAGUUUCAAAGGGAACUCAUGGCUUGUUGACUUAAGAUUGUUAGAUUUAGAGAUUUAUCUAAUGGUUCUUCAUCUAUUGGUGUUCUUAAUGCUGAAAUUAGAGUCAUGAACUAGUUUAUGAACUUAGGUUAUUUAACGGAACGAAUGUGUUUAACUAAAUGCUUGAAAGAACUUUAGAUGAGCAAAGUGUCCUUAACCAACGGAAGUUAAUGUUAUUGCGCUUUGUGAACAUAUCAAACCUAAACUUAUUGCUUGUUUAGAAUCUGAAACUCAACGGAAGUUAGUGUGGAGGUUUCUAUAACAUAGAGAGUUAGCGCUAAGAAAGUAAGUUGAUUAUAUUAUCGUGUUUGAGUUCGAGACAUUUCUUAAUAUUUUCCCUUACUAGCAUAAAGAAUUAGUGCUACGGAAGUAGGUUGAUUAUAUCCAUGUCUGCUUGCUUAAAUCCCUGCGAUUUCCUCUUGCCCAAUGCUUCUCUUACAUUGUCACUUUCUGCAUAUUUACAUCAUUUUGCAUUGUUUCAUUUCUGCUUAGUUUUAUAAACCAAUACCCUUUUUCCUUUUUAGUCUUAGCCUUACUCUUAUCUCAUAUACUCGUCGUGUAACCACUGGUCUCUGUGGAUUCGAUCCUGAAGUGCUACAUCAACUACCAUUCGAUUGUGAUAGUGUGCACAUCAUGUUAAUUGGUGUGUGGUAAAAUGCAUAAAUCAAUAACCUUCUCCGACUAAUCGUUUUUAACACAGAUGGCUUCAGAUUCGACAUGCAAACAUUACUGAAAUGAAAAUGUUUUGAUAUCCAUCGAUGACAUAGAUUUGUAAAAAUAGAAAUACUUAGUCUAUAUAAUCAUAAAUAAAAGUAAGAGAAGAUUACUUGGUACAGAUCGGAGAAGGUAGGUUGUCGAUGAAUUUAGAACUCUCAAUCGUCUUUUUUAGUUUUGCAGAGAGAUUUUUGGUUUUUUUUUUCAUCGAAGCAUUUUGUUUUUACAAAAAUCAAUAUGCUCAUCUUGCCAGUAAACAAAAACUCCAUCUUGACUUAAAUGGACUUAUCGUUUAUCCACUAGGCCCAUUUUGUAUAGAAUAUAUUUUUUAAAAAUCCAUUAAAAAGCAUGCUUUCUUUUUUAAGUAUAGAUGUUACAUUUAAGAAUUUAACAAAUUAACUAGAUUUAGACCCGUGCAACCGCACGGUUGUUUGUUUUCACUUUUCUAUACAUAAAUUAUUGUUUUAAAACAUAAGUAGUAUAUAUUUUUAAUGUUAAUCAUAUACUUAAAUAUUUAUAUAACUAUUUCAAAUACAAUAAUUUUAUAAUUUACAUGUUAUAAUUAAUUAAUUGUUUAAACCUUAUGUAUUUGCCACUUCUUAUUAUAUAUUUAUCUUAUUGUAUUUGCAUUUAGUUAUUAAGCAAAUUAAUAUAUUCAUGAGAAAAUAUAUUUAAAAAAUAUUUUGUAUUUAAUUUAUGCUAAAUUCUGACCCGUAUUUCAAAACUGGAUUUCUUUUUACCAAUAUUUUUAUGCUUAUUCAUUUUAGAUAAUUUAUUAUUGUAUAUAUAAAAGUGUAAGAUAUGUUAAUUUUUAGACAUGUAUUAUAUAGUUUGUUAAUUUUAAGCCGUUCUAUCAUCAUAUUAUAUUUUAAAUAAAUAGUUUAUAUUUAUGAAAAUAAAAUUUAUAAAUUUAUCAAUUGAAUAUAAUUUUAUCAUAUUUAUUUUAGUAUAAUAAUUAUAUUUUAACAUGAUCAUGACUAUAAAAAUAGAUAAAAUAGGAUAUAAUUUAUUUAUUUUCAUUUCUAAACGAUAACUUAAAAUACAUUAAGUUAUUGUUUAAAUAUUACACAGAUUUAUUAGAAUUUUUAAAAUAUAAUAUAUAAAUAUAUAUUAUAUUUAAAAUGAAAAUAUAUUAUGAUUAAAGUAGUUACAAAGAUUUUAUAUUAUUAACUUUAAAGAAAUACAUGUUAAUUUUUAUACAUGUAUUAUAUAGUUUGAUAAUGUUAACCCAUCUUACCAACAUAUUAGAUUUUAUUUUUGAACAUAAAUAUUUUAUAAUUACGAAAAUAAAAUAUAUAAAUAUAUAAAUUUAAUACAAUUUUAUUAUAUUUAUCUCAAUAUAAUAAUUUUAAUUUAAUAUGAUUGAUUAUGAUUAUAUAAUAACUAAAAUAUUAUAUUUUUUUUUAUUUUUCAUUUUAUAUAACUGAAUAUAUUAAUGUAUAAUAAUAUUUUAAACUAAUUUCGAAAUUAGUGAAAAUAUUUAAAUAUAAUUUCAAAAAUGAAGAUCUUGCAAAAAUCUUCUUAAACAGAUUUGUUAGAAUUUUAAAAUAAAUAUAUUUAUAUUUAAAAUGAAAAGAUAUCAAAAGAUACUAUGAUUAAAAUAUUUUUAAAAUUAUAUUUAUUAUUAGUCUGAAUUAAAAUAUAGUAUGAAUUUCUAUGAAUAGGUCCAUUAGGUCCAUUUUUAAAAAAAUCACACAUGAAUCAAGGUUGUGACUUCUGUUUUAAUAUAUAAGAUAUAAUAAAUAUUACUAAUAACAAAUAAAUUAUAUUAUAAUUUAUAAGAAUAAAAUUUUGUUAUUUUAAAACUGAUAACACAAGAGUAUACAUAUCAUGUCCAACAUAUACAUAUAUUACUAUAAAAAUCAACAAAAUUAUAAAUAGAUUAGAUCAUUUUAAAUAAAAAUACAUAAUCUUAUAAUUAACAAAAUUUAACGAAAAUUUAUUUAAAAAGAAAUAAAUUAUGCGCUUUAAAAGCACGGAUCAAAUCUAGUUUCAUUUAUAGAUUAAAUUUAUUUUUUACUUCACUGUGAAGUGGAGAAUGAAGAGAAAUUGAACCUUUCCUUAACAUCUAAGAGAAAUCUCUUUAUGAGCUCUAAGAUUUAUAUUAGCUAGAUAUAAUUGUAACCGCUAUGCUAGUUCAUAGUUGGUGAUGCGAUCUACUGUUUAUUAUAAACAGAUCUAACUAUUUUCAAAUGGAUCAUUUAAUCUGCAACACAUAGAAUUAUGAUGAAUGAUCUUUUCUUAAGUUUGUCGGAUCAUUUAAUCUGCAACACAAAUGGUUACAGCAAAUGCUUCAUCACAUCUAAUAACGUUGAUCACUGGGUUAACAAGACCAGAGGUACUCAUGGACUUUCUAAAGGCCCAUAAGUCAAAUCCCAAAUAUAUCAGUGUAUAUAAGGCCAGAGCCCCAAUGUUGUUUGGUUUGCGUAAUCUGUCCUACAUAGUUUGUGUAUCAGUUCUGAUUUCAUUUGUUACUCCAGGCAAUAGCAAGACCUAACGUAAGACACAAUCUUUCCAUUAUCUUUUGAAACCUAUGAAACACAAAAUACAUCAUUAUAUAUAUUAGGGGUGGGCACUUUACCCGAUAUCCGAAGUGGCACCCGACAUACAAAGAGAUUCUGAGAAUCCAAUCCUGGUUUACUCAAAUAGACAGAAAAGCAUGACUCAUCAUGAGAGCCAACCACAACAUAUCUUGUAACUUGAAGCCGGUAUUUGACCGGUUUCCCGGAUAUAUUCAGCUUCAGCUGCUGCCUUCUCGGCGUCACGGGCCUUUCUAGCUUCCGCAGCAGCCCGUUUCUCUUCUGAUCUUUGCUUAGCCAUUGCGAUUUUCUUCACUAUCUUUGCUUCAGCUUCAGCUUUCAUCUGCUGCACUUUAGCCUAGCAACAUACCAAUGCUUUUAGCAGUAGUGACAUAUAGUGUGAGUGAUCAAGACAUUAAGAUUUAUCCGAAAACGUAUCACACAAACCUCAAUACGUCGCAUCUCUGCUUCAAGUUUGGCUUUCUCCUGACUCUCCCAAGCUUGGAUCCUGAUCUCCUCACGCUUAUACCUAAUAUAAACAACACGUUGUUAGGGCUUUUUACUUUAUGUUUCUUCACAGACAAGCUACUAUUAAGGUCGUAAGAAUGCAAACAGACCUUGCAUUAUGUUUUGAUUUCUCUGCUUCUUCCCAUGCACUCGCUCGCUUAUCAAACUCAACCCUCUGAGUCUCCUCUGCAUCUACAUUGUUGUUGUUGUUCUCCUCUUCCUCUUUACUUGCCCAAGCUGCGAUGUUUGUCUUCCCAAGCUGAACUCCGAGAGCUACAAUCUCUCUUCUCGUCCUCGCUUUCAUUUCCUCCUCAGAUAAGUCUCUUCUAGUGUUCUUAGACGGGUCUUGUGACACAGAAGACUCUACUUGUUUGCCUCCUCUAGGAGUAGAAGGCAGAGAAGAAGUAGGGCUGCGAAGAGGAGUUGUUGCAUCAACUGGUGUGACAGAUCUUGAAGGUUCUUGACUCGGUAUUGGCGUCAUUUCAGUCCCCAUAUCUCUCAUACACACAGAACGAAUCGCAGGACCAGCUUCACACAUUACAACACUUGUCAAAAUCAGUUAGAGCCAUCAAAUCUAACAUUAUCUAAUUACCUGUUGUGUUAUCAUGUGAUGAAGCCUUUGUUAGAAUUGGAUGUGGUGCCGUGGGAACCAAGUUAGGGAACGUUUCGAACCCUUCAGCUUGUGAGGAUUGGCACGGAUCCAUCCUAGACUUGGUAUGCUCGUAGCCUGUAUUAUCAGGCACAACCCUCACAGGCAUCCGGUUCCCUUGACCGUUCUUCCUCAUCAUCAUGUUCUGUCUGCUCAAUAUCCACUUCUCAGCAUCACUCCAUUUGGACGGCACUUGUCUCCAAGGGUAUGCUCUUGAGGCAUGACUCUGAGCGGAACGCUCUCCUCCACGAACACCACCGUGGAACUCGAAGCUUGAAGAGCUAGCGUUACUGUCAUAAUCAAGAUUUUCAUCUUCUUGUGGUCUCAGAGUAAUACUCAAGUCAGCCUUUUUAAGUUGCUGUGGUCUUGCUUGAUCAGUUUCUCUCAUACCACCUUGAUUACUGCUCUCGGUUAGGUCCAAAACUGGCGCAUUUGGUAGUUUAGCUACUUCUAUAUAAGUAGCUGAAGCCGCCACUAGAAGCCACACAACAAGAACAGAGCAAAUAGACAAACUUUUAGUCAAGUAAUGAAACAGAGUAUAUACAUAAACACUAACCAUUUUAAGACUUAAAAUUAAAAGAAAGAGCAUAGAGAUGAAACAAGAACAGGGCAAAAAAACAAACUUCAGCUAAGAACAGAGCAAAAAGACAAGCUUUAGCCAAGAACGGGGCAAAAAGACAGGCUUUAGCCAAGAACAGAGCAAAUAGACAAGAUUUAGCCAAGAACAGAGCAAAUAGACAAGCUUUAGCCAAGAACAGAGCAAAUAGACAAGCUUUAGCCAAGAACAGAGCAAAAAACAGAGACUUUUGGUGUAUCUUGGACUAAGAAAAGGAUUAAACUAUAAAACUGAGACAUGGAAGACGAGAGAACAAACCAUGAUCAUCUUCGUCUGUGUCGGACUUGGAAGCUAACAAGCUGUUCUUGGAGAAUUCUGUGUCAUCUGAAACCUGAAGACGAACAGGAGAUGUUCUUGAUGAGUUAUUGCUAGAUCCUUCUUUCUUCUUGUUAUUGUGGGGACCCAUUAGCUUCAUUCUCAGCUUCGUUGGCGAGAUCAUGCUCUUCUGCAAGAUAUAUAUAAAUGAAAAUUUUCUUGAUUUCUUGAACUUGAAUUCAAAUAGUUUAAAAGGAGAAACAAAUUAACUUUAUUUUGAUAAACUACUUCACUUAAUGGAGGCGAAAAAGGGUGAAAAUAUCUGAAAUUUAACAGUAAACACACAAACACACACAAAAGUUAUCUCUUUUCUCCCAGGAAUUCUUCUAUAGAGGAAUCUCAAUGUAACAUAAUGGAUGCUAAAUCCUAAUGCAUAUCCAGUAUUUUCAGUGAAGAGAAAUAAAAACAUAAAAGUAAGAGUGCAAUAUUGAUAACAAGAAUACAGACAAGUACAAAAGAAAAGAAGAUUGAAGACCAGAGAAGUGUUGUACUUGAGAAAGAGAGAGAUAGAUAUGAGUUAAUUAAUUUACCUGCACCUUCUCUAUCCUCUCGUACUCCAUUGCCAAUGCCAAGUCCUCUCAGUCUAUCUCUCUAUCUUUUUAUAUUGUUAUACUGAUAUGUAUGAAGCUGAAGACAAGACGAGCCUUCUUCUCACUCUACUCCCUCUCUCCUCUCGAGUAUUAACUAGAAGAAGAAGAAGAGAGACAAAUGAGUGUUUUCUAGCUUAUUUUUAUUAUUUUUAAUGAUUGAUUUUCUUGUAUUUAAUACUGGGAAUUGUUUUGUUGUAUUUUUGUUAGAAAAAAAAAACAAAAGAAGUGAGAAAAGGCGACUGUGCACGCCGGUCCACAUUUUUCAUUUCAUCAUCAUACACCGUUUUGAUCUUGACACGUCACCUAACUCAUCUUUGUAUUUUUAAUUACAGAAUAUUUUUGAGUACUUUUGUUCUCUUCUCAUCCACGAAUACAUUUUUUUUUGUUUCUACCAAAUUUAAAUCUGGAAAACGACUUCAAUUAAUUUUCUUAUAUUUGAUUUUCUUAAAAACCAGUAUAUAACAAAGUUUCUUAUGAUGAGUAAGAAAAAUAAGUAGUGGAUUUAUGAUAAAUCGAGUAUAUAACAAUGUUUCUUAUGGUGAGUAAUAAAAAUAAGUAAACGAUUUGGAUUUUUAGGUGCAAUUUUCUCAUUGUAAUGACUUUUUUUUGAGAUACAGAUAUAACAAAGGAGAAAAUUUUGAGAUACUACAUGCCAAAAAGAAAAAAAAAUUAUGAUAUCUGAAAAGCCUAGGAGUAGAUUAGUGAACGUGGAUUUAUCAUUUACAUCUGUCGAUCUCGUCACUAGCCAUAAUGAACUUAAUCAUUUCUUUUUCACUGUGAGCUUUAUUAUUUUUGGGGUCACUGACUUACUAGCUGUGAACUUAAUAAUUAAAAAUACAGAAGCCCAAAUUUGAAGAAAGAACAAAUUAUUUGUAUAUAUCUGGUUAGGGUAAGUAGAAUAAAAUUCCAAGAAACAUAAAAUGAGCCAGCCAAAAAAAGCUUAGCAUUCCAUCUAAAAUGUGGUUACAAACUUACAACACUUUUUUGAGCAUCCAAUGCUGGAAACUCAAAAUUAGUAUAUGAAUCAUAAAAGACUAUCAAUUUAUUUAAUUCAAAACUUUUGUAGAAUGAACAAAAUAUUAUUUUAUAGACUCUAAAAUUCGAACCAGUGUUUUAUUUUUCUUUGUAUUAGUAUAUUGAAUACUUAAAACUUUUGGAAUGAUGUGUUUUACAUUCUGUGUGCUAUUGUGAUAGUUACUUUAGGAGUAAUAACAGUAGAUACUAUAUCUUUUAUUGAGUUAGUAAUUAUGAUAGUGACAAAAAAAUAUCAGAGCAAGCUAUUAUGAUUUUUCUGUUAUUUUUUUAUAUUUUAUUUUUUGGCUUAAAAAGAAACCGAAGAAGGGGUUGUGUGUAACAAAGAAGAGAGGUAUCACACUUUUUUAAGAGAAAUUGCACCCAAUAACUAAGAAAAAAACCAAAAUUCACUAUCUAACUAAAAUCCCAUCUUUUUUUCUCUUUUCUCUUCCUAUCUCUCUCUAAAAAUCUAAUUUCUCUUUUUUUUUGGUUAUUCCCUAAAUAAGCCCGUUUUUUAAAGGUUUAAAGUUAGAGAGAAGAGAGAAGUUAGAUCUGCUUUGGUUUCCGGCGUUCGGUCGGCGCGCGUCCGUGCCGGUGCCGGAGUCCUUUUCGUUUGUCGUUUGUCGUUCUCCUUCGUUCCUUCUUCGCCGUCCUGGUAACGAUCGCCUUGUCCAAGCUCUGGUACCGGCUCCUUUUUUAACGGUGGGGCGGUUUUGAAGUAAUGACGCGGUCGUUGGGAAGUCUUCGGUGGAGAGAGAGAGCGGCUUGCAUGUUCAGAGGUGGUGUUUUUCCGGGAGGUGGAGGCUUCCGCAGAUCCACCGUCGCCUCUUCUAGCUUCCGGGAAGGGAGUCUCCUUUAGAUUCGCCUUCGCGGGCUUUUGGUUACGGAGAGCGGAGGCUAGCAAAGCUCCGCGCUGCCGUUUAGGAACCCGGUGUUCUUUGGGUAAAGGUUACUAGGUUCGAUUGGUAUCAAGUUUGGUGUGGUUGUCGUCAAAGGUGAGGUUGGGUCACGGCGGUUGAGAUCCCGGUAGAGGAUGAAGCUUUCCGGCGAGGUGACGACUCUCAAGGAAAGAAAGAGAUGGUUCCCCGCUCGCGUGUCUAGGGUUUGAAGUCUGUAAAGUCGGAGGAGAUCUCGAGUUUCGAUUGAUCCCUCAGGCGUGAUGACAUUGCGGUGAAGAGAGGCUAUGGGUUCGUUGGAGGCUUGUCGGGGUCAGAACUCCGACGAACGAAGAUUUCGAUGGUGUUUAUUCUGGCGGCUUUCUGGCGGGGCGGUCAAGUUGAGGUGGUGAUGCCGCGUGAAGCGUGAAAGGAGCAGAUCCCUCCACGUGGCGAGCCAGUCUCCUCGACGCGCUGGCUGUCUGGGUCGAGCGGUUUCUAAGUUUGGACCGAGGGCCCGUUUAAUCUUUGCCUUUUGCCCGUUCUCGUUUGGGCUUAUAGUAGUUUUUUAUGUAAGCGGGCUUCUGCCGUUGUCUGGGCCCGGCCCAUUGAUUUAAUAUUAAAAAAAGACAUUGACGGAAAAGAAAAAAAAAGAAGUGGUUGUGUGUAGAUCUACGUUGCACGGAAGCUUCAUCGGACGUCCGCUUCCCGCUUCGGAACCGGAAUCGGAAUCGGAACCUUGUGGAAGCUUACGGAAUCUCGCUUCCAAAACGCUUCUAAAAUAUUAUCUUUAAAAACAUAUUGGAAGCUUACGAUUCCGUUUUGGAAUCGCGCUUCCAUUUUUUUUUUUUAAACACAAUGUCUUAUAUCAAUAAGAAUAUAAAAUUAUAGUUUUUAAUUUAUAUAUAAUCCAAAUUUUAAUAGUAUUGAAUAGAGAGAAUAGAAAUAUACAAAUAUUAAAACUAAUACUAUAAAUUAUCUUUAUGCAUUGAGGUUUUUAUUAAAGAUAAAUCAUAUAUUCAAAUAUAUUAUGUCAAUUAAUUAUAAAGAAUUACAAAAAUAUAAUAUUAUUUAUUUUAUUUAAUUUAUGUGUAUUUUCACAGUUUAAAUAUGAAGUUAUUUCAAAAUUAUUAUAAAUGAAUAAAUGCUUUAUUUUAAAUUUAAAUCAUAUAAUUUUUAGUUUUAGAUUUUUAAAAAUAAUCUUACAUAUGUAUAUAUAUUCCAAUUUUUAAUUUUUAGUCUUACAUAUAUAUAUAUAUGGAUACGCUUCCAACACGUAUCCGCUUCCUAAUUUUUUUUAAAAUCUCGCUUCUGCGCUUCCAUACGCUUCCGCUUCUACGUACCCGCUUCCGUUUCCAUGUAACAUAGCUGCUGACCCCAUUUCAUGACUCUACACCCUCUCUCCCUUUGUUUUCCUCCUUUAUUGUUUCCUUCUUUUAUGUUCUUUAUUUUAUAUAAACCAUAAAACCAAUAUCAAAUGUCCAUCCAUUUUUUAAACCGAGCUGAGCAAAAUUAUGUAAGCUAUUUUACUAUUAACAUCAAUAUUGUUGUUAACACGGUAGGAAAUUUAUAUAUGCACUUAUACACUAUAUCAUAUUGAACUUUUGUAGCAGCAAAAUAAUUUCUUAAUAAACUUCAUUUUUGGCGACAAAACAAAAGUUUGAAAUUGUCAUUUUAACCAUUUUUUUGUAGUGUUUGAUUGAUUAUCUGUUGUGUUACAUAAUUAAAACAUCUUCAAUCGCAACAUCAAAUUUGGUGUUGAAAUUAUAUCAAAGUUAGUGUUUUAGUUUCAUUUUCGUUUUGUUAUCUCCAACUAAAAUAUUAAUAUUUACACCAAAAAAAAAUAUUAUAUAUUAUUUGAUGUUUUCAAUUUUAAUAAUAUAUAUUUUAUUAUUUUUAUUGAUAAAUGAUUAUUUUAUCACACUAAGGUAUUAUUAUGUUCAUAAUGUUUAUUUACGUUUCUAUUUUUUACCAAUAUUAUAUAUAAAAAAUACAAAUAAUGCAAUAUAUUAUGUUUAAUUACAAAUUUGAACUAGUUAAUAAUAUAAUUGAACUAUACUAUUAGAUAAAAUAUAAUAAAAUAUAUAUUUAAAUAUUUGGCGUGAUAAAUAGUGUUAUACUAAUUUUGAUGUAAUUUUAUUUAUAUUACACCAAAUUUAUUGGAAUUAUAUCAUUUUUGUGUCUUAUUAUAAAUGAAAUUGCACCAAAUUCUUCUAACACGUAUCCGCUUGCUAAUUUUUUUUAAAAUCUCGCUUCUGCGCUUCUAUACGUUUUCGCUUCCACGUACCCGCUUCUGUUUCCAUGUAACAUAGGUGUAGAUUCGCAAGGCAAUGUAAAUGAUACAAGAUCGGUACUGAAACGUAAAAAAAUCGAACUGACACUUUCUCCACUUUAGGGCAUUACGUUUCUCUGUUACUUUGACCGUUGACCACCUCGUUUCUUAUUCUUUUUCAUGAACUUAUGUAUUUUUUCAUUAUGGAAGUUUUGAUUAGGAUAAUAUUCCAGUGGCAAUUAUUAUGUAACCAGAACCGAUAUAUUCCGUUGACCACCUCUGUCUCACUACAUUUAACUUUAGGUUAAAUAUUCAUUGGUAUUUUUCUUUUUAACUCAAAAAAUUAUUUCAUUCAUGAAAAUAUACAAAAUAAAAUACAUAAAUCGACGAAAUAUGAAUAAAUCUCUAAAAAUAAUAGUCCAAAAAAAUAUAAUACUAACCAAAACAACCAAUAGAUUUUAAAAUAGUAGACAAGCACUACAAGAAAACAGCGGUAUUCUGACGGACGUUCCGACGGAAAAUGAAUUCCUCGGAAUAUACCGAGGAAUUUCCGAGGCAAUUCCGAGGAAACACAAAAUUUGGCUUCCUCGGAAUUUCCUCGGAAUAUACCGACGGAAUUCCGAGGAAAAUUCAGUUCGUCGGAAUAUUCCGACGGAAUACCGAGGAAAAUUCAGUUCGUCGGAAUAUUCCGACGGAAUACCGAGGAAAAUUCAGUUCGUCGGAAUGUUCCGACGGACUACCGAGGAAAAUAGUAUUCCUAGGAAAAAAAUCGAUGAAUUCCGAGGAAAUAUUAUAGACGUUAGAGAGCCGUUGGGGGGAUUUUAAAAAUUCCGAGGAAAUUCCGAGGGCAGAAAGGUUUUCCUCGGAAUUUCCUCGGAAUAGAUCUUGUCGAUUUAGAGAUUUGAUUAUACAUUCCUUUUCCUUGGAAUUUCCUCGGAAUUUUCCGAGGAAAUUCCGACGACGAUAGAGUUUUCCUCGGAAUUCCCUCGGAAAAUUUCGAGGAAAUUCCGAGGAACUUGGGGUUUUAAACCGAAAACAACGUUUUACGGAUUGAAUAACACGUAUAUAACCUUCAUUAAGUGUCUUAACCAGAUUAUGAAGUCAAACUUUGGUGUUUUACCCAAUAACAAACACUUUUACGAUUGCAUGAACGAAAACCACACAACAUAAGAGAAACACUUAUACACUUUAACAAACGGUAAAGGGAAUACUUACAAUUCGUUUUGAAAUUUUGUUAUUUCAUGGUUUAUGAUCAUCUAUACAAAGAAUCCUCAAUGGUAUGCAUUAUAAUUGUAUAAGAAAUGAAAUACGGCGAAAAUAAUCGAUGUUUUGAAACCCCAAACCCUGGUUCCUCAGAAUUUCCUCGGUAAAUUCCGAGGAAAUUCCGAGGAAACCUGGUUCCUCGGAAUAUUUUCAUUUAACCGGGUAAACCAAGCCGCCAAAUAUUUCGCGAAAAUUGAAUUAAUGAUUUCCGAGGAAAUUCCGACGGAUAUAGUAAAUAUUUCCGAGGAAAUUCCGACGGAUAAUUUCCGUCGGACCCCUCAUUUUAUUAGGUCGAGCCCGACCUUCUUCCCCAUUUCUCUCCGCCGCAAUCUCUCUUUCUCCUGCGAUUUCGUCGACUCCUCUCUUCUCCCUUGCGAUUUGCGGCGCUUUCUCUCUUCUCCCUCGCGAUUUCCACCCUAAUCCUCAUGUAUGAACCCUAUCCCACUCUUUUAGGUUAGAUUUGUAUGGUUUUUAAGUAGAUUUGAUGAUUUUGGAAUGAGAUUUAUAGAUUUUGUUAGGGUGAAUGGUAGAUUUNNNNNNNNNNNNNNNNNNNNNNNNNNNNNNNNNNNNNNNNNNNNNNNNNNNNNNNNNNNNNNNNNNNNNNNNNNNNNNNNNNNNNNNNNNNNNNNNNNNNNNNNNNNAUGAAUUUCCGAGGAGUUAUUUCCGAGGACUUUUUUCGUCGGUAUGUCGUCGGAAUAGCGUUAUUCCGACGACAUACCGACGAUAUUUUCCCUCAGUAUGUCGCUGUUUUCUUGUAGUGAAGUAAUAUAUAGAAAAAUAAUAGAACCUAGAGCUGUGACUGAUAUGAUGAUCCAAUUUAUUCACCACCUUUCCAUAGAACAAUAAAACACUGAAGCUAAAUUAAGGAGGAGAAGUCUUGAGCGAUCCCAACCCUGAAAGGAACAUCACCAAGUCAAACUAGAACAUCAACAUCAAAAAUAAUCGCAAGGUCGAAUCUACAACAACUCCAGAAACUACUAUCCAUUUGAAACUUGCAUGACCGAAAUUCUUCACCAAAACUAAAGUACAAAGACCGAAAAACUUGAAACUUGAAAAAACGUCAAAAAAGACCACCAGCUCUUACACGCAGACACUCGCAAGACAAUUAAGUGACCUACAGAACAAAGACUGUCCACCUCCUCGCAAGAAAAGAACUGAAGAACAAGUCAACUACUUCGUCUAGAAACCAUAUCCCAUAUUCACAAAAGAGCAAGAAAAUAUAUAGUAGAUACCUCCACAGCGAACACAAAUCACAAAAACGAAUCCAAAUAACGAGCUUCGGUUGAGACGAAGAGACCAUGACAGCAAGAAUCAAACAUAAGAAACAGUCCCACGACUUCAAGCUAAUACCAACUUGUCACAAAAUACUUUCACCCACACUUAACGACACCAAGAGAAAGGAAAAAAUCCCACCAUUAAUCUAGUAGAUCCGGAUCUCUGGUUUCAACAUAGGAAAAGAGACGGUCAGAUCUGAAAUCAUACACCUCACCAGUAUCUGAGAUGCUUCAAAUCUACAGCUGAAACUAUGAAGAGUAUAAACCCAAGUAAAAAUCGCAUACACAAAAUAGAACAGACGAGAAUGAAAAGAGGAGAAACCGACGCUGAUGCUGACAGAGCCAUAGAAACCGAUCUCCAACAAACGAUACGAUACGGCAGAUACUUGCUCUCGACGACUAGGGUUUCACAGCAGAUCACGUAGUUUUAAAAUGAUGGAUGUAUUUGUGUGUAUCCAUUGGUAUCUAAAAUUUUACCAUGAAAUAAAAACUAUUAAACGUUAUUUUAUACUCCUACCGAGCAAUAGAAGUGGAUCUGUGCUCUACCGAGCAGCAGUACAACUCACUGGCCGCUUAUAUUAUUCGUAUGAUUAUAAGUUAUAACAAACAAGCUGUGAAAUAUAUAACUAUAGCUUUUUAUAUACUAAUAUAGGUUUAUCGGCUCGUAAAAUUCAAAACAUACGAAUCAUAUAAACAAUGGCGAGCGUGUACGUAUUGUGAGGCUCAAGCUCAGCUAGAUUCCUAUAGACUAAUCUUGUUUUCCUCAUAGAGAAAUCUAUUUUAAAAUAGUAUUUCCUUAAGGUCAUGCCUUUCCAUAGAAAAUAAUCAAACUAUACAUAUGAGGCUGAUUACUUUCUUUUCUAUAUAUAUAUAUAUAUAUAUAUAUAUAUUUUUUAAUGGACAUGUUUUUUUUCAGACUUCAACUGAUCGUUAUUAUUCAUGGAAUGAAUUCGACCUGGUUGAAGGUUGUUAGUUUAAGUUUAUAUCUUAUAUGGCUGUUGUUACUUGUUAUUGCCUCGGGCCCGUGGUAUGUCCUGUUUCUGGCUUCUGGCUCCGUUGAUAUUAUGUAUUAGUCGGAUUUUGAACUCUUGGCUUUAUAUGCUCCGUUCCUGAUCAACUGAUCUAUGAAAGAUGACACAGAUCGCGAAGGAAGGACUCAUGGCUUUUAUUUAUAAGAAAACGGCGAAAGGAACAAAAUACAUCAUCAUUAAGUAUAUAAACCCUUGCAUCACCACGAUUCCCACACUUUAGACGACAAUUCCACUUAUCAUAGCAAACUGAAAUACGAUUUAAUUGGUUGAAAAGUGGUAUGAUCAUCAACAACUGGAACCGUGACGAAUGGUUUGGAGCAUACCAAAUAAAGGGCCUUUGGAAGCGCCGAUGUGGAAACCCUACAACAUUUGAAAACAAAAAUGUCGAGUUCUUUACUUUUAGGAUCUAUUGUUGCAAAUUUAUCGAGAUCGACUUUGUGUCUCAUGAUGAACUGGGGGGCUUGGAGAUUAGAUUACAUCCUUCAAACAAAGCCCAUCAAAUAAAUCAAAUUCGGCCUAAUUGACUAAAAGGCGAUAAAAAAUUAUGUCGACUUAGAAGAAAAAAAAAGUCGGUUGUAAAAGAAAAGACUUAGUUCAAAAAAAGACACUUUCACAAUCACACAUAAAUCCACACAAAAACUAGGAUUUAUAUACUUUUACUUGUUCUUGGUGAAUUCAUGGUUCUUGAAUGAUUUAGUCGCUUUUCCUUGUAAUCAUUCUUUUAUCUAUCAAUAAACAUUUUUAAAAUAAUUCACCAUCAAAUUUAUGUUUAUUUUUGGUAAUGAAUUCAGAUUCACUAGUAUAUAUGAAAGGUUUAUCUUAUUUUUCCGAGUGUAAAGUAUUUUUUUUUCGUUUCAAAAUAAAUGAUUUUAGUAAACUUUCUGAUGUUUUAAAACAUAUAAUGUUUUCAUAUUUCAAUGUAAUUUUUAACUUUAUCAAAAAUCAUGUAAUCAAUAAUAUUUUGUAAUCUAUUUUGUAAUUGGUUAAAUAAUUUUUAAUUUAUACUUUAAUUUUAUUUUUAAAUAAAAGACAAAUUUCUUAAUAGUUGUGCAAUACACUAAAAUACUUAGUAUAUUAUUAACUACGGGGUUAAGAUAUGUAACACGAUACUCAUGUUAGUGUGCCAUAGAUCUAGUGUCCUUAUAAUCAACCAUUUAGUGUGUUUCUUUUUUCUUUUUUCUUUCCAUAAUGUAAAUUUUGUUUUCAAAUGUGAGGUUACUGAAAUUCAAAUUUAAAAUAUAACAAGACAGAAAGUCUGAAACAAGUAUUCCCCAACUGAUUCUACAUACCACAGUUCGUUAAUUUUUUCACUUUCAGUUCUUAUUGCUGUUUACUGUUUUCAACAUCAUCAUAUCAAUAAUUUUCUUUGGUUGUUACAAAUAAAAAUGUACAGUCUAUUGUUUGGAUGGUUGCACAUGGAGUGCCUAUUUUGUUUCUCACAUGUGUUAAUAUAAAGUCGAAACGUACACGUAAAUUCAAACAUAACAUGUAUUUUUAAUAUAGUCAAAACUUUAUAACAUGUUUUUGUGAUAGAUUUAUGACAUGGUUCUUGCCUCUGGUUGUUAAUAAACGUGAGCUAUAUCGUCCAGUUGUCGUUGAUCCAUGUAUGAAUUUCAUAGAAAGUGAUAUUGGUUGGACUCUCGUAGAAAGAUAUUUGACCGCAUUUAACUUUAUUUUUCAUUCGUUUUUUAUAGUGAAAUGAACAUUUGGAUCUGCUUUUGCCAUACAUAUAAUCAACAAUGAUGUGAUUGUGAUGUACAUACUGGUCGCUGAUUUAUUUCAUUUUCUCAAUUGAAUAAUAAAGGUAGCCAUUUUUUUUUUGGUCAACUACGAAGAGAAUUGUACUCACCAAAAGAAUGUUCAAACAAAAUAUUAAAUAUAUACACAAACGGCCAUGCCAUAUAAAUGGGCUUGUUGAAAUGGUGCAUCAAUUUGAUUUUAGUGGUCGGUGUAUGGGAUAAGUCAAAAAAGCUACCUUGUACAUUUCAUGGCACACACUUUUUGACAUUUUUCAUUUCACAUUGCUAUUACUAACUUAAUCAAUAAAUGUGAAUUUAGUUUAAUUUUUUUUUAUCUUUUGCAAUAUGUUCAAAACCACGAGUUUGACUUGACAGUAGAAUUUAGAAAUGGAGACGCAAAACAUAUCUCCCAGUGGGUCCAUAGAGUAACUACCCAAAAGAUUUUGCCAAGCUUAAUUACAUAGAUCCCCUAUCGUCUUCUAUCGAGUUAUUUUUGGAACCUAGAUUAGCUUUCUUUUAUGGGGAUCUGUAGGAAACCUUUGGAUGGACACAUAAGUUUAUAAGGACGAAGAAGAUAACUCAUAGUAUGCUGUGAUAUGCAUUUUGUUUGCUUUCUCUUGAUCUCAAAUGAAAAAUAUCAUGAAUGAUCAAACGAUUUUGUUUCAAACACUUUCUCCAUAUUAACAGUCUAGAAUCUUGUCUACUUUCUAAGAAGUGGAAUAAUACUAUUUCUUAAGUUUCUCAUAUAGUUAUUGAUUGAUAAUGUAGUAACCAAAAUUUAUUAAACUGGAUCUUUAUUAAGAGUUAUUCUCCAUAUAUUGUCCCUUUCUUUCCUCUGUUAUUGAAGAAACCUUUGUGUCAGAACCUAAAAAUAACUAUAGUUGAACAUGUAUUUUGUUGUUUUGUUGAUAGCUCACGAUGAGAAUGAUCCGUGACUAGAAAUGAUUACCGUGACUACAAAUGAAUAUGAAUCUAACCAUACGAAACCAAGCCUUUUGAGUGGUCUUUUACUAUAUUAUUUGAGAAUGAUUUUCUGUAGACUUUCUAUUAAAAAUCUGACUAAUGUAGUAAUCAAAAUUUCAACCAUAAAAUAGUUUUACGAUGAACUGCUUUUUCUUUCUUUUGUUAUUAUUUUAACAAGUAUAUCAGGAAAAAUGCAAAAAGAUAAUAAAGCAAAGGGUUUAAAUGCUAAACUAUAAUUUGGCAAAGACACAAAGAUCCCAACUUAAGAUUAAAGGUUUAAACAACAACAACAAAAAGAAGGUUUUAGUGCAUCUUGAAGAGAGCCGUUUUCUCAUUUCCGUCUCUCUCUUUCUCUCUUUGUAUCCUCAUCUUCUGAUUUAGAUGCUCAGCCUAAAAAGAUUUAAUGAAAAGGCCAAGUAAUGUUUUUGUUACCUCUUCAUAGGUCGAUAGGGACUCUCAAGCCAUCAUGCGCAAGUUUUACCGAGAUCCCUUCCCUAAGAAAACCAAACAUUGCAACAAAUAAAUAAGAUUACACCUCUCUUUCUGUGGAUGGUUUCUUCUGAUACAGUUUUCUACCUUUUAGACCAUUCAUCAAGAAACUCAUUGUCCUUGUGGUGAUCAAACUCGUGAGUCAUUCCGAUUAGAAGAGCCCUUUUGGGACUCAGUCUUUUGAUCGUCUCUAGUGUCUACAUGAGAACAAAAGUAAGCAUGCAUAAAACAUAAAAGAAGAAAAAAAAAACACCUUCAAAUUAAGCUAACCUGCGGGAAACAUAAGUGGGUGUUGUGGGAUCCUGUCUGGAACGUCACGAUAAAAGAAAGAAUGUGAAAACAUCAGAAAAAUGGAAAAGCAAACUUUAAUGCAUAAGGAUGAUAUGCGUUACCUUAUAUAAUGUAUCCAAGAUAAGAAGAUCCAAUUGUCCACCACCAGAUUUUGAUAUGACUGUAUAAUCCAAAGGCAAUAGAGUCUAAAGUUAUCUUGUGUGAGAGUAUCAAUAACACACACGCUCUAAGAAAUUUGUUACACACACUUACCAUACUCAGUGCUUGGAGGAAAGCGUGACACAUCAGAUAUAUACGCCACUCUUGAUUUUUCUCCAAAAAGGAAACCAAGGCAGACGUAGUCUUCUCCAUGCAUCACCUAAGAGGCAUAAACAAGAUUUGAGUCUCCGGAUAGAUCAAGCAGGGAGACAUGAAUCACUAUUUCUAACAGAGGGUUUGAGAAACUAACUGGAAGUGGCGUGAAUGAUAAGUCUGAAGCUAAAAAUGGCUUCUCACAAUCUUCUUCGAUUACUCUCCAGUCCAGCUGUGUAACCCGCCUAACUUCUUGGCCUUCUUUAAGUUUCUUCUGAACCAGAUACGGGAACUUCACAGCAAGACUGUUAUGAAGAAAGAAAAGAAGGCAAUUGUCGAAACUACAGCUUUCAAAGUCUAGAAGGUCAAACUGAAAAUAAAUAAAAAAGACCAUGAAGAUGUUAUUAUUACCUGUCCAUAGCAUAUUGGCUUACGAAAAUAGGAGUAGGAUCUAUAUCAUUGGUAGGACUAAAUGGUUGCACGGAGCGUAUAUCAUCCAGGCCAAGUACUGCAUCAGCAUGCUCAUGGGUUAAAAUGAUCUGCAUGUCAUGUAAAAAAAAAAUUAGUGCUUACAUGCAUGGACUCGAGAAUUGUAAUUCAAGACUUAAAAUUUGCCUCAUGUUAGCUUUCUUCAUACAUUAUCUCAGGCAUGUUAGAUCCUUUUCUAGGCACGAAACAAAAUAUUCAUGCACGACUUACAGAAUCAACUUGAGGAAUGUUGUGAAGAGUGAACCAACGAAGGACUUGUUCCCUGAAGGUCUUGCCAACGUCGAUUUGAAUGUAUUUAUGUUUGCCAUCACUUUGGCAAUAAUCAAUUAGAAGUGAAGUGUUUCCCCUGCCAAAACAAAAAGGACACAUAACUCUUGCACUGAAAAGAGAAUCUCGAGUCUAAAAUAGGGAGGAAUCAGCUAACUAUAAGAUGGAUCAUCAAAAUCAAGCGCCACACACAAUCUUAAAAGUAGGACGCAAAGCUAGACUAAUUGAAUCAAAGGAACAUAACUAAGUGAUCUCACAAACCAAGAAUUAAACAAAAUUGAUGAAACCCAAAUCUCAAUUUUAAGGAAUGUUCAAUGUGAUCACCGACAUGCAAGAAGCAAAAAUAAAAAAAAAACUAAGAUAGCAACUCCACACUCGAAGGUAUGUACAAUGUACCUGUAGUUAGGGUUUUUCUCUGGCGGGAUCGAGAGAGACUGCGAGCAGACGUAGCAGGGAGGAUCUGAUUUCUGGAUCAAACACAUUGCGUUAGGAACCGCGCUCGAACAUCCCGUUCCCAGGAAUAUCAGAGCCGAUCCCUCGCCACCGUUCUCACUCGGAACCGAACCGUUCAUCAUCGGAAUAUGUAUGUUUCCUGUGAGAGAAUAUGGCAAAGGAAAAACUCGCUAGUAAUAAUAAAAAGAGGUAACAGAAGAAGAAGGGUGUCUUGUCGACGACGCAAAGGGGAAGGAGAUGAAGAUCAAAUAUAUUUUAUUUUAUAUACUAACGGUUACGUUUGUCACGUGGCGCACUCUUGACGCCUCUCAAUGUAACUCCUGCUCCUGGUGGUUGUGGGAAAUUGGAUUCCUUUUCAUAUAAACUUCAUGUUAAUACCUUUUUCGGAUAAAUCUUGACAAAUUUUCCUCAUUUAAAAUAAAUAUUUUAUUAUUUCUUUCCCUGACUAAAAUUUAUUGUAUGAUUUGUUAACACUUUCGGAUUUUUAAGACUUUUAUUUCUUUUGUCUACCUACUUAAAUUGAUAAAUUUAAUUAAAUUUCACAAAAAAAUAGAGCUCACAGCUCAUGCACCAGCCAGAAAUCGAACCCGGGUCUGUACCGUGGCAGGGUACUAUUCUACCACUAUUUGAUAUGCCUCGCUAUAUACAGAAUAUAAAUGCAAACUCCAUACAUUCUCUUUAUUUUUCCCAACACCUUCUCGUGGUCACACCCUAAUAGUAAAGAUGAUUCAAGUUCUUCCAACUUUCAAAAUCGCUUUCUUUCCGUUACUUUGCUCUGUGAAGAACACUACGAUUGAGUGACAACUAAAAAUUUGUGAAGAAGCAACUCGUUUCCGUUUAUCUAAUUGAUGUUGAAUCUAAGGCUUAGUCGCCUUCUUCGUCGACCCUUACUCCGAUUCUCCAACGGCGAAACUGACGCAUCUAUCUCCACAUCUUCCUCGGAAACUCCUCCCUCCAAUCAUGGCCCCUUUAGAGAAGGAGUUUCUCAUCGCGAAGAUGACCACCUGUCAGGAGAAUUCACGCAAUUGGGUUUCGGAAAGUCGCCGCCUUUGAAUGUCAGUGAAGCUGAAUCUGGAGAAAUUCGAAACCCUAGCUUCAACAGCUUUGACGAGAUAGACGAAUUGGGAGGAGAAGAAGAUGACGAAGACGAUGAGGAAAGCGUCGACGAACGGGACGAUGAUGAUUUUGCUGUUCUGGAAUCUUUCGGGAAGAUCCCACGAUCGAGAGAAGACGUUAACAGUAGAUUCGACGUGGAAGAAGAUGAAUCUAGGCAUCCUUUGGUGAGAGAGACAAACCGAUUGAUUAAUCUCAGAUCCUCUUGGAACCCAAAGCACGAAGGCGAAAUGAGGAAUCUAUUAAGGAGCCUUAAACCUUCGCAAGUCUGCGCCGUUCUACGCUCUCAAGACGACGAGCGUGUUGCUCUCAAGUUCUUCUACUGGGCGGAUCGUCAGUGGCGGUAUCGCCACCACCCCGUUGUGUAUUACUCCAUGCUCGAGGCUCUCAGCAAGACCAAGCUCUGUCAAGGUGCGAGGAGGGUUCUUGUUUUGAUGAAACGUAGAGGUGUGCAUCGAACUCCUAAGGCGUUUUCGCUUGUGAUGGUAUCGUAUAGUAGAGCAGGUCAGCUGAGGGAUGCUUUGAAGGUGUUGACUCUUAUGCAGAGAGCUGGUGUUGAGCCUGAUUUGUUGGUCUGCAACACGGCUAUUGAUGUUUUCGUGAGGGGGAAUAGGUUGGAGAAAGCGUUGCGGUUUCUGGAACGUAUGCAGGUUAUUGGUAUAGUGCCAGAUGUGGUGACUUAUAAUUGUUUGAUCAGAGGGUAUUGUGACUUGAGUAGAGUUGAGGAAGCUGUUGAGCUGCUAGAGGAGAUGCCUAGUAAAGGAUGUGCGCCGGAUAAAGUUAGUUACUAUACCGUAAUGGGCUUUCUUUGCAAAGAGAAGCGGAUUUUGGAAGUGAGAAACUUGAUGGAGAAAAUGGAGAAAGAGCAUGGUCUGGUGCCGGAUCAAGUUACUUACAAUAAUCUUAUUCAUAUGCUCACAAAGCAUGGUCAUCCGGAUGAGGCUCUUUUGUUUCUUAAAGAGGCUGAAGGAAAAGGCUUUCGGAUUGAUAAGGUGUGUUAUAGUGUUAUAGUUCAUGGAUUGUGCAAAGAAGGAAGAAUGUCUGAGGCAAAAGAUCUGAUUAACGAAAUGCUGUCAAAGGGACAUUGCCCUCCCGAUGUAGUAACUUAUACAACAGUUGUCAAUGGCUUCUGUCGUUUGGGUGAGGUGGACAAAGCCAAGAAGCUGCUUCAGGUGAUGCAUUUACAUGGGUACAAACCAAAUACUGUGUCGUACACUGCUCUGUUAAACGGGAUGUGCAGGACGGGGAAAUCGUUAGAGGCGAGAGAAAUGAUGAACAUGAGUGAAGAGCAAUGGUGGAGUCCAAAUUCUAUUACCUAUAGUGUACUUAUGCAUGGGUUUCGUAGGGAAGGGAAGUUGUCUGAGGCAUGUGAUGUGGUAAGAGAGAUGGUGCUAAAAGGCUUUUUCCCAGGCCCAGUUGAAAUCAACUUGCUGCUCCAGAGUCUUUGCCGGGAUGGGAGAACACACGAGGCCAGAAAAUUCAUGGAGGAGUGUCUGAACAAAGGGUGUGCUAUCAAUGUCGUGAAUUUCACUACAGUGAUUCACGGUUUUUGUCAGAACGAUGAGAUAGACGCUGCUCUCUCACUGCUCGAUGACAUGUACCUGAUCAACAAACACGCAGAUGUCUUCACAUAUACCACUUUAGUUGAUGCACUGGGAAAGAAAGGUAGAAUAGAAGAAGCAACGAAACUUACGAACAAGAUGCUUCAUAAGGGCAUAGAUCCCACCCCUGUCACAUACAGGACUGUCAUCCAUCGAUACUGCCAAAUGGGAAAGGUUGAUGAUCUCGUGGCUAUACUGGAGAAGAUGCUACUGCGGCAGAAAUGCAGGACAGUGUAUAACCAAGUCAUUGAGAAGCUUUGUGGUUUGGGAAAGCUCGAGGAGGCAGACAAAAUUUUGGGUAAAGUUCUGAGGACAGCUUCGACAUCUGAUGCUAAGACAUGUUAUGUGCUUAUGGAAGGGUAUCUUAAGAAAGGUGCACCUCUAUCAGCAUAUAAAGUGGCUUGUCGGAUGUUUAACCGUGAUCUGAUACCUGAUGUUAAGAUGUGUGAGAAGCUUAGCAAGAGACUGGUUCUGGAAGGAAAAGUUGAGGAGGCAGAUCAGCUAAUGCUACGCUUGGUUGAGCGUGGUCGUAUUUCUCCCAUUCCCUUAAAACAGUCCAUGGUAUCAUAAGCAUCGUAACCACAAACUUCUUGGUAGACUGCUUGAGGGCUCAUGCGAAAAGAGUGAUGGAAUAUAACUACAUGCUGUUGUAUUUCGUCGCUGGUUAGACACGACUUCCAGGUCUCAAGCCAAGCACCUAGGCUCUCACUCCGGAGCGGUCAAGGAUUUGGUAGUUGAUGCUCUUGGCUACCAGUUAUUCUGCUUCACAUACUCCUGGAAGCGACCCGUUAACUACUCACUGUUUCAAAUUUAAGUGAAAACUUACUAUCAAGUUUUAAUGUCUCUGUCCUCUUAAGUUUUUCUUACUAUAGUUAAGGUCACCGAUUGUUUCUCUGUGUUUGCAUUUGUGUCCGCAUGUCAUAAUAGUUAGAACAUUGUAAUAUGGGAUACGCAAACGAAAAUGCAAAGAACCAAUUGUGGCCUAAUUCAUGUUUCUUUCUGAUUUGUACUUUACUUAAUAGCAAGACUAUAGGUUGUUGACACUUCACAGUCAUGCAAUGCUAAGUAUACCUCUCUAUUUGUUGACACUUUGAUUAUUCUGAGUAGUGAGUUUAUUACAGACUGAUGUUUUGCUGGUUGCUGCUUCUUCAUUGGAUUACGUAAAAGGUGCAACUGAGAAAGCGUGACUGUAACACCAAAGUUUCUGGGCAUUUUUUUUUUUUCCUCUGGAAUUUUAUUGAAAGAAUAACGGACAAAGCCCAAGACCAACAAAAACACAAAAGGCCAGGAAAAGUCAGCAUAAGAAAGACAAAGCCUAAACAACAGGCCACUUCACAAUACAACUUACGGGCCUUAAGCCCAAAGAGGAACAGUAGGGGAAGAUGCCAGCUCCACCACCACGUGUCCGGACGCCCGGCGCCCAAUGAACACGCGUCACGAAUGGAAGGCACGAGCUCCCUCCGGAGACAAAGAAGCGGCAGGAUUGACCUCCGCCGUCAGCGGCGCGGAGAAGAAACGGAUCGGAUUCGUUCUUCACAAAAACCCUAGACGCUCAUCAGAUAUAUGCUUUAGAAAAGAUAUACAACCUACGUCAAUCAAUCCAACAACCGUAGACUUACGAUGGAGGAAGGAGAAUCGGUCGGACUAGAAACCACGAGAACCAUAGAUCAAAAAAAAAACGGGAUGAAUCCGAUGAAAGCCGCCGUCAACACCAAAGCUAGUGAGACGCGGAGACUAUAGCCAGCCGUCCUCAUCGGAGAAGAAGAUGAGAACGCCGGAGGCAAAAGCCGGACGACCACCGUGGAACAGAUGCGACGCCGGAAUCAGAGAUACGGUCGGAUGCACCGAAGCCGGAAAGGAAGCUUAAACAGAGGGCGAUUCAACACCAAAGCCACCGCCAAAACAAGACUGCUAACUCUCUCUCUGAAAGAUUUUGGAGAGAUAAGAGAGAGAGAAAGCGUUAGUUUCUGGGCAUUUAGGAUGCUCAUUUAAUCUGAAAGUUUUUUGCUAUUAUAAUGUUGAGAAAUAUUACAUAGACGAUUUUACAGUCGAUAAUUUAACCACCAUAUGAGAAUACACGUCUGACUGCGUCACUCACGUCUAACUGCGUCACUCCGAGCCGCACAUUUAACAAAUGGGAAGUUAAAAAAAGUGAAAAGCAUCCAUUGUCUAAUGGAUAUGACAUAGGUUUUCUAAACUUUUGGUAUAGGUUCAAAUCCUAUUGGACGCAAUAUCAAUAUAGAUAUAAAUAUAUUGAUAUUUAUCUAUUAUUUUCAUUUUUAUAUAAGAAUAUUUUUAUUCUGUUUAGAAAAUUUAUAAGAAAUAAAUAUUAUAAGAAAUAAAUUCUGAAUGCUUUAAGAUUUAAUAUUAAACAUAUACAUAUAUUAGUUCUAUACUUCUAUAUAUUAUAUAUAUACUUAACGUAAAUAUACUUCUAUUUUUUAUAAUUUCUCCUGAAGUACAACAAUAUAUUGAACUAAUUCAACAAGUCGACGCGUAAGAUAUCCAGCAUCUGAUGUGUGGACCGCAAUAUCUACAACUCCUUUACGGGCUCCAUAGCAAAAAAUAAUAUAUUCUGUUAAAGACAAUUCUUCGCGUAAAUUGCUUUGAAUAGGUAAAUCAAUCAUUUGUCUUUGGGGAUCCGACAUUAAUCCUCUCGUACCUACUAACUGAUGUACUUGAGAUGCAUUUCCUCUAGCUCCCUAAUUGUGUAAUGAAGACCUCUUGUAACUUUUUUUUCCAUAAUCUGUAUAAUUUGCAAUUUCUGGGGUUUAAAUUCCACACCUUCUGGUGUAAAAGAAGUAAUGAACCUUAAACCACUAGAUUAAGGGUUACAACAUCAAUUAUGAGAAGAAAAAGUAAAUAUUUUUGGUAUAUCUUUACACAUCGCUUUAUCAUUAAAGAUAUGAAUUAUUUUCUGUAUUUGGAUAUAGUGAAGUUGUUUGGUUUCUUGUUGCAUUAGAGCUCUGUUAUUGUAUUUUUGUAUUUUUUUUGGUUUAUUUUGCUUUGGGGUGAACCUAAUGUGUUGAAGGUACUUAUAAGACAUCACUUUCGUGAUAAUGCCUGUUUAUUGGCUGAUUCUGAUUAUCUGAUAGACUCAAAAACGAAAUCUAUAUUGUAAAUAUCGCUACUCUUCUUCAGAAUAUAGAUUCUACUUUUAUGAAGUAUUCUAAGAUUUCGAGAAAACGAAAUCUGGACUUAAUUUGAAUGUCUAUAAAAAGUAGAAAUUGCAUUUUGUACUUAACACGAACGUAUACAAGAAGUAGAAAUUGCAUUAUGUAUUUUUUCAUGAUUCUACAAAGUAUAGAAGGUGCCUUCUACAGAUAAAAAAAAUUUGUUUUUACAAAAAUUAAGGAAGUUUCAGUUAAAAAAAUAUUCCAAAAAUAUUAUAACUUCCUAAAACGUGUUCUGGUCGAUUUUCUAUGUCAAGAUAUAAAAAAAAAAUCAAAUUUGCCUUUAUUCUUCAUCAAUCUUAUGAUUUUUUCAUAGUUUAUCUUGUGAUUUUCACAAACUCUUGUUCUAUGAUGCAUAUCUAUACAAUAUGUGGUGUAUGGGAGAAAUUUAGGGUUCGGGUUUUCUUUUGUUCUUUUUUUGUUACCAUUUUGUUUUUUCUUUUCUUUUUUUUAUUAUUAUGCUUAAUUGUUUAAUAUGAAAUCUAUUAUUAUGUUAAAUUGUUUUUUUUGACAACACAUUUUUAAUUGUUUAAUAUGAAAUAUAUUUUUAUGUUUAAUAUUAUUAUAUUUAAUUUUUUUUUUUGACAUCACAAUUUUUUUUAAUUAAACCUUUAACAUUUUCAUUAUUAUAUUUAAUUGUUUAAUAUGAUUAAUCAAGGUUAGUUUUGGGAUUAUAAAAAAAAUUAUACUAUUAGGACAACUUCAUGUUGAUAUUAUACUAUAAGGACAACCAUGUUGUUCUUUUAUACCAUUUUGGCAAUUUUCUCUAUUUUUAAAACCCGACCAAAAGAUGAAACUAGAUAACUAUUUAGGUCACAACUUAAUAUGAUUUGAUCCAAUUAAACUUGUUUCAAAAUCCUUAUUUUUAUGUUUUUUUGAAUAUAUAUAUAUAUAUAUAUUAAAUAUGUUACAAAGAUCUAUCUAUAUUAUUAUUUUCAAAGUGAUUUUAAUAUUUAUUUGAUUAGAUAAGUGACUAAAAUUAAUAAAAAUAAAAAUUAUUCAUAAUCUAAAGAUAUAUGUAAAAAGAAAAGAUAAUUUUGAUAUAUGUUGUACUGUUAUCCAGAAAAUAUCUUUUAGUAAAAUGGUUAAAAUUUAACAAACAGAAAAAAUAACUAAAUAUUUAGUAAAAUUAUUAAUUCUCUAUAAUUAAAAAGAGAAUAUCGAGGGAUUUAUAAAUUUAUUUAUUAUUUAUUAAUAAUGAAGUGUACAAAAUAAUAUUAAAAGAGUCUAUUUAUAAUUAGUUUAAAAGUAUAUGAAAAGGAUAUGCAAAAAAUAUUCUUAUUCAUUUAAAUUUUGAAUUAAUUAAUUAACCAUUGAUUUUACAAAUAUAUUCAUGAUAUAUUUUACAAAUAUAUUCAGUAUAUGAAAAGGACAAUGUGUGGAAUAUCCCCAAUUAAGAUCCAAAUUUGCUGAAUGCCCAUAAUUAUGGAUAACCCAAAAAGAAGUAACCUUUUGACACUGUGCGGACGAAAAUGCCCUUAUGAUUUGUCGAAAACAAGUAACUCUAGAUUUAUCAGCUAAAUAUUUACAUAGCAUGUAACAAUCUAUAUACCAACUAACAUAUCCGCUAAUAAUUUCAGUAUCAUCUAACAAUCUAUGUAUCAAACAAAUGUAUCAACUAACAAAUCAUAUAUCAGUUAAUGAAACUAUUAACAAUUAAUUAGUUAUCUAUUAAAUAGCUCAAAAUCUAUUUGUAACAGCUAACACUUCAUGUAUCGAUUAAGAAUCCAUUAAAAUCCAAAUAAUAGCAGAUAAGUAAUAAAAUACUUACUAACGUAUAUAUUAUCUAAAAGUUGAUUGUGAUUCGAAAUUGGAAACAUUGGAAUUGGGGUGAAUAAUCUAAAGAUAUAUGUAAAAAGAAAAGAUAAUUUUGAUAUAUGUUGUACUGUUAUCCAGAAAAUAUCUUUUAGUAAAAUGGUUAAAAUUUAACAAACAGAAAAAAUAACUAAAUAUUUAGUAAAAUUAUUAAUUCUCUAUAAUUAAAAAGAGAAUAUCGAGGGAUUUAUAAAUUUAUUUAUUAUUUAUUAAUAAUGAAGUGUACAAAAUAAUAUUAAAAGAGUCUAUUUAUAAUUAGUUUAAAAGUAUAUGAAAAGGAUAUGCAAAAAAUAUUCUUAUUCAUUUAAAUUUUGAAUUAAUUAAUUAACCAUUGAUUUUACAAAUAUAUUCAUGAUAUAUUUUACAAAUAUAUUCAGUAUAUGAAAAGGACAAUGUGUGGAAUAUCCCCAAUUAAGAUCCAAAUUUGCUGAAUGCCCAUAAUUAUGGAUAACCCAAAAAGAAGUAACCUUUUGACACUGUGCGGACGAAAAUGCCCUUAUGAUUUGUCGAAAACAAGUAACUCUAGAUUUAUCAGCUAAAUAUUUACAUAGCAUGUAACAAUCUAUAUACCAACUAACAUAUCCGCUAAUAAUUUCAGUAUCAUCUAACAAUCUAUGUAUCAAACAAAUGUAUCAACUAACAAAUCAUAUAUCAGUUAAUGAAACUAUUAACAAUUAAUUAGUUAUCUAUUAAAUAGCUCAAAAUCUAUUUGUAACAGCUAACACUUCAUGUAUCGAUUAAGAAUCCAUUAAAAUCCAAAUAAUAGCAGAUAAGUAAUAAAAUACUUACUAACGUAUAUAUUAUCUAAAAGUUGAUUGUGAUUCGAAAUUGGAAACAUUGGAAUUGGGGUGAGAUAAUAAGAUUAGCAUUAUGUGUGUCAAAAGAAUCAGAAUAAAAAAAAAUUUGUGUUGAAUUAAAAAAUGAUUUGAAGAAUUUGUACGAGAGAUAAAGAGAUUAGAACACAUAAAAGAGAGAAGAGAGAGAGAGAGAGAGAUAAGUGUAUUAUAAUCAUUAAAAAUAUUUAAAAUAAACAAGGUUAUAUGACAAAUUACAUGGGUUUCUGAGUGUAUCUACGCCAAUUACUCUAUAUUUAAUACUGGUAAAAGAUAUCAAUGUUUUAACAUAUUUUCCUAUUAAAAUAAAAUUUACAAGGUUAGUCCAUUAAAAAUCACACAUGUAAAAAUCGGGUGAUUCUGUAUUUAUAAAAGUGAUGAAGCAUUAAACAGUUAGGAUGUGGCAAUAAAAUCUCUCAAAAUUAUGGAAAAGUAUUUAAUUGGUAGAGAUUGUAGCUUUUAUUUUGUUUGCUUUAGAAUAUAUUAUUAUGUAAGUUUUUCUGGUGUAGCUGUAGAUUUUACUGCUGUAGAUUUAUAUCAAUAGCUUUCAAAGUACUAAAUAUAAAGCUUUAGAAAAUUGAUUCCCAAAGCUAAUAUAUUUUUGUUUUUUAACUUUAGGGCUGUAGCUUUAAAUUAUUUAUUUAAAGCAUGAUUGAUAAACCAAACUGGCUAGCUGUAGAAAGAAAAUGAGCAGUGAAAAACACUCACAACACUUACCAAUCACCACUUAUAUCUAUUUUCUCUUAGAAAUUAUUUGAAAUACCAUAAACUAAAUAUUACUUUUCAAAUAUACUUUCAAUAAAAAAUGCUCUAAUAUUUUUAGUUUAAAAUUUAAUGAUUAUUUAUAGGGUUUCUUAUUUAUGGAUGAGACUGGUUUUAUAAACUUUAUAAAUAAUUUUUAAACAUUUAUAAAUGAUUUAAGAGGGUUAGUUUAGUAUUUUUCACCACAAAUUUAAUAUAUUUAUGAAAAUAGUUAUUCUUUAAAAUUAAAUAUUUUAUAAAAUUAGAAUUUCCAUUUUCUCUUUCUUUUCUAUUUUUGUAUUGCUAGAAACUCCUUACAAAAAUUUCUACCCACCAACUAGCCUACCAGGUUAGUUGUGGAUGCCCACAGCGUGAGAACUGUUCAAUCUCUUUACAGUACUGUUGAAUGUUCUGUGGUUAGUUAGUUAGCUUACAGUUACAACUUUACAGCAAAAAAAAAAAAGUUUGUAGAAACUUGAUGGCUUUGAUUGAACUAUCAUCCAGUAAGUUUUGUUUUUGUUACUUUAUGGUUUAACAAUAGGAAGUUAAAUUCUUUGGCCUUGGAAGCCUAAAUGAACUAGAUACCGUUCGUUUAGUUUAAUCACAAACAACCUUGUUGAAUCCUUCUUUUACUUCCCUAGGAAUCAUGCAGCCACAUUAUUGGGGUCUACCGGUGCUAAACCAUGCCAUUAGAAAUGCAGGAUUAUGUUGUUCCUCUAACGUUCUUCUGUGAAAACAUAAACAUUUAUAUAAUAUUUCCUUCUUUUCUUCCAUACUUUUCAAAAGCUGUGUUUUGCAUUUCAUCUUAUGGUUUAUUUAUUGACAUCACUGAAGUCACUCUGCGACAAAACACCAAAAUUCAUUUAGGUUGUAUCCUUUAGCAACUAAAAUAUCUACCUUAUUUAUGUAUUAUUUUUUUUUCACCUAUCUCUACAAAUGCAAAUACUGUAUGUGUUUUUUGUGUCAUUUAGGUUAAGUUUAAAUGUACACUGUUUUUUGUCGGCUUAUGUUUGCAAUCACUUACCUCGUUGGCUUAUUACUUUGUCAUAGGAUGUACUACGCGUCGUCAAGAGAAAACACAUUGGUUAUGGCCAUACAUUCUUUGUGCUUGACCUAGACCGUGUCUUUAAAGAUAUUUUGUAUUUUUUUUUAUACAAUCGCUUAUCGCUAAGCUUAUUACUUUGCGUUAGUAGUUGGGACGUAUUACGCGUUUGUCAAGAAAAGGCACAUUGGAUGACCAUCCAUUCUUUGUGCUUGACCUAUAAUUUCGUCUUUGAAGAUCUUGUGUUUGGUAUGAUCCAUUGGUAUAGCUUCUUGGUAGGCUUCAAGCAAAGAGAUUUUAAUUAACUAAUAUAAACUCUGUCCAUGUGAUGGACAUGAUAACUACAUGGUGUUGUAUUUGUUGUUAAGUUGAUAACAAUUAAUAAUAUAGAUCAUGGUGUUGUAUUUCUUCUUUGAUAUUCCUGGCGUGUGGAAGCCGGGUUAAUCAGAACUCGUUAUUCUGUUUGUUACUCGCAAUUUUGAAUAUAAGUGACACCUUACAAUCAAGUACUGAUAUAAGUCUCAAUCCUCUAAUUAAGUUCUACUUUAGUUAAAGUCACAACCGUUCUUUAAGUUUGUUUUCCAAUUGUUACAGUCAAUUAUUUAUUUUAUAUUAGAUUGUGAUUUAAUCCAUGUUCAAACCCAUAUGAGCUCAAGUUUAUAUAUUAAACCUCAUAUAAUAAAUGAAUUGAGGUAGCUUAUGAUAAACCCAACUCAUCACAAGUAUAAGAUAAGAUGACUAAUUUAGUUCAUUUUGACACCUCUACUCAUAAGUCAUAACAAUUGAAGUGAUAAAUAGUGAGGUAUAAUGUGCAUUGAUUGUAUGACUUCUGAAGUGUCUUUGCUUUCUUUUGGGUAAUAGUCCUCCUAUUACGUAAAAAUAAAAAUAAAAUCAGGUAUCAAAGCAACUUUAAUAAUAUAGUGUAAUUUUCCUUGAUUCUAUUUAAAUGUUAUAAAGGAAGGUGGAACGAUAAUCUCUAAUGAAGAUAGGAGAAAAGAUCAGAAUUGAAUGAGCAAGAUUGGGGUGUAAUAAUUACAGAGAGAUUGCAGAGAUUAGAAUAGUGAAUUGGAAAAGUCGGAGGUGAAGGCGACGAACAUUCUGCGUAGAAUAAGAUAGACCUAUUAUUUUUGUUCAGCCCAGAUUUACUGGACCUGUUAUAUUUUUUGUCGACAAAAUAAAAGUGAUGUGGCAAAACAGAGCUUCAUGAUUGGCCUGAAUAAAAAAUCCUACGUGGCACGCUCGUUGCUCUCCUUAUUCAGCUUUUAGUAGUGUUAGAUAAUUUAUAUGUCACUAUAUUUAAUUUAUAAAAUUAAAAAAUGAAACAAAAGCUCAAGUGUUAAGAUAUAUAUAUAUAUAUAGUUUUAACUCAAAAAAUACCAACCUCAUGAAUUAGUUAAGCUUUAAUGUAACUUGUGAUCUAAAUUAAGCUUGAUUAUUAAGUUCAUUUAUAAAUGAGCCUAAAAGAUGUCCAUACUUAUGAAAAAUUUAAGCAGAGUUGAGCAAGCUUAUGAACUUACGGCUUAUUUUGACGUUCUUAAUUUUGCGGAGAUGUUUCAUUAUAUGUCAUGUUAAUUCUGAAAAUGUUUUAACCACCAGUAAAAUACCAACAUUUGUUGUGGUUUUUCGGUUUAAGAAAAUUUCAUUUUCACGAACUGUUUAAAAAGAAAUUGAGAUUUGAUUUUGGGGCUAAGAUAAAUACUGAGUCUAAGAGAUUGUAAAUUUUUUUCAAUUCACAUAAUCAAUAGACAAACCCUAAACAGGUUUUGCCUCAAUACAUUUUUGCUCUUGAUUUUCUUUGCUUGCUCACGUUAGUCCACGUUAGUUCAUAAUGGCUAUAAUGUUUUAUUGGUCUUAGUUUGGUUUGAUGCAUUUGAGAAGGCGUGGCUAUAUCUCUAUAAUAUUAUUUGAGAAGUCACUUUCCUAUGUGUCGCUUUCACGUUAACUCUCACGAUGGUUGAUUACACUGAUACCGAAAUCACUUUCCUAUGUGUCGCUCUCACGUUAACUCUCACGAUUGUUGAUUACACUGAUACCCUUAAUGAAUUAACUUACAUAUAAAAUACUAUUAUUUUUUAUUUUAUUUAGUUUCCUUUUUAAAAAUUUCGAAAAUAUACACAUAUAAUAAAAAAGAAAUUUUUUAUAAAGUAAAAAAAAAGAAUUGAAAAACGAAAAUAUAUGUAUAUAUAAUAUGAUUUCAUAAAAAAGGAAAGUUCACAAAAUAGUAAUAUUACAUUUAAAAAAUAUUUUUAAAUAACAUAAAAUAUUAUUUUGAAAUAAUAAAAUACUUUCUUUAUAUCUAUAUUUUCUUAGAUGAAAAUUAUAAAUUUCUAUAUAACAUGAUUUCAUUAAAAACAAUUUACACAUAUAAUCUUGAUAUUAGAAACAGAAAUAUUAUUUCUUCUAAAACAUAAUUUAAACAAUACAAAAAAUUUCAAAUUAAUAAAAAUAUUUUUAUGUACCUAUAUAUUUUCUUAGAUGAUUACAUAAAAUAAUUAAGUAACAUAAACUAAUAUAUGUUUAAUUAUCUAAAAAUAUUUUAUAAUUAGUAAUAUUGAAAUUUUUUAUUUAUUUUUCAUAAAUUUAGUUGACUAUAAUAUUUUUCAAUUACAGGAAAUUAUCGAAAAAUUAUAUUUUACUUAUAUAAUAUUAUUUUAAAUACAAUCACAAUUUUUUUACUGCUUAUUUUUAAGAGUUUCAUAAAUUUAGUUGACUAUAAUAUCUUUCAAUUACAGCAAAAAAAAUAUCGAUAAAUUAUAUUUUACUUAUAUAAUAUUAGUUUUAAAUACAAUCACAAUUUUUUACUGCUUAUUUUUAAGAGAUAUUAAAAAAAAACUAAAAAACAAAUUCUAAAAUAAACAUCAUUUGAUCAAAUAGUUACAAAAUAGUUUAAUGAGGUAGAUAUAUUAUAUUUUAUGAUUAUUAAAGUUAUUUUUUCUUAAUAUUAAAUAUGUUUUUAAAUUUUAAAUUUUUUGUUUGUGGAACUUAAUAGAACCGUAUCAAAAUACCAAAGCAAUGAGACUUCAGAAUAUUAUCGUUUCGUUAUAUUAAUUUAUGUAAUUUUGAAUCAUACACUUUAGUUUAUUUUUUUAUUUCAUUCUAAGCACAAUAUAUCUUAAGUUAUACAUAAUCUUCAUAAAAUAUAUUUACAUAUCUAAGAUAACAACCACAUAAAUGUAAAUAAGAAAUUAAUUAAAAUUUUAAUAUAUAGAAUAAAAAAUAUUACAGUUGAAUUCAUAUAUGUAAUCUAAUUUACCCAAAUGAUAACUAAAUCGACUAAAAACAACAAAACCUAUUAGAUAUAACAUAUAUAAAAAUUAAAGUAAUAUAAUAUUAUUAAUAUAAAUGAUACACAUAAAUUAUAAAUUAAUUUAAUAUUAAAUAUAAGUAGCAAUCAAUUAUUAUAAUAUAUUUACUUUAGCAAUAUUUAUAUCCGUGCAUGAGCACGGGAAAAUCACCUAGUAACCAAUUAUAAAAAGAAAAAGAAAAUAUUUUGGGAAAGGUAGGAUUUAAUGGCUAAGGACAGAAUAGAUAUCUUACACAUCGUUACAACAUUAAAGGUAUCCAUUAUUUUCUGUAUUUGCUGUAUACAGAAGUUUUUUUUUUUUUUUUGGCGUAAAUUUGGCUGUAUACAGAAGUUGAUAGGUUGCUUGUUGCAUUAGCUCUCCGUUAUUGUAGUUUUGCUGGUUCUUGUUUGAUGUAUUGACGCAGAAUUAAGCCCGUCACUCAUUUUUUUAUGUGAAACUGGUGAUGUUGAAUGUACAUAUCUCGUGAUAGUGGCUGGCUGAUUCUGAUAGUAAGCCAAAUUAAAGGUGAAAACUGAGAAAGUAAAAGUAAAGACACCUCCUCAACUACUGUUUUUGUCGUAGGAUUUUUAUGAUCUUCGAACAAAAGAUCAUGUCCAUAUACUCCCAGUCUCCCAUACACAACCAUUCUAUUGCUGUUUGUUUUUUCAUGUAAGGCGCGCUACGAGACGUUCUCGUUUUUCUCACGUUGAAAACUCUGUUAAUUACCAUAUAGUCCCAUACACAAUCAUACUUGAAAGAAAGUGUUACUUUCAAGAAUCUUUUGUGAAAAAAGUAUUUUUGGAAAAAAUAUGUUGGUGAUGUGAUUUGUUGUUUUGUUUGUAAUGCUAAAAUGGUAUUUACCCGGUUUAUGAAAGCGAUUAGAUUUAUUAUUGUCCUUUAGCGGAGGAUCUAUCUACAGGGUUCUACCUUAGACCACCACUAUCCCUGUUUCUUAACUGGGUUUUUAAAGAAAACUAAAUUUUAACCCGUACACCCGUGCGGUUAACAUUUCAUUUAUAAAUAUAAAAUUUUAUAUUAUUUUAUACAUAAUAAUUUAUGAUAAUAUAUUACUGUCAUUUUAAAAAUAACUAAAUAGAUGAUAUAUAGUUCUAAAUAUUAAAAUUUAUCAUAUGUUAACAAUUUUAUUUUUUGCAAAAUUAUUACAUAAUUUAUGAAUAUUAAUCAUUUCAAAAGGUGAAUGAUAUUUUAGUCACUUUAAACGGUGAAUGAUAUUUUAUUUAUUUAUCUUAAUGAAAGUAUUUUUUCAAAAUAUAUUGGUUUACCAAUUCAACAUAAUUUUAAUAUGUUUGCAAAAAAACAUAAUUUUAAUAUGUAAUUCAUUAAUUAUUUCUAUUUUAAUAUAAUGUAGAAUAUACUUAUAAAAUUUAUAAAAUUAGUGAAAAAUUUCAUUAUUUUAUUUAUAAUAAAAUUUUAAUUAAAAUUAAUUUAUAAUAAUAUUAUACUACUAAUUGUGAAAUUAAUCAGUGUAUUAAUUAAAAGAAUAUUUAAAUUUUUUAAAAAAAUUUGUUUGUCUUUUUCUCAACAUAUUUUUUUAUUCCUAUAACUAAAAUUUAAAUUUAUAGUUAAAAUGGAUUUGUUAUUAAUAUCCUUAUUAUUAUUUAGAAAUGUUAUACAUUAAAUAAACUAAUGUAAACAAUAAAAAAAUUAUUUGAAUAUAUGAACCUAGACUUCUAGUAUGACUAUUUUGUAAUAGAUAAAAAUGAUAUUUUUAUUUUAAUAGAAAAGAUAACUCAUUUAAUUAAAUCUAAACUAAAUAUAAAGUAUAUUACCGAUCCUAAAGUAAGAAUUUUGAUGACCGAUUCUAAAGUGGGUUUUGGAAACAGGUGUCAGCCAAGCAUGGAUUCUAUUUUUCUUUUCUUUUCUCUUUUCUUUCUUUUCUUCUCAGUCUUGUAUUCUCAGUCUCGUGUUCAAUCGAAACACACCAAGAACAAUUGAAACCCGUAGUCGGGUUCCCCAUCAUCAUCACUUCUCCGUCUCGUCUUCUCUGUCUCGUCUUCUCCGUCUCAUCCUUCUGCUUUCUGUAAGUGUGUAUUUUUGUCGAUGAGGGUUUUGAUUGAUCUAGUGUUUAAAGCUCAAUCCCUUUUUUUUUUUAAUUUUGCUAUCAGGAGAUCGAAGAGAGGAAGAUGAAGAUAAUGACCUGGCCUUAGGCAACGAGUUUACUAUUGGAUAUACUUGACUUACAAGAUAACUACAAAUCUAGAUUAUCUUAGCUGUACAUAUUCUUAGAAUAUGUUGAGUAUAUUACUUUGUCAUGUACUUAUAAAUAUUGUACGUUGAUCAUUCAAUAAAGUAUCAUUCUCUCAUAAGUCUUAUAUGGUAUCAGAGCUCUGAUCUCUCAAAACCUUUCUUUUUCUUUUCAAAAAUGUCGUCUGAAUCCAGCGCCGCCACUGCUGAACGCACCGCGGUUUACAACUCAAGUGAUCCUAACAACUCACUUCUCUCGGUGAACAUGGGCAACAUCACCAAACUCACCAACACAAACUAUCUCAUGUGGAGCAAGAAGAUCCAUGCUUUACUCGAAGGUCAUGAACUUCACACCUUUCUCGUUGCACAUGACUCCAUCCCUACGCCAACUAUUGAAACAGAUGGUGCAACAGAACCAAACCCUGCAUAUAUCACAUGGAGGAGACAGGAUCGCUUACUCUACAGUGCGGUCCUAGGUGCGCUCUCCCUCCCAAUCCAACCUCUUGUUGCCAGUGCCACUACCACACAUGAGGUAUGGAGCACGCUUGCUAGUGCGUUUGGUACUCCAACCAGGGGUCACAUACGACAGCUGAAGUUCCAGAUCAAAAGCUGCACUAAGGGUUCCACAACCAUCAGUGAAUAUCUACGCACUAUGAAAACGAAAGCUGAUGAACUCGCGCUACUAGGCAAGCCAAUGGAUCCUGAGGAUCUCAUUGAACAAGUCCUUGCUGGACUUCCGGAGGAGUACAAACCUGAAAUAGAUGCUACCAAUGGUCGUGACAAUCUCAUCUCCUUUACGGAGCUUCACGAGAAACUGGUAAAUCGGGAAGCGAUGAUACUCUGUGCUCAACCAUCAUCUCCAGCCUUCCCAAUCACGGCAAAUCAAGCAUCUCGGUCCAAAAGCAACAACAACAACUGGCGCAAUCAAACUCCUCAACAUCAUCAGCAACAGCAACAAUCUCAGGGUCAACAACAACAACAAAACCGCAACUACACAAGGCAGUCUCGUCCUUAUCUUGGAAAGUGUCAAGCAUGUGGCGUUCAGGGUCACAGUGCUCAACGCUGUCCCAUGUUCCGUGUUAUACCAACUCAGAAUGCACCCUCCUCAGGACAGCAAUGGCGUCCCAGUGCCCAUCAAGCAGGUCUCAACACGAUGAACCCUGAAGGCUGGCUCAUGGACAGUGGAGCAACAAACCACGUGACAUCAGACUUCCACAACCUGUCACUUCACAACCCAUACACGGGAAGUGAUUCCAUUGUCAUUGGCAACGGCUCUGCACUUCCAAUAACACAUACUGGUUCUUUUCGCUCUCACACUCCUACUCGAGACUCAUUUUCACGAACUGUUUAAAAAGAAAUUGAGAUUUGAUUUUGGGGCUAAGAUAAAUACUGAGUCUAAGAGAUUGUAAAUUUUUUUCAAUUCACAUAAUCAAUAGACAAACCCUAAACAGGUUUUGCCUCAAUACAUUUUUGCUCUUGAUUUUCUUUGCUUGCUCACGUUAGUCCACGUUAGUUCAUAAUGGCUAUAAUGUUUUAUUGGUCUUAGUUUGGUUUGAUGCAUUUGAGAAGGCGUGGCUAUAUCUCUAUAAUAUUAUUUGAGAAGUCACUUUCCUAUGUGUCGCUUUCACGUUAACUCUCACGAUGGUUGAUUACACUGAUACCGAAAUCACUUUCCUAUGUGUCGCUCUCACGUUAACUCUCACGAUUGUUGAUUACACUGAUACCCUUAAUGAAUUAACUUACAUAUAAAAUACUAUUAUUUUUUAUUUUAUUUAGUUUCCUUUUUAAAAAUUUCGAAAAUAUACACAUAUAAUAAAAAAGAAAUUUUUUAUAAAGUAAAAAAAAAGAAUUGAAAAACGAAAAUAUAUGUAUAUAUAAUAUGAUUUCAUAAAAAAGGAAAGUUCACAAAAUAGUAAUAUUACAUUUAAAAAAUAUUUUUAAAUAACAUAAAAUAUUAUUUUGAAAUAAUAAAAUACUUUCUUUAUAUCUAUAUUUUCUUAGAUGAAAAUUAUAAAUUUCUAUAUAACAUGAUUUCAUUAAAAACAAUUUACACAUAUAAUCUUGAUAUUAGAAACAGAAAUAUUAUUUCUUCUAAAACAUAAUUUAAACAAUACAAAAAAUUUCAAAUUAAUAAAAAUAUUUUUAUGUACCUAUAUAUUUUCUUAGAUGAUUACAUAAAAUAAUUAAGUAACAUAAACUAAUAUAUGUUUAAUUAUCUAAAAAUAUUUUAUAAUUAGUAAUAUUGAAAUUUUUUAUUUAUUUUUCAUAAAUUUAGUUGACUAUAAUAUUUUUCAAUUACAGGAAAUUAUCGAAAAAUUAUAUUUUACUUAUAUAAUAUUAUUUUAAAUACAAUCACAAUUUUUUUACUGCUUAUUUUUAAGAGUUUCAUAAAUUUAGUUGACUAUAAUAUCUUUCAAUUACAGCAAAAAAAUAAUAUUACUUGAGAAGUCAGUUUUCUAUGUGUCGCUCUCACGUUAAUUCUCACGAUGUUUGAUUACACUGAUACCCUUAAUGAAUUAACUUACAUUUAAAAUAUUAUUAUUUAUUAUUUUAUGUAGUUUCCUUUUUUAAAAAUUUCUAAAAAUAUACACACAGAAUAAAAAAUAAUUUUUUAUAAAGUUAAGAAAAAAAGAAGAAUUGAGAAACGAAAAUAUAUGUAUAUAUAAUAUGAUUUCAUAAAGAAAGGAAAGUUCACAAAAUAGUAAUAUUACAUUUAAAAAAUAUUUUUAAAUAACAUAAAAUAUUAUUUUGAACUAAUAAAAUACUUUCUUUAUAUCUAUAUUUUCUUAGAUGAAAAGUAUAAAUUUCUAUAUAACAUGAUUUCAUUAAAAACAAUUUACACAUAUAAUCUUGAUAUUAGAAACAAAAAUAUUGUUUCUUCUAAAUUAUAAUUUAAACAAUACAAAAAAGUUCAAAUUAAUAAAAAUAUUUUUAUAUACCUAUAUAUUUCUUAGAUGAUUACACAAAAUAAUUAAGUAACAUAAACUAAUAUAUGUUUAAUUAUCUAAAAAUAUUUUAUAAUUAGUAUUAUUGAAAUUUUUUAUAUAUUUUUCAUAAAUUUAGUUCACUAUAAUAUCUUUCAACUACAGCAAAAAAAUAUCGAUAAAUUAUAUUUUACUUAUAUAAUAUUAUUUUAAAUACAAUCACAAUUUGUUUAAUGCUUAUUUUUAAGAGUUUCAUAAAUUUAGUUGACUAUAAUAUCUUUCAAUUACAGCAAAAAAUAUUGAUAAAUUAUAUUUUACUUAUAUAAUAUUAGUUUAAAUACAAUCACAAUUUUUUACUGCUUAUUUUAAAGAGAUAUUAAAAAAACUAAAAAGAAAAUUCUAAAAUAAACAUCGUUUGAUCAAAUAGUUACAAAAUAGUUUAAUGAGGUAUAUAUAUAUUAUAUUUUAUCAUUAUUAAAGUUAUUUUUUCUUAAUAUUAAAUAUGCUUUUAAAUUUUAUGUUUUUGUAUUUGUGGAACUUAAUAGAAUCAUAAUCAAAAUAUCAAAGCAAAUCUGAAUUCUCAUUUUUAAGAUUAUUCAAAUAAAUUUUAGUUUUCAUUCAAUAAAUCAAAAACAUAAAGUUAUUUAGAAUUUUUAAAAUUAUUUAAUUAUUGUAAAUAUUGAUAUGUGUACAUGAGCUUUCAAAAAUGUAUCAGCUACUUACGCAUGCAACUUCAUAUUGAUAAUCCUAUAUUUUUUAAUAUUUUUUAAAAAAAAUUUUUCAAAAUAUAUUGGUUUACCAAUUCAACAUAAUUUUAAUAUGUUUGCAAAAAAACAUAAUUUUAAUAUGUAAUUCAUUAAUUAUUUCUAUUUUAAUAUAAUGUAGAAUAUACUUAUAAAAUUUAUAAAAUUAGUGAAAAAUUUCAUUAUUUUAUUUAUAAUAAAAUUUUAAUUAAAAUUAAUUUAUAAUAAUAUUAUACUACUAAUUGUGAAAUUAAUCAGUGUAUUAAUUAAAAGAAUAUUUAAAUUUUUUAAAAAAAUUUGUUUGUCUUUUUCUCAACAUAUUUUUUUAUUCCUAUAACUAAAAUUUAAAUUUAUAGUUAAAAUGGAUUUGUUAUUAAUAUCCUUAUUAUUAUUUAGAAAUGUUAUACAUUAAAUAAACUAAUGUAAACAAUAAAAAAAUUAUUUGAAUAUAUGAACCUAGACUUCUAGUAUGACUAUUUUGUAAUAGAUAAAAAUGAUAUUUUUAUUUUAAUAGAAAAGAUAACUCAUUUAAUUAAAUCUAAACUAAAUAUAAAGUAUAUUACCGAUCCUAAAGUAAGAAUUUUGAUGACCGAUUCUAAAGUGGGUUUUGGAAACAGGUGUCAGCCAAGCAUGGAUUCUAUUUUUCUUUUCUUUUCUCUUUUCUUUCUUUUCUUCUCAGUCUUGUAUUCUCAGUCUCGUGUUCAAUCGAAACACACCAAGAACAAUUGAAACCCGUAGUCGGGUUCCCCAUCAUCAUCACUUCUCCGUCUCGUCUUCUCUGUCUCGUCUUCUCCGUCUCAUCCUUCUGCUUUCUGUAAGUGUGUAUUUUUGUCGAUGAGGGUUUUGAUUGAUCUAGUGUUUAAAGCUCAAUCCCUUUUUUUUUUUAAUUUUGCUAUCAGGAGAUCGAAGAGAGGAAGAUGAAGAUAAUGACCUGGCCUUAGGCAACGAGUUUACUAUUGGAUAUACUUGACUUACAAGAUAACUACAAAUCUAGAUUAUCUUAGCUGUACAUAUUCUUAGAAUAUGUUGAGUAUAUUACUUUGUCAUGUACUUAUAAAUAUUGUACGUUGAUCAUUCAAUAAAGUAUCAUUCUCUCAUAAGUCUUAUAUGGUAUCAGAGCUCUGAUCUCUCAAAACCUUUCUUUUUCUUUUCAAAAAUGUCGUCUGAAUCCAGCGCCGCCACUGCUGAACGCACCGCGGUUUACAACUCAAGUGAUCCUAACAACUCACUUCUCUCGGUGAACAUGGGCAACAUCACCAAACUCACCAACACAAACUAUCUCAUGUGGAGCAAGAAGAUCCAUGCUUUACUCGAAGGUCAUGAACUUCACACCUUUCUCGUUGCACAUGACUCCAUCCCUACGCCAACUAUUGAAACAGAUGGUGCAACAGAACCAAACCCUGCAUAUAUCACAUGGAGGAGACAGGAUCGCUUACUCUACAGUGCGGUCCUAGGUGCGCUCUCCCUCCCAAUCCAACCUCUUGUUGCCAGUGCCACUACCACACAUGAGGUAUGGAGCACGCUUGCUAGUGCGUUUGGUACUCCAACCAGGGGUCACAUACGACAGCUGAAGUUCCAGAUCAAAAGCUGCACUAAGGGUUCCACAACCAUCAGUGAAUAUCUACGCACUAUGAAAACAAAAGCUGAUGAACUCGCGCUACUAGGCAAGCCAAUGGAUCCUGAGGAUCUCAUUGAACAAGUCCUUGCUGGACUUCCGGAGGAGUACAAACCUGAAGUAGAUGCUACCAAUGGUCGUGACAAUCUCAUCUCCUUUACGGAGCUUCACGAGAAACUGGUAAAUCGGGAAGCGAUGAUACUCUGUGCUCAACCAUCAUCUCCAGCCUUCCCAAUCACGGCAAAUCAAGCAUCUCGGUCCAAAAGCAACAACAACAACUGGCGCAAUCAAACUCCUCAACAUCAUCAGCAACAGCAACAAUCUCAGGGUCAACAACAACAACAAAACCGCAACUACACAAGGCAGUCUCGUCCUUAUCUUGGAAAGUGUCAAGCAUGUGGCGUUCAGGGUCACAGUGCUCAACGCUGUCCCAUGUUCCGUGUUAUACCAACUCAGAAUGCACCCUCCUCAGGACAGCAAUGGCGUCCCAGUGCCCAUCAAGCAGGUCUCAACACGAUGAACCCUGAAGGCUGGCUCAUGGACAGUGGAGCAACAAACCACGUGACAUCAGACUUCCACAACCUGUCACUUCACAACCCAUACACGGGAAGUGAUUCCAUUGUCAUUGGCAACGGCUCUGCACUUCCAAUAACACAUACUGGUUCUUUUCGCUCUCACACUCCUACUCGAGACUAUACAUUUAACAAUGUCCUUUGUGUGCCGUCUAUUCAUAAGAACUUGAUCUCAGUACAUCAGUUCUGCAAUGAUAAUCAAACCUCUGUGGAAUUUUUCCCUUCUAUGUUUCAGGUGAAGGCACUGGACACGGGAGCAACCCUGCUGAAGGGACUGGCUAAGGAUGGUAGCUACGAGUGGCCUUAUUCAACUCUAGGAGCUUUUUCUGUUUCAAAAUCAUCUUUGUCUCAUUGGCAUUAUCGCCUUGGACACCCUGCUUUUCCAAUUCUUAAAACAAUAACAUCUUCGUUUUUACCUUUGGUUUUAUGUAAUGCCUUGGAGUCUACUCCUUGCAAUUCGUGUUUAUUGAAUAAGAGCCACAAACUUCCUUUCUCUACUACUACAAUCUCUUCUACUCAUCCUUUACAUGUCUUGUUCUCAGACGUAUGGACCUCACCAGUCCUAAGUGUCGAUGGCUAUAAAUACUACUUGCUUAUUGUUGACCAUUUUACUCGUUACAUGUGGUUUUUCCCUCUUAAACUGAAGUCACAGGUAGCAGCAACCUUCACUCGGUUUAAAACUCUGGUGGAAAAUCAAUUCAACCAACGUCCGUACUCUAUACACUGACAACGGGGGAGAAUACAUUGCUCUUGCCUCCUUCCUGUCAACACAUGGUAUCUCACACCUUACAACUCCACCACACACGCCAGAACACAAUGGCAUGUCUGAACGACGUCAUCGUCACAUAGUGGAGACUGGACUAGCACUCCUCACACACGCCAAAAUGCCUCCUACAUACUGGACAUAUGCAUUUGCCACAGCAACUUACCUCAUCAAUCGCAUGCCAACAAAAACACUCGCUAUGAAGUCCCCAUACUCUCAGCUUUUUUCAGAGGAACCGCAUUAUGCAAAACUCCGAGUGUUUGGUUGCUUAUGCUACCCGUGGCUUCGUCCAUACACAUCUCACAAACUCGACCCCCGCUCCCUUCCAUGUGUCUUUCUUGGGUAUUCUCUAACUCAAUCUGCUUAUUUAUGUCUUCACUUACCAACUUCACGGCUUUAUGUCUCAAGACAUUUCGAGUUUUGUGAAAAUAACUUUCCUUUUCCGAGUUCAACCUCAUCUUCUGCUCACCAGGACGAGUCUGAACCCUCUUGGGUUCCGACAGUGACUCCACUAGUCAAUGAUUUCAGGUCACUCACGGCUCCUCCAGCACCAGCUAUGCUCACGUGUGCAGAUCCUUUGCCGAUGAACACGACAUCAGCAGCACCGGCUCACGGUGUGGCAACAACAUCAACAACACCUCCUGAUCAAAUCAUGACGACAAAAACGACUCAACCUGAGCCUCCUACUUCAUCGCUGGAACAAGUACCAACGAACAAUCAUCAAAUGGUCACUCGAGCAAAGAACAAAAUCGUCAAACAGAAUCCAAAGUACUCAUAUUCGGCUCAUCUAGUACUUGCUAGUCUUGACCCUCACACGGUGACUCAAGCACUAAAGGACCCUCUAUGGCGAGACUCUGUCAGCGCAGAAUUCAACAACUUCAUACGCACUGACACGUUUGAACUAGUUCCACCCUCGUCGGAACAGAACGUUGUUGGCUGCAGGUGGCUGUUUCGAACCAAGUUCCUCCCUGAUGGCACCAUUGACAAACGAAAAUCUCGCCUCGUCGCUAAAGGCUACACUCAACGUCCAGGCAUUGACUUUCAUGAAACCUUUAGUCCGGUUGUGAAAGCUCCAACAAUUCGAAUCAUCAUCAGUGUUGCAACUACGGGGGAUUGGCCGCUGCGACAACUUGACAUCAACAAUGCAUUUCUCCAGGGAACUCUCGAUGAAGAUGUUUAUAUGCAACAACCUCCAGGCUUUGUUGACAAGGAUCGUCCCGAGUAUGUGUGCAAACUCAAGAAACCAAUAUAUGGCCUCAAGCAAGCCCCGCGUUCGUGGUACAAUGAGCUCAAACGGUUCCUCCUGCAAGCUGGAUUUCGCAACUCACUUGCUGAUGCCUCUUUAUUCUUCUUUAAGGAUAAAUCUGUGACCAUGUAUCUUCUUGUGUACGUUGAUGACAUAAUCAUCACAGGAAGCUCUCCAACUGCAGUCCGGUCAUUCAUUGAUCUCCUCUCCAAUCGCUUUGCCCUAAAGGACCUUGGAGAUCUCUCCUACUUCCUUGGCAUUGAAGUCACCCGCUCCAGUUCUGGUGUUGUUCUCUCUCAGCGAAAGUACAUCUCUGAUCUUCUUCAUCGAACUCUUAUGACAUCUGCAAAGCCCACUGCUACUCCUAUGUGUUCUUCAUCGUCACUGACUCUCACAGAUGGAACACAGCUGUCUGAUGGAACUGAGUAUCGUACAGUGGUUGGUGGUCUGCAAUAUCUCUCUCUCACUCGACCGGACAUCUCAUUUGCGGUCAGCAAGCUCUCGCAGUUCAUGCACAAACCCACAACGACGCAUUGGGAAGCAGCAAAACGUGUUCUUCGGUAUCUUGCUGGCACUAUAACAACUGGUCUCGUCUUCAAGCGUCCCAACUCACUGUCUCUCCAUGCCUUCUCCGAUGCUGAUUGGGCUGGCAAUCGAGAUGACUAUACCUCCACUGGAGCUUACAUUGUAUUCCUUGGACAGCACCCCAUUUCGUGGUCAGCUAAGAAACAGACGAGUGUCUCCAGAUCAUCUACUGAAGCUGAAUACCGGUCUGUUGCUAACACCUCUGCUGAAGUUUGCUGGGUCACCUCACUUCUUAACGAAAUAGGUGUUCCUAUACCUGCUACUCCCACUGUAUAUUGUGACAACAUUGGCGCUACUUAUCUUGCAGCAAACCCUGUCUUUCACACCAGGAUGAAGCACCUUGCACUUGACUAUCACUUUGUUCGCAAUCAAGUUCAGGCCAAAACACUGCACGUCACACAUGUCUGCUCCGCUGAUCAGUUAGCAGAUGCCUUGACCAAACCCCUGCCUCGUCGUCGGUUUGAGUCUCUGUUUAUCAAGAUCGGACUUGUAAAUCGCCGUCCGUCUUGAGGGAGCAUAUUGGAUAUACUUGACUUACAAGAUAACUACAAAUCUAGAUUAUCUUAGCUGUACAUAUUCUUAGAAUAUGUUGAGUAUAUUCCUUUGUCAUGUACUUAUAAAUAUUGUACGUUGAUCAUUCAAUAAAGUAUCAUUCUCUCAUAAGUCUUAUAUUUACAACGUCAAUGGCCUUAGGCAAUGAGUUUCCCAGUUCGACUAAUGAGAAAGGUCGUACUGGUUACUCCGGUACGCAUCAAUCAGACAAUCACUCUGUCUUUAAUUUUUUUUUAAAAAAUUGGAUUUUUAUAAUGUUUGUUGAGUGAAAAAUUUGUAGGUGUAGCAACGUUCUGCAGGGUGAAGUCACUAUCUUAAUUAGAUGAAGCAAUGUUGCCUAAGGCCGUUGACGUUGUAAGUCACUAUCUUAAUUAGGAUAAUACGAUGGAUGCUUGUGUUGAAUGCUUCUGAUGAAUGGUUGUGAUGUUUUAGUGUUACAUUAAGAUGAAGACUUUGAACCCUAUUACUAUUGAGAUGUGGUUAAGUUAGGACAAACUCUUUGUUUUCUACAGAGAGCUAUGGCACGCUUGUGCUGUUCCUCUCGUGACAGUCCCUUGUUUGUUGCUGGUCUCUUCCUUUUGCUCUGUUCUUGAGUUUUAAUCUUUAUCAUAUAUCAUCAGAAACUGCUACUAGUUUCUCUGUCAUUAGUAUAUGUUUCUCUCUUUUGCUCUUGCAGCGUUCUUAAUUUCUUAUUCAAUGCUCCAUGAAACAAGAUGGUCACUUGUAGGUUGGUUAAUCUCGCCUUGUCAAGCCGGAAGAAGAGAGAGCGGUGACAAGGUGAAGCCGGAAGUGGAGACAACGGUGAAGCUACGGCUGAGGCGGUGAAGCCGAGGAGUACAGACGGAAGUUGGGCUAGUAUCAUUUUCUGGUUUUGAUUGUUUGGUCUCUGAAGUUAUAUCAUUCAUAAGAGUGAUUAGGAAGUGUUUUUGGAUUAUGAAAAGACCAAUUUUUUUAAGAAUCUUUGAUUAAGAAACUUUCAUUGGAGGACAAAAUCUAAUAGUUUUUUAACUAGAGUUUUUAAGUACAAAUAAUUACUUGACAGUUAUUUUUGGAUUCACCCCCUAAGAUGAACCUAUAGGUUCACCAACCAAUAAGAUUUAGUUAUUUUAAAUCUGAUAUCUUUUAAAAAAGAAAACAAAAUAUUGUCAAAUUAUAUUACGUUUUUAAAAUUAAAAAAAUUAUAAAUAAAUAAAAAUAAUAGUAGUUACAAAAAAAAAUUAAUACCAUAAACAAAACACUAAACUCUAAAUCUAAAUCCUAAACCCUUUGGUAAACCCUAAACCUUUUGAUAAAUUUUAAAUUCUUGAAUUUAAAAAAAAAUAUUUUUAACACAAUCAACAAAACACUAAACCCUAAAUCCUAAUCCUAAACCCUAAACCCUUGGGUAAACCCUAAACCCUUGGAUAAAUCCGAAACUCUUGGAUCAAAUCUUAAACUUUAAGAUUUAUGAUUUAUUCAAGAGUUUAGGGUUUACCUAAAGGUUUAGGGUUUAGGGUUUAAUAUUUGUUGGCAGCGUUAAAAAUACUUUUGAAAAACAAAUUCUUUUUUUUUAGAUUAAAAAAUCUUCUUUUUGUGAUUAAUACAAUUUUUAUUUUAAAAAUAUAAUAUAAUUCAAUAAUAUUUUGUUUCCUUUUUUAAAAGAUACUGAAUCUAAAAUGACACAAUCCUAUUGGUUGGUGAACCUGUAGGUUCACCUAGGGAGUGAACCCAAGAAUAAGUCAUUACUUAAAUAAUCACUAAGAAACUCAAUUGGGAUUAUAGGGUUAAUCAUGCUCUAAGAUAUAUGAUAUUUACGUCAACAUUUAGCAGUUAAUGCCACAUAACCUUCAAGGGGUAAGAGGUUACUUGUGGACGUACACCGACAGAGAUAACUGUUCAAUCUAUUUUCAAUACUGUACAAUGUAUAGUGUUUUCUGUGGUCAGUUGGCUAACAAUUAGAACUAUACAGCAAAGAAAUGGUUUGUAGAAACUCGACGACUCUUAUUGAGCCAUCGUUUAUUAAGUUACUAGGUUAAGACAUGUGUCUUGCGCGAAAUGAAUGUUAUAUAUAUAAAUUAUUUUAUAUAAUUUAAUAGCUUAAGUAAUUUAUAAUAUUUUUAAAAAAUUAAGUUGUCAAUAUUUCGACGAUUCGACAACCGACAAUACUACCUGCCUAAUGAAGACCUACACCUAACUGCGCAUCACCUGAGCCGUCCUAUGAAGAUUCACGUCUGGCCAGAUUUACUUGCACCAUGUUGAAAAUCCCUUGCAAGCCUUUUCCUCUGUAGUCUGCAUAAUUGUUUAAUAAACUGCUCUCUCCGGGACGUGAAACCUGGAUUUCUUGUAAUCUGCAAUAAAUUGUAUAGUCUGGGAUUCGAACCCCAGACCUGGAUGUAGAAGCCUUUAAACCUUAACCAAUAGGCUACGGUGCUUCUACUAAAGCACAUUAAUAAUGUAAUUAUGGUUAGUUUAAAAAUUAAACAAAUAUAAUAUAAGACACUUAUUUUUAUCAAAUCUUUAUUUUUUAAAAUCAUUAAUUGUCAUAUAUAUUUUAGUCAUAUUAGGAAAUUUCAUAAUUUUAUUUAUGGAAAUAAUAAAGCACAUUAAUAAUGUAUUUAUGGUUAAUUUAAUAAAAAGUUUAUUAUAUAUUUAAAUAGACCAACCUAUUUCUCUAAGGAUUCUAAAAAUCAUUCUAAUGAUGACAUGUGGCUACAAAAAAAUGUUGUAAUAUUUCUCGAAUAAUAUAUAAAGGAUUUGGCAUCUUAUGUAUUGAUAGUAUACCCUUACAAAAUUUAGCUAUGGCAAAUGGGUUAAGUGGAAAAAAUUUAACCUUUAAGGUUAAACAAUAAUAUAUAUUGUGUAGUUAAAAACUUCUGUGACAAAAAAAAAGUUUAGUCAUGGAAGCCUUAGGCGAACAAAAGUAAAAAGAUCCCUCUUGUUACUUUACCCAUAAACAACAUCGGUGAAUUCUUUACUGCUCUAUGAAUCAUGCAGUCACAUUGUUGGAGUCACCCGCUUCGAAUCCAUGCCGUUGAACUGAUGGGUUGUGUAGUUCCUUAAGCACUCCUGUCAAAACAUAAAAUAAUUUAUAAAAAGUUUCAUUCUUUUAUUCCACUCUUUGAAAAUGCAAUGUUUUGCAUGAUUUGAGUUUUGCAUUUCAGAUUAUCGUUUCGUUGGCAUCAGUGUGAUCACUCUGCAACAAAGCACCAAGAAUCCUUCCCUUUGCUUCACCAAUAUCUUCCUUAGGCAACCUAAAUAUCAUCAUUCUUUGUUGUUUUCUCUCACAUCUCUUCAAAUGCUGUGAUUUUGUGUGAUCUAGGUUAAAUUUAAACUGUGUGAUGUUUUUGUCUGCUUAUGGUUACAAUCACUUACUUCAUUGGCUUAUUACUUUGUCUUGGAUUGGGAUAUACUUACGCGUCUUCAUGAGAAAACAUUGGUUAUGGCCAUCAUUUCUUUGUGCUUGACCCUAGACUGUGUCUUCGUGGAUUUUGUGUUUGGUAUUAUUCAAAGGCCCACUUAAUGCUUUUUUUUGGCUGAAUCAUCUCCCAUGUUCUGUUACUUGUGUUUGUCUACCAUUUUGCACUAAGAUGUUCGCCUCUGUACGCUCACAUGUUUAUUAUUAGGUUAUUGUUGGUUCAGUUUGUCUUCUAACAAACCGAGAUGAAUUUAUUGGUUGACUGAAGCUCACAUUGUUCUUCUAAUUUCUUUUGUUUAGACUAAUAUUCUUUUCGUUUAAUUUUCUGAAGAUAAGUAUACAACUAUGUUUGACCACCAAAUAUAUACCAUUUUGAUCUUGUACGAUGUACCAUUUCAUUGACUCCAGCAGUGCUUAGCUUGAUAUUUCCAGUAAACAAAACAUAAUUCCAAAACAAACACUAGUUCCAAACUGUAGAUUUCUUUUUCGCUUGAAGAGUUAAAUGAAGAAAAGAAAAAGAAGUACAUACGUUAAGCAUAUAUAUGAUGGGACUCAUUACUCCGCACUGAACUCAAUUUGAUCGUUUAGCACCAAUUUUGUUUUUUUUUUUUUUGCAAUGGUAGACCACUCAGACUCUUCAAAUAUUUAUGUAAAAGUGAUCUGAUCUUCAAACUAUCAAAAUAAAGAUGUGAUCUUUGAUAACUUAGGGGUAACAUCUUUGCCACAUAACUAGAUUGAAAUCCGCGCGGAUGCGCGGAUAUAUUUACAAUUUUAUUAUAAAAUUUGGAUUAAUAAUUUAAUAGUAAUGUAACUAAUUUUAUCAUUGAAAUUUUAAUAUUUUAAAAGAUAUUUUUUAUCGACAGGUUUUUGGAUUGUUCAAAAAGUUAUAAUGUUCCAACUAAAAUUGACUUCAUUAAUAUAUAAGUUCAAAAAUAUAAGAAUAAUAACCAAUCAAUUUGUUUAAGUUUUUAAUAAUAUUCGAUUAUAUAUAUUUUUAUUAAAUCAUUCUAGAUUUUCUCAGUUCAAAUAAGAUAUUAAUAUCUAUAUAUCAAAAACAAACAGAUUUUUAAAAUAUAAAUUUUUAAAUUCGAAUAUCUAUUUACAUAAAUAUAUUAUAUUAAACUAUUACUUUUUUGUUACAGUACUUUUAAGCCUUCAUCAUUAUAUAACAAGAUAUGAGCCCAUUGCGUUACAACGGGUUUUGUUUGAUAUUUUAAUUUAAUAAAAAUUAUAAAAUAUUAAAUCAUUUUAUUAUAGAUUUAUGAUUGUUUUUUGCAUUUGUUGUUUGAAAUUAUUUUAUAACUAAAACUCGUUUUCACAUAUAAGUUCAAGUUAAUAUUUGUAUUUUAUAAUCAUGGUGUAUAAAUGAAUUGUUAUAAACUUUGUACAUAUGAUUAGAGUAAAUAUUAUACCUAAACGUUUAAACUGAAUACAACCUGAAAUAAGAAAUUGAAUGAAAAGUAAAAAGAAAUGAAAGUCAAAUACACCAAUCAAGUGAAUGACAACAUUAUACAUGUUUUAUAUACUAAUUUAAUGUUUUAUUAAAUAAGUCUUUAAAGUUUUAUUUUGCUAGGAUUUUUUAAAAAGGAAAACAUUCUAUUUUAUAAAUCUCUUUUGUAUUUACAAUAAAAAAUAAAAAAUAAUAUUAAAUACUUCUUUACAAUUUUGUUUAAGAUUAUAGAAAAGGAAAAUUACUAUCAUAUAACCAAUUACGACUAUCUUCUCUUUAAAAUUUCAAAAAAAAAAUUGCUAUCAAAUAAUUAUUUUUAGUUAUCAAUAUAUAAUUUUAAAAAUUACUGUUUUUACAAUUUGUAUUAAUACCAAUUUUAUAUUUUUUUUGUUAAUUAAAUAAUUUUUAGUAUCAUGUUCGUCAUUAAAUACUCUCUUAAAAAUAUUAUCAAAUAAAAUUUUACAAUUCUCUUUUGGUUAAAACUUAAAAAUAUGAUAAAAAUUUCUUUUGGUUAGGAUUUUCUUAUAAAAAAACAAAAACAACUAUCAAAUACUUUUUUACAGUUUUUUUUAGGAUGUUAGAAAAGGAAAUUAAUAUUAUAUAAACUUUUAUGAUUAUAUUUUGUCUAGGAUUUAGAAAAAUAAAAUUUCUAUCAAAUAAUUAUUUCUAUUUAAUAUUUUUUUUUUAAGUUCCCAGUUUUGAAAUUCGUUUUUUCAAUAUCAUUAAUAUUUUUACUAUUUUUCUUGUUAAUUAAAUAAUUGUUACUAUUAUGUUUAUUAUUAGUUUUUUAAGGAAAAAUUAUUAUUAAAUAAAAUUUUACAAUUCUCUCUCGUCAAGAUGUAAAAACAAUUUCAAAUAAUUGUUACUAUCAUGGUUAAGAUUAGUUUUUUUUUGUUUUUUUAGAAAUCUCUUUUAUUUAUGAUUUUAGGAAAAGAUGAAGUUAUUUCACAUAAUUACAGUUUUUAUUGACACAUUCACAAUCUAAUUUGUUUUAGUUGACACAUGUCACAAUCAUAUCAUGUGAAUAUUUGAAGUUAAUUUUGUUUUAUAUUUUUUUAACACAAAACUAUUAAAAAGUAAAGUUAGUUAAUUAUAAGAAAAAUAAGAUUACUUUUACAUUUUUGUUUUAUUUAGACUUUUAAAAGGGAAACUAAUUAUUUGAUAAUUUGUUUUUUUAAUAUUUUUAUACAACUAUUUUAUUUUAAUGGAAAAAAUUCUGUUAAAUUAUUUAUAUAUUUUGUCUUAUACAUACAAACACAUGUCACAAUAUUAUCAAAUUAUAUUUUGCAAUUACAUUUUUAUUAGGAUUUAAAAAAAAGGAAAGUUACUAUUAAAUAAUAUUUAUCAUUACUUUUUAAUAAAAUUUGUUUUUUUUAAUAUCUUAGUAUAUAUAUUUUUAAUUAUGAGAUAGAUUAACACAUGUCACAAUCUUAAAUUUUUUAAAAAUCUUAUUUGGUGAAGAUUAAAAAAGGAAAAAUUAUUUUACAAAUCUAUUUUAUUUAGAAAUAAAUAUUACUUUUUUAUAGUAAGUUUUACUUAAUGAUUUUUGUUAUAUAAUUUCUUGUACUUGUAGGAUUUUCUAAUUCGUUUUUUAUAGAUUUGUUUUAAUUAAUAUUUUUCUUUUACAAUUUUCUUUCUUUAUUAUCUUUAAGAACGAAAUUUAAAAAGGAAAUUUUGUUAUUUAUAGUAAAAUAAUAGUAAUACUUUUAAAAUUUUCUUUUGUUUAGGCUUUUAAAAGAUAAACUAGACUUUGAUCCGCGCACCCGUGCGGAUGUUAUUCAUUUGCAAUGUCAAUUUUGUGUUAGCAAUUUUCUUGAUAUAGUUGUAUAUAUGUAACCAUGUUAAUUAGGGAUGGGUUUUUCGGUUUAAUUCUGAAUUCGGCUUGGUUUAUUUUGGUCUAGGAAAACUUUAUACAAAGUCAAUCCAAAUUAGUUUAGUUUGGUUUGUGCUUGUUUAGUUCAUUUGUGUUGAUUUUUUAGUUUUUUUCUAGUCCAAUUACAAAAAUAUAAACAAAUCAUCAUUUGACACGAAAUCAUUAUUUUUUUUUUCAUUUUUAAACAUAAAGCCAAACAUUACAAUAAGCAUGUAGAAAAUGUAAUCUAAUAGUUUGAUGCUGUUAUCAUUAAACCUAAGAUCAAUAUCAUAGGUAAUUUUUCAAUUGUGAUAUUAAUGUAAGAGAUUCAUAUUCUUUUAUUUUAUUUUUAGUUGCGUUUUUCUGUUAAUUUUGAAGUAAAAUAUAAAUUUAUUUAAUUUUUUAGGUUAAAUGAUUAAAUAUAUAAAAUCUUAAUAUUAUUAGUAUAUUUAAUUAAUCUAAUUUAAAAAUACUUCAGUUUUUUGGUUCAAUUUAAAACCAAACCAUUUGGAUUGAUAAAAUCUUCAACGAAAUGAUUUAGAUAUAUACUUUAUAAGUUUGGUUUGGAUCGAUUUGGGUUCGGAUGGGUCGGUUUGGUUUGGUUCGGUUCGGAUCGGAUUUUUUGCCCAUCCUAUUGUUAAUUAAUACUUAGUAGUGUAAUUUUUCAUCACUUAAUAAUGUAUUCUAUGGUGAUAAAAAAAACAAAGUUAUAGAUUAACAUAAGUUAUUCUUGUUAGAUAUAUAUCUUGUGUUGACAAAAAAAUAUAUCUUGCAAAUGGAUAAUAUACAUUAUAGGAAUAUAAUAAAAAAUUACAACGGCAAAUAUCUUUAUUAUUGUUAUUAAUAUCAUAGCUUAAAUUUAUGGGUUAGUUAUGUUAAGUUAGUAAGAUGUUCAAUAAUUUUAGGAAUAUUUACUUGAUUUCUUAUGUACUAUAUCGAUAGAAAAAAUUUAAUUUUUGAGUUAAUGUUAUGUCUAACUAAAUUAUGAUUUGCUUGUUAGUGGGGGUAAGAAGUUAAUGGGAUUUUUCUUGCUUAGUGUAAUAUGCCGUGGAGUACUAUGAAUAAUUAGUAAAGUUUUAGAGUUACUACCAGUGGCAUUACAUUGUAAUUAUUUAGGAAAAAUAAGGGUCAAACCUUAUUUGUACUCUUGUUUUAAUAGUUUAGAUAUUACUUAUUUUAUAGUUAGUUUUACUUAAUGAUUUUUAUUAAAUAAUUUCUUGUACUUGUAGGAAUUUCUAAUUCGUUUUUUUCUAGAUUUGUUUUAGUUUAUAUUUUUCUUUUACAAUUUUCUUUCUUUAUUAUCUUUAAAAACGAAAUUUGUAUUUUUGAAAACAAAAAAAAUUACUUUCAAAUAGAUUUUUACAAUUAUUUACUUGUUUAGGAUUUAAAAAUAUAAAAAUUACUAUCCAAUAAUUUUAACAAUAUGUAAUUGUAAAAGACUAUGUAAUAGCAAUAUAAUCUUUUACAAUUUUCUUUUGUUUAGGUUUAAAAAAAAAAUAUCACUUAUUUUAUAUUUAGUUUUACUUUUUGAUUUUUAUUAAAUAAUAUCUUGUACUUGUAGGAUUUUAUAAUUCGUUUUUUUAGAUUUUGUUUUAGUUAAUAUUUAUCUUUUACAAUUUUAUUUCUUUUUUAUCUUUAAAAACGAAAAUUAUAUUUUUUUAAACCAAAAAUUACUUUCAACUAACUUUUUACAGUUAUUUACUUGUUUAGGAUUAAAAAAGUAAAAAUUAAUAUCCAAUGAUUUAACAAUAUAUAAUUGUAAAAGACUAUGUAAUAGUAAUUGUUCUUUUCCAAAAUUUUUAAAAAAUCGUGAAAAGAUAUAUUUAAAAUGAUAACUUUUAUUUUCUAAAUCUCUUUUAAAUCUUAAGAAAAAAAAUCAUAUUUUUGACACAUGUCGCAAUCUUAAAAAAAUUAUUGACAUAUGUCGCGAUCAUGUUAAUUAGCAACUUUGAAGAACCAAGCUUUAUAUAAUAGGAUUUACAUUAUGUUUUUCAAGAUUUCAUAUAUUUUACUAUUCUUAUAGCAAUAUUUACUAUUUUAAACAACAUAUGAAACCCCAAAAUAUUAUAUUAUACUUAGGUGCAAAAACUUAUAUAUAUAUUUGUAAAAUAAAUAAAGAACAUAUAUACCUAUGAUUAUGUAAAUCUAAUAUAUACUUUUAAAAUAAAUAUAUUUACUAUUUAAAUAUAUCUUAUUUUUGAAAUUGUGGUUAAGAUCGGUUACAAAAAUCUACUUGCAAAUAUGUAGGGGAAUAAAAUUCUUUUUAAUUUUCUUUAAAUAUUAUACUUUUAGUUGAUUAUGUUAAAUAAUAAAUAAGAUAUAUUAAAUGUCUAGUGAAUUGGUCUAACAACAUUCGUAAAUAAAAAAUAAGACUCUAAAUUAAUAGAAUAGAUAUAACUAUAAGUGUUUGAAGCCUUGCUUGCAGACACAAAAACGGGACCGUUAGGCAAACCCUACAACCUUACAUAAAACUCUUCCACGAAACGUCUUCUUCGGCGGGGCUGCUAACAGAAAAGAAAAAUCAACAUCCUCUCAAUGAAUGUCUCGGGUAAGUCGAAUCACGUCUUGUUUUGUCUUUGAAGUUUCUGUUAUGUUAUCAAUAUUAUCCUGUUGAAUCAUGUGCUGUACGUUUUAGCCUUAUUUUUGAUUCGAUUUAAUUAUCCCGUUGAAUCAUCCGAUUGGUUGAUUCGAUUCUUAGAUCUCUUGUCCUGUCUUUGAAGUUUCUUGUUAUGUUAUCAACAUUAUCUUGUCCUAUUUUCCAUUCGAUUUGAUUCUGAUUUAGCCCUAUUGUUGGUUAUACAGCUGAUGAACGAGAGGACUCGAUGUCUAUUGCAAAACCAGUAACUCCUACUCUGAAGACAAAUCUGAAGAAGCAGACGAAUAAGAAUAAGAAGACAUGUAAAAAAUAAGAAGAUAAACUAUUUUUUUUAGAUUGAAUGCUUUGUGUUGAUUAUGAGCUUUUUUUUUCUUUUUCAGUCUCUCUCUUAAGUAGGACCGUGCUGCACCUGUGUUCCAGUAGCAAAACAAAUCUGAAGAGGCAGAAGAUACUUAAGGAGAGUAAAGCAAAUUUGAAGAAGCAGAAGAAAACUGAGGUUAUAUUCUGUGAAACUCUUGCAUAGUUACAUUGAUUGUUAGAAAAGGAAAACUGCAAAGGUUAGAUUUUUAUUUGUCCUUGUUGUUUUUGUCUAUCAAGAGAGAGAGAAAAAAGAAGGAAGAUUCUUGCUGUUUUGGAUGUGAAGAAGCCUACGAAAAUAAUGAUGAAACCAUUUUCGUUAAGGGAUUUCAACAUUUGCGUCCUAGGGAUGAAAUCAAGAAUGAAUUGAGCAACAUUUUUGGUUCUUGUGGAAAGAUAAUAAGCGUUUUUGUUCCCAUGCACUGUGGUACCUGUGUUCCCUUGGGGUUUGUCACUUGUUCCCUUUUUUUGAAUUAUUUUUGUUUCGUUUUAUCUUAUUCUUAUCAUAUAAACUAAAGAUUGUGUCGUUUCUUGAUAACAGAUUUGCUUUCAUUAAUCUCUUAAAUGGCAAAGAGAAGGCGUUGAAACUAAAUGGAAGUUACAUGGGAGGAAGAAAGCUUAAGGUGAUGAUUGCUACUGAUAGUGAUGAAUACUUCGGGUUUGAUGACUUUGAUGGGUGUGACCUUUGUGGAGGGCCAGGCAAGGUCAGAUCUCGCAGGUAAACCCCCCCUCUCUCCGAUCCAUGAAUUUGCUCUUGUUAUUGAUUCUUUUUUUUUCUUGAUAACAAAGUAACUUUUUCUAUUGAUUUUGCAGGCCGAUUGACAUUGAUAAGGUUUCUUUCGAAUUGUACCACUGAACCCGAGCUUAUUUUUAUUAUCUAAUUAUUUUGUCUUAUAUGAUUUUGACUCUGCUAUGCGUAAAUCAAAUUAUGUAAGAAACUCUUUAGUAUGGAGACGGUGGUUUUCUGAAAUUUUUGUUGAAAAAUGAUUUGGUUAAAAAUUAUGUAAGAAACUCGUGGAUCUUAGUUUUCCACAACCUCUCAGCCGAAGUUAAUUCUGUGUGGGUAAAUUCUCUUUUGCAAAUCUUAGUUUUACGAAAGUGAAUCGAACGCUUGCCUCUUGUUUUCACAUCACUAUAAUUUAAAUUUUCUUGUAGUUAUGCAAUAUGAACAUAUCUUUGCUUUCUAAAAUAGUAAACCAUAAAUUUUGCUUUCUAAAAUAGUAAACCAUAAACUUUACUAUAACAGCUACUCUGAGUAAACUCAGAUGUUGAUCAUUACAUCUCAAUAUUGUUGUUUACUACAACUAUAGACAAGCUUGCUAGAAUCAGCAAGACUAAUUUCAGAAAAUGCCAUCAAGCGUAUCUUGUAUUUCAUGGACUCCCACUCUUCUCAACAUCUGUUCCAUGUACCUACAAUUCAGUUCAUUCAAAAGAUUGGUAUUUGGCAAAUGUGUAUAUGUAAUAAAAAUGGAUUAGCUAAUAAUUUAUCUUCUUAACAAACCAUAUAUGCUAGUGUGUCAUUUAACUAUUAAACUAGAGUUUAUCGCGCACACCGUGCGGAUAUAUUUUCAUUUUAUAAAUAUUUAAUUUUGAUAUUAUUAUAUAAAUUUAAAUAUACAAUUUAUAUAUUAGUGCUAUGUAUUUUAUAACUCUUUAAUUUUAUUGUUUAGGUUUCUUAUUACUUUAUUAAUAUAGGGGUUUGUUUUAUACAUUUUACCUUUUUUAUUACGUUUUCGAGUUUUCAUAAUUUGAAAUAAUCAAAUAAAAAAUAUUCUUUAACAUAUGAUUUUUGAAAAUAUAUAGCUGUAGAAAUAAAUUUUUAACAUAUGUUAAUAACUUCAUUUGUAUAAAAAAAUCUGACAUGAUUAACAAAUUUGAACCCGUUUUAGUGGUAGAUGAUAAUUUAUUUAAAUGAAAGCAUUAUAUUACUUAAUUACGAAAUUAAUUAAUGUAAUAUUUAAUAAAAAUUAUUUAAAAAUUUAGUAGGAUUUUGUUAGAUUUUUCUCAACAAAUUUUGUUAUAACUGAAGAUAAAAUUCAAAUCUAUAGUUAAAAUUAAUUUAUUAUUAAUAUUCUUAUUAAUUAUUAUGUCAUAUUAUAUGAUUAAUGAAAUGAUCCUAGUAGAUUUUUAAAUAGUAGAUAAAAAUGGUAGUUCUCUUUUAAUAGAGAAGAUGUUACCAAGAAUUUCAGAAAUUUUACUAUAAACACAUUGUUAUUUUUAUAUCACUUAUAGUAUUUUUGUACAUAUUUCUCUUUACAUUGGUUUCUCUAUCAGAUUAACUUUAACAAACUCAUAGGCAACUUAAAAUAAAGCUUCAAGCUAAGAAUUAUUUCGUAUAAUUGUAUAUAUGUUUAAAGUAAGUUUGAGAUAAAAAAAACACACAUCCACUAAUACUACGCAACAAGGCGUGUUAGGCUUUGGUCAUGGCCAUGUCCAUGGUAACAAAAAAGCAAACCAAAAAUGACAUCAUCUUGUCAGUGAUAUCGUUUCUUUAAGAAAUGUAAUCUAAUAAAGCUUUCUAGUGAGUGACAAAACUAUUUGGCACUGGUUAGUAGAUAUGAUGUUCAUUUUAUUUGUAAAGAACUCUUCUUCGUCAUUAUCCAAAGUCUCCUCCUGCUUUUAUAUAAUUUAUAUUUAGAUUUUAUAUAAUUUUGUUGUGAACUAUUAGCUUAGAUGUAUAUCUUUAUAUAUAUAUAUAUGUAUUUAUGUAUUGUUAUUAUAGGUUUUAUAUUUUGUAUUUUGGAGAAAAUGAAACAACGAGAGAGGGUGAGAGCUAGAAGAUGAUCUGAUUCUUAUUCAGCUUUUUCAUCUUUCACCUACAUCACUACAAGAAAUAGGGGGUUUGAUAGCAGUCAAGGAUAGUGGGUUUGCCUUUCUACUGUGGUUGAUAUACCUUUUAAUUUUAAAUAAUGUUUGUAUAUUUAGAAACAUUAUAAUAGAAUGGUAGAUAGUGUCGACACCAGAAAAAUUGUCAGUUUUUGCAAGUUAUUUAGAAGAUAUCAAAUACCUGGAAGAAAGCUUUACGAACUCGAAAAUCAUUCAUGUACCAAGAAUGCAAAACACAAAGGCGGAUACCUUAGCACGCAGUGUGAGACAACAGCCAUCUUUCGUCGUUCAUAUGAAUGAAGAGCAUCCGGUUUAAUAUUCAGAGUCUAUAUGAAUAUGUUGAUGUUGAUGACAAAAAAAAAUGGAUAAAUCCAAACUUAUAGUUUUUCAAUGGAAUAUUCUUCAUUUUAUCUUUCUAUUUAGUAAUAUUUAACUCAUGAAUUUCUAUGUGUUUUAGGUUGUUUCCGUUAAGAGUUUUUAAAAUCUAUAUACAACCAUGAACUCAACGUGCAGAUGAACCACAAACGAUUUUUUAUAUUUAUCUAUUUCUUUUUAACUAAACCAUUUCUCUGUCCAAUCAUCCUUUGAUGAGCUCUGUGUUUUCUCUGAUAUCACUGGAUAUGCUUACGGCAAACUUAAAUGCCGAAAUAAGCUGUACAAUGAAGAAAACCUGAACUUCUUGUUCUAUAAGUUUAACACAAAAGCAGAACUAAUUUCAGAAUAAAGCAACAAGCAUAGUUAGAUACAGUAAAUCUAUGUUGUUAUUUUCCAACCCCCUUUCCGUGCUCGAUGACAUUUACCUGAUCAACAAACACGCAGAUGUCUUCACAUAUACCACUUUAGUUGAUGCACUGGGAAAGAAAGGUAGAAUAGAAGAAGCAACGAAACUUACGAACAAGAUGCUUCAUAAGGGCAUAGAUCCCACCCCUGUCACAUACAGGACUGUCAUCCAUCGAUACUGCCAAAUGGGAAAGGUUGAUGAUCUCGUACUGGAGAAGAUGCUACUGCGGCAGAAAUGCAGGACAGUUAAUCAAGUCAUUGAGAAGCUUUGUGGUUUGGGAAAGCUUGAGGAGGCAGACAAAAUUUUGGGUAAAGUUCUGAGGACAGCUUCGACAUCUGAUGCUAAGACAUGCUAUGUACUUAUGGAAGGGUAUCUUAAGAAAGGUGCACCUCUAUCAGCGUAUAAAGUGGCUUGUCGGACGUUUAACCGGGAUCUGAUACCUGAUGUUAAGAUGUGUGAGAAGCUUAGCAAGAGACUGGUUCGGGUAGGAAAAGUUGAGGAGGCAGAUCAGCUAAUGCUACGUUUGGUUGAGCGUGGUCGUAUUUUACCCCUGCCCUCAAAACAGUCUGUGGUCUUAUAAAUAUCUGUUUGGAUUUACCUUCAUUAUUGUAACCAGAAACUUCUUGGUAGAGUGUUUGAGGUAUCAAGCGAAGAUGGAUGGAUGGAAUAGUAAUUCGAACACUAAUAGCAAGACUAGAGGGUUGUUGACACUUCACAGCUCAUACAAUGCAAAAUAUACAUUUCUAAUUAUUGAUCGCUUUGAUAAUUCUGAGUAGUAAACACAUUACAGACAAUGAUGUUUGCUGGUUGCUGCUUCAUAUUUAGAUUAUGUUAAAAGGUGUAACUGAGAAAGCGUGACUGUAACACCGAAGGUUUCUGUACAUUUAGGAUGCUCACUUUCUCUGAAGGUUAUAACAUCAAUUAUGAGAAUAAAAAGUAAAAUCUUUUGCAAAAGACAGGAUUCAAUGGUUAAAAAUAUAAUAGAUAAAAAGUUGAGGCAUAUUCUUGAUGGGGGUAUAUCUUUUACACAUGGCUAUAUCAUUCAAGAUAUGGCAUUAUUUUCUGUAUUUGGAUAUAGUGAAGUUUUUUGGUUGAUUGUUGCAUUAGAGCUCUGUUAUUAUAUAUUUUGUAUUUUUUCGUUUAUUUUUCUUUGGUGUGAACUUGGCGAUGAUGAAGGUACUUAUCAGACAUCAUUUUCGUGAUAAUGCUUGCCUCUUGGCUGAUUCUGAUAGUAAGCCAAAGGUAGAAACUGUUGCUGGGAAAGGGAAGGUAAAGAGAGGGCACCUUUUCGAAUGACUGCUUUUGUUGUAGCUAAUUAUACUGCAAAUAAAAGAUCAUGUCUUCUCUGCUUGUCCUAACGGUUUAUAUAUACUGUUACCUUUUUUUUUUGGAACUUACUAAGCUAUUCCUAUUUUGGCGUGUUGCUGUUUGUUUUUUCCAUGUGAAGGGAGAGAGAGAACGUAACCCUUAUGUAAAACUCGUUUUUACCCUGCUUUCUGUGUUACCACAUCCUUCCAAACACACACAUGAUCGAAAGAAAGUUUUUACUUGCAAGAAUUUAUUGUGAAAAAAUGCGUUUGGAAUAAAAUAUUGCUUUGGUGAUGUGUAGGAAAAGUUGAGGAGGCAGAUCAGCUAAUGCUACGUUUGGUUGAGCGUGGUCGUAUUUUACCCCUGCCCUCAAAACAGUCGAUUAAAUGGUAUGAUCCGGUUUAUGACACGAUUAUAACUGUUGUUGUCUAUACGUGGAAGACUUGUCUAGUGGAUUCUACCUUGGAUUUAUGAUACUAGACUUGGUCGUAAACAAUAUUUGUGCUUCAGGUGGCAGCCGACAAAGUAAGAAUAAAUCUCUUUGAUUAUUGUUACAGUGUACAGUCUUCUAUGGUCAGUUGGCUUACAAUUACAGGUACUAAAAGUUUUCAAACUUUUUUAGAAAAGAUAGUUUCAAGAAGCUAGUCAACGGCUCUAAUUAAAACAUCAUUUAGUAAGUUCAAUGGCAUUACCAGAAUAUGCAGUAAAACACCAAAAAUAUUUCGUUUUGCUUCAUAUGUACAACUCAUGGAUAUGUUAAAUAUCUUGUUUUUUCCCCACCCAUGCAAAUACUGUGUUUUUGUGUGAUCAGGGUUAAAUUUAACUGUGCAUUGUUUUUGACUGGCUAUGGUUACAAUCGCGUACCUCGUCGGAGUUGGGACGUAUAUUAUUCCGCGUCUUCAUAGGAAAGUACAUUGGUUAUAGACAUCCAUUCUUUGUGAUAGACCUAGAAUUUUUUUUUUGAAGAUUUUGUGUUUGGUAUAUAGCAUUUACAUUUUUGUAACCACAAACUUCUUGUGGUACACUGUUUGAGGCUUCAAGCAAAGAUAUUUUGAUUGAAUAUAAUUGUGUCCAGCUGCAUUGUAAGUCCAUGAUGUUGGAACAACUUCCAGAUCCCAUGCAAAGCGACAAGGGUCUCACCCCAUUGGGGUGUGAUGGGUUUUGUUGUUUGAUACUUCUGGCGUGUGUAAACCGGUUUGACCAUGUUGCUCUCUGGUUUGUAUUUGAACGUGAAGCAACAAGAUCAGAGGUUUUUUGGUUGUUUUGUUGGUUGCUGAAUUGAUGCUUCAUAAUUAGAUUACGGUAAAAGAUGGCAAGUAGAUAUGAGUUGUUUUUAUUAACACUGGUCAAAUCGUCAAUUAUCUCAUUAUAAUCUCUAGCUAUGAUGAUCAAUUUCACGGACAAUGUAGAGAAUGGAUAAGUCCGGUUCGGUUCGGUUUCAGAGGAUGCUGAUGGAGUUGAGGCAGAACAAGGCGGUGUUUAUGUUUAUCGGGAUGUGACAGUGGCGCGAGGUCUCAGAGUCAAGGCUGCAGAAGACAAGACUUUGUGGCAUCGCAGAUUGGGACAUCCUUCCUUUGGUGUUUUAGGAUUUUUACCAUUUGUUUCUGGUGUUCAAAACAACUCUGACAAGUUUGGAGGUUGUGAAAUUUGUUUCAAAUCAAAACAAACUCGCGGGGUGUUUGCCGAGAGUUAUAAUAAAGCAUCUGUUCCUUUUGAAUUGAUACAUGUUGAUUUGUGGGGUCCGUAUCGGGAGAAAUCGUCAUGUGGUGCUGCGUAUUUCCUUACAAUCGUAGACGACUUCUCGAGAGCUGUCUGGAUUCAUCUCCUGCUCGAAAAGUCUGAAGUAAAGAAAGUGUUACCGAACUUCUGUCAACUUGUUCACCGACAGUUCGAUAGACAUGUCAAAACCGUACGAAGUGAUAAUGGCACGGAGUUCAUGUGCCUUACCAAGUAUUUUGCGCAGAGUGGAAUCGUUCACCAGACUUCAUGUGUAGCAACGCCACAACAAAAUGGACGAGUAGAGAGGAAGCACCGCCACAUUCUCAACGUCUCCAGAUCUCUUAUGUUUCAAUCAGACCUUCCUAUCAAGUUUUGGGGGGAAAGUGUUCUGGCUGCGGCGCAUGUUAUUAAUAGAACGCCGUCGAGCCUUCUGCAUGGGAAGACUCCUUAUGAAUGUAUGUAUGGUAAGGCCCCAUCGUAUGCUGAUCUGAAGACGUUUGGUUGUCUCGGCUUUGCACACAACCUGCAGAGACACAAAGACAAGUUCGGAGCGCGAGGCAGGAAGUGCGUGUUUGUAGGGUACCCGUUUGGAAAGAGAGGUUGGAGACUGUACGACUUGGAGAACGAGGAGUUCUUUACGUCACGUGAUGUUGUUUUCGACGAGUCAGUGUUCCCGUAUCAGACUGAUACAAGUGGCGCGAACACAGCAGUCCCACAAACUGUGCAACCUGCACAUGAAACUGAAGAAAUAGAACCACUGAUCGCUUCGAGGGGGAGCGACAUUGCUGAGUUGCCAAUGACUAUGACCCCUACGGAAUCCGUGGAGUCUGCACCGCACCUGUCGAAGAGCCACCAGCUUCAGAAACAAGGACAGCAGACACGAUUGAAUUGGAGAAUGAGUUGGUGGAGGCCACAGGGACAGAGGCAACUGCGCAUGUUGAAGAAGCCGCAGUGACCACAGAAGCGGUGGAGGAACUUGGAAGAGGUCACAGAGUUCCAAAGCCAUCGGUCAGGUUGCGAGACUACGUCACGUACAACGCGCAAUGUCACCCUGUAUAAAUAUCUGUUUGGAUUUACCUUCAUUAUUGUAACCAGAAACUUCUUGGUAGAGUGUUUGAGGUAUCGCCUCAACUCCAUCAGCAUCCUCUGAAACGUGUCCAGGUAACACCUCAUCAUAUCCCAUCUCUGCAUACGUGACUGACGCCAUCUUCUCGGAAAAGCAUCGUGCGUUUCUUGCAGCUAUCAGUGCAGAUGUUGUGCCACGCAACUUCAAGGAGGCAAUCCUUGAUCCUGUGUUUAAGGAAGCGAUGGGAACGGAGGUUGCAGCGCUGGAAGAGCAGAGAACGUGGGAUGUAACCGACCUGCCUAAAGGGAAGAAAGCGCUGGGAUGCACUUGGCUUUACAAGUAUAAGUACAAUGCCGAUGGCACAAAGGAGCGACCCAAAGCAAGGUUGGUAGUGCAAGGAAACAGACAAGUGGAAGGGGUGGAUUAUGAAGAAACGUUCGCACCAGUAGCGAAACUCACGACGGUGAGAACGCUGUUGGAAGUGGCGGUUGCAAUGUGCUGGGAAGUUCAUCAGAUGGAUGUGCAGAACGCUUUCUUCCAUGGAGAUCUACAUGAGGAAGUGUACAUGAAGAUGCCCCCUGGCUUCAGUUCGAGUGAUCCUAAGAAGGUGUGUAAACUGAGGAAGUCCCUGUACGGUUUGAAACAAGCUCCGAGAUGUUGGUUUGCAAAGCUGACAAGUGCGCUGAAGGAGGCUGGUUUCAAGCAGUCGUACUCAGACUAUUCGCUCUUCACCUACAUCAAGAACGGUAAGAGUUUGAGAGUGCUCAUCUAUGUGGACGAUUUAGUGAUCACGGGAAGCGACUUGGAUAUGGUGACGAAGUUCAAAACGCAUCUGAGCAAGUGCUUUAAGAUGAAGGAUCUUGGUAGAAUCAAAUACUUCUUGGGCAUAAAAAUCGCAAGAGGUGCUGAGGGUAUGUUUCUAUCUCAACGGAAGUAUGUUCUUGAUAUAAUAAAUGAAGCUGGUCUUCUUGGUUGUAAGCCGGUCUCGACCCCGAUGGAACAGAAUCAUCGGUUACUCUCUGCUGAUGGACCAUUCUACACGGAUCCGGUUCGGUUUAGACGAUACGUGGGUCGGUUGGUGUAUCUCACAAUCACCAGACCUGAGCUCAGCUAUGCGGUUCAUGUGUUGUCUCAGGUAAUGCACAAACCAAGAUCGGUGCAUUGGGAUGCAAUUGUGCGAGUGUUGCGCUACCUCAAGGGUAGCCCGGGUCAGGGGAUCAUGCUGAAGUCUACAAGUGAUCUUUGUGUUCGAGGUUUCUGUGACGCCGACUGGGCAUCAUGUCCAAAGACGCGACGAUCACUGUCAUCUUAUAUUGUUCUGUUGGGAAGUUCCCCUGUCUCGUGGAAGACUAAAAAACAAGAUACUGUGUCGCACUCAUCAGCUGAGGCUGAAUAUAGAUCGAUGGCUGCGGCACUGCGAGAGUUGAUAUGGCUAAAGAGGCUUCUUGGAGACUUGGGAGUUGCACAUAAAAAGCCUAUGGAGUUGUUCUGUGACAGCAAGUCGGCGCUAUACAUUGCUCAGAACCCGGUGUUUCACGAAAGAACUAAACACAUAGAGGCAGACUGUCAUAGUGUAAGGGACGCAGUGCAGGAUCGUCUCAUAGUCACGAGGCACGUUCGAACUACUGAGCAGCUGGCUGAUAUAAUGACCAAGGCAUUGGGGAGUUCGCAGUUUCAUUAUCUUCUCAACAAGUUGGGUGUUCGAAACUUACACGCUCCAACUUGAGGGGGAGUGUAGAGAAUGGAUAAGUCCGGUUCGGUUUGGUAGACGUAGAAGUGUUGAGGUGAUAAGGAUCGAGAUGGUUGGAGAUAUGCAUUAGAAGAUUGUGAUAAGGAUUGUAGAAGAUAUUGUGCUUGAGUAUAUUCUUGUAACAAGCACGUAUAUAUAUGUGUAACAUAAGACGUGAAUAAACAACAAGUUCAUACAAAUCAAUCUCUCUUAGUUUACAGACAAUGAUUACAAGACGUAGUUCUCCGUGUAACACUAAAAUUAACAGACAGUUUACAUAUACGAUAUUUUCGAUGGACAAUCUCUCUUCAUAGCACAAGUCCACAACAAAGGGUUCUACCUACAACACUAUAGAAUUUCCGAUAAGCUUUGAAUCCGUAUAAUCUAUAAAAGUUGCUUCAUCUAAGAAUCAAAUCCCUAACUUUGUGUAGAAGCAUUUAAACCCUUGAUUACUAGACCUAUGGAUUCCACAAAUAAGAGUUGUUUAUGCAUCUGAGAAGGCGUGACUGUAACAUCAAAAGUUUCUCUUUACAUUUAGGAAACUGACUUUCUGAAGGCAUAUGCCAAUCAUAAUAACAAUCACGAAAUAAAUAAAUAAAGAAGUCUUUUGGAACAGCCGAACAGGUAGGAUUUUAAUGGCUAGAGCCUAUAAAUAGAUAUAUGAAAGCUUUUAAAAGUUGCGUUCCCACAAAUAAAAAAGAAGAGAAACAUUGAUGCUUAUCGUUCACGGGUAUAUCUUACACACCGCUAUAUCAUUAAAUGUAUCCUAUUAUUCUCUGUCAUUUGGAUAUAGUUGUGAAGUUGAUACCUUGCUUCUUUGCAUUAGCUCUCCGCUAUUGUAUUUUUGUUGAUUUUGGGUUGGUGUAGGUACUGACGCGUAAGUACUUGUAGAAUUUAAUCGUAUAACCAUACAUUUCUGUGGCGAAAACUACAUAUUGCGUGGCUAUAUGAUGAUAUAUCCACUAAAUUUUGGCUAUAAAAUCGUGAACAAAAAAAUUUCGUGCGAACCUGAUGAUGUUGAAUGUAGUUAUCUCGCGAUAGUGCCUACGUGGCUGCAUCUUUGGCUGAUUUUCAUAGCAAGCCAAAUAUGGAAACUGUAGCUGAGAGAGUAAAAGUAAAGUGGACACCUUCCUCAACUACUGCUUUUGUCGUAAGUGUUUUAUUAUUCUGCAAACAAAAGAUCCUGUCCAAGUAACGGUUUUCAACUGGUGACUUCUAUUGGAACUUAGUAACGUACUGAGCGUGUUCUGUGUAUUAUUCCACGUAGAUGCUAAGAGAAUACUUGUGAAGCUCACCUUCUUACGUUGCAUUCUCUGUUACCAUGCAUAUAUAUAGUCCCAUACACCAUCAUACCAAAAAUGUGUUACUUUUCAAGAAUCUUUUUUGGAAAAACAUGGUGGUGAUGUUAAGUGUUGUUUUGUUUGUAAUACUUAAAUGGUAUCUACCCGGUUUAUAUAUGAAAGCGAUUGUAUUUGUUUAUUUGUCUUUUAGUAGAACUUGUCUAAAUGAUUCUAAUUUCUAAGCUUCAUGGGAUUAAGGCAUCAUAUAGCUGAAAGACUCCUCCAAUCUCUUAAAAAUAUAAAAAAUGAUAUUUACUAUAUAAUUUUAUUUAUAAUAAAAUGAACCAUCUUUUCUUUUCUCAUUUUUUAUUGCUAGAAACUCUUUUAGAAAAUUUUCUACAAACCCUCUGGCUAAACAUUGUACAGGUUAGUUGUGGAUGCACAUUGUUCAGUGGUUAGUUCGUUUACGGUUACAACUUUACAGCAAAAUAAUUAAUAGUUAUGUAGAAACUCGACGACUUUGAUUGAACCAUCAUCCAGUAAGUUCUUUCUCAUUUUAUUGAUUGAGAACCCUCAAAGAGUUAAGCUUUGGCAAAUGGGUUAAGUUGAAAGGACUAACCUUUAUGGCUUAACAAUAGGAAGUUAAAAUCUUUAGCCCUGCGAUCAGGGACGGUUCUGAAUGAGAUAGCGGGACUUCUCCAUGAAAUUAGUCACCUCAUUUCUCUCUUCUCAACCAUAUCUUUUGUUGUAAUUUCUCGGUCUGUAAACUCUGUGGCUGAUGGUCUUGCUAAGUGUGCUCUUGUAGGCCUUAGCAUGCAAAACGUUGUAUGAUCUCUUUAAGUUAAUCAGGAAGAAAACCGUUGACCAAAAAAAAAAAACCUUUUGUUUAGUUUAUUCAUAAACAACCUUGUUGAAUCUUUCUUUACUUCCCUGUGAAUCACGCAUCCACAUUAUUGGAGUCACUUGCUGAUAAUCCAUGCCAUAAUUAGACUUGAUGGAUUAUAUAUGUUAAUAUAUAGCAUCACUAAGUUUAAAUCAACUCUAUUAUAGAGUUACUCUAUUUUGAAAAAAAAAAGAAAAUAGAGUAAGUACUGUAUUUAUAGAGUAAACAUAUUUUUUACUAUAUUAUAAAGUGAAAAGCAGAGUUGGUUUGGACCUAAUUUACUCUAAACUAUAUGCUCUUAGUACUUUUCUGUAAAAACAUAAAGAUCUAUACAAUAUUUCAUACUUUUCUUUCACUCUUUUCAAAAGCUAUGUUUUGCAUUUCAUCUUAUGGAUUAUUUAUUGGCAUCACUGAAGUCACUCGCAACAAAACACCAAAAAUCGUUUAGGUGUAUCCUUUAGCAACCAAAAUAUCUUCCUUAUUUUUCCUCUCACCAAUCUCAGUAAUUACUGCAUGUGUAUUGUGUGUGAUUUAGGUUAAGUUUAAAAUGUACACUAUUUUUGUCGACUUAUGGUUACAAUCACUUACCUGUUGGCUUAUUACCUUGUCAUGGGAUGUACUACGCGUCUUCAAGAGAAAACACUUUGGUUAUGGACCUUAUGGCCAUACAUUCUUUGUGCUUGACCUAGAAUGUGUCUCUGAGGAUUUUGUGUUUGGUAUUUAUUCAAAGGCACUUAAUGCUUUUUUUGCUGAUUUUUUCUAAUAUUUAUAUUUAUACAAUCUCUUAUCUCAAGGCUUAUUAUUUUGAUGUCGAACAUCUCCAAAAAAAACUGUAUAACUUCAAAUAUAAAGUUUUUUGCUCUCCAAAAAUGAACUUAAAAAUUUCAAAUUUAGAAUUUUGAGAAGUGAAACAUCAUUUUUGAAGUUUCACUACUCAAAAAUUUAAAUUUAAAGUUUCAUCUUUUUAUUUACAUUUUGAUCUUUAUAAUUAAUUACACAUCACAUUUAUGAUUUUUCAGUAUUUUCUCAUUUACCGUUUUAAUCCUUAAAUUUUUAUAUAUCAUAAAUAUUUCAAAUUUUACACUUAAAUUUAAAUAAAUAUCUGAAAUAACAUUUAUAAUAUUUUAAAACAAGAAUUAGAAAAACUAAUAUUACAAAAAAAACUUAAUAAAAAACUUUUUAAAAAGGAUACAUGAAGACAUAAUUAUUACACAAAUUUAAAUAUGAUAACAACACUAAUAGUCUAGUAAAUUUGCUCCGGAACCUCCAAAAUCUCUAAAAUAUUGUCCAAAAUAUUUUGUGUAAUCGAAAAUAGAGUAUUACGAAAAUAAUUUUAUGGAAUGAUGUGAUAUUUUGCUUGUAGUUUAAUAUUUAAUUAUGUAUUUCUAUUUAUAAUUUAUAUAUUUAGUGUAGAUCUUAUUAAUUAAUAUUAUGGUAAUAUUUUUAUAUAUGUUUUAGUUAUUUAUAAAAUUUUUAUGAAUUUUUAUUAAUUAUUACAAAUAUAGAGACCAUAGUGUAAAAUAAAAAUAAUUUUGAAGUUGAGUUUAAAGUUUUGCUUUUGGAGAAGAACUCUUUGAAAUUUCAAAUUUAAAGUUUUACAAAUUCUAAAAUAGUCUUUUUGGAGAUGCUCUUAGUAGUUGGAAGUAUUACCUUUUUUCAAGGAAAAGCAUAGUAGUUAUGGCCUAGAUUUUUAAUUUGGGUACAUCUGAACCGAAUUCCAACUAAUCCCCAAAUUGAACAGUAGUGACGACUAGUCCUGUUCUGGAUUUUUAGAGAAGUAAGACAUGACUCCAUCUUCGUAUGGCCAAACAAAUGACAACUUAGUUUUUUUUUGCAACUCAUAAUCGGCAGAUUUACACCUUGCCUGAAAUUUUCUUUUUACCACUAGACUACCAUUGCUUGGUUUUGACCUAGAAACUUUUCUUUGAAGAUAUUGUGUUUGGUAUGAUCCAUUGGUAUAGCUUUUUGGUAGGCUUCAAGAAAAUAGAUUUUCAGUUUUUAACGAAUAUAAACUGUGUCCAUGUGCUGGAAAUGAUAACUACAUGGUGUUGUAUUUGUCGUUAAGUUAAUAACAAUUUCCAUAUCCAAGCGAAGCAACUAGGGUCUCACUCCAUUAGAGUGUUGGAUUUCUUCUUUGAUACUCCUGGCGUGGCGUGUGGAAACCGGAUUGAGCAGAACUAGUUAUUUUAGUGAACGACUCACUGUUUUGAAUAUAAGUGACACGUUACAAUAAAAUACUGAUCAUAAGUCUUAGUCCUCUGAGUUUUAAAGCCGAAGUUGUUCAUUGGGUUUGGGUUUCCUUGUUACAAUCAAUUAUUUAUUUUAUAUUAGGUUGCAAGCUAACUUAUGAUCUUUUUUUUUUGUGCACUGUUUUUUUUUUUUUUUUUUUUUUUUGUGCACUCAAGCUAACUUAUGAUCAAGAUGAACAUAUUGAAUAUCAUAUAAUAAAUGAACUGAACUAACUCAUAGAAAAGUAUGAGCUCAUCACAAAUAUUAGGUAAACUGAGUGAGCUGCCUUAUUUUGACACCCCUAUUCACAAUAAUUAAAGUGAUAAAAUUAGUGAUGUAUAAUGUGAUUAAUUAUAUGACUUAUGAAGUGUCUUUGUUUUCUUUUGGGCAGAAUACCGCUAGUCUGACUUAAAAAUACACAUCAGAUUUCAAAGCAAUUUUUUAAACAUAAUAUAAUUUCUAUUGUUUUUUCUGAAAUUUUAGAUAAUGUUUUAAAAAUUAACUAUAUGUUAUUAUAUUUAAUUUAUAAAAUUGAAACAUAAAACAAAAAGCUCAAUUUUUAAAGUUAUAUAUAUAUAUAUAUAUAUUAACUUGAAAUUUCGUUGUUUGGUUCCUCUUAAUGUAACACAACUAACAAACCUAUAAUGAUCCGAUGACAGUUGGAUUCUUUAAGAAAGGUUUAUCUUAAGCAACAAAACCUAACUCACAACGAAAGGCAAUCAAAGUGCAAAAGCUAUUAGGUACAUACGAGGUGAUCAAGCCAUACUGACUUGACGGAGUGAUGUGGCUUGACACCAAUUCGUACAAUCUUGGGUGCGUAUGUCUGGGCGUUUUCGUCACGCAGAUGCAUUUGCUGUAUACUGAAGUUGAUAGGUUGCUUGUUGCAUUAGCUCUCCGUUAUUGUAAUUUUGCUGAUUUUGGUUUGAUGUAUUGACGCAGAAUUAAGCCCGUCAUUUAUUUUUAUUUUUGUGUGAGAGCCAAAGUUGAAUGUACAUAUCUCGUGAUAAUGGCUUCAUCUUUGGCUGAUUCUCAUAGUAAGCCAAAGUUGGAAACUGUUGCUGAGAAAGUAAAAGUAUAGAGGACACCUUCCUCAACAACUAUUUUUGUCGCAAGUUUUUAUAUUCUUCAAACAAAAGAUCAUGUCCAAUUAAACGGUUUUCAGCUGUUGCCUUCUACUGGAACUUAGUAACUUACUGUUGCUAUUUGUUUUUCCAUGUAAAGGCUAAGAGAGCUCGUUUUUCUUACGUUGCAUACUCUGUUAGUUAUCAUAUAGUCCCAUAUCUUGUGAAAAUUUUUUUUUUGGAAAAAAUGUUGGUGAUGUGAUUUGUUGUUUUGUUUGUAAUGCUUAAAUGGUAUCUACCCGGUUUAUGAAAGCGAUUAGAUUUGUUCUUGUCUUUUAGUGGAGGAUCUAUCUACAGGGUUCUUCCUUGGAUAUAUGAUUUACGUCAACAUUUAGCAGUAAAUGCACAGAAUCUUCAAGGGGUAAGAGGUUACUUGUGGACGUACACCGACAGAGAGAGAACUGUUCAAUCUAUUUUCAAUACUGUAGAAUGUCCAGUGUACUCUGUGGUCAGUUGGCUAACAAUUAUAACUAUAAAGCAAAGAAAUGGUUUGUAGAAAUUCGACGACUCUGAUUGAACCAUCAUUUAUUAAGUUAUUUGGCAUCUUAUGUAUUGAUAGUAUACCGUUACAAAAUUUAGCUAUGGAAAAUGGGUUAAGUGGAGAAAAUUAACCUUUAUAGUUAAACAAUAAGAUAUAUCUUGUAGUUACAAAAAUUUAGCCUUGGAAGCCUUAGUAAAAAAAAAGUAAAAAUAUCCCUUUUGUUACUUUACCCAUAAACAACAUUGGUGAAUCCCCUUACUGCUCUAUGAAUCAUGCAGCCACAUUGUUGGAGUCACCCGCUUCGAAUUCAUGCCAUUGAACUGAUGGGUUGUGUCGUUCCUUAAGCACUCUUCUUUUAAAACAUAAAACAUUUUAUAAAAAAUUUCCUUCUUUUCUUCCACUCUUUGAAAAUGCUAUGUUUUGCAUGAUUUAGGUAUUGCAUUCCAGAUUAUUGUUUCAAUGGCAUAAGUGUGAUCACUCAUUCACUCUGCAACGAAACGCCAAAAAUCCUUCCCUUUGCUUCACAAAUAUCUUCCUUAGGCAACCUAAAUAUCUUUAUUCUUUGUUGUUUUCUCACACAUCUAGAAUGCUGUGUGUUUUGUGUGAUCUAGGUUAAAUUUAAACUGUGUGAUGUUUUUGUCUGCUUAUGGUUACAAUCACUUACUUCAUUGGCUUAUUACUUUGUCUUGGGGUAUACGUAUUACGCGUCUUCAUAAGAAAGCACAUUGGUUAUGGCCAUCCGUUCUUUGUGCUUGACCCUAGACUGUCUUCGGGGAUUUUGUGCUUGGUAUUAUUCAAAGACCCACUUAAUGCUUUUAUUUGAUGAAUCAUCUCCCAUGUUCUGUUACUUGUGUUUGUCUACCAUUUGGCACUAAGGUGUUUGCCUCUGUACGCUCACAUUUUUGUGUAAUAGUAAAUAAAAUAAACAUAUUAUUAUUACUGGUUCAAUUUGGUUUCUAACAAACCGAGAUGAAUUUAUCGGUUGACUGAAAGCUUACCUGAAUCGGUUAUGCAUGCAUAAACUCUGGCCUCGCUUUGGUUGUUCGGUUCAUAGAAAUUUAGAAUGCCCACUCCUAGUCAAUAGUCAAUACAUAGAUUCGUUAUACACGAACAGUGACUAAUCUCUUAGUAAUGACCGGCCUUCAAAUUUGCAGAAAUCUUGCAAUUAUUUUAUGUCGAAUUAGAAAUCUUGACUCUCGAGUUAUUAUUGUGGCUAAAGGAAAUUAUAAAUUUAUAAUCUACUUUUUGUUAGGGCUGAGCGGUUUAUUCAGCCAUUCUAGAAUAAAAAAUAGAGAAAACAUAUAUAUUCUUUUGUUAUACAAUAAUACAUUGUUCUUUUUUUUUAAACCAUUUUUAAUACAUUGUUCUUCUUUCGUUUAUUUAGACUAUAUUCUUUUCGUUUAAUUUUCUGAAGAUAAGUAUACAACUAUCUUUGACAACCACCAAAUGUAUACCAUUUUGAUCUUGUACGAUGUACCAUUUCAUUGAAUCCACCUGUGCUUAGCUUGAUAUAUUUCCAGUAAAAAACAUAAGUUUAAUUUCCUAAACAAACACUAGUUCUAAACUGUCUAAUGUAUAAGAAACCUACAAAAAUCGAAGAUAAGUUUUAUAGAUUUGUUUUUUGUUUGAAGAGUUAAAUGAAGAAAAGAAAAAGAAGUACAUACGUUAAGCAUACAUAUGAUGAGUCUCAUUACUACGUACUGAACUCAUUUUGAGCAUUUAUCACCAAUUUAUUUAUUUUGGCACUGGUAGACCACUCAUCAGAUUCUUCAAACCUUUAUAUAAAAGUGAUCUGAUCUUCAAACUUAUCAAAAUAAAGAUUUGAUUAUGAUAACUUAGAGGUAACAUCUUUGUCACAUAGCAUUACAGCUCUCACACACAUGCUUGGAACAGCUAAAAAUUAAUGAAUUUCCUUGAUUCUUUUUUAGAUCACUGAACAUUUCUUAGUUUAUAUAUUACAGUUCGUUUUUAAUUUUUAUAAAUGAUCUAACUCGAAUCAUAAGGGGAGCAAAUCUUAUAACAAUGGUUGUUUUUGUAUAUGAUUUUCUUGUAUUGUAUUGAAAUAUUGUUUAACUAAGAUAAAGCUGUCCCCUUUCAUGACCACCUGAUCUGCAUUUUACCUGUAAUGUUCCUAUACCAUGGUCUGAAUAUGAUGCAUGGUCUUUGUGUGUUCUCUACUUAGUUAUUAUUUUCAAAAACAAACAAUAUUCACCAAAUAAGUCCAACAUUUAAUAAUUUCUUGGUGAUUUAGGACUAUACACUUGAUGUGCAUACUUUUAUAUAUAAAUUCGUUGAUUUGAUCCCAAACAAAAUCAGCAACUCAACCAUACAUAGAUGGUCUAUUAGUAUGCGGACUUUGGGAGACUAAGCAACUCAUAUUCGAGUCAAUCUCACAACACUAAACAUGUAGGCCACAACGCCACAUAGAUAUGAGACCAUGUUUUGGAUCCUAUUUGAAUACUCGGAGAGAAUCAAUCCAUAAUCUACACCCUCCUUUAAAAGAUUAGUAUGAAUACUUCUAUAGACUCGGAAAUACACCAAGUUGAUCAAAAAGAAAAUCAGCAAGUAGCCGUCAGUAAUAUAAAACUAUAACAACAAUAAUAGGUUUCCACAAUAGUGCCCGUUUCAAGUGCUAGCCCCAAAAUAGAAUGUUUUCCUAGGACCUCAGCGACUAGUAUCUUUCCUACUUAUUAGUUAUUAAAAGUCAAUAAUAAUGUAGCAAUUAUUGUAUCCAUUGAAGUCUAUAGAUUGAACUUAAGCUAUGCUUAGUAAUUCAUCUUAGGCGAUGAUUGGCUAUUUGUAAUAAUUAUUAAUGGAUAACCUAAUGCCCAAUAUACCAAACCAAUUGCCUACAGAUGAAAUAAAAUAAAAACUGGACAUCACUUGUAUAGAACGAUAAUUUAAUGAUCUGUACGUUCGGGGACAUCGGUUAUAGAAAAAAAAAACUAACAUUAAUCGUUCUUAAUAAUUAAUUAGUAAUAAUGAUAAGCAUGUGUUGGAAAGUAAGAAGGAUAUGGUUUUUUGGUAGGGAAGAAAGUUCAUUGACAUCAAAUAAUAGCAUGCAUUGUCCCCUCCAAAGGGUAUUAUAUGUCAUUCCUGCACCCACUUCUCUUCAGUGGCAUAUUAAUAAUAGAUAUAAUUGUGUAAAUAAUCCUUUACCUAGCAUAUUAGGAGUAGGAAGUGAGUGUCAUCAGUUAGCCGGCUUACUAGCUACCUUCACUUGUCAAGAAUAAAAAUGAGAUUUAGUCAACAUACUUUAAGUUUCUAACAAUAUUUCCACUACACAAGAAUUAUAGACAAACCAUAUUGGUCACUAGACAUGUCACAUUGUCUAAGAUUAUUGUAUAAGAGCUGGAUUUUUUUUUGUCACUGUUGGUUUUUAAAUAUUUAUAAACAUAAUUAUAUUCUAAGUAAUAUAAUAAAUUUUAUUAUAAUAUAUAAAUCCAAGACGUAGAAUUACCUCCUCUUCCAGUUGUACAUCUGUAUGCAUAAUGUUCCAUUAUACAUAUAUAUAUAUUGGAACACAUACAUUAUACAUCUAUAUUAAUCUAUAAACAUUGAAUGUAAGUGAAUCAAGACUAUUUCAGUCUUUGUGAGUAGUUUGGCAAUACAACAAACGAACACAUGAUACUGGAUUUAUAAAUAUCAUAGUAAGAUAUUUUAUGAGGUAGGGUCCAAAUUAAUAUUUUAGAAUGUAAAAUAUUGAAAACACUUUAAGCUUAACAUAUGAGAUUUGUUUUUGGUUCUACACUCCACUAGGACUACUAUCACCCAAAAAUACUGACGAUCUAAAAUUAUGAUUUAAACAUUUUGAAGAGUCAAUCAAGAGAAAAUCAAUUAUACAGCUAACACAAAAGGGAAACAAUUAAAUCAUGUCUUCAAGAGUAGGGACUCCAAGUGGCAAUAGUGUAUGUUAACUGAUGACCAAAAAUCCAAAAACCAAAUCAUUUUAAAUUCAUGUUGAAAUGAUCAACAGAUGUUCUCCUACUUCUUUUUUUAUUAACGUGGAAUAUCAUGAGCAUAUAUAGAAAUGAAAGUGCAUCCCAUAGAUAUACCCUCUCUCCUGGUAUUCAUAUGGGGCAAAAACAAAUGUCCAAAUCCAUAUAAGAUGUAUGAAAUUUAAUUUCACAUAAUAAGUGAAUCGAACCUGAAGCGUUCUGGCAUACCAAAUCCUUCUCUUUAUCACUUGACCACAAAAUCCUGGACCUCCUAUUUAUAAUCUGUUAGUAACAUAUUACUUGUGCAAGCGAAAAAAGAAAACAACUUUUAACCAAAAAAAAAAAAAAUCUCAGUAAAACCUUCUUGAAAUAUGGCAAACUAAAGUUAAUUUUCCUUUUACCACCAGAUGCAGUAAUUAAACUACGGGUUUAAAACAUAAGUUGAUAAAAAAAAGUUGGUCUUCUAAUCUAUUCAAGUGCUAGCCCCAAAAUAGAAUGUUUUCCUAGGACCUCAGCGACUAGUAUCUUUCCUACUUAUUAGUUAUUAAAAGUCAAUAAUAAUGUAGCAAUUAUUGUAUCCAUUGAAGUCUAUAGAUUGAACUUAAGCUAUGCUUAGUAACUCAUCUUAGGCGAUGAUUGGCUAUUUGUAAUAAUUAUUAAUGGAUAACCUAAUGCCCAAUAUACCAAAACAAUUGCCUACAGAUGAAAUAAAAUAAAAACUGGACAUCACUUGUAUAGAACGAUAAUUUAAUGAUCUGUACGUUCGGGGACAUCAGUUGUAGAAAAAAAAAACUAACAUUAAUCGUUCUUAAUAAUUAAUUAGUAAUAAUGAUAAGCAUGUGUUGGAAAGUAAGAAGGAUAUGGUUUUUUGGUAGGGAAGAAAGUUCAUUGACAUCAAAUAAUAGCAUGCAUUGUCCCCUCCAAAGGGUAUUAUAUGUCAUUCCUGCACCCACUUCUCUUCAGUGGCAUAUUAAUAAUAGAUAUAAUUGUGUAAAUAAUCCUUUACCUAGCAUAUUAGGAGUAGGAAGUGAGUGUCAUCAGUUAGCCGGCUUACUAGCUACCUUCACUUGUCAAGAAUAAAAAUGAGAUUUAGUCAACAUACUUUAAGUUUCUAACAAUAUUUCCACUACACAAGAAUUAUAGACAAACCAUAUUGGUCACUAGACAUGUCACAUUGUCUAAGAUUAUUGUAUAAGAGCUGGAUUUUUUUUUGUCACUGUUGGUUUUUAAAUAUUUAUAAACAUAAUUAUAUUCUAAGUAAUAUAAUAAAUUUUAUUAUAAUAUAUAAAUCCAAGACGUAGAAUUACCUCCUCUUCCAGUUGUACAUCUGUAUGCAUAAUGUUCCAUUAUACAUAUAUAUAUAUUGGAACACAUACAUUAUACAUCUAUAUUAAUCUAUAAACAUUGAAUGUAAGUGAAUCAAGACUAUUUCAGUCUUUGUGAGUAGUUUGGCAAUACAACAAACGAACACAUGAUACUGGAUUUAUAAAUAUCAUAGUAAGAUAUUUUAUGAGGUAGGGUCCAAAUUAAUAUUUUAGAAUGUAAAAUAUUGAAAACACUUUAAGCUUAACAUAUGAGAUUUGUUUUUGGUUCUACACUCCACUAGGACUACUAUCACCCAAAAAUACUGACGAUCUAAAAUUAUGAUUUAAACAUUUUGAAGAGUCAAUCAAGAGAAAAUCAAUUAUACAGCUAACACAAAAGGGAAACAAUUAAAUCAUGUCUUCAAGAGUAGGGACUCCAAGUGGCAAUAGUGUAUGUUAACUGAUGACCAAAAAUCCAAAAACCAAAUCAUUUUAAAUUCAUGUUGAAAUGAUCAACAGAUGUUCUCCUACUUCUUUUUUUAUUAACGUGGAAUAUCAUGAGCAUAUAUAGAAAUGAAAGUGCAUCCCAUAGAUAUACCCUCUCUCCUGGUAUUCAUAUGGGGCAAAAACAAAUGUCCAAAUCCAUAUAAGAUGUAUGAAAUUUAAUUUCACAUAAUAAGUGAAUCGAACCUGAAGCGUUCUGGCAUACCAAAUCCUUCUCUUUAUCACUUGACCACAAAAUCCUGGACCUCCUAUUUAUAAUCUGUUAGUAACAUAUUACUUGUGCAAGCGAAAAAAGAAAACAACUUUUAACCAAAAAAAAAAAAAAUCUCAGUAAAACCUUCUUGAAAUAUGGCAAACUAAAGUUAAUUUUCCUUUUACCACCAGAUGCAGUAAUUAAACUACGGGUUUAAAACAUAAGUUGAUAAAAAAAAGUUGGUCUUCUAAUCUAUCUCAGUAUUAGUAAAGGUUGGUUCGGAUCAAUCAUGGGAUUAGGGUCCAUGUCCAAACCCAUCCUUGAAAAAACAAAAUCUGUAUCUAUAUACACUACAAGAAAACACAAGUUUUACGAGGGCAGUUUUCCUCGUGACUUCGUCGUAAAAGCAGUGUUACGAAGAAUUAGCGAGGAAACCCGUUUCGUCGUUAUACGUUUGUCGUAACGCAUAUAUCCUCGCUAAUUCGUGGUAACGUAGCGAGGAAAUAAUUUCGUCGUAAAAGCGAAGAAGAAUAUUUCGUCGUAAAGACCACGUAAAGCUUCCACGUAAGGACGUCGCUAAAUUUCCUCGUAAAUACCUCGAAAGCCAUUCCUCGUUAAAGCCACGUAAAUAACUCGAAUGUAAAUACUCGCAAAGUAAACGUAAAUACCUUGAUAGCUUUCCUCGUAAAGACCACGUGAAUUUUCCACGUCAUUUCUUUGUAAACAUUUCCUCGUAAAAACCUCGUUAAGCUUCCACGUAAAGAAGUCGCAAAAUAGCUACGAAUUUACUUCGUUUCGUUAUUUUACAGAAAUAAAAAAAUUUAUAAUUAAAAAAAUAAUUUAAAUUAUUUAAAUUAUUAAUAAAAUUAAAAUUCUAAAAAAAUCAAAACCAAAAUAUUUUAUAUAUAAAUAAGUUUUGAAUUCAUAAUACAAGAACCGAAAUUAAAAAGAACUAAGGGUCGUUAAUCGCCCGGUAGAAUUCAUCACUCCUCGACGUUACAUCCGCCUCGGCAUGUGAGUCGUCGGUUGGUGACUACCUGGCUCACCGAACAUCUCUCUGUAAUGGGCAGUAAGUCUACCUUUUCGAACCUGAGAAAAAAAUUUAAUUUUUUAAAUUUCCGUCAACAGUAUAUUUUCCAACAUUAUCCACCUAAUCAACACUAAAUAACAUAAGAUCCGUAAACUUAUCUAAAUUCCCUAUACUAACCACCUAAUCUACCUAAACUAACCAAAUUAGAGAGGAAUUAGAGAGGCUUACCAUUGCAACGAAACAGGGAGGAAGUGGAGAGGAAGUAGAGAGGAAAGAAAGAGUGAGCGCUCGGGGUGUAUAUAUAAGAUUACAUUCCGUCGCAAAUUCCUCGUAAUUUUACGACGAAUUACAGAGGCCCGUGUUUUUUUUUACGACGAAACAGCGAGAGAUUACAAAGGCCCGCGUUUUAUUAUACGAGGAAGUUACGAGGAAUUACAAAGGCCCGUGUUUUUUAGGUACGAGGACGUUACGACGAUUUUGCUUACGUGGAAUUACCGAGGAAAGCUUCCCUAUAAAUAUACCCGUAACUCUCCUUCUCAACCCACACCCAAACUCCCAAAUCACACCCUAUCUCACUUCAUACUCUCAAAUCCAAUCCUAUUCAAAUUAUAAAAAUUUGAGAGAAAAGGAAGUGAAGAAGAUAUUGGAAUUUAUGUUGGUGAGACUUAUGUAAUAUAAUUGCUGGAAGUCUUGUCACAUGUAAAUCCAGUAUAUUUCUUCUUUUUCUUUUUUUUUUCUAGUUUUUACGGUACGAGGUGUUUACGGUGAUUUUGGUUACGAGGUGUUUACGACGAUUUUGGUUACGAGGUGUUUACGACGAUUCCGUCCUACGUGGAAUUAAAGUGGGCCGCGUUCAUCAUUUACUUUACGUGGUAUUUACGACGAAUCUCUCCUACGUGGUAUUUACGACGAAUCUGUCCUACGUGGUAUUUACGAGGAAUCGUAGAGAGGAAAGAAAGAGUGAGCGCUCGGGGUGUAUAUAUAAGAUUACAUUCCGUCGCAAAUUCCUCGUAAUUUUACGACGAAUUAUAGAGGUCCGUGUUUUUUUUUACGAUGAAACAGCGAGAGAUUACAAAGGCCCGCGUUUUUUUAUACGAGGAAGUUACGAGGAAUUACAAAGGCCCGUGUUUUUUAGGUACGAGGACGUUACGACGAUUUUGCUUACGUGGAAUUACCGAGGAAAGCUUCCCUAUAAAUAUACCCGUAACUCUCCUUCUCAACCCACACCCAAACUCCCAAAUCACACCCUAUCUCACUUCAUACUCUCAAAUCCAAUCCUAUUCAAAUUAUAAAAAUUUGAAAAAAAAGGAAGAGAAGAAGAUAUUGGAAUUUAUGUUGGUGAGACUUAAGUAAUAUAAUUGCUGGAAGUCUUGCCACAUGUAAAUCCAGUAUAUUUCUUCUUCUUUUUUUUUUCUAGUUUUUACGGUACGAGGUGUUUACGACGAUUUUGGUUACGAGGUGUUUACGACGAUUCCGUCCUACGUGGAAUUAAAGUGGGCCGCGUUCAUCAUUUACUUUACGUGGUAUUUACGACGAAUCUCUCCUACGUGGUAUUUACGACGAAUUAACUUGGUCUGCUUGUGAAGCUAAGAUGAAAGGCUCGAAUUUGUUGUACCUUCGUCCACCGUUGACAUCAACUACACCGAAUUUGUUAGACCGAACACCUCUGUUGACGACGGAAUCGAACCAUUCACAUUUGAAGAGGACGCAUUUCAGCUUCAAUAUCCCUGGAAAUUCGACUUCAAUAAUCUCCGUCAAGAUCCCGUAGAAAUCUAUUUCCCCUUUCACACAUAUUCCAUAGUUACUGGUCGUCCGCUGUCUACCAUACUCAUAUGUGUGAAAAGUAUAGCCUCGUGUGAAAUUACGACGAAAAUUAAUUGGAUGGCCAAAAAAAACGUGAGCUACCUACCAAGUUGGUGGAUUCAAAAUUUCCUCGUUAAGUACACGUAAAGUAUUUCGUCGUAAAGAACUCGCGAAGUUUACGUGGUAUUUACGAGGAAAUAGUGUUUCCUCGUAAAAGCCACGUCAAUUUACAUCGUCUUUACGACGAAAUUGUUUUGUCGUUACCUUACGACGAAAUAACGAUGCUUCUCUUUUUCCACGUACUUUCCUUGCAAAAUCAACGUACUUUUACGAGGAUUAUUUUUCCUCGUUAAUUAUCCUCGUUAAACUUACGUUUUCUUGUAGUGCUAUUUGUACAUAUUAACCCUUUUUCCUUUGCUCAAAAUUCAUGCAGUGAUGUAAAAGUAAUUUUUGUUUUUUGUAUACUAAUUAAUUAGGCUAAAACCUAAAGUUUUCAAAUUAACGAGAGCAUCUCCAAAAUAAACUUUAUAACUUGAAAUAUAGAGCUUUUUACUCUCCAAAAAAGAAUUUUAAAACUUCAAAUUUAGAGUUUUAAGAAGUGAAACUUCAUAUUUGAAGUUUCACUACUCAAAACUCUAAAUUUGAAGUUUCAUCUUUUUAUUUGCAUUUUGAUCCUUAUAAUUAAUUAUAUCUCACAUUUAUGAUUCUUAAGUAUUUCUGAUUCAUAGUUUUAAUCUUUACAACUUUUGUAAACUUUAAAUAUUUCAAAAUUAUUUUUAUAGAUUUAAAUUUAACACAUAAUUUUUUUUUAAAAAAAAAUUAAUAAGAUUUAUAAUAUUUUUAAAGUAGAAUUAGACAACAAGAAUAUAACAAAAAAAAAUUAACAGAAAAAAUUUAAGAAGAUACAUGAAGACAUCAUUAUUACACAAAUUUAAAUAUUACAACAACAGUAAUAGUCUAGUAAAAUUUCUCUGGAACUUUUAAAAUAUUGUCCAAACAAAUUUCGUGUAACCGAAAAUGGAGCAUUAAGAAAAUAGUUUUAUGUAAUAAUAUGGUAUUUUGCUUGUAAUUUAAUAUUUAAUUAUGUAUUUCUAUUUAUAAUUUUAUAUUUUAGCAUAAGAUUUUAUUAAUUAAUAUUAUUAUACUAUUUUUAUAUAUGUGCUAGUUAUCUAUAAAAUAUUUAUGGAUUUAUAUUAAUUAUGACAAAUAUAAGAAGCAUAGUAUAAUUUACAAAUAAUUUUGAAGUUAAAUUUGAAGUUUUGAAGUUAAAUUUGAAAUUUUGCUUUUGGAGAAGAUUACCUUAAAACACAGCUGAAUGAGAACUCCGACACCUCUUGCAAGCUUGUCCGCCAUUAGAUUAGUUGCUUUUGGUAUAUGUCGAAUCUUGAAAAUAGGAAAGAAAAUCUUACUGUGUCGAAACUCCUCCAAAUGUGUAGCAAAAGUUGGCCAUUUGUCAGGUUACCUGGUAUUUUAAAAAUUUCUCAUUUAAUGGAUACAGAAUUUCAAUUAAGGAAUACAAAAUUCGUAAUUUCAGAUGAUUCUGAUCCAUAGACCGAAGUUCUUAAAUGUUCCAUUUAAAGCUUCAAAUAAUAUCCGUUUGUUUUGCGUAGUACUGUAUUAUGUGCAUUAAAUUAUUCAUUUAUAUAUUUAUAAGCACCAUUUAAAUCAAAGUGAAAUUUCAGUUUUAUUAAAAGUUUGAUACAACUUUCGAAAUUUACUUUUAAAAGUAAAUACUUUUAUAAAUAUAUUAAAUUUGUGAUAAAAUUAAAUUAAUUAUUCUAAAUCAUUUAUAAAUAUUUAGAAUAAUUUAUAACAUUUAUGGAAGUUUACAAACCGAUACUAAAUAUUAAAUUCAAAUGUUAAACUAUUUUUUAUUAAUUGUAUUUUUGAAAAGUAAUAACUAACUUAAAGUGCUUUAAAUAAUUUCUCAAAUCAUAAUGUUGCAAUACUUAUGAUGUAUGAUUGAAAGCAGUGUUAUUGUUGAACAGAGAAAAAUAUAUUAAAUUAUUGAAUGAGAACGAAAAAACACAAUGAUAUCUACGAUACAUAUAUAAAAUAGAAUAAGACAUAUAAAUUACUUUCUUUGGAUCAACCAUAAAAUAUAGAAUAUUAUCCUCAUAUAUUCACGGGUUUUCCCAAAAAUAAUUAAAUUUAAUAAAACCUGCUUAAAAUACACUAAAUUGAAUAUAUAUUUUUUAAACGUACUCAAUAAAAAAUAUGAUAACACUUGAGUUUAGGGUUUAAUAAUUAUUGUUUAGUGUUUAUUAUUUAGAGGACGUAACUGGUUUAUAAAUUACUGUAAAUAAUUCUUAGACAUUUAAAAAUAAUUUAUGAGUGUAAAUUUUAUUUUCUCAUAAUAAAGUUAAAGUAUUUAUAAAAAGGGUAAUCAACUAAAAGUAAAUAUGAAAAAUGAUAGCAAAUUUGAUGUAAAGUUAAAAUUAUCUCAAAUUGAAGUUAGCUAGUAGUAUCAUAGUAAAUUAAUAACUACUAGAUUUUUCACAUGCACAUCUGUGCGGGUAGAUUUUCAUUUUAUAAAUAUAUAACAGAUACCAUCGCAAAAUUUUCAAAGAUAUAAUUUACAUUUUAAUGUUAUAUAUUGUGUAAAUCUAUAAUGUUAUUAGUUAUAUUUUUUAUUCGAUAUUAUUAAUGUAUAAUGAUUUGUUUUAUACAUUUUACUUUAUUAUUAAUUGUUAUUAUAUAUUAAUAUAUUUUCGAGUUUGGUAAACUAAAUUCAUAGUAUGAAAUAAACAAAUUGAAAAUCUUCUUCAUUUUUUUCUAAUUUUUACAGACUGAAUAAAACACAUUUUAAAAUUUUAUUUAGUUACUAUAGAACUGAUAUUUUCUUAGCAUAAUUUAUAUUUAUAUGUUAUUUAUUUUAGUAGAUUGUGGAAUUUUAUAAGUAAAUAGAAUAUAAUAAUACUAUAUUAUUAAUUAUGAAAUCAAUCGUUGCAUUAAUUUAAAAAUAUUUUAAAAUUUUAUUAAGAUUUUGUUAGAUUUUUUACAACAUAUUUUGUUAUAAAUAGAAAUAAAAUUUAAAUUUACAGUUAAAAUUUAUUUACUAAUAUCUAUAUAAUUUAUAAGAUUUUUUAGAAAUGUUAUAUAUAUUAAAUAUAUUAACUCAAAUAAUCAAAUAGAUGUAAUUGAUGAAAUUGAUGAAAUAGACCUAGUAUGAUUUUUUAUGGUAUUUUUUUUAAUAAAGAAGAUAUAGAAUAUAAUUAUAAAAUUUGAAAAAUAGCAUACACUUUUAUUUUAUUUUGUUUUAUAAUAAAGUCUUAUUUAAGUUAAUGUAUAAUAGUAUAUAUUAUUAAUUACGAAAUUAAUCAAUGGUAUUAAUUUAAAUAAAAUAUUUUAAAUUUUUAGAAAGAUUUUGUUAGAUUUUUUCUCAAUAUUUUGUUAUAACUAAAGAUAAAAUUUAAAUUUACAGUUAAAAUUGAUUUAUUAUUAAUAUCUUUAUAUAUUUAAUAGAUUAAUGUAAAUAAUUAAAUAAAUGAUACUUCUUUUUUAAUAGAGAAGAUUUUUUCCUUAGACAGUAGAAUAAGAGUUGAAAACGAAUAAAAUUCACACAUGAAUAAAUAGUUAAUAAAUAUUUUUGUUCGUUGAGUACUAUUUAUAUGUGUACGUAAGUGUACAUUCACAAACCACAACACAUCCCUCUACUUUUCUUUAACAAUUUCAAGUGACCGGAGAAAGCAAAAGAAGAUCUCAGCGGCGAAAUGGACGAGUCGUGGCGAAUGAAGUUGGGUUUGAACGUUGAUCCAUUCUUCUCCAUUGCUCGAAGAUCCAUGGACGUUCGAAUCGACGCCCAAGACUUCUCCGAUGUUUUCGGUGGACCGCCGCGUAGCGUCCUCACUAGGAAAUUCUCCGGCGACUUUUCCCGCUCCGACUGUUUCUACGACGAGAUUUUCCGACCACGUGGGAUGUUCUCCUGCGGCGCGCUUCCUUCUUCUAAAUCUCACGGAAGAAACUUACCGGCGUUUAGAAUUCCGUCCGGCGGAGAUGGAUUUUACGACGGCGUGUUCGGAGGUCGCAGUGGGACGGAGAAGGAGGGAACCAAGAAGCAGAGUCCGAUAACGAAAUCGAGGUCGAAUUCCUCGCCACCACCGGCGGGGACUUCAGAUGAUGACGCCGGAAUAUCUUCUUUUACUUCUACACUCAGGUGAGUGCGGAGUUACUAUUAUACCCUCAAUAUCCGUUAAUGCAGGAGUCAACUUUCGAGGUCAAUUCCGUAAUUUCGACAUGCUCUGUUUUUUUUUUUGUAGACCGUUAAACGUCCCGUCAAGAAGUCAUAAGCGGGAAUCGAAGAAACAGAGUUUCCCGGUGUUUCCGACAUCAUUGUCCGGCCAAGAUCUCACACCGGGAAAAUUCGAUUUUUGCUACAGAAAACCACACUUCGGCAGCUCUCGGAGAUCCUCGCCGGAGACCAUGACCUUGGAUCCACAAUCCUUCAGGAGAAUGGAUGAUUUCGGACCAAGCUCUCCAGCAUCUUCCCCUGUUUCUUCUUUCAUCCGCGAAGAUGAAUAUGAAACAGAGGCCAAGCAGAGAACCACCCAAGACUGUAAAGUAGAACAAGAAGACGAUGAGGAUGAGAUGAGCUCUUACGUAAUCGAAAUAAACUCAGACCGUUUUGAUCGCUACAGAGACGGAGGAAGCGGAGGAGGAAACUCUGAUUCGAAUGACAUGGAUGAAGCAAUAGCUUGGGCCAGAGAGAGAUCUCAACGUCCAGAAACAAAACAAGCACAAGAAGACUUAAUAGAUUCAAGAAGGAGCGAAGAAGAAGAAGAAGAAGCCAAAUCAGAAGAAGAGGUUAGUACUGUAAUUAAAAAAAAUCCCGGUAAAAGUCAUUUCAUAGUGAAAAAAGAAUCUGACGUGACGGUCAAAUGAAUUGCAGAUGGAGAUGGAGAUGAAAGAUGAAGAGAUAAGAAUCUGGUUAACCGGAAAAGAAACCAACAUUAGACUCCUCCUCUCAACUUUACAUCAUGUAAGAGUUUUUCAAAUUGGUUACUUUGUCUCAGACCAAGUAAACCGGAUACUGAUUCGGACCAAACCGUGAUUUUUGUUCAGGUUCUAUGGUCAAAUAGCAAUUGGCAGGCCAUACCUCUGGCAAAUCUACGAGAUGGAUCACAAGUGAAGAAAGCUUACCAAAAGGCUCGCCUUUGUUUACAUCCAGAUAAACUUCAACAGAGAGGAGGAACUUCACCGCUUCAGAAGUCUGUCGCCAGCAGAGUAUUCUCCAUUCUUCAGGUACUUAAACCGAGUUUGAUUCAACCUGUAAGCUUCGGUUCAUGUUCUGGUUAAUUACUAACUAUUAGCUGGCAUUUUGAAAAUUGUAGGAAGCAUGGGGUGUGUACUUAACAAAUGAAGGACUCUCAAGCUAAACCGGAAUUUGCAAAUCAUUUCCUGGUGUUUAGUAAACCGGAUAUGUUCAUAAUCAUUUAUAGUGUAAUGAAGAAUAAGAAAAAAGGAAAAGGAGGGUUUGUUUUCUGCAAUGAUUCUAAUAGUCAUAUGAACAUUCCCAUGUGGUGCAUUUGUGUCUACCAUUGUCAAUGCUCUUAUAUAUAACAAAAUGUUAGGAAACUAUAUUAAAGAACAAAUAAAUGCAUGAAAACGGAUGGAACAUGGCUAAGAAAAGGAAAAAAAAAACAAAUGAAGAUAUUUUUGUUUCUUGAUAGUAGAUACAGAGUAAGCAACACCUAUUAGAUUAAAACUAAAAACGCAUAAAUCAGGUAAACUACUCUUAUGUCGAAUAUAUCUAAAUUUUUUGUUACAGUAUCCACAAAAUUCCUCCUGUUUCUUGUUUGUUUGAUAUUGGAUAAGGGUGUAACGAUAGAAUUUACAGUAAUUUUGUACAAAAUCAUUAGUUAGGUUACCAUCUAAUCUUUGAUCGCUCUCCCAGCCUAUUGCCAGAUUUUCUAGUGUCUAGUGACUCCAGUAGAGAGCUUAUACUAUUACACAUUAACUAGGUUUUUGUUAUAACUCUUCCUCGCAAGUGUUUUGGUAUAGAUCACGUAAGUUCAAUAUGGUUAAUCUUGAAAUCUUUUUAUUGAACGUAUGAAUUGAUUCAAGUCAUGGGGAGGAAAUAAACUUCAAGUACAAACCAAGAACCUUAGAAAACUGUGGAUAAUAAAGAGAAAAACGACAACAUUCUAAAUAAGAAUCAAACAUCGUUUCUGGAUGUUUCUCUUUGAAUCCGAUCAUGUAACUAAGAAGGGCUUCCAAGUGACAAGUAGGAAUUGAAACGCCCAUCUCGCAACACACUUUUGGCAAUAUCUCUUGCAAUUGAGUUUCAGUGACGGAGGCAGCAUGCAGUUAGGUUGGUCAAAUGACCCAUAUGAAAAAAAAAUUUACUUGUAUUUUGCCUUCUAAAAUUUGAUGAAAUGUCAAAGAACUAACAUAUUGACCCUUAUAAAUUGUAGUUGUUAUCAAAUUGACCCUAGUAAAAAAAGUAUCCUGCAUCCGCUACUGUUGAGUUUGCUGUAAGUUUCUCCGCUUCAAAGGAUAUGCUUGUGAAGCUACCUUUAAGUGCAAAGAUUUGUUCCAACAAAGCUCUAUACCUUGGCCAUAGGUCUAGCUUCGCUAUAGCUUCUACUAUCUCAUGGCAGUCCGAAGCAAUUGUCACAUCUUGGACCCGUAGAUCUCCUAAACUCUACAACACCCAUAUACACCGCGAAGCUCUGCCACCAUUCCAUUGGGCGAUCGAGUAACAGCGUCUAUAGCAUGGUGAGUUAUUUUCCCGCAAUGAUCUCUCCUUAUCCAUGCUGCACCACUAUUCAAAUGUUGAUUCCUUCAGUUCACAUUCAUGUUGCAUUUUAUGACUCCAUGUUAUGGCGGAAACCACCUUUCAGGCCUACACAAACCAACAUUUGCGCCUGUAUUGAACUCCUCAUGACUGCAUAUUUCUAAGUAUGCAUGGAUUCAUUAGUUGGUGUUACUUAGUCAAUAAUCUAUUUAUCUAUACUACGAUUUAUUAAGCGAUUUUGCUUAUCUAUCAUGUUUACCAUUAUUUUAGACAUAAUCAUUAGUUUUAAUAAUAACUAGAGAUUGAUCCGCGCAUCCGCGUGGAUAUUGGUUCUUACAUUUUUAUAUAUCGAUAUUUUUAUUUUAUAAUUAGUGUUACAUAUUUUAGAUAUGUCAUAAUAUAACUAAUUGUAUUCAAAAGAUCUUGACUGAAUCGGUUAAUAUGAUUAUUUUUGGUACAAAUAUCCGAAUCCGUUUUAGAUACAUUUGUUAUUUAGAUAAUUUUAGGUUCAUAUACAUCAAAACCAAACUCAUCCAGACACAGAAGGACACAACUCAAAACCCACACAUAAAAUUAUAGUAUUCAAGCGGGAUCUAAUUAAAAAAAACGAUAUCCGAAAAAACAAUCCGUACAUAAAUGGAUAACCAAUUAUCAUGUCUAACUGAUUUUAUAAACUAAUAAAAAGAACUCUAUCUAUACGUUUUGCUAAAUAAAGUGAAAUAAAGAGAGCUUUUUUAUUUAGUAAAAUAAUUAUAUGGAGUAAAAAAUUAAUUGAUAAUAAAUGUAAUACAUUUAUAUUAUUUUGAUUUAAGUUAUUAUUUUAUUCAUAGAACAUGUCUUUGAAUUAUGUUUUUGACUAUGUAAUUUUCCACCGAUUGAAACUAAAAAAAAACAAAUUAUUAAAACAAACUAAACCAAACGUUUAAACCAUAUGCAAAAUCUAGUUAUUUACAUUUUUAAUUUUAUAAUUGACACAAAGUUAAUAUUGAUUAACAAAUAAAUUAAGAUUUUCACUAUUAUUACUAUAGUAAUAUAAUUAAUGAUGUGAUGUCUUGUUAAGGUAAAUAAUUAAUGAAAUUGUUAAAUUGACUAAAUAUGAAAAUACAAUUAAUGCAAUUAUAUUAAUAGAAUAACUAAAAAGAUAAUUUUUUUUUUAUAUUGGUAUCCAUGUUUUUAAACAAUUCUCAUUUAUAAUGUUAUCUAUGUUUCCAAACAAUACCAAAAAAUAAUUCUGUUUUAAUAAUAUAAAUUUUAGUGAAUAUAUAUAUAUAUAUAUACUAUCUACGAAUAAUAAAUACAUAAGUUCUAAAAAGAAAACAUUUCUUCCAGUAAUAUGUUUUUUGUUUUGUGUUUUAAACGUUACUGGUCAUGUUGUUAUGAAUGUUGGACUUCUAUACGUAGGAGAGCCGACAGCGUACAGAUAGUGGGCCAACAACAUGUGUCAAUCUACUUGUACAGUGAUUGGCUUGUAGGCAAUUUCAGACAAAAAGUAUUCGUUACCCAUCGAAACUCACUGGCAAGUAAAAAACUCGUAGAAAUGGCACAAAAACCGAUUCUUAAAACAUCCCCAAAUAUGUAGAAAGAGCUUUCGCUUUCAAGCUAGGAUACACGCAUAUGAUAUUCACAGCAUUCCAUGGAAUCAAACAAAGACAUAAUUUAAUCAAAAUCCUCCCCCCCCCCCCCCCCCACUUUUUCACACUUGCUUUAUAUAACUUCAAAACCACUCGCAAACCCCAAGUACCAUAGCCAUUUAUAACGAACAAAAUCUAUAUCAAAAACAAACGCAAACUGUUUCACAAUUGUCUGGUAUCAAGAAGCAGCCACUGCACCAUUAGUAUCACCUGAAACAAAAACAGGAUUUGUGAUGUUGUUUCAUCUACUUUCUUGGAUUCUUUAAUAGAUUAUGUCAAUGAAGAUGCUUGCUUACCUUCGGUUCCUUCCACUUUCUCUUCAUCGAUUGUCUUCCAAACAAUGUCCUUGAGACCCAUGGUCAGGUUCUUGUAAAACUAAAACAAGACGAAGAAAAGCAAAAGGCAUAAGAUUAUCAACUUCUUCAGAACCAAACCCACGACAUUAAGAUGCAACUCAAGCCUUGCAUAUGCAUACCUUGUGGAACUCCAAGGUGUCACCCCCUGAUUUUCGCAUUUCAACCAUAUAAAGCGAUGGAGCAACUUGAAAAACCUGAAUCAGCUUGAGAUUAGGGUCCAACACCGAGAUACAUCAUACAAAAGGGUGAUCUAGUAGAGGGUGAUCAAUCACUGGUCACUAAGAAAACUAACCUCAGUUGUGACUGCUAACUGGCCCUUGCGGCCUGAUUUCUCUCCUAGAAGCUUCAUCUGGAUGAGUCAAGAAAUGGUAUAAGAGUGUAAUCACAAGUACCUAAUGAAUAAAUACAAUUUUCACCAGCAUGUAGGUUAAUAUGUAAAAAGGAAUUACAAACCUUGUAGUUAUUUUUCUUGACAUCAAAGCCCAUAGGUGCUGCUGCUGCCUCAAUUUUGGUGACUAUGUCAUUAGCCGGACAUUUGGAAGUAAAUUGAGUUUUUCGUUUAACAAGCCCCUGAAUCCAAAUGAUAUGCUUUAUCACUAAACUAGGAAUGACAACCUCCACAAGAAAAACAAAAGGCUUUACUUAUUAGAAAUCUGUACCGUUUGCUUUUCGAAAAGCGAACCGAGAUUGAGACCCUGUGAUGUUGAGAUGAGCUCAAAAGCAUUCAUAGUUACUGGUGUUUUAGGUCCUUCUCCUCGCCUCUCCACAACAAGGUUCUUAGACUCCUAAUAUCCAACAAAAACAACAAGCUAAGCAAUCACCCAAAGUUCAUAAAAAUGUAGAUAACUCAGAUAAGCCUUACCCCUAGAUCAUCAAAAAUAGCAUCAACAUCAUCAAGGCUGACGUUUGCGUUUUCAAAUUUGGGUGCUUUGUACCCUUUUUUGAACCACUCAUUUUCAAUGACUUCGGCAAAUGUAAUCCUCUGUCCAAUAUACAGAUAAAAUCAGUGUAAAAACAUCAGAUAUACUCAAAACCAAUAGAAGCUUUUGCCUCCUCUGACGGCAUAGAACAAAUGAAACCUUCUCAACAACAAAAAGAGUAGGAAAAAUAUACCGUUGCUGGAUUGGGAUCCAGAAUCCUUUUGAUAAGCUUCUUAGCACUUGCAGAGAACCAGGGAGGGCAGGUAAAUUCGGCUUUGAAUAUCUGUAAUCAUAAAGACAUAAGACUCUUAUAGCUUUACUCUUACUUGAAAGUAAAGUAAAGCAAAGCAUAGCACCUUUUUAUAUAAAGACGUUAAGUUGGAAUCUUCAAAAGGCAAAUAGCCAGCCAUUAAGACAAAGAGAAUCACACCACAAGACCACAAAUCAGCCUUUGCUCCAUCGUAACCUUUGUUGUUGAUUACCUAUAGAGAGACAAAAAAAUAGAUGGCUACAGAGACCAGGAAAGAAUAAGACGUCAAGCUUCAAGACAGUUGAGAGUGUCAAUAGAUAUUUACCUCAGGAGCAACAUAAUUGGGUGUUCCACAUGUUGUGUGAAGUAAACCAUCCUCCUAAACAAGAAGAAGGGUCACAAAAAUCAGCUUUGAUAACUCAUGGACACCAUAGUAGCUGUAUUAUCACGUUCUGACAUUUAACAUCAAAAUAACAUGAUAGAAGCUCACCCGGACUUGCUGAGGUAGAGCACUCAAUCCAAAAUCAGACACUUUCAGAGUACCGUUUGCAUCCAAGAGCAAAUUCUCUGGCUGCAACCAGAAAAUCGCAACUUGGUUUUAACAAAGUGAAAGCAUAUAACUCUUGAUACAAAUCACAAGAGCACAAAAGGAUAAGAUUGGGUAACCUUAAGGUCUCUGUGAUAAACUCCUCUGCUAUGACAAUAGUCAACAGCAUUAAUAAGCUGCUGGAAGUACUUCCUGGCCUCAUCUUCCUUCAACCUCCCACUGCUUGACUAUUACACAUGACAAAUCAAGUCCUUAUACUUAUGAACUCAUUCAUAAAUAGCAUCCUCAAUGGAAAGAGAGAGAGAAAGCUUACAAUUUUAUCGAAAAGCUCUCCACCAGUAACGAAUUCCAAAACAAAGUAGAUCCUAGUUUUGCUAGCCAUCACCUGCAAUAAAAUAACACUAUUUAUUAUAGGGAGGGACCACUUAUUAUUAUGUUCCCUAACUUCAAACUACGCUUUUUCGAUUCAAAACAUGUAAGCAACCGAUUAAAAAGGAAGAAGAGAGUUAGAGACAAAAACCUCAUACAUACGGAUGACAUUAGGAUGCUUGAUGAGUUUCAUUGUCGAAAUCUCACGCUUGAUCUGAACAGAAACAGACAAAACCCCUCAAGUCAAAACAUGUUGGGUAAAAUCCUAAAAAGGAAGAGAGGAGAGGGAUUGGUCUAAAACCUGAGCGAUCAUUUUGGUUUUCAAGACUUUCUCUUUAUCGAUGACUUUAAUGGCGACACUCUCUCCGUUCUCAACGUUCCUCGCGAACUUGACCUUAGCGAAGGUUCCUUCACCCAGAGUCUUCCCAAGCUCGUACUUACCCACUCGCGUCCCUGAAGAAGAAGGAGUUGAUCGCGAAGGUGUUGCUCGAGAAGCCAUCAUCUCUCUCUUUCUAUCUUCUAGAUUCCUUCUUCUUCGAUGUUUAAAGAUCUUUUCAGGAUCGCUUCUUCUUGCAUGGCUGCCAUACCUGAGAUUUCGCAACGCUCAUCUUUGUAAGAACCCUAAGACCCCGUGAAUCCCCCUAAAACGGAUAUUCAACUCUCGUGGGGGCGGGCGGAGGAGAGAAUAUUCAAAUCGGACGACGACCCAUCAAAGACGACGAAGUUAUCGAAUUUGAAAAGUUUCGCAAAUUCUCGGCACCGAGAAAAGAAAAAAGAAUCGAAGCCGAUUUUGAUAUGAAAAAGCGCGAGAGGGAGGGAGAGAGAGAGAGAGAGAAAGGGGGAAGCUUUCUGAUUCGAUCGGAGGAGGAAGGGAAUUUAAAGUUAUAUUUAUAAGGAUUUAUAUUCUUUUUGAUUAAUUAACGUAGUAAUGUUUAUGUCAGAAUAAAUUGUUUAUUUUACUCUACACAAAAUAAUUGUCUAUUUAAUUCUUGCUGGUCUGCUUAGACCAUUUCUAAUGUGUAUUUUCUGUUUUUUUUUAAUAGAAUUUUUUGUUUAAUAUAUGUUUAUAAAGUAGAGAAAUGUUAUCUUCUUUUAAUAUAGAAAGGGUAUUAUUUUUUUACUUUUUAAUAUAAAGAAAAAUAUACCAAUAUCUAUUUAAUAAAAAAUAUAUGUUAAAUUGGAGGAUAAUAUCUUUUAUAAUAAUAUUUGUUGUCAAAUAUAGAAAUAAAUUGAAAAUGCUCCUUUUGCUACAUUUCAAAUAAAUAAUACUAGAUUUUGACCCGUGCAACCGCACGGGUGUUUGUUUUCACUUUUCUAUACAUAAAUCUACUCUAUUAAAAUAAAGUCCUAUUUGAAUUUUACCAUGACAUAGAUUUAAUUUGGACUUAUUAAACAUGUUGUGACUAAAUAUAAAAAUAAAUUAUGUAUACAAUUUUAUAUGGUAACUGGUAUAUUUAUAUUAAACCAAUUAUGGUUUGGGUUUAAUAUUUGAGUAACAAACCAUAUCUUUUAAUCUGAACCAAACAAAUAUGGUUUGCAAUUUCAUUAACUGGAGAGAAAUUAAUUGAACUUAUUAAACUCUCAUAUAGAUUGGUUAUUGUGUUGCUCUACGUUUUGAAACCAAUAGGUUAAGAGAUCAACAUGGUCAACUUCCAUGGAUUAAAUAUGAACUCAAAAAUCAAGAUCUAUAAGUUGUUUUGACCAAUUAUUGGAGUGUUUGACCGGUGGUUUAUUUUUUUUUAUGAACACCAUCUUAUAGGAAGUAGGUUUAGAUUAUAACAUAACAUCAACUUCUUCUUCUAAACCAUGUCAUAUAUAUAUAUUUUAUACCCAAAUCUCUAUUAUAUACUCAAACACAACAUCAUACUCUAUUAAAAUAAAGUCCUAUUUGAAUUUUACCAUGACAUAGAUUUAAUUUGGACUUAUUAAACAUGUUGUGACUAAAUAUAAAAAUAAAUUAUGUAUACAAUUUUAUAUGGUAACUGGUAUAUUUAUAUUAAACCAAUUAUGGUUUGGGUUUAAUAUUUGAGUAACAAACCAUAUCUUUUAAUCUGAACCAAACAAAUAUGGUUUGCAAUUUCAUUAACUGGAGAGAAAUUAAUUGAACUUAUUAAACUCUCAUAUAGAUUGGUUAUUGUGUUGCUCUACGUUUUGAAACCAAUAGGUUAAGAGAUCAACAUGGUCAACUUCCAUGGAUUAAAUAUGAACUCAAAAAUCAAGAUCUAUAAGUUGUUUUGACCAAUUAUUGGAGUGUUUGACCGGUGGUUUAUUUUUUUUUAUGAACACCAUCUUAUAGGAAGUAGGUUUAGAUUAUAACAUAACAUCAACUUCUUCUUCUAAACCAUGUCAUAUAUAUAUAUUUUAUACCCAAAUCUCUAUUAUAUACUCAAACACAACAUCAACGUGUAUUCACUGAUCGUAUAUUCCUAAGAAAAUAUAGCAUGCUAUAAAACAUAUUUCAACAAAAUCAUUAUAUAUAGUUUUAGAUAGAUUUUUAUGUAUUCAAAAUUUGAAAUCUAUUUUUAAAAUAUAGAAUAUGUCAUUGAAACAAAUAUAUCCCUAAAUCUAUGCAUUUUUAAAUCUUAAAUUACCAGCUUCCAUUGAUACCAAACAUUUGUAUUAGUAACAAUAUCAAAACAAUAUAUUACAAUGUUUUAAAUUUAUGCAAUAAUCCUGGGUUUGAAACUUUGAAUGAAUAUACAGUAAUUUUGAUAAUAGCUUAUAUUUUCGAAAUUUUGUGGUUCUGAACAGGAAACCAAAUUAAAACUACUAUUAUGUAAUACUACACAACAAACAUCAUAUAUAUAUUUAAUAUAAAUUCAUAACUAUAAAUAAAAAACAAUCCGUGCAAUCCCACAAACCACUAUAAAUAAAGUAUAAUUGCAAAAUUAGAUGAACCAAACCAAAUAACAAAAUAACAAAACUCAAAUUCAUAAAUAACCAAAUUAUUACUAUAUUUUUUGAACCGAAAAAUCAAAACCCAUAACUAAACCGGAACUAAACUGAAAACUAAAACAGUAAAAUUUAAUGUGGAUCAAAAUUUAUAAAAUAUCAUUAAAUUUUUAUAAGUUUUUAAUUUUAAAAUAUAAAUUAUAAAUACAAAUAUAGGCAAUCCCGCAUAACUGUGCGGGUCAUAAUCUAGUUAUUGUUUUAAAACAUAAGUGGUAUAUAUUUUUAAAGUUAAUCAUGUACUUAAAUAUUUAUAUAACUAUUUCAAAUACAAUAAUUUUAUAAUUUACAUGUUAUAAGUAAUUAAUUGUUUAAACCUUAUGUAUUUGCCGCUUCUUAUUAUAUAUUUAUCUUAUUGUAUUUGCAUUUAGUUAUUAAGCAAAUUAAUAUAUUCAUGAGAAAAUAUAUUUAAAAAAUAUUUUGUAUUUAAUUUAUGCUAAAUUCUGACCCGUAUUUUAAAACUGGAUUUCUUUUUACCAAUAUUUUUAUGCUUAUUCAUUUUAGGUAAUUUAUUAUUGUAUAUAUAAAAGUGUAAGAUAUGUUAAUUUUUAGAUAUGUAUUAUAUAGUUUGUUAAUUUUAAGUCGUUCUAUCAUCAUAUUAUAUUUUAAAUAAAUAGUUUUAUAUUUAUGAAAAUAAAAUUUAUAAAUUUAUCAAUUGAAUAUAAUUUUAUCAUAUUUAUUUUAGUAUAAUAAUUAUAUUUUAACAGGAUCAUGACUAUAAAAGUAGAUAAAAUAGGAUAUAAUUUAUUUAUUUUCAUUUCUAAACGAUAACUUAAAAUACAUUAAGUUAUUGUUUAAAUAUUACACAGAUUUAUUAGAAUUUUUAAAAUAUAAUAUAUACAUAUAUAUUAUAUUUAAAAUGAAAAUAUAUUAUGAUUAAAGUAGUUACAAAGAUUUUAUAUUAUUAACUUUAAAGAAAUACAUGUUAAUUUUUAUACAUGUAUUAUAUAGUUUGAUAAUGUUAACCCAUCUUACCAACAUAUUAGAUUUUAUUUUUGAACAUAAAUAUUUUAUAAUUACGAAAAUAAAAUAUAUAAAUAUAUAAAUUUAAUACAAUUUUAUUAUAUUUAGCUCAAUAUAAUAAUUUUAAUUUAAUAUGAUUGAUUAUGAUUAUAUAAUAACUAAAAUAUUAUAGAUUUUUUUAUUUUUCAUUUUAUAUAACUGAAUAUAUUAAUGUAUAAUAAUAUUUUAAACUAAUUUCGAAAUUAGUGAAAAUAUUUAAAUAUAAUUUCGAAAAUGAAGAUCUUGUAAAAAUCUUUUUAAACAGAUUUGUUAGAAUUUUAAAAUAAAUAUAUUUAUAUUUAAAAUGAAAAGAUAUCAAAAGAUACUAUAAUUAAAAUAUUUUUAAAAUUAUAUUUAUUAUUAGUCUGAAUUAAAAUAUAGUAUGAAUUUCUAUGAAUAUGUCCAUUAGGUCCAUUUCUAAAAAAAUCACACAUGAAUCAAGGUUGUGACUUCUGUUUUAAUAUAUAAGAUGUUCAAUAUUUUGUAUUUAGUGUAAUGAUAUUUCAGUUGACAAAAAAAAUAUAAAAUUAACGCGAGGUUCAUUGAUAUUUUAAAUUCAUAUGGUAGAUUAUCUAUUAAAUUAUUAUUUGUCGAAAGAAAAUUUAUUCAUAACUAAAUAUAUAAAUUUAUACGUUUUAUUUGAAGUCUUUAGAAAAAAUAUGGAAGACAUGUUAUUGUCUCACGGGGACCUACGAGGCUACUACCUGUUAUUAGGUUCAUUAAUCACGUAUUUAAACCUUAAUCUUUCGUCAUCAAUACUAUUAAAAGGGAAGGAGUCUAAAAAAAUCUACUUAUAAAAGUUGUUUGGAUCCUUUCAUUUAACUCAUUAUUUUUUGGUAUUACUUUAAAUUUAUAAUAACAAUAUGUUACCAUAUAUUUCUCUAACAAUAAUUUAGUCAAUUCUUUUAUUUAUUUAAAUCUCACUCUUAAAUCCUAAUCAUUACUAUUACUAUAUUUAUCAUUUUGAUUUUUAAUCGUAAAAGUAUUGAAACUAAUGUUUUAUAUAUCACUUUUAACAUAUAAUAUAUGAUUUAAAACAAGAUAAAUUACAAGACAUAUAUGUGUAUAUUCUAACUUCCUCUUUCGUUUAUAAUAAAGUAUAUUAUUUCUUAUGAUACCUUUACUCAGAAAAAUAUUUCAUCAACCAUGUUUUUGUACAAUAACAUUAAAAAUCUAUAUCAAAAGGUUGUUGGACCUGAUAUAGACGUAAUAGGUCCACAUCUGUUCGGGUAUUUAAGAUCCUAAAAGAAUUUGAAAUAUAUGAAAAAUCUGAAAAAAUAUCCAAAAAACGAAAAGUAUUUGAAACUCCAAACAAAUACCAAAAAAUUCUAAUACCUAAAAAUUUAAAAUUUUAUUCAAAAUCUGACACGAUGAACUGAAAAAUACCCAAAAUUUUAUCCAAAUACCCAAUUUUUUUUUUAAAAUUUGAAAAAUUUACCUGAAAUCAAAACUCUAAUCGUAAACCAAAAACUUAAAAACAAUAUCCAUAAUACCGGAAACAUAUUCGGAAUAUCCAAAUAUACCUAAUAAACACAUAUUUAUGAUCGGGUCUUUGUUGAUGACAAAAAAAAUAAAUAAAUGAUCGGGUCUAGGGUAGGACCCGGACUCAAACAAAGACCUGCAGGUCAAAAAAAACCCAAUAGGUUAUAUUCUCUGGACCUGAAUUAAACCUAUAAUUUUGGGUCGGUUCGGUUUGUUUUUUUGAUCCGGAUAUAAUUCUCAUGUCGAAAAGAAACUUACAUAAAAGUGUACAUAUAAAAUCUCAAAUAAACUAAUUUGUAGAUUAUAUAGCUGUUGAAAAUUAUGUUUUUCGAUAUAAUAAAACUUUGUAUUAUAAUAUAGUCCAACAAUUCCGCGCUUUCCAAGCGCGGGUCAAAAUCUAGUUUAUUAUUAUUUUCGAUUAUAGUAUUUGUUUGAUUCUCUCCGUUAUGAGUAUCAUAAUAUAUGAUUAACCGAUGAAUCCUUAAAGAUUAAGAUAUACUACAGCUUUAACUCCGAGAUUCCAAACAUAUAUAUAAAACUUAUAAAAAUUAAAAGAAUUUUAUUCCCUAUACUUAAUAUUAAGUGUGGGUUCGAGACGUGGUGACUGUUCUAGAAACCAGAUAAAUGAAUAGAAAAAAAUAUAAAAGAAUAAAAUAGCAAAAAUAAUUUUAUUUUUUUACAAAAAAAAAGAGUGAGAAAAAGAAUAUUUUUUGUGAAUGAUAAUUUUUUAAGUAGUGUUGGGAAUACAUUAUUCCUCGUUUUACCUCUUAAAUUUUAUUUUAUUAUAAACGAUGUUUUACGUUUUAAUGUACAAAUUUAAUAUAAAAAAUAACGUUUAUCCUUAUUUUAAUUAAUUAAUUAAUAAAACUAAAUAAAAAUUAUAUUAAAUAUGAAUAAAACAGAAAAUUUGACAAUUUUUUUAAUUCAUAUGAAAGAUCUUAAACGAUAUUUUUUUAUGAAACUGAGGGAAUAUAUUAAAUCUGGAAUAACUACUUUGAAAAUGUCCACUUGAGCUUUUGAUGUUGCGGAAAAGCCGUUAGAAGUAUCAAGGAGCCACGAGCCCUAAUUCAAGACUAUUAAUGAUUCGCAAAAGGGGCAAUUGUAUCAGAUCAGAAGUUCUUGAUUUUUUAACUGGAAAGAGAUAUUUUAUUAGAUUUAUUAAAUCUAGAAGAUAAACAUGAUAAUGUUAAUACAAAUCAUAGGUUGCAUGCAUCAUUUGUACAUGUUUAAAGUGCUUUGUCAAGAUUUUUAUAAUUCAAUAUGAAAUUGUGAGCAGAAAACUCGCAACUAAAUGUUGUCCAAUUUAGAUAGUACGACUGAGUUCAUUAUGUAUACUAUUAUGAUAAUAUAAUUUUAAUAUGAGCUAAAUAUAGACUGCAAAUUAAAAUUUUCAGUCGAAAAUGAGUAAUAAAGAUUACUUUUAAUCCACUCUAUAAAAUAUUACUGAGGACUGCACCCAUUGUAUAGUGAGAUUAGUCAAUUUAGAUGAUGCUAAAAGUAUAGAGUUGCCAUUUGCCAACAUACUCUAAAUUUUGUAUUCCUAGUUUAAUGUUUUUAAAAGAAUAAUUAUCUAAAUAUAUUCAUCAAACAACCUUUUAUUGUGAACCCAAAUCGAGUUAAGCGUGUUUUUAAGUUUAUAAUAUUCAUCAAGGAGACGAGGGACUGAGUUUUGUAUUCAUGAAGAAGGAAUCAUUUUAUUAUAAUAAGAUAAUAACAAAAUCAUUAGAGGAGACGUGAAUAAUUAAAUCUUCAGGAUUAAUUUGGGUGAUAAAAAGUCAUCGAGGAAAGAAAUGUAGAUCCAUGAACCUGCCACUUUUUCUCGGAAGGAAUUGACUUUUGACAUUUAUAACCCAUAAUGUUGCAUCAUACAUAGUUACAUACUUAAAGCUUUCUUUAUAUAUAUAUAUAUAUAUAUAUAAAAACUUUGCACAUUGUUAUGUUUUUUAAUUAAACCGACUAUUAGUGUAUUUGUUAGUACUAAUUAAUGUAGACCCGCACGGUGCAUAGGAUUAAGUACAUAACAAAACAGUAUAUAAUAUUAAUUUUAGAAAUAAAAUUUGCUUAGACUAGUUAUUAUUCUAAUACAUACAUAAGGUAGCAUAAUUUAAAGGGAAAUUGGGGUGUAUGGCAACGAAAAAAACUGUAAUUGACAGAGUAACUAUUUUACCUUAACGAACAUAUACACGGUGUCAUAUAUACAUAAUAAUACAGUAUUAUCCUUUUAAUUAACCAGCUGCACCUGCUACAAAAAUUAAUAAUAAAAAAAUUUAACUGCAUAAAGGUAAAUGUCUUCAUCCGAAUCACAUCUUCUUCUUCUAACUUUCUUCGGCAAUUUCUCGAAGUCGAAAGGCCUCUGAUCUGCUCCAACGCCUCGCCUCUGCAUGCAAUCCAAUUUUCAUCUCGGUCGUCCUCCCUUUUAAUCGUGUUCGCCGUUAGGGUUCGGCGGUUGGGUUUUGCGUUACGGUUUCGGCGGCGGGUAGUAACACAACCGACCUCUCCAACUUCACCAACUCGAUUCUUCUGAGAUCUUUGACAGCCUUGUAAGUUCUCAGUGUUUUUCCGUCGAUUCUGGUUACUAAAACUUCUUCUCUGCUUAUCUGAUUUUAUUUUGGGAUCCUCUCUGAUGUUCUACUUGAAUUGGGGGUUUCGUCUCUGCGGUGCAUAGUUCAUGGUGUAGAAAUAUCUAUUAUUUUGUGGAAUAGCAUCUGCAAUACAUAGAUGUUUCAUCAUAUUUCUGUAUCAGUAUAUCUCGUUGAUAUAUGUCAUGUCAAGUGGAAUAGUAUAAGGUUCACAUUAUUCCAUUUUACAUGGAAUCAUACUUUUACAUCAUAUACAUUUCCAUUCGUUAGUCAUUGUUAUUCGAUUUGACUCAUAAUUCAUUUCUAUAUUUAAUAUUACAGUGUGAACUGUCCUCACUCUUCGCCUCUCUUAUUUUUCAUUCUUCAGGUUUGGUAUGGAAAAAUUAGACCUUCCAAGUAGAUUGUUUGAGACAGGAUUUGAUGUCAAGUGGAUUUAGUUUCCUGAAGAUUUGGGUUGCCUAUUGUGGAUCUAUUCUAUUAAAAGGGAAUCAGUCUUGAAAAAUCUACUUACAAAAGGUUGUUGGACUUAUUUGUUUGAAAUUUAAUAUGUCUUCUUUUAUAUAGUAUCAAUAAUAUUAACAGAGAAUAAAACAUACAUUAAUAGCAGCAUAUUCUUUUAGUUUUUGGGAUUUAACUACAUUUAAGCUAACAAUAAAAUCGACCAAAUUAAUUAUACUUUACCUCACAAUAAUAGGUCAGUAUGGUAUUUUACUAAAUACAAAAGCGGUUAUUUAAUAUUUAUUCAUUUCGAAUUUUGAAUAAAAUCACAUAGAAUAAAUAUUUAUUCUAAACAUGGACUAAGUAAACAUACUAAAAAUGCACUAAGAUUUUUAUACUAAUUAACAACUUAUCUAUGUUUUUUUCUGUAAUUCAAAAUCAUUCAGAACUAAAAGAAAUAAAAGGGUAUAGAUUAACAAACAAAAUAACAUCUAAUUAUUUUAAAAAAACCUAUGUAUCAAUAUUCAAAAUAAAUCAUUCAAAUAUUAUGCAUAUAUUCAAUAUAACAAAAAAUUCUAAUAUAAACUAAAAUACUAUACUGUAAACCAUAUAUCAUAUACAUAUUAUAAUAUCAUUUAUUUUAAUUUUCAUCCAUCAUAAAAUUUUUUUUGAAUAUUCCGUAAAACCAAAUUAAAAUUUUACCUAAAAAUUAACAUAUUAAAUAAUUAAAGAAAAAAUAUUAUAAAAUUAACUUUUAAACCUAAAAAUGAAAACAUAAACAUAUACUAAGUUAUUUAUAACAAAAAUAAACUAAUACUGUUAUAUCAAUAAAUUUUUUUCUGUUAACAUUUUUUUGAAUGAUAUAAUAAAAUUUUAUUCAAUUUUAGUUUUCUAAACAUAUGAAAAAUUUAAUCAAAAAGUUUUAUCAUGUUUUUUUGAGUUUAUAUGAGAUCAAUCGGUAUUGUAUUACAGGUUAAUAGUAAAAUUUUGGAUUGUUAUUAGAUUUAUCAUAUUUUUUAUAAAUACGAACUGGAUUAUAUUCUGGGUCGUCGAGUUGUGACCAUGAGUCGGGAUUGGAUAUAAAAAUAGUGCUUCAAACUCAAACAUUAUGAUAAAACAACUUAAAAAUUAUUUAUUUAAUUAGAAUUAAAUUCAAGAAAAUUUUAUCAAAAGGAUCAACAAAAAAAUACCCGCGCUUCGAAAGCGCGGAUCAAAAUCUAGUUGGGGUUUAUAUUUUCCUAACUUGGGUUUAGUGUUUAAUGUCAAGUGUUUAAUUACCAGUCUCAUUAGCUUUGUAUUUCAUGUUGCUCAUGAGGAAUGUAAAUACAUGUCUCUAGUAUUAUGGCAGGUGGAUUUAAUUUCACAAAGAUUUGGGUUGCCUAUGUAUUAGGGUUUAUAUUUCUCUAACUUGGGUUUAGUGUUUACUAUCAAGUUUUCUAUUACCAUCCUCAUUAGCUUCGUAUUUCAUGUGGCUCAUGAGAAAUGUAAAUACAUAUCUCCAGUAUUAUGGCAUGUGGAUUUAAUUUUCUGAAGAUUUGGGUUGCCUAUGGAUUGAAUUUAUAUUUUCUUAACUUGGAUUUAGUGUUUACUGCUAAGUGUUCUAUUACCAUCCCUAUUAACUUUGUAUUUCAUGUUGCUCAAUUUUGGCUCUAGUAUGCACAUAGUAUCAUUUUAAAUAGUACAUUGUAUAUAGUCUAGAAGUGUUCUCGUAAUAGACGGUGCAAAUAUGUAUGUAACUCUAUAACACACAUUUAUAAUCAUUAACCUACAUCAUUAAAAUGUGUGUAUGGUUUACAAAUCAGAGGUUAGGGUUUAGUAUUUCCAGUUAGGGUUUAGUAUUCCCUAAACAAAUUUGUAAGAUGGAAUAGAAUAUGUCGGCUAUUCUGUAUAGAAUGGCUUUAUUCGUUUUUAUACUAUACAGAUGGAAUGGAAAAUACUGUUUUUUCAGUUUAGUUGAUGUUGGUUUCAGGUUCAGGUUGGGUAAGAAAUACACACUUCGAUAUCAUCAUAGUAGUUCAAAAAUAUUACCAUUAAAAUUAUUUACUAUCAAAAAUGUAAACUGUAAAAACAUUUCCCUUCCAUUCUUGUUAAUUUUUUUUUGUGUUUCAGUAUGUGGUUCUCAUCACAACACACAACGCAGAACGUUACGUACUAUCACUUAUAACUGGUUACCUGUUAAAGUAAAGGUCAAAACCGGAUAAUUUGUGUAUAAAAUGUCUGACACUAAAUAACGUCAAAAUCAAGGUUACUUAUUUAAUUUAGUCUUGAUUUAUGGCUAGUACGCAAAUUAGCCCUAAUUUAAAUCGCUGAUUACUUUUUGACUAAAAUUUUUAAAUCGCUGAUUUCAAGGAUCAAUAUUUCACUUACCAGACGCUUUCUCAGGAAAAAGAUCGUUGUACUUUAAAACCUAACAAAUAUAUUGUCUUGAUUUUUGACAAAGACAAGUUUUACUAUGUCUUGUGUAAGUAUCCAAAAGAUUUGGUCUUAGAUACCUCCAUUAAAAAAAACUUAAAGAAGAAGGUGCAUACCAUUUACAGUGAUCAAUAGAGUAUGAAUUCUUACAAAGCAGACAUCCAAAUCAACUGAACUGGAUUCAAUACAAAAUUACAAAUGACAAAUUCUAGUAAAGCCUUUUAGACAAAAGUACUGAUUACAUUAACCAACCAUAAAGACAACGUAUACCAAUUAUCAAUGGUCCUAUAUCAUAAAACAAAUUGAGAGAAAAAAUCCAAGAAACCAUAUGGGCAUAGUCACACAGUUGAGAGCAGACAAGUUUUCCCAUUUCAUAUGUUUGUUGCGUUAAUCUUCUGAUUAUAUUGUACAAUAUUACUUUGUUAUGCUAGAACACAAAACCAUUUUUACCAAAAAAAAACACAAAAUCAUUUUUACCAAAAAAACAAACACAAAAUCAUCGACGGGGUAGAUGUAAAUCCACGAACUUCGCCAUGUUUGGCUGAGAAUAUUUAGAAUUUACUAGAUAAAUUUGGAUAAAAUGAAUAAAUUAGUCAGGUGGAGCUUGCUACGAUUAACACUUUAACCUUUAUGAAAAAGUAUAGUUUUGUGUUAGGAAAGAAAAUGACUUUAUUAUUAAGAAACGUAGAUUCCCCGCCGGUAAUUGAUAAAUUUGACCGUGAAAACCAUAUUAUACCAGUUACAAAAAAAAAAACCAUAUUAUAUCGACCCACGAGUCCGUGUUUUUUUCCGUCAGAAUAACCACAAAAAGCAAACUAAAUUAACGGCGACUUAAAAGAAAUUUCUCUUGUUUAGGCUAAGUUUCUCUCUCGCAAAAAAUAUCGCCUGUUUUUGUGAGUGGAGCUUUGGUUGAUGUGCCGGUGACUCAUAACUCACCUCUUCAGUAAGAAAAUGUUUUUUCAGUUAAAUCUUCAGAGUUUUUAGGGUUUGUUCUUAUUAUCAGGCGGUGGUUCUCAUAAUCAUCUGAAAAAUACAUCAUGUCUUAGGAGAUGGAUAAAGCUAUGAUGGAACUGUCAUUGGAGGAAGAAGAUCAACCGUUUAAUAUGCCGAAUCUCCCACAGUUCAAAUCGAGUCAGAAGAAUUCCAGAAAUUUGAUUGGGAGGAUCCUGAAUCCGGAUUGCCAGAAGAUGUCUAAGCUCAUCCUCAGCAUGCCUCGCAAGUGGCACAAGGGUGGUAAAGUGAGAGGAGCGGCCUUGUCGAAGGAGAGAUCUUAAUUCAUCUUCGAUCAUGAACAUGACCUGGAAGAAAUACUAGAGAAAGGUGUACACACUUUCAGUGAUUGGACCUUGGCUAUUGAUAGGUGGGUGGAGAGACCACCUCCAGACUAUCUUCAAUUUAUUCCGAUCUGGAUCCAAAUCCGAAACCUUCCGGUAAAUUACUAUACUUCUGAAGCGAUUACAGAUUUGUUAGGAGAAGUCAAAGAGGUGGAUUUUGAUCCAGAAAAGUCGCAAAGUAGGGAGUAUGUAAGGGUGUUAAUCCGCUUCAAGGUAUCCAUGCCUCUUAGGAAGUCUAAGUUGCUGAAUCUUCCUGAAGGGGGCUCUGCCAUAGUCUACUUUAAUUAUGAGAGGAUUUAAAAAAACGUGCUAUGAGUGUCAGCGUCUAAACCACUCUAAUGAUGUGUGUCCUCUGUUGGUUAAAAAGAGAAAAGAAGAGGCUUUGGGUAGAAGACAAAGAGUUAUUCAGGAUAGAGGCGGUUUGGAGAAAUUUAUUGGAAAAGAUGAUCCCUUUUAUGGUGUUCUUUCUGAGGAUCAAGUUGGUAUCUGCAGAGAGACAGGAAGGAGGAAGGUUGCACCAGAAGUGCUAGAGGAGAUGAGAAGGUAUAUGAUGAUGGCCACUGAUGAUGACAAGCUUGUUCGAAUGGAUAGGGUCCGCUCUUCUAUGGCAGAAGCUGAGAAAGACCCAUUUACUCAGAAAUCAAUGUUAAGAUUGGAAUCUACUCCUCAAUUUACUAAGCAACUGGAUAAAGGAAAAGGGGUGGUCUAUGAUUUUCAUCUCAAUGUAACUGAGCAAACUCGGGAAGUAAGGGGAGAAGUGAAAGAAAAGCUCAUGGAUUAUGCGUUCAGAGCGGGGAGGUGUGGUGACGCAAUGGAACAGUUUGGAGACAUGAGUAUUCAAGUUGGGCGAAGCAAGAACAGUGUGGAGAGGAAGGCUUUGUCUUAUCCUCAGAUAACUAAGGCUAUGAAGAUCAAUUAGGCAAAUGUUGGUUUUUGUGCUUUGGUGGUAACUCUACGGAAUAUGGUUCUUCCUCUGGGAACAGACCAUCCAGGGUUCCACAAAAGAGUAAUAAUACCAGGAGAAGGCCUUAUAUAAGAAAGAGACAAGAACAGAGAAGUGGUACUUCAAGUGUUUUGCAACAACUAUACGGCUCUGAAGUGGAUAAGCAGAAAGUUGGUUCUAAAAGAAGGAUUGAGGGGGGGGGGGGGGAGAGGAGAAAGUCCGAGACCAGAGAGAACACGUGUGGAAAAGGUUAAGGAGGAUGAGAUCAUUCCAAUCCCAGAUGAGAUCAUUGCCAUUUUUUGGAAGAAGUUGAUAGAUUGACUUUAAGGUUGUAAACAAGAACUUGAUAGAUUGUAUAUUAUAGUUUGGAGAAGUUUCUUUUUUUUGGUCUUGUGUAUAUGGCCUGUCGGAUUGGAGCAGUAGGAUUGAGUUAUGGGAACGCUUGAGUAGGAUAGGUGUGAAUAGAAGGGAUAGUUGGUGUGUGUUUGGGGACUUUAAUGAUAUUUUACAUAAUGGAGAAAAGAUAGGUGGGGUGUGGAGGUCUGAUGAGUCUUUUGUUCCGUUUAACCAGAUGGUGGUGGCUGGUAAACUAGAAGAACUUCCCAGUCAUAGGAAUGGUUUUACCUGGGGAGGGAAGAGAUAUAACUAUUGGAUUCAGUCUAGGUUGGACAGGUGUUUUGGUAAUAAAGCCUGGUUUGAGCAGUUUCCUUGUUCCAAUCAAACUUUUUUGGAUAUAAGGGGUUCUAAUCACCAGCCUGUGUACAUCAAUCUCACGCCUGGAUAAAAGAAAACUGGUGCAAGAAAUAUUUUUAACGUACCUGAGAUGGGGUUUCCACUCAUUUUGUUUGAUAUUCGAUAGUUAAAUUAUAAACCAAAUAAUAUAAGCAGAAAAAAAGAGAUGGUGAGAGGAGAUGAAUAGAUAAAAAGAUUGGAGAAAUAGGACUAUUAAAUACUAAAAGCUAAAUAACGGCGCUAGGGUUUUGGCGACUCUAGGGUGAUUCUUAGAUCUGGCAAGCUCCUCCUCAUAGACGACGUUUUGAGGCUCUCCUUGCCAGGGAAGAAGGAGAAAGGAGGUUCUCGACGAUCCAUACAGAAGUUCUGAUUGUCUCUGCAGUGACUGCCUUUCGUUCAAACACUUUCAACCCUAGAUCUUUUGGCGUGAGGAACAAGACACAUCAAGAAAAGGAGUACGAAGGUUUUUUUUCCCCUGUGUAGGGUGUUGAACUGAAGUUUAUAAAGUGCCUUGUUUUGGUCUGGAUCUCACCGACGAACCAAGAUGCGCCGUUCGUAUGGGAACCGGGAGAGAGGAGAAAGUCCGAGACCAGAGAGAACACGUGUGGAAAAGGUUAAGGAGGAUGAGAUCAUUCCAAUCCCAGAAUUUGAUUUCUCGGAUCUCAUUGAGAAGUAUAAGCUGGCGCUGGUGGGAAGGAUGUUCCAUGUUGAUGGAAGGAGUGUUGAUGCUUUGAUUAAACAUAUGCCAAAGCGACAUAUCUGGGAUGUAGAAGGUAACGUCAGAGGAACCAACUUGGGGAACAAUAAGUUUCAGUUUGACUUUGACUCUGAACAAGACCUUCAAAAAGUCCUACAAAGGAGACCUUGUCAUUUUAACAAAUGGAGCUUUUCCUUGGAAAAAUGGAUACCAACGAUUCAAGAAGAUUUUUCAAAUUCUAUGCUGUUCUGGGUGGUUAUCUCUGGUGUCCCUAACCACUAUAAAAAAAGACGAAACGUUCCGUAAUAUUGGGAAGGCUCUAGGCCUAGUGGACACUGUGGAUGUGGACGGAGGACGUUUGGGAAGGCUCUAGGCCUAGUGGACACUGUGGAUGUGGACGGAGGACGUGUCAGAGUUUUUGUCAAUGCAGACGAACCCUUACAAUUUGAGCGUCGAGCGGGGUUUGCAAAUGGUGACGUUAUUAAAGUGACCCUUAAAUAUGAAGACCUUCACAUACACUGCUUCACCUGUAAACGCAUCUCGCACGAAGAAGGUACAUGCCCGGAGCUAACAGAGAUGCAGCAAGAGAAGAACAGAGUGGCAAGGAUUGAACAAAAAGAACUGGAGGAAAUAGCAACGAGAGAAGCCUUCUCUAUUCCGUCUAGAUACGAGACUAGUCGAGUACCUGAAUCUGAUCGAUACUCUUUAGAGGAUGGAAGAUAUGGAAGGGGGCAAAACAGAGACUUUAGGCGUCCUAUUAUGACCGGCACAGACAGGAUAAGCCAUGAUCUCAGAGAGAGAAUCACAGAGCAACGGGAGUCUCUCAGUAAGAAUGUAUGGAAAAGACUUGAGAAACCUGAUACGACACAUUAUCCCCGAGAUCGGGAGAGACAUCAUCCUUAUCAAAGACCAAAGAGUUAUGAUUCCAUGACCAGAGAUGGAGACAAAUCGAGAUAUGAAACUUACUCGAGGAAGUCAACUUGGUAUUCCAAUGACCAAAGGAAUCAGAACGGUCUUAACCACGACUUACAAAGUGUGAGCAGAUCAAGCCCUAAACGAAGAGCUUCCCCGGACUCCCAACGUACAAUCUCUGCAGCUUAUGUGACAAACCGGUCCGGAUAUGGAAGCCGUGGCCAGAGCCAUCGAUCACCUCAAAAGCCGGCUCAAGAAUGGAGACCGGUAAGACAGAGCAUAAAUGAAGGAAAAAAGAACGACGAGAACCAAACAGUGCUUGGUGAAACGGAAGAGGACAAGAGAAGAAGAUUAAAAGGGAAGAUGAUAGCUCAGGACCCUCCUGCCGCCCCACCAAGACCUAUCCCUGAUAGAGGAACGCUUACAAUUAGAGAACCAUCAUCUAACAUGCAGCAACAGAUGCAAGGAGGGUGUGAGAAGGAGAAGCAGGCGCCCACAAAAAAUCGUGAGGAGGAAAAUAAACAGAGCAGCGAGAGGUUGGGAAGUGCAAAUACCCCGACCAAUAUUGAGGGAGGUCUAGAUGAUCCUGACUCACUUGAUAACGUUCCAGAGGAUGAUGGAGUUCUAGAUGAUGAGGCUUUUGAAAAGAUGAUGGAACUGUAUACGGAGCCUGAGGCUUUCGCUGACGACGAAGAAAUGCAAAACGUUGAUGAAGUAGAUGACCUCAUGGAGGAGGAACAGGAGAUGGAGAGAGCACGAGUGGAAAAGGAGAAGAGGGCAGAGACGGAGAAGGAAAAAAGCAAGGGUCUCAUGGUUAAAAAGAUAAAAGAUUUUGGGAUGGCAGGUAAUAGUCAUCAAAAAAACGACCCAGCUGCGGUGAGAAAUAAGUUAAACGGAGAUGGGAAGAAGAUAGGCGCAGAGAUUGAUCAGAAUGACAAUGGGAAGAAGAAGAAGGUCCCUAGAAGCCCAGAAAUAAAAGGUACUGCAGCCUCAAAGAAGUAAAGCCACGAGACAGAGUCGACUUCAAGUCUCUCGAGUAUCGUCGAAAGUCCCUCGUACUGAGGUGUAUCCUUCUGCUUUAAAAGGCAGGAAUCCCAGUGUAUCCGGUUCGGUGGUGUCCCAGAAACCACCCAGUACUCGUAUAUGAAUGCAAUUGCAUGGAAUUGUCAAGGGGCCGGAGCCUACUUGACCAAGCAACACUUAAAAGAGUUGCUUCGCUGCUUCAAUCCUAGUUUUCUUUUUCUUUCAGAAACAAAAAAUAAUUUUUCUUUUAUGCAAGACUUUCAGUUUGGUAUUGAACAAGUGGCAGUGCAAUACUUUGGAAAUCUCUUUGAAACGUCGAGCCCUGUAGACAUUGAGGAAAGCAUCCGGUAUAUUACCGAGACAGUAACGGAGGAGAUGAAUGAGGCCCUAAUAGUGCCUGUGACUGAUACUGAAAUCAGAGAUGCCAUCUUUGCGAUCAACCCCGAUAAGGCCCAUGGACCGGACGGGAUGACAAGUCUGUUUUAUCAAAGGUUCUGGAGCGUAAUCGGUAAGGAUGUUAUCAGCAUGGUGCGUGAAUUUUUCGAAACCGGAGAGCUAGAUGAGAGAAUUAACCAGACGAACAUCUGUUUGAUCCCAAAAACUGCGAGACCGGUGUCUAUGACAGAGUUUCGUCCUAUUAGUCUGUGCAACGUUAGCUAUAAAAUUAUCUCAAAGGUUCUUUCCAACAGAUUAAAGAGGAUUUUGCCAAGCCUCAUCUCAGAGACACAAUCAGCCUUUGUGGCUCGACGUUUGAUUACCGAUAAUAUCCUUGUAGCUCAGGAAAUGUUUCAUGCUCUUAGAACUAACCAAAGCUGCCAAUCCAAGUACAUGGCCAUCAAGACAGACAUGAGCAAAGCAUAUGAUCGGCUGGAGUGGGGCUUCCUUGAAGCAUCGAUGGAAAAAAUGGGAUUCAAUCAGAAGUGGAUUCACUUGAUCAUGAGCUGUGUUUCCUCAGUCUCAUAUCGAGUUUUGAUUAAUGGAGAUGCAAAAGGUAGUAUCACUCCUUCCCGGGGACUCCGGCAGGGCGAUCCUCUAUCGCCAUUUUUAUUUAUACUCUGCACAGAAGUAUUAAUAUCUCAGAUUCAAGAAGCAGAACGCACGGAAAGGAUCACAGGUCUAAGGAUCGCUCGAGCAAGCCCGGCGGUCUCUCAUUUACUCUUCGCUGACGACAGCCUCUUCUUUUGUAAAGCAGAGGAAAGUCAGUGCCAAGAGCUAAUGAGAAUAAUUGACGUUUAUGGUUACGCCUCAGGACAACAACUGAAUAAACAAAAAUCUUCAGUUCUGUUCGGUUCUAAGGUCAUAACGUCCACGAAACAAAACCUGAAAGGGUUAACUGGUAUUAACAAAGAAGGAGGAAUGGGAAUGUAUCUAGGCCUGCCGGAGAACAUCGCCGCCCCACCAAGACCUAUCCCUGAUAGAGGAACGCUUACAAUUAGAGAACCAUCAUCUAACAUGCAGCAACAGAUGCAAGGAGGGUGUGAGAAGGAGAAGCAGGCGCCCACAAAAAAUCGUGAGGAGGAAAAUAAACAGAGCAGCGAGAGGUUGGGAAGUGCAAAUACCCCGACCAAUAUUGAGGGAGGUCUAGAUGAUCCUGACUCACUUGAUAACGUUCCAGAGGAUGAUGGAGUUCUAGAUGAUGAGGCUUUUGAAAAGAUGAUGGAACUGUAUACGGAGCCUGAGGCUUUUGCUGACGACGAAGAAAUGCAAAACGUUGAUGAAGUAGAUGACCUCAUGGAGGAGGAACAGGAGAUGGAGAGAGCACGAGUGGAAAAGGAGAAGAGGGCAGAGACGGAGAAGGAAAAAAGCAAGGGUCUCAUGGUUAAAAAGAUAAAAGAUUUUGGGAUGGCAGGUAUUAGUCAUCAAAAAAACGACCCAGCUGCGGUGAGAAACAAGUUAGACGGAGAAGGGAAGAAGAUAGGCAGGUUAAGGAGGAUGAGAUCAUUCCGAUCCCAGAAUUUGAUUUCUCGGAUCUCAUUGAGAAGUAUAAGCUGGCGCUGGUGGGAAGGAUGUUCCAUGUUGAUGGAAGGAGUGUUGAUGCUUUGAUUAAACAUAUGCCAAAGCGACAUAUCUGGGAUGUAGAAGGUAACGUCAGAGGAACCAACUUGGGGAACAAUAAGUUUCAGUUUGACUUUGACUCUGAACAAGACCUUCAAAAAGUCCUACAAAGGAGACCUUGUCAUUUUAACAAAUGGAGCUUUUCCUUGGAAAAAUGGAUACCAACGAUUCAAGAAGAUUUUCCAAAUUCUAUGCUGUUCUGGGUGGUUAUCUCUGGUGUUCCUAAUCACUAUAAAAAAGACGAAACGUUCCGUAAUAUUGGGAAGGCUCUAGGCCUAGUGGACACUGUGGAUGUGGACGGAGGACGUGUCAGAGUUUUUGUCAAUGCAGACGAACCUUUACAAUUUGAGCGUCGAGCGGGGUUUGCAAAUGGUGACGUUAUUGAAGUGACCCUUAAAUAUGAAGACCUUCACAGACACUGCUUCACCUGUAAGCGCAUCUCACACGAAGAAGGUACAUGCCCGGAGCUCACAGAGAUGAAGCGAGAGAAAAACAGAGUGGCAAGGAUUGAACAAAAAGAACUGGAGGAAAUAGCAACGAGAGAAGCCUUCUCUAUUCCGUCUAGAUACGAGACUAGUCGAUUCCAAAAAGAAAGUCUUUGCUUAUGUACAAGAUCGGCUAAACUCAAGAGUCAAUACAUGGGAAGCAAAGCACUUAUCUAAAGGUGGAAAGGAGGUUCAAAUAAAAUCUGUAGCACAAGCUGUGCCUACCUUUACGAUGUCAUGCUAUCUCCUACCGCAGGAGAUCCACAAAAAAUUGACGGGAGCUGUGUCUAGAUUCUGGUGGAGUGCCAAAGCUAAUAAUCGAGGAUUACAUUGGGUGGCAUGGGAUAAAAUCUGCGAGCCACAGGAGAAAGGUGGGCUGGGAUUUAGAGAUUCACAUGACUUUAAUCUGGCAUUGCUUGCCAAGCAGGUGUGGAGACUUCUGAUAUAUCCAGACUCGCUUCUAGCUCGAGUUCUGAAGGGUCGGUACUAUAGAAACUCAAACCCGCUACGGGUGGGAAAAGCGAACAACCCUUCCUACGGGUGGCGAAGCAUCUGGACAGCUCGAUCAGUCUUGAGUGAGAGCUUGCUUCGAUCUAUUGGAACAGGAGCUGAUACGAACGUGUGGGAAGACGGCUGGAUACCUGAUGGAGUAGCGAGACCAGCAUUGCCGAAGGGACCAGUGAUCGAUCAUGACCUAAGAGUCCACCAUUUGCUGGAUCAUGAGACUAAAGACUGGAAUGAACCCCUUAUUAGAGAACUGGUGGCGGAGGAAGACGUUAAUAAAAUCCUCUCUAUUAAACCAAGUCGUCUAGGAAGGAAAGAUGGAUAUAUUUGGAAACAUACGAAAUCAGGCUCGUAUACUGUUCGUACAGGGUAUGAAGUGAUCAAUGAAAAGAGGAAAGCAUCGCUAGAGCGGGAGGUAGCAGAACCAAGCGUAACAACGCUUAAGAAGGAGGUCUGGAUGUUAAAAACAUCACGUAAGAUUAAACACUUUCUAUGGCAAGCCAUCUCUGGAUUUGUCACGGCGGCAAGUCGUCUCUGUGAUCGACAUUGUGCGAAUGACAGGAGCUGUCUACGGUGUGGAGCUGCAGAGGAGACGAUUAAUCAUAUCCUCUUUGAAUGUCCUCCUGCAUUACAAUGCUGGGCUUUAUCUGAUAUUCCAACACAUCCGGGCUUAUUCCCGUGUAAUGCCCUGUUUACAAAAUUUGACCAUCUGCUGUGGAGAGCUGAGAAUCUAGGAGUCAGUAAGGAAACACUCAGCGUCUUUCCAUGGCUACUGUGGUACAUAUGGAAGGGAAGAAAUGAGAAACUCUUCAAUGGCGUUGAAAUUUCGCCCCUAGACACUCUUCAACUGGCACUAUCAGAGGCAAAAUCGUGACAAGUAGCUCAGAUUAUCCCCUCUGUAGAAGAAGAAGCCGUUCCAGAUGCACAAGAAAGUACAGGGAGUGCAGAACCACCGCAGAUACGAACUGGAAUCAGGUGUCAAGUCGAUGCGUCGUGGGUCCAUGAAGGUUCACGAUCGGGAGUGGGGUUUGCACUGUGGGAGGGAGUUAACCGAAAUCUUAUAGGCCUAAAAAACUGCAGGCAAAGCACUUCUCCCCUGCAUGCCGAGGCUGUGGGACCAAGGCUAUCGUGCAAUGCACUUUGAAACUGAUUGUGCUCAACUCUAAAGCUGAUACAAAACGUGGAGGAAUGGCCAUCAAUGGUACAUGAGAUGGAAGAUAUCAGAAUACAUUCUAGGAAGUUUGAUCAGUUUGCUAUCUCUUAUAUACCUCGUGGUAUGAACUCUCGUGCCGACUGUCUUGCAAAGGCAGCUCGUGCACGUUUAGAUUUCUUUGAAUUUGUUGGUGUUGAGACUCCUGUUUGGCUUGCUCAUGUAGCUAGCCUCUUGGAGUGAUUUUUAAUAAUAAAACUUUGUCGGCAAAAAAAAAAAAAAAUACUAAAAGCUAAAUAUACUCCUCAUCUGGCCUGUCUACGUAGGACUAUUAAUUCUAGCCAAUCAUAGAUCUUCAUCUCUCCACAUCACCCCAGUUUAAGUCAAGAAUGAAAAUUUCAGGCUUUUUGCGUGUGAGCUCAUUAGAUUUCAUUAAGGCCCAAGUUCAAACCCACUUCAGCAACACUAAUAUCCUAAUCGACUCUGCCUCAUCCGCUUCGUUCUCCGUUUUGGUUCAUGCAAUCUCUGUUACUGUACCUCCUCUCCUUUCCUACCUUCCACCUUUUCUACUCAUAUAUAAAUUGCUAAAUAGCUUCUUCAAAACACACUUCCAUACAAACCCGAACUAUUACGCCUCAGGACAACAACUGAAUAAAGGAAAAUCUUCAGUUAUGUUCGGUUCUAAGGUCAUAACGUCCACGAAACAAAACCUGAAAGGGUUAACUGGUAUUAACAAAGAAGGAGGAAUGGGAAUGUAUCUAGGCCAGCCGGAGAACAUCUGUGGUUCCAAAAAGAAAGUCUUUGCUUAUGUACAAGAUCGGCUAAACUCAAGAGUCAAUACAUGGGAAGCUAAGCACUUAUCUAAAGGUGGAAAGGAGGUUCAAAUAAAAUCUGUAGCACAAGCUGUGCCUACCUUUACGAUGUCAUGAUAUCUCCUACCGCAGGAGAUCCACAAAAAAUUGACGGGAGCUGUGUCUAGAUUUUGGUGGAGUGCCAAAGCUAAUAAUCGAGGAUUACAUUGGGUGGCAUGGGAUAAAAUCUGCGUGCCACAUGAGAAAGGUGGGCUGGGAUUUAGAGGUUCACAUGACUUUAAUCUGGCAUUGCUUGCCAAGCAGGUGUGGAGACUUCUGAUAUACCCAGACUCGCUUCUAGCUCGAGUUCUGAAGGGUCGGUACUAUAGAAACUCAAACCCGCUACGGGUGGGAAAAGCGAACAACCCUUCCUACGGGUGGCGAAGCAUCUGGACAGCUCGAUCAGUCUUGAGUGAGAGCUUGCUUCGAUCUAUUGGAACAGGAGCUGAUACGAACGUGUGGGAAGACGCCUGGAUACCUGAUGGAGUAGCGAGACCAGCAUUGCCGAAGGGACCAGUGUUCGAUCAUGACCUAAGAGUUCACCAUUUGCUGGAUCAUGAGACUAAAGACUGGAAUGAACCCCUUAUUAGAGAACUGGUGGCGGAGGAAGACGUUAAUAAAAUCCUCUCUAUUAAACCAAGUCGUCUAGGAAGGAAAGAUGGAUAUAUUUGGAAACAUACGAAAUCAGGCUCGUAUACUGUUCGUACAGGGUAUGAAGUGAUCAAUGAAAAGAGGAAAGCAUCGAUAGAGCGGGAGGUAGCAGAACCAAGCGUAACAACGCUUAAGAAGGAGGUCUGGAAGUUAAAAACAUCACGUAAGAUUAAACACUUUCUAUGGCAAGCUAUCUCGGGAUUUGUCAACGCGGCAAGUCGUCUCUGUGAUCGACAUUGUGCGAAUGACAGGAGCUGUCUACGGUGUGGAGAUGCAGAGGAGACGAUUAAUCAUAUCCUCUUUGAAUGUCCUCCUGCAUUACAAUGCUGGGCUUUAUCUGAUAUUCCAACACAUCCGGGCUUAUUCCCGUGUAAUGCCCUGUUUACAAACUUUGACCAUCUGCUGUGGAGGGCUGAGAAUCUAGGAGUCAGUAAGGAAACACUCAACGUCUUUCCAUGGCUACUGUGGUACAUAUGGAAGGGAAGAAAUGAGAAACUCUUCAAUGGCGUAGAAAUUUCGCCCCUAGACACUCUUCAACUGGCACUAUCAGAGGCAAAAUCUUGGCAAGUAGCUCAGAUUAUCCCCUCUGUAGAAGAAGAAGCCGUUCCAGAUGCACAAGAAAGUACAGGGAGUGCAGAACCACCGCAGAUACGAACUGGAAUCAGGUGUCAAGUCGAUGCGUCGUGGGUCCAUGAAGGUUCACGAUCGGGAGUGGGGUUUGCACUGUGGGAGGGAGUUAACCGAAAUCUUAUAGGCCUAAAAAACUGCAGGCAAAGCACUUCUCCCCUGCAUGCCGAGGCUGUGGGACCAAGGCUAUCGUGCAAUGCACUUUGAAACUGAUUGUGCUCAACUCUUAAAGCUGAUACAAAACGUGGAGGAAUGGCCAUCAAUGGUACAUGAGAUGGAAGAUAUCAGAAUACAUUCUAGGAAGUUUGAUCAGUUUACUAUCUCUUAUAUACCCCGUGGUAUGAACUCUCGUGCCGACUGUCUUGCAAAGGCAGCUCGUGUACGUUUAGAUUUCUUUGAAUUUGUUGGUGUUGAGACUCCUGUUUGGCUUGCUCAUGUAGCUAGCCUCUUGGAGUGAUUUUAAUAAUAAAACNNNNNNNNNNNNNNNNNNNNNNNNNNNNNNNNNNNNNNNNNNNNNNNNNNNNNNNNNNNNNNNNNNNNNNNNNNNNNNNNNNNNNNNNNNNNNNNNNNNNNNNNNNNNNNNNNNNNNNNNNNNNNNNNNNNNNNNNNNNNNNNNNNNNNNNNNNNNNNNNNNNNNNNNNNNNNNNNNNNNNNNNNNNNNNNNNNNNNNNNNNNNNNNNNNNNNNNNNNNNNNNNNNNNNNNNNNNNNNNNNNNNNNNNNNNNNNNNNNNNNNNNNNNNNNNNNNNNNNNNNNNNNNNNNNNNNNNNNNNNNNNNNNNNNNNNNNNNNNNNNNNNNNNNNNNNNNNNNNNNNNNNNNNNNNNNNNNNNNNNNNNNNNNNNNNNNNNNNNNNNNNNNNNNNNNNNNNNNNNAGCCGUUCCAGAGGCACAAGAAAGCACAGGGAGUGCAGAACCUUCGCAGAUACGAACUGGAAUCAGGUGUCAAGUCGAUGCGUCGUGGGUCCAUGAAGGUUCACGAUCGGGAGUGGGGUUUGCACUGUGGGAGGGAGCUAACCGAAACCUUAUAGGUCUAAAAAACUGCAGGCAAAGCGCUUCUCCCCUGCAUGCCGAGGCUGAUGGACUCAUCUGGGCAAUGAAGACGCUGUGGGACCAAGGCUACCGUGCAAUGCACUUUGAAACUGAUUGUGCUCAACUCUAAAGCUGAUACAAAACGUGGAGGAAUGGCCAUCAAUGGUACAUGAGAUGGAAGAUAUCAGAAUACAUUCUAGGAAGUUUGAUCAGUUUGCUAUCUCUUAUAUACCCCGUGGUAUGAACUCUCGUGCCGACUGUCUUGCAAAGGCAGCUCGUGCACGUUUAGAUUUCUUUGAAUUUGUUGGUGUUGAGACUCCUGUUUGGCUUGCUCAUGUAGCUAGCCUCUUGGAGUGAUUUUUAAUAAUAAAACUUUGUCGGCAAAAAAAAAAAAAAAAUACUAAAAGCUAAAUAUACUCCUCAUCUGGCCUGUCUACGUAGGACUAUUAAUUCUAGCCAAUCAUAGAUCUUCAUCUCUCCACAUCACCCCAGUUUAAGUCAAGAAUGAAAAUUUCAGGCUUUUUGCGUGUGAGCUCAUUAGAUUUCAUUAAGGCCCAAGUUCAAACCCACUUCAGCAACACUAAUAUCCUAAUCGACUCUGCCUCAUCCGCUUCGUUCUCCGUUUUGGUUCAUGCAAUCUCUGUUACUGUACCUCCUCUCCUUUCCUACCUUCCACCUUUUCUACUCAUAUAUAAAUUGCUAAAUAGCUUCUUCAAAACACACUUCCAUACAAACCCGAACUCUUAGCUUAAACGUCUUCUGACUUUUCAAUUUCUAAAAGAUCGAAAAACCUUGACCAGUAAAUAAAUCCUCACCUUUUGUUGAACGAAUCCAAUACCUAAAAGAUUAAAUAUAUAUGCUUUUGUUGACUCAAAUAUCUCGAGCUCUGUUUUGUUUUGUUUGAUUCUGAUAGUGAUUUUUCGUGUGCAGAAAAAUGUUUUCUCUGUGUCAUCAUAUACCAGAGUAUGAUAUCGGAGAAGAAGUAUCCUGAUCCAGUCCUCGAAGAGCCAAUCUUAGCGUUUGGUCCACUCUCAGCUGCUUUGCCGAUGAUCUAUUGCGGUGAAGACUCUUCACAAGGGCUUUCUGAACUUCAUGAUCUCAGUCUGGGGUUACUGCAAAGUGGUGAACAUCUUUUUUUUCUUUUUUUUUUGAAACUGAGUGGAACAUCUUGACAAUACUUUUUAAGAAUGUUAGCACGAUCUCAUGAUGAAAUCAAGUAUGGAGCGAUUUCUGCUGUUUUAGACAUCAAGAACAUCACUGCCGUGACAAUGGCAGCAAUAGAUGAGAGCCAGGAUAUGCAGAAGAGUGUAAGAUCGGCGUAGUUGAUCCCUUAUGAUUGGCCACAGGUGAGUUGUUGAGAUUCAGAAUUUCCCUUAUUUUGCUCAGUUGGAUUUUGGUUUUGAUUAUGGGAUGCCACGAGCCUUUUAAUGUUUCUGAAGUAAGUACAUUAUCUAUUAAGCUCUUACCAUCAAGGCUAUGUUGGAUAUUUAUGGGUUACAUUUCAUUCUAUUGGUUACAUGAUUAGGCGUCCAAGUUCCCCGAUGAGCAGUGGGAUCCCAUGUUUACAGUCAGCCUUGCUCAGAAAAACCACCAUCCGCAGCAGUUUCAGACCAAAGGCCCUGCUAAUGUUCCUCCAGGUAAAACAUUAGAAUCCUUUUUAUCCAUAACCUCCUGAUUGUUUUUUUUUGUUAUUGUUAAAAUGACCUGAAACGUCUUUGUUGUUUUAUUUGGUUAUCAAUUGUUUAUGGUCGUAUAACACAAAUGCAUAUUCUCUGAAUCAGCUUAGGAACAACAAAAACUUUCCCUUUUAAUUGAUAUGCCAGGUGAACUUUUGCAGAUGGAAUAAGAUUCCCGAAAAGUUGUGUCUUCAACACUCCUCUCUAUGAGCAAGUACGUAUUUUUGAAUCCUUCACAUGUUUGAUAUGCUUCUGUUUUGGAGUUAGCUUUAUAGUUCUUACUGAGCCAUUCAUACAUUAUGAUUGGGUUUCGUAUCUGAUUGGAUUUAGGGAAUUUGUUGUUUUGGUAUUGGUCUACCAGAAAUGAUGUGUUAUUGUCUGCGUUAUAUUUAUGUUCAUAUUUUGAACUGAAAUUGACAUUUGUGGGUGUAUGAUCUUGGCAGAGAAAUUGAGCAAAUUCAGAAAUAAGUUUGCAGAUUAUAGAUAUCAAUCUUUUGAUUAGAAAACUGUUCCAAUUUCAAAAAAACAAAAAUCUGAUUCAAACUGCUAGGUUUCUGAUUGAGUUUUGGUUCAUAGGUUGUUAAUGAAGCGCCAAAGUUAAGAUAUGAAUAGGGUAACCUAUUCGAUUGUGGAGGUAUACCUUAAUACCUUAUCUUUACAUUUCUUCUUGACUUGCCAUCCAGAUCUCCUUUGCUCAUUAGGGUUUAUAUAGAUCUUGAUAGGACUUACGAAAUACAAUCAGAGCACCUUAUGGGGCAGUUUGGCAUUGUGAUAUGUAGUGAGCAAGAGCUUGCUGAAUAUACCCAUUGUUUCAGGUUUUGAAGAAGAACUUGCUGAAUAAGUUUCUACCAUUAAUUUUGUUUAAAAAGCGUUCCUCGAAUCUCUGUCCUAUUAGUUUUAUAGAUUUGGAUCAACUUGUGCACCUAAUAAAUCACAUUUGUGAUGUAUGAAUUAUCAAUGGUUCUUUUGUGUUUUUUGGUAUGGAUUACUCAUUGUUUCAGGGUCAUAUUAGCUUUGAGUUGCCUCAUCUUUUUGUUUCGUUGGAAUUUAAAAUAUCUGUUUUGUUAUUUAUGAAAUAAGACUUAAGUGCUCUAUAUAAUAUAGUUUGUUUCCACCAUUCCUUUAUGUAUUGUUUUAGACGAAUAUUGUUAGAUGAGCCAGAAUGAUAUGUUUACAACAUGCAUUGUUUUAGAUAAUUAGUAAGUCCGAAAUAUACUCUCCAUUUAUUUAAUUGUGAAAUACUUAUUGAGAUAUUGUCAUCUAUCUUUGGCUCACAUUACAGCCAAAUCCAAAAUUGUUUAUAUAUGAGUCAAAAGAUUUAUAUCUCACUGAAGACUACAAUUAUAAAAGAAAGAGGAAUCGAUUGAAGACUAUGUAAUUAUUAGAGCAACUAGAGUCGUUUCCGGGCUACGCCCGGGUUAUUUUCUAUGAAAAUAUUAAAGUAGAAUAUCAUAUUAGAUUAAUAUAUUUUUGUUUAAAUUAUGUUUAAUGUAAAAUAGUGUUAGGAUUAAAAUAAUCACUGAAUGUUAAAAAAAAAGUAUUAUCAAUGGCUAUUGGUACUUACUGAUACAAUGAUUAUUUUAAUUGACGUAGGAAGCAGUAAUGUAAAUUUAAAAAUAGUUGACUGGUCUCGUUUGUUGUCUUGUAGUUUGAUCCCAUAUGGACUUAUGCUAUCAGGCUUAUGACAGCAAUUUAUUCCUCUUUUGGAAGCGUUGUAUGAUAUCAAUGUCGUUGUCAAAGUAAAAGCGCAAUCCUGAUGUGGUUGUGAGUGAUAGUUUCCCUGUAAAAGUGAAAUAUUUGUAAGCAUUUAGUUUGACAUAAACUUUAUGUUUAGUUGAUUACCUUCAUGUAACUGUGGAAUGAUACUUGUUAUGAUUACGAUUUGGUUUUUCGUGAUAGAUAUGCGAUUUAGCUCUCUGUAAUAGCCGCCUCGUUGUCCCAUAUAGUUAGACGUACCACUUUAGAUCUACAAAACAUUAUUGUAUUAUAUAUUUUUUGGUGAAAAAACAAAUCUUAUUUAAUAAAAUGUUUGUACCUGUCUAAAAGCAAUCCAAUGAUGAUCUUUGUAUCUGUGUUGUGGUUAUAUAUAUCACUUCCUUGGAUGAGGCAUAUUCGGCCAACAACAUCUGUGGGAAUAAUUUUUUUUAGUAACAAAAAUAGAGAAUUUAUUGGUAUAUGAGAUAGGUAAUGGUAUUUUUUUACCUGGGAGGAAGUUGGUUGCACUUGCUAAGCUGAUCAACCGGGUGUAGUGUUGGGGACGGAAUAUUUAUGAAGGAAUUGGUGGAAUGUUUUCUUGAAUUUGUGUAAUAAUUGAUGUCUCAUUGAUAUUGAUUAUGUAUGGAUGAACGGUAAGCUUGUACCGUUGGUUAUUGGGAAGAAGAUUAAAAUGUCUAAUUUGAUAAAUUUUCCCUUCCUCGAACCGUUGGUACAUUUUAUCAGACGUAGAAAUAGGCACCGUCCCUUCCAUUUGUUGUUCAUGUUUAGUGGUUAAAAGCAAUCAUUUUAAAUGUAGUUGGAAUAAAAAAAAACAUAGUAUUUUUUAGACAAACAUGGAUAUCAAGACACAUGAAAGUUGUUCCUAGUAAAGCAUUUUUGUUUUUGUGGUUUGUGAUGGGCCACAUUCUAAUGAUCCUAACGAUUAUUGGUUAUGGUCCGAGGUGGUCGCUUUGGUUGUUGUGAUCUUUGGCUGCAUGUCCUGCACACAUCAUAGGAAUGAGAUUUAUUUUGUAUUGCCCAUCUAUUAUAAUUUGUAUAUUUUUAUGUGUAGUUUGAGAUUUUUUACGCGCGGAAAGUGCUUUUAAACUUUUUUUUAGAUGAUAAUCUACGAUAAUUUGGAGUUAGCUUAUAUUAUUUUAAUCUCAAACGCAUAUGUGAUGAUGUUUUAGCUGUUAUUUGUUUGAUUUACCAAACUUUUUUGGUUGUCCAAAGUACAGUAGAUCAGUUUUAAAAUUUAAGUUUGUUUUAAAUCAUAUUUAGAAGCAGAGUAAAGUCAUUAUCAUUAUUAAGGGAAAAUGCUGAAGUCUUAAAACAGAGAAGCGGAAAUCAAAAAUAAGAUGGUGGACUUUUUGACGAAGAGGGUGGUAGAUGUGAUGGGAUUUUCUUGAGUUGGAGAACCUGAAAUUUAUUUUGAAAUAAAUCAGUGAACAUAACUUAGUAAUAGGAAACCAUUUACUUAAUUAAUAGAAUAGGGAGACGUACUUGGAAGUAGUAAGGUAUUCAUCAUCAGGGAAGGAGUUUUAACUCUGAUUCAUUUCUGUUCGCUUAGAUAGCAAGAUGGCUUUUCUCAUCCCUCGUCCAUUUUUCUGUCUCACUGGUUAAAUUGUAAGCAAUCCAUUUAAGAGAAUAUAAGCAUAAGACAUCGAGGAACAAUAAUGUUUUUAGGCUGAAAAGAAUCUUAUACCAUAAAGGUCACACUUAUCACAGCCACCUGUACGAUUAAAUUUGAUAACUAAAUUAGUUUAUGAAUAUAUACCGAUGAAGAGUAUAUUAUUAUAAUUUGUUUAAACUUACAAUCAUUAAACUUGGGUUUAAACGUUGGUGGAUCGCAUAUCUGGUGGACUACGAAAUACAUUCAUAAUUUAAAAUAUUAUGAUUUUGGAUAAGGUAAUACUAUAUUUUAAGAGUAAUGACACACCUUUUGGUUUGUUGCGUGAUCCGAGUAGACGUCCUCUUUUUCUUUUAUGUGUGAUCCCUGCAGAAGUUUCUAAAUGAAACAUUUGGGAAGGUGUUAGAUUCUUUUUUUUUCAAAAAUCUUGAAUUGAUUUUAUUUUUCGGAAACGGAGGGAGUAUAUAUUAUGGAACAUGUGGAACGUUUGUGUAUUUAUUUUCAAAUAAAUGUGAGAGUGUUUUCAUUUUUGUUAGUUAUAAAAUCAUAAGUUCCUGUACGAUUUCAGUCAUCCAUAUUUAUUUUCAAAAUUUUAAAACGGUAGAGGGUCCCAAAUGAGGCAAUAACAAAAAGAUACAAAGUUUUUCUUUACCAUUUGAUAAAGAUAAUGAUAUUUAAUUUAAGCCCUGGGCGCACACACUUACUUAUUGGCUGCAUGUUUCCUUUGUCUCUUACUUUAUAGAUAAGUUUCGUAUAAUUAAUAAAUGAUCAUCUUUUUAGGAAUGAUCAUGCGGCCAAAGAAGAAGAAACUGGACCAAAAGAGACUGAUAGAAAGAAAUAUCAGAAGAGAGUGAUAUAUAGGUUAAGCUCUGAGCCAUUCAAAAUUUUAAAAUGGUAGAGGGUCCCUAAUUAGUUUCCAAGUGAGAAAUCUAGAAUGUUCAAAACGCAAGUGAUGAUGUUGUGUUAACGUAUCAUGUGUUUCUUUGUAAACAUGUUUUAAUGGAUGGACUAAACAACACGAUGAAAUAUAUUAUAAUCUCUUCAUUAACGCUUCAAGACAAAAAAAAAUGAUAAAUAGUUGCAGAAAAUUCAAAACAAAAACAAAGAUUCAAGGUAGCGAAACAGAGGAGAGUCAUUUUAAAACAGCGGAAUGAAAGUGGGGUUGACAAGCUGAUUGAAUUAACACGGUCUUUUUACUCACGGUGGCGCUUGCGGGUUUUCUCCACUUCCUCAAUCCCUGGUGGGGUUGCUAUGUCACCACCCAUGCCUAGCUUGGCCGCAACAACAGCCUCGCUGGAUGAUGCUCUUAACAAUCCACCUUCCCCUUAACUGAGUGGAAGCAAUUUGUUGGUGGCCUUCUGCCAUAUAAUUAGUCAAUUACGUAGGUGUUAAAUAAAAUCAGGAAUAAGUGAAGCAGAUCAUCACUAAGAUAAACCCACCACAGCUUGAUUGUCAAUGAUGAGAUCUUCAGUGAUAGUUGAUCAUACAGUGAAGAUACGGUGAAAAAUGUGUGACACGAAUUUGAAAAAAAACUCCUUCCCAGCAAGCUCUCCAAGGCAGCUUGGUAGCUCCUCAUAUCCACCGUUUGGUAUCUGUAGUAGUUUAGUAUUUUCAAUGCGUCGAGAGUUUUCGAGAGUAAACGCAGACAUUUAAAAUAUAUUUUAAAUGUAUUCCUAUAGACAAACAAAAAAAAUACCUCCUCAAGCGUAAGGACAGCAGCUUCUUGCUUGGUCAGCUUGGUCAGCUUUGUCAUCUCCUUUCAAAGACUACAAACAUAGCGCUAUAUUUUCCAUCAUCCACAGCAAGUUCAGCCCGAAACCUUAAAAGAAAGUAUUCCAAGGGUUAUUCAGUAUUAAAAUGAUGGUUUGGUUUUUAGUAAAUUGUAUAGGAUAAACAACGCAAACCUGAUAACACCGGUGACAUGGAGAUUUACACAUUUGUUGCACCGGAGAGAAAUCCAGAUUUCUCUGACUUCCUGUUGCAUUAUGGAAUUCUGCAGUGAUGGACAAUAGUGAUUCGCAAGACCGGCAAGGAUGAAGCCUUGGAUCACAGAAUUCUGCAGAUUUAAACAGAUUUGAUAAUUAAACCAAGAGUUAUAUAAUCGAUCAACACAGUUCUAAUAUAUAAGUAGGGAUAAAUCGAUCAAGGAAGAGAGUGAUUAAAGAUGGGGAGAUGUAGAGGUUGAAGGAGAUAAACUGCAUAUCAGAAAUCUAAAAGGUCACUUUGAGAUUUGUUUGAAGCUGAGAAGAAAACCCUAAUUAUUCCUUUGAAGAUGGAUCGAUGUUUGAGCGUUUUAAGGUUUUGAUUUGUACACAGGAAAGAGAGCAGUAUAUAAAGGAGGAAAAGAGGGAGAUGAAACGAAACCAUAAAGAAGAAAUUGAUUGUGGAGUAUUGAUGGAUGGAUCAGAACUCACGGCAAGAAGACGAAGUGGUAGAGGAGAAGAGACUCGUGACUUCCUAGUCGUAGAUUGUUAGGUUUCUAGAUUUAGGCAAAUGAAAAAGAAAACCCAAAUGAAACCAAAUAAACCGACACACCUAAGCCCAGACGUACUGAGACCCAAAACAAAAAUAAAAUGUUCUGAUUGGUUGAAUAUUUUUGAUGACGUGGCAUGCCUAAAUUUUGAGGAAAUCUCUCUUUUAGUAUUGUGACUAGAUCCUUUCUCCGCGCUACGCGCGGAUAAUAUAUUUAAAUUUGUUAUAUUUAUCAUUUUUAUUUGUAUGAAAAUUUUUGUAUAUUAAAUUAUAUAUAAUUAGUUUUUAAAUUUUAUUUUUUUAUAUUUUUAGUUUAAAGUAAAUAUUUUUAUUAUAUGUAACACAAUUAACUAAUAAAAUAUGAAGAAUUAAGUCCGAGAUUUUAGAGUUAUGUAUUAAAAUUAUGUAUAGAACAUAAAUUAUCUUAGUUUAAAAGAUCGGAAUCUCAUCUCGAAUAAAUUCACGAAACGAAAAAAGUACUUCAAUCCUAUAAAACCCCCUUUUCAAGAAAAAAGCGUACUUAAUAAUAUUUAUUUUACGUGUAAUAGUUGAAAAAUGACAAUUGAAUAUCGAUCUAGAAUAUUAUUUUAAUAUAUCUAAUGGUAAAAUAUUAAUUGUAAUUAACAAAUUUUUGAAUUUUGUAAGAUUACAUGAAUUAGAAGUCUUUAAAAUCUAAAAUCUAUUUUAUUAACAUAAUAUAUUUCUUAUUCAUUUAUUAUUUUGACGUUACAAAAUAUUGCUUUAUUUUAAUUUGUAUAUUAACUUUUUAAUAAUUUACAAGUAAUUUUAAAAUUAUCAAGAAUAUAAUAUAUUUAAAAUUAUUUAUUUAUAUAUAUAUCCAAAUAUGAUGUCUCAUUUUUAUGUGUGUUUGCGUUGAGCAUAUUUAAUUUGUAGUUUGUAUAUUUAAUACCUUGUUGCGUGCCGUUCUAUGGUUUUAAUAAAUGUGUUGUCAUUUCAUUUUUUAUUACUACUAACAUGAUUUUUUAGUGAUCAGUGAUAAUGUAUUUUUAACGUUAUGUAUUUUUUUUAUCGUAUAUUUUCUAACUCUUCAUGCUGACACUUUUUUAGAAUCAUUUUAAUUAGAUAAUAUGUUUAAAGAUGUAAAUAAAAUUGUGUAUGUUGUAAAUCUAGACUUUUUAGUGUAACUGAGCACUUUCAGUUAUGAAAAUUAUAUUAUGAUUUUAUUUUACUAAAUCUUUCUUUCUGUGUAUAUUUUUUGUUUUAUUUUGUAUUUUUACAAUUUUAUUGCCUUAUUCUUUAAUUGCAGAGAAUUGCUAUUUUUAAUUUUUGUUUCAUAUACCUUAAAAGUCUUCGGUUGAUUUUUGUUUGUUUUCUUUCUCUAAUUACAAUGUACAGUUUGACUGUUUCUUUUUUUUUUGGAUCAAACUACUAAUAUCAUGAGAUAGAAAAGUUUAAACUCCAACAAUGGAGUGAAUAUUUGUGCUAGAGAAAACUGAUUUAGCCACUAAUAUAGUGAGAUAUUAUAAUAUUAGAAGGUAUGGAAACUCUUCUCUGUUGUCCUACGCUGGACAUAAUUAAGUUGUUAUCAAUUGAUUCUAUAUUUGUGAUAACUGGAAAUACAUCUUUAUGUCUUCCUUACAUUAUCCUUAAUUGGUUUAUGGUUCGACCAUUUCUAAUAUACUGAGAGUAACAUAAUAUUAGAUGUUGAUUAUCUUCUUCCAAUUAGGAAUGCACAGAAUGAGAGAAAUUCAAGGUGAUACCACUUUACAAUUUUGUCCUCAUAUCUAUAUAGAGUUAGUUUAUAGAUUACUCUAUAUGUUUCAAAAUGUAAUCAGUUUUAAUUAAAAUGUGUAAUAUUUAAAAGUUAUUACUUUAGAAAACUAUCAUUUAAUAUAUAAAUUUAAUCAAUUACACAGUAAUUUACAUAAUUUAAUUGGCCACACAAUAUCCAAUAAAUAUAAAGUUACAUUGAAAUAUAAAAACAAUUUAUUUAGUGAAACAAAAAAUACUUUUAAACCAUUAUAUUAUAAAACAAAGAAAAUAUUCAAAUCAUAUUGAAACAUUCAUAAGAAUCAGAAAAGCUGAAAUCUCAAUGUCGAUCAUUUACGUCGGCCAUGCUUUAGACCAUCUCCAAUGUAUUCCUCUAUUUUUUUCUCUAAAAUAGAGGAAUUUCAUAAUAGAGAUGGAUUGUCUCCGAUGCAUUUUCCUAUUUUCUCUCCUGAAAAAAAAUAUUCUUGAUAUAUUCUUUUUUAAGUUUACAAAUAAUAUUUUUUAUUUCUGAAAGUUGAAAACCAGCCCAAUUUAUUUUAGUAUUUUAUAAAAUUAUGAUAUUAUUUACACUAAAUAUUUCUUUACAAACUAUUAUGUAAAUAAAAAAAUAUAAUUAUAUUUAUAUAAAUAAUAUAUUUCACUAAAAAAAAAUUUUCGGUUAUAAUUGUUUAAGUAAAAAGUUAAAGGAUCAUUUUGUAAAAACAAAUAGAGUAGGUGACAUGGCAAAAAUAUAGUUUCUCAUUGGCCGAUUAUUUUCACCUACGUGGAGACUCUAUCUAAUAUAGCAUAGCUAAAAUACAUUUUAAAAUUUGCUUGAAUGUUCCAAAUAAUGAACUUAUUAAAAUAUCUACAUUAAUAAAAUAUUAAAUUGUAAUAAAUUAUGAGUUAUUCAAGUUCAUGAGUUCAAUGUCAAAUAUUAAACUUUAGAUUUUGUGUAAGUAGAGUGAACCAUUACCAUGGUAAAAUAACUGAAACUAAUUUUCAUAUGUAGCUAUACAUUUUAUCCAAAAAUAUAUAUGUAGUUUUGUACUUGCAAUAGUAGUCAGAAGAAACUUACAAAAACAGAAGUUGUUGUUGAGAGCUUAAGCAGAUUUCUAUAUUCUUUGAUUAUUGUGUUUUUAUCCUUGAUCCAACUCCCAAGUGAAUGUUACUGGUUAAAGUAAUUUCUGACAACUUAAACAUGUCAAGAAUCAUACACACUGGCCAUUUCUUAUAUUUGUUAUUGGGUAAUUUCAUGAGAAAAUGCCAAAAAGGUCAAUACGCCUAUUACAUUAACAUCAUAGUAUAUUUUCUUAUUCCGUUUUCUAACUACCUAGAAUUAAAAACUACUUUUUUUUGCUGAAUAGUAGCUAGAAAAACCUUAUAUAGGCUGAAUAAGCUGAAGGUUAUCUGCCAUGUACUUAUGCCAAGCUAUCAAGAAAAAUAUGUGAAACUUUGGUAGAUAAACCACAAACUAUCAAAAGAAGGUCGUAUAUAAUUCUGCAGAAUAUGUUUAUUUGCUAUGUUUAGAAGAGGGGGAAUCUUGUAUGUAAUUACUAUUACUGAAUUGUCAUUUCCUAAAGACAACCUUUGAAUACAUCCCAAAACUAUAAGACUGAUAAUUUCUUUGUUAGCCAAGUGAAACCCAUUCUAGUUGCAGAUUUCUAGCAUAAGAGAAAUUCAAGUACAUUUAUAAGAGGAAACACAUAAAAGAAGAAAUAAUAAUAAUUACAUGAAUGAUGAAUCCAGACAAACCAAACAACAGUACUUGUCGUUGAACAAACAUUAUUUUUCUUAUAAACUCCAAGUCUCCAACAAUUGCAUACAGAAAAAAAGUCAUGAGAAAAACGCUCUACAAAGUUUCAAAAUUUUCUGGUUGACUCUUUUCUUUCUGUAAACAUCAAAGAUGUCUCCACCUCGAGCUUGUACAACGUGUUUUUUGGUUGCUUGGAAGUAACAGCAAUCCUCUUCGUCCACCAGCUCAAAAUUCAGAUUAUACUUUGUCACUGAAUUUGUUGUUUUGAUUCUUAUGCGAUGGCAUCAGAUCAUAUGGUGCCUUUUAAAUAACCAAGAUGGUCACUAAACUGAGAAGUACCUUCUGAUUUUAGAGCAGAGGCUUCCCAGUUAACACACCGGGUAAACUGUAAAUCUCUGGGGAUUCAGGGUGACUUUCACCGCAAGAAACAAAGUCGUGAACUUCGUUUCCAUUGAACUGCACACUAUUUCCUUCUCCAUUUGCCUUUCCUUCAUCAAAACCCUCUGUCCAACCGCCUCUUCUAACAACCCAAAAGAAGAAUAAGUAUUAGACAUGAGCACAUAACCACAAGUGUCAUCUGGAUCCAGGUUCAUCAAACAUUUUACUGCUUGCUGAGCAACCUCAACUUUUCCUGCAAGCACAAAGAUAAGAACUCCAUAUAAUAGUGUCUUCUUACACCAUUAUGGUCAUUAUUACUCUCUUCUUGAAACUCUUUACUUUUUGGACCCCAACACAAUGGUUUUGUGAUUCCUGAGCUUAAUUCUUUAAAUUCUCAGCUUUGCUCUUUGCUUCUCCAAGCUUUGACUGCGUCUUAUAGGCUUGAUUACCAACUAAUGCUAGCUUAAUCAAAUCAAAUAUGGCCGUUAAAUACGCAACAAUAUCUAUUUUGUUGACUGUGACUAUGACUUGCUCCACACCAAAAGCUAUAAGAACCCGUGUAUGCUCCUUGUCUGCCCUUUCAAAUUAUCUAAGCCCGCUUCAAAAGCACCAAUAGUUGCAUCUAUGACCAGAAUCACAGCAAGUUCGGAACCAUGAGCUAGGUAUAAUACUGAACUCCUAAAAGUACACCACCACAGUUCUGUUGAAGGAGUGUGUUCAAUUUAUUUUUAAAAUUUGACCGAAUAAGUGAAAAUCAAAGCAACAAAAUGUUUGAUGAGGGCUUACGGGGAAAUGAGAAAAUGGACUACAACUCGAGUAGUUGCGGUGACGUUGUUGAGAGCCGAGCCUUGGACAGACUGUAUGUGGCCUACAACAUCUACAAAUAAAUAAACUGGUUUGAAAUGGUAACAACAACAACCAAAGCUCUCUGGUGCAAAAAAAAAAGCUUCUUCAUUCCCAAGAACCUAUGCAUCCACGCUAGCCUUAGAACCAGUUACAAUAUUCCACGGAUAAAACUACAAUUCAGACCCAAAAGAAACAAAGGAAGAAAAAAAUAGAUGAACUCCAAGCAUUUAGAUGGGACUUACUUCUCUCUCAGGCUUGGGAACACAACAUUUGACUAAGCAUCAUUUGUUUAUGGUCCUCAGCUUCCUUAUACAUAUGUUCCAGUCAGAGAAUAGAUUAGUUCCAAAAUGGGGAAUCAAAUCAAUUUCCUUCAACUAAUAGACACACACACUUUUUAGCAUCUUCUGGUUCUCUGUCUUGAUCUGGAUUCUACAUUGAUGAAUUCCAUGAAUCCCCCUUCUAAUUAGGUUAGUUCAAGAUGAGGCAAAAAUAUUUUAAAAUGAAAAAUUUCCCAAUUGAAAAAAUAAAACCGGCAUAAGUGAAGGUUACGAAAAAAUAUAGUACCAUGUCGAGCCAUGAGCUCUUGCUUUCUGCUAUGUCUAGUAGCUUCUGUUUAGGGAUCAGCCUACACAGAAGAAAUAUAAGAGACAUAUUAAUAAAACAUCAAAUUGCAAACAUCGUGUUUUCAAAUAAAACCCAGCUAUUGUUACCAUGUUUCCAUGUCAGGAUCUAUGCGGCAGAAGGAUCCACUGUUGAUUGCUUCGGUAGUCCAUGACGCUAGCGCUGAGGGGAUCUGGCCGAUAUUGACAGUAUAUACUUCUAGAUCUAGAAAAUGGAAAGGCUUGGUUCAGAUUUAGACUGAACUAUUGAUUUCAAAAUUCACUAUACCUUUGGCGGGUGGAUUUGUAGCCGGAGCUUUUACCAGAUCUUCACUACCUUUUGAAAAUGGCUUCCUAAGUUCACAUGAACUGGAAUGAAAAUCACCAGAACUCCACUUGUACGGCGUCGUAGUAGCUUAACUAAACAACCAACACAAACAUCCCUCUGUCUUUAAAAAGGACUCUUAGAAACUGGUACGUGAAAAUACAUCAAAAAUAUCUUCAAAUAUUAUGGAAACGACUAUACCAUUAUAAACAUACACAAAAGGAGCCAGAAUAGACUAAAGGCAAGGAAUCUGGAGCCGCUGUGAAAAGAAAUUGAAUUUGUCAGGAUAUAGAGAGAAAGCAGUUGAAACAAAAAGAUGAAACAGAUAAAUCCAAGGAAACAUACGAUGGGCUCUUCAUAUUCUUUUGAACUUAUGUAUUCGACAUGGCUGGCUGAGGACGUUUAAAUUCUCUUUCAAGCUUCGGUAAAGAAUAAAAACUCUAACAUGGUGUGAGAUUGUUGAAUUACAAUGCAAGAGGAGACUUGCCGGAGGAUUGAACUGAUUUCAUGGCCAUCGAUCCAAGUUGUUGAAUAUGAUUCCAUGAAAGCUUUGACGACGGGUUUAUAUAAGAGCAAGAGAGGAAGGUGGAAGGAGCAUAAAGGAAUAAUUAAGAGUGGGUUGCGAGUAAAACGGUCAGGAUUGGAGGAAUUUGGAACGAUGAAGACAUAUGAAUUCAUCGACUCAGCCUCGGCUGUUUUAGGGUUUCUUUCGAAUUGGGUUUAUGGGCCAACUACUUCAAUUUACGGAUCAAGCAAAAAGCAGCACAACACCAGUGUGACGUGGACAAAUAAACUCACCCUAUUGGCUAAUUUAAAAUGAGGACGUGGAUAGCUUCUCUACUCCUCAUAUAACCCUUUUAGUAUUAGUUAGAUAGUUUGCACUGUGGGAGGGAGCUAACCGAAACCUUAUAGGUCUAAAAAACUGCAGGCAAAGCGCUUCUCCCCUGCAUGCCGAGGCUGAUGGACUCAUCUGGGCAAUGAAGACGCUGUGGGACCAAGGCUACCGUGCAAUGCACUUUGAAACUGAUUGUGCUCAACUCUUAAAGCUGAUACAAAACGUGGAGGAAUGGCCAUCAAUGGUACAUGAGAUGGAAGAUAUCAGAAUACAUUCUAGGAAGUUUGAUCAGUUUACUAUCUCUUAUAUACCCCGUGGUAUGAACUCUCGUGCCGACUGUCUUGCAAAGGCAGCUCGUGCACGUUUAGAUUUCUUUGAAUUUGUUGGUGUUGAGACUCCUGUUUGGCUUGCUCAUGUAGCUAGCCUCUUGGAGUGAUUUUUAAUAAUAAAACUUUGUCGGCAAAAAAAAAAAAAAUACUAAAAGCUAAAUAUACUCCUCAUCUGGCCUGUCUACGUAGGACUAUUAAUUCUAGCCAAUCAUAGAUCUUCAUCUCUCCACAUCACCCCAGUUUAAGUCAAGAAUGAAAAUUUCAGGCUUUUUGCGUGUGAGCUCAUUAGAUUUCAUUAAGGCCCAAGUUCAAACCCACUUCAGCAACACUAAUAUCCUAAUCGACUCUGCCUCAUCCGCUUCGUUCUCCGUUUUGGUUCAUGCAAUCUCUGUUACUGUACCUCCUCUCCUUUCCUACCUUCCACCUUUUCUACUCAUAUAUAAAUUGCUAAAUAGCUUCUUCAAAACACACUUCCAUACAAACCCGAACUCUUAGCUUAAACGUCUUCUGACUUUUCAAUUUCUAAAAGAUCGAAAAACCUUGACCAGUAAAUAAAUCCUCACCUUUUGUUGAACGAAUCCAAUACCUAAAAGAUUAAAUAUAUAUGCUUUUGUUGACUCAAAUAUCUCGAGCUCUGUUUUGUUUUGUUUGAUUCUGAUAGUGAUUUUUCGUGUGCAGAAAAAUGUUUUCUCUGUGUCAUCAUAUACCAGAGUAUGAUAUCGGAGAAGAAGUAUCCUGAUCCAGUCCUCGAAGAGCCAAUCUUAGCGUUUGGUCCACUCUCAGCUGCUUUGCCGAUGAUCUAUUGCGGUGAAGACUCUUCACAAGGGCUUUCUGAACUUCAUGAUCUCAGUCUGGGGUUACUGCAAAGUGGUGAACAUCUUUUUUUUCUUUUUUUUUUGAAACUGAGUGGAACAUCUUGACAAUACUUUUUAAGAAUGUUAGCACGAUCUCAUGAUGAAAUCAAGUAUGGAGCGAUUUCUGCUGUUUUAGACAUCAAGAACAUCACUGCCGUGACAAUGGCAGCAAUAGAUGAGAGCCAGGAUAUGCAGAAGAGUGUAAGAUCGGCGUAGUUGAUCCCUUAUGAUUGGCCACAGGUGAGUUGUUGAGAUUCAGAAUUUCCCUUAUUUUGCUCAGUUGGAUUUUGGUUUUGAUUAUGGGAUGCCACGAGCCUUUUAAUGUUUCUGAAGUAAGUACAUUAUCUAUUAAGCUCUUACCAUCAAGGCUAUGUUGGAUAUUUAUGGGUUACAUUUCAUUCUAUUGGUUACAUGAUUAGGCGUCCAAGUUCCCCGAUGAGCAGUGGGAUCCCAUGUUUACAGUCAGCCUUGCUCAGAAAAACCACCAUCCGCAGCAGUUUCAGACCAAAGGCCCUGCUAAUGUUCCUCCAGGUAAAACAUUAGAAUCCUUUUUAUCCAUAACCUCCUGAUUGUUUUUUUUUGUUAUUGUUAAAAUGACCUGAAACGUCUUUGUUGUUUUAUUUGGUUAUCAAUUGUUUAUGGUCGUAUAACACAAAUGCAUAUUCUCUGAAUCAGCUUAGGAACAACAAAAACUUUCCCUUUUAAUUGAUAUGCCAGGUGAACUUUUGCAGAUGGAAUAAGAUUCCCGAAAAGUUGUGUCUUCAACACUCCUCUCUAUGAGCAAGUACGUAUUUUUGAAUCCUUCACAUGUUUGAUAUGCUUCUGUUUUGGAGUUAGCUUUAUAGUUCUUACUGAGCCAUUCAUACAUUAUGAUUGGGUUUCGUAUCUGAUUGGAUUUAGGGAAUUUGUUGUUUUGGUAUUGGUCUACCAGAAAUGAUGUGUUAUUGUCUGCGUUAUAUUUAUGUUCAUAUUUUGAACUGAAAUUGACAUUUGUGGGUGUAUGAUCUUGGCAGAGAAAUUGAGCAAAUUCAGAAAUAAGUUUGCAGAUUAUAGAUAUCAAUCUUUUGAUUAGAAAACUGUUCCAAUUUCAAAAAAACAAAAAUCUGAUUCAAACUGCUAGGUUUCUGAUUGAGUUUUGGUUCAUAGGUUGUUAAUGAAGCGCCAAAGUUAAGAUAUGAAUAGGGUAACCUAUUCGAUUGUGGAGGUAUACCUUAAUACCUUAUCUUUACAUUUCUUCUUGACUUGCCAUCCAGAUCUCCUUUGCUCAUUAGGGUUUAUAUAGAUCUUGAUAGGACUUACGAAAUACAAUCAGAGCACCUUAUGGGGCAGUUUGGCAUUGUGAUAUGUAGUGAGCAAGAGCUUGCUGAAUAUACCCAUUGUUUCAGGUUUUGAAGAAGAACUUGCUGAAUAAGUUUCUACCAUUAAUUUUGUUUAAAAAGCGUUCCUCGAAUCUCUGUCCUAUUAGUUUUAUAGAUUUGGAUCAACUUGUGCACCUAAUAAAUCACAUUUGUGAUGUAUGAAUUAUCAAUGGUUCUUUUGUGUUUUUUGGUAUGGAUUACUCAUUGUUUCAGGGUCAUAUUAGCUUUGAGUUGCCUCAUCUUUUUGUUUCGUUGGAAUUUAAAAUAUCUGUUUUGUUAUUUAUGAAAUAAGACUUAAGUGCUCUAUAUAAUAUAGUUUGUUUCCACCAUUCCUUUAUGUAUUGUUUUAGACGAAUAUUGUUAGAUGAGCCAGAAUGAUAUGUUUACAACAUGCAUUGUUUUAGAUAAUUAGUAAGUCCGAAAUAUACUCUCCAUUUAUUUAAUUGUGAAAUACUUAUUGAGAUAUUGUCAUCUAUCUUUGGCUCACAUUACAGCCAAAUCCAAAAUUGUUUAUAUAUGAGUCAAAAGAUUUAUAUCUCACUGAAGACUACAAUUAUAAAAGAAAGAGGAAUCGAUUGAAGACUAUGUAAUUAUUAGAGCAACUAGAGUCGUUUCCGGGCUACGCCCGGGUUAUUUUCUAUGAAAAUAUUAAAGUAGAAUAUCAUAUUAGAUUAAUAUAUUUUUGUUUAAAUUAUGUUUAAUGUAAAAUAGUGUUAGGAUUAAAAUAAUCACUGAAUGUUAAAAAAAAAGUAUUAUCAAUGGCUAUUGGUACUUACUGAUACAAUGAUUAUUUUAAUUGACGUAGGAAGCAGUAAUGUAAAUUUAAAAAUAGUUGACUGGUCUCGUUUGUUGUCUUGUAGUUUGAUCCCAUAUGGACUUAUGCUAUCAGGCUUAUGACAGCAAUUUAUUCCUCUUUUGGAAGCGUUGUAUGAUAUCAAUGUCGUUGUCAAAGUAAAAGCGCAAUCCUGAUGUGGUUGUGAGUGAUAGUUUCCCUGUAAAAGUGAAAUAUUUGUAAGCAUUUAGUUUGACAUAAACUUUAUGUUUAGUUGAUUACCUUCAUGUAACUGUGGAAUGAUACUUGUUAUGAUUACGAUUUGGUUUUUCGUGAUAGAUAUGCGAUUUAGCUCUCUGUAAUAGCCGCCUCGUUGUCCCAUAUAGUUAGACGUACCACUUUAGAUCUACAAAACAUUAUUGUAUUAUAUAUUUUUUGGUGAAAAAACAAAUCUUAUUUAAUAAAAUGUUUGUACCUGUCUAAAAGCAAUCCAAUGAUGAUCUUUGUAUCUGUGUUGUGGUUAUAUAUAUCACUUCCUUGGAUGAGGCAUAUUCGGCCAACAACAUCUGUGGGAAUAAUUUUUUUUAGUAACAAAAAUAGAGAAUUUAUUGGUAUAUGAGAUAGGUAAUGGUAUUUUUUUACCUGGGAGGAAGUUGGUUGCACUUGCUAAGCUGAUCAACCGGGUGUAGUGUUGGGGACGGAAUAUUUAUGAAGGAAUUGGUGGAAUGUUUUCUUGAAUUUGUGUAAUAAUUGAUGUCUCAUUGAUAUUGAUUAUGUAUGGAUGAACGGUAAGCUUGUACCGUUGGUUAUUGGGAAGAAGAUUAAAAUGUCUAAUUUGAUAAAUUUUCCCUUCCUCGAACCGUUGGUACAUUUUAUCAGACGUAGAAAUAGGCACCGUCCCUUCCAUUUGUUGUUCAUGUUUAGUGGUUAAAAGCAAUCAUUUUAAAUGUAGUUGGAAUAAAAAAAAACAUAGUAUUUUUUAGACAAACAUGGAUAUCAAGACACAUGAAAGUUGUUCCUAGUAAAGCAUUUUUGUUUUUGUGGUUUGUGAUGGGCCACAUUCUAAUGAUCCUAACGAUUAUUGGUUAUGGUCCGAGGUGGUCGCUUUGGUUGUUGUGAUCUUUGGCUGCAUGUCCUGCACACAUCAUAGGAAUGAGAUUUAUUUUGUAUUGCCCAUCUAUUAUAAUUUGUAUAUUUUUAUGUGUAGUUUGAGAUUUUUUACGCGCGGAAAGUGCUUUUAAACUUUUUUUUAGAUGAUAAUCUACGAUAAUUUGGAGUUAGCUUAUAUUAUUUUAAUCUCAAACGCAUAUGUGAUGAUGUUUUAGCUGUUAUUUGUUUGAUUUACCAAACUUUUUUGGUUGUCCAAAGUACAGUAGAUCAGUUUUAAAAUUUAAGUUUGUUUUAAAUCAUAUUUAGAAGCAGAGUAAAGUCAUUAUCAUUAUUAAGGGAAAAUGCUGAAGUCUUAAAACAGAGAAGCGGAAAUCAAAAAUAAGAUGGUGGACUUUUUGACGAAGAGGGUGGUAGAUGUGAUGGGAUUUUCUUGAGUUGGAGAACCUGAAAUUUAUUUUGAAAUAAAUCAGUGAACAUAACUUAGUAAUAGGAAACCAUUUACUUAAUUAAUAGAAUAGGGAGACGUACUUGGAAGUAGUAAGGUAUUCAUCAUCAGGGAAGGAGUUUUAACUCUGAUUCAUUUCUGUUCGCUUAGAUAGCAAGAUGGCUUUUCUCAUCCCUCGUCCAUUUUUCUGUCUCACUGGUUAAAUUGUAAGCAAUCCAUUUAAGAGAAUAUAAGCAUAAGACAUCGAGGAACAAUAAUGUUUUUAGGCUGAAAAGAAUCUUAUACCAUAAAGGUCACACUUAUCACAGCCACCUGUACGAUUAAAUUUGAUAACUAAAUUAGUUUAUGAAUAUAUACCGAUGAAGAGUAUAUUAUUAUAAUUUGUUUAAACUUACAAUCAUUAAACUUGGGUUUAAACGUUGGUGGAUCGCAUAUCUGGUGGACUACGAAAUACAUUCAUAAUUUAAAAUAUUAUGAUUUUGGAUAAGGUAAUACUAUAUUUUAAGAGUAAUGACACACCUUUUGGUUUGUUGCGUGAUCCGAGUAGACGUCCUCUUUUUCUUUUAUGUGUGAUCCCUGCAGAAGUUUCUAAAUGAAACAUUUGGGAAGGUGUUAGAUUCUUUUUUUUUCAAAAAUCUUGAAUUGAUUUUAUUUUUCGGAAACGGAGGGAGUAUAUAUUAUGGAACAUGUGGAACGUUUGUGUAUUUAUUUUCAAAUAAAUGUGAGAGUGUUUUCAUUUUUGUUAGUUAUAAAAUCAUAAGUUCCUGUACGAUUUCAGUCAUCCAUAUUUAUUUUCAAAAUUUUAAAACGGUAGAGGGUCCCAAAUGAGGCAAUAACAAAAAGAUACAAAGUUUUUCUUUACCAUUUGAUAAAGAUAAUGAUAUUUAAUUUAAGCCCUGGGCGCACACACUUACUUAUUGGCUGCAUGUUUCCUUUGUCUCUUACUUUAUAGAUAAGUUUCGUAUAAUUAAUAAAUGAUCAUCUUUUUAGGAAUGAUCAUGCGGCCAAAGAAGAAGAAACUGGACCAAAAGAGACUGAUAGAAAGAAAUAUCAGAAGAGAGUGAUAUAUAGGUUAAGCUCUGAGCCAUUCAAAAUUUUAAAAUGGUAGAGGGUCCCUAAUUAGUUUCCAAGUGAGAAAUCUAGAAUGUUCAAAACGCAAGUGAUGAUGUUGUGUUAACGUAUCAUGUGUUUCUUUGUAAACAUGUUUUAAUGGAUGGACUAAACAACACGAUGAAAUAUAUUAUAAUCUCUUCAUUAACGCUUCAAGACAAAAAAAAAUGAUAAAUAGUUGCAGAAAAUUCAAAACAAAAACAAAGAUUCAAGGUAGCGAAACAGAGGAGAGUCAUUUUAAAACAGCGGAAUGAAAGUGGGGUUGACAAGCUGAUUGAAUUAACACGGUCUUUUUACUCACGGUGGCGCUUGCGGGUUUUCUCCACUUCCUCAAUCCCUGGUGGGGUUGCUAUGUCACCACCCAUGCCUAGCUUGGCCGCAACAACAGCCUCGCUGGAUGAUGCUCUUAACAAUCCACCUUCCCCUUAACUGAGUGGAAGCAAUUUGUUGGUGGCCUUCUGCCAUAUAAUUAGUCAAUUACGUAGGUGUUAAAUAAAAUCAGGAAUAAGUGAAGCAGAUCAUCACUAAGAUAAACCCACCACAGCUUGAUUGUCAAUGAUGAGAUCUUCAGUGAUAGUUGAUCAUACAGUGAAGAUACGGUGAAAAAUGUGUGACACGAAUUUGAAAAAAAACUCCUUCCCAGCAAGCUCUCCAAGGCAGCUUGGUAGCUCCUCAUAUCCACCGUUUGGUAUCUGUAGUAGUUUAGUAUUUUCAAUGCGUCGAGAGUUUUCGAGAGUAAACGCAGACAUUUAAAAUAUAUUUUAAAUGUAUUCCUAUAGACAAACAAAAAAAAUACCUCCUCAAGCGUAAGGACAGCAGCUUCUUGCUUGGUCAGCUUGGUCAGCUUUGUCAUCUCCUUUCAAAGACUACAAACAUAGCGCUAUAUUUUCCAUCAUCCACAGCAAGUUCAGCCCGAAACCUUAAAAGAAAGUAUUCCAAGGGUUAUUCAGUAUUAAAAUGAUGGUUUGGUUUUUAGUAAAUUGUAUAGGAUAAACAACGCAAACCUGAUAACACCGGUGACAUGGAGAUUUACACAUUUGUUGCACCGGAGAGAAAUCCAGAUUUCUCUGACUUCCUGUUGCAUUAUGGAAUUCUGCAGUGAUGGACAAUAGUGAUUCGCAAGACCGGCAAGGAUGAAGCCUUGGAUCACAGAAUUCUGCAGAUUUAAACAGAUUUGAUAAUUAAACCAAGAGUUAUAUAAUCGAUCAACACAGUUCUAAUAUAUAAGUAGGGAUAAAUCGAUCAAGGAAGAGAGUGAUUAAAGAUGGGGAGAUGUAGAGGUUGAAGGAGAUAAACUGCAUAUCAGAAAUCUAAAAGGUCACUUUGAGAUUUGUUUGAAGCUGAGAAGAAAACCCUAAUUAUUCCUUUGAAGAUGGAUCGAUGUUUGAGCGUUUUAAGGUUUUGAUUUGUACACAGGAAAGAGAGCAGUAUAUAAAGGAGGAAAAGAGGGAGAUGAAACGAAACCAUAAAGAAGAAAUUGAUUGUGGAGUAUUGAUGGAUGGAUCAGAACUCACGGCAAGAAGACGAAGUGGUAGAGGAGAAGAGACUCGUGACUUCCUAGUCGUAGAUUGUUAGGUUUCUAGAUUUAGGCAAAUGAAAAAGAAAACCCAANNNNNNNNNNNNNNNNNNNNNNNNNNNNNNNNNNNNNNNNNNNNNNNNNNNNNNNNNNNNNNNNNNNNNNNNNNNNNNNNNNNNNNNNNNNNNNNNNNNNGGGUCGGACAGCGACAGCACGACAUAGCCGUCUCGGAGUCCGUCGACGCCGCGCAGCACGUGGGUAAUCCGGCGUUCGAUGCUGUGCCCGUACUCGGGCCGAUCCGUGCGCCAGAAGCGGAUUCGGUCGCCGGCCUGAUAGUCGCGGUCGUCGUAACGGACUUCGGCGAACUUCUCGGACUGCUGGAUCCGGUCGAACCAGCGCGGCUCGAUCUUCACGUCGUGAACGGUGGUCAUCGGUUGGUCCCCCAGACUUCGGCCCAGCGGCCGGCCAGCACGAGGUCGGCGACGUGCUGCCGGUGUUCCUCGUGCUCGGCGACCGCGGUCUUCUCGGCGUCGAGGCAGCGCUUGACGUCGGCGACGGUGUGACUGAACUUGUUCGCGCGGUGCCGGCCGCGGUGGAAUAGCGCGCGCAUCAGCCGAUGUGUCCGGGUUCGUCGGGCAGCACGGUUUCCGGUCGCACGGGAUAGACCUCGACGCCGGCCGACUUCCGCGGAACGAAACGCUCCGGGUAGUAGGUGCAGCUCGAAUAGCGGUAGCCACCAGAGCAGGACGAGCGCGCCGGCGCCGUGUAGGCCGGCGACCAGAACUCGCGGGCCCGCUGCCAGGAUCCGUCCGGCUGGAUCGGCCCGUCGCAGAUCGUGCGCGUAUUCGACUGGAACGGAAUCAACCAGAACUGCGUGAGGCAGUUCGACGAAUCCGCCUUGACCGGCGGCGCCAGCCAGAGCACGAACAUUGCGACCAGCACGGCGCCGGACGCCAUGGCGAGCAACGCGCGAAUCACAGUCCGGGCACUGGCGCCUCGACGAGGCUCGGUCGGCGGUGUCGCUGACCUGCUGUAAUGCGGAUCUUCGUUGAUCGCGCCGCGGUGUUCGGCGUGCUCGGCCGCUUCGCGAACGGCCUUCCAGUAAUCGUCGGGAGUCCAGAUCGGCCGUAGAUUGUCGUGUGACAUUCGAACUAUUCCUUCGGGUGUCAGGGCCGGCGUUCCGGUAUCAGCGGGGCGCCGGCCGUCCAUCACUCGCCGCGUUCGGGCGAGUUGUUCGGGGCGCCGUCAGCCGGCGGAACGUCGUCGAGCUCUACGACGGCGUAUUGGGUUGCGCGAUCGCGCAGAGCGUCGACCAGGACGUCGACGUCGGUCAGAUCGCCGGUGGUCUUGAGCAGAAUCGGUUUCCAGCCGGCGAUGAUGGUCGCGGCGAUGUUGAGCAGCUUCGAAUCGGACAGGUCGUCGAGCGCCGCGCGGACGUCGCCGAGCGGAAUCGACAGAUCGUCAGCCGGCGCCGGCGACUCGGCCGGCGUCAGGUAGUCGCCGGCCUCGUAGUCCGAGAACCCGCGGUCAUGCUCGCGGAGCGCGAACCCGACGGCAAUCAGAGCGUCGCCGGCCAGACCGCAGAGGGCGCCGAGGGUGCCCUUCAUUCGGAAUCGGAAUCGUUGUCGGAGCCGGUGCGGCCGGUGUACGCGUCGAGCGCUCGGCGUGCCUUGAACACUUCGCCGUAGAGACGCGCGGCUUCGGCGUCGACCAGGAACAACGGUCCGACGCGUCGCGCGGACCUGCAGGCAUGCAAGCUUGGCACUGGCCGUCGUUUUACAACGUCGUGACUGGGAAAACCCUGGCGUUACCCAACUUAAUCGCCUUGCAGCACAUCCCCCUUUCGCCAGCUGGCGUAAUAGCGAAGAGGCCCGCACCGAUCGCCCUUCCCAACAGUUGCGCAGCCUGAAUGGCGAAUGGCGCCUGAUGCGGUAUUUUCUCCUUACGCAUCUGUGCGGUAUUUCACACCGCAUACGUCAAAGCAACCAUAGUACGCGCCCUGUAGCGGCGCAUUAAGCGCGGCGGGUGUGGUGGUUACGCGCAGCGUGACCGCUACACUUGCCAGCGCCCUAGCGCCCGCUCCUUUCGCUUUCUUCCCUUCCUUUCUCGCCACGUUCGCCGGCUUUCCCCGUCAAGCUCUAAAUCGGGGGCUCCCUUUAGGGUUCCGAUUUAGUGCUUUACGGCACCUCGACCCCAAAAAACUUGAUUUGGGUGAUGGUUCACGUAGUGGGCCAUCGCCCUGAUAGACGGUUUUUCGCCCUUUGACGUUGGAGUCCACGUUCUUUAAUAGUGGACUCUUGUUCCAAACUGGAACAACACUCAACCCUAUCUCGGGCUAUUCUUUUGAUUUAUAAGGGAUUUUGCCGAUUUCGGCCUAUUGGUUAAAAAAUGAGCUGAUUUAACAAAAAUUUAACGCGAAUUUUAACAAAAUAUUAACGUUUACAAUUUUAUGGUGCACUCUCAGUACAAUCUGCUCUGAUGCCGCAUAGUUAAGCCAGCCCCGACACCCGCCAACACCCGCUGACGCGCCCUGACGGGCUUGUCUGCUCCCGGCAUCCGCUUACAGACAAGCUGUGACCGUCUCCGGGAGCUGCAUGUGUCAGAGGUUUUCACCGUCAUCACCGAAACGCGCGAGACGAAAGGGCCUCGUGAUACGCCUAUUUUUAUAGGUUAAUGUCAUGAUAAUAAUGGUUUCUUAGACGUCAGGUGGCACUUUUCGGGGAAAUGUGCGCGGAACCCCUAUUUGUUUAUUUUUCUAAAUACAUUCAAAUAUGUAUCCGCUCAUGAGACAAUAACCCUGAUAAAUGCUUCAAUAAUAUUGAAAAAGGAAGAGUAUGAGUAUUCAACAUUUCCGUGUCGCCCUUAUUCCCUUUUUUGCGGCAUUUUGCCUUCCUGUUUUUGCUCACCCAGAAACGCUGGUGAAAGUAAAAGAUGCUGAAGAUCAGUUGGGUGCACGAGUGGGUUACAUCGAACUGGAUCUCAACAGCGGUAAGAUCCUUGAGAGUUUUCGCCCCGAAGAACGUUUUCCAAUGAUGAGCACUUUUAAAGUUCUGCUAUGUGGCGCGGUAUUAUCCCGUAUUGACGCCGGGCAAGAGCAACUCGGUCGCCGCAUACACUAUUCUCAGAAUGACUUGGUUGAGUACUCACCAGUCACAGAAAAGCAUCUUACGGAUGGCAUGACAGUAAGAGAAUUAUGCAGUGCUGCCAUAACCAUGAGUGAUAACACUGCGGCCAACUUACUUCUGACAACGAUCGGAGGACCGAAGGAGCUAACCGCUUUUUUGCACAACAUGGGGGAUCAUGUAACUCGCCUUGAUCGUUGGGAACCGGAGCUGAAUGAAGCCAUACCAAACGACGAGCGUGACACCACGAUGCCUGUAGCAAUGGCAACAACGUUGCGCAAACUAUUAACUGGCGAACUACUUACUCUAGCUUCCCGGCAACAAUUAAUAGACUGGAUGGAGGCGGAUAAAGUUGCAGGACCACUUCUGCGCUCGGCCCUUCCGGCUGGCUGGUUUAUUGCUGAUAAAUCUGGAGCCGGUGAGCGUGGGUCUCGCGGUAUCAUUGCAGCACUGGGGCCAGAUGGUAAGCCCUCCCGUAUCGUAGAUAUAUACACGACGGGGAGUCAGGCAACUAUGGAUGAACGAAAUAGACAGAUCGCUGAGAUAGGUGCCUCACUGAUUAAGCAUUGGUAACUGUCAGACCAAGUUUACUCAUAUAUACUUUAGAUUGAUUUAAAACUUCAUUUUUAAUUUAAAAGGAUCUAGGUGAAGAUCCUUUUUGAUAAUCUCAUGACCAAAAUCCCUUAACGUGAGUUUUCGUUCCACUGAGCGUCAGACCCCGUAGAAAAGAUCAAAGGAUCUUCUUGAGAUCCUUUUUUUCUGCGCGUAAUCUGCUGCUUGCAAACAAAAAAACCACCGCUACCAGCGGUGGUUUGUUUGCCGGAUCAAGAGCUACCAACUCUUUUUCCGAAGGUAACUGGCUUCAGCAGAGCGCAGAUACCAAAUACUGUUCUUCUAGUGUAGCCGUAGUUAGGCCACCACUUCAAGAACUCUGUAGCACCGCCUACAUACCUCGCUCUGCUAAUCCUGUUACCAGUGGCUGCUGCCAGUGGCGAUAAGUCGUGUCUUACCGGGUUGGACUCAAGACGAUAGUUACCGGAUAAGGCGCAGCGGUCGGGCUGAACGGGGGGUUCGUGCACACAGCCCAGCUUGGAGCGAACGACCUACACCGAACUGAGAUACCUACAGCGUGAGCUAUGAGAAAGCGCCACGCUUCCCGAAGGGAGAAAGGCGGACAGGUAUCCGGUAAGCGGCAGGGUCGGAACAGGAGAGCGCACGAGGGAGCUUCCAGGGGGAAACGCCUGGUAUCUUUAUAGUCCUGUCGGGUUUCGCCACCUCUGACUUGAGCGUCGAUUUUUGUGAUGCUCGUCAGGGGGGCGGAGCCUAUGGAAAAACGCCAGCAACGCGGCCUUUUUACGGUUCCUGGCCUUUUGCUGGCCUUUUGCUCACAUGUUCUUUCCUGCGUUAUCCCCUGAUUCUGUGGAUAACCGUAUUACCGCCUUUGAGUGAGCUGAUACCUGGCAGGGCGGGGCGUAAUUUUUUUAAGGCAGUUAUUGGUGCCCUUAAACGCCUGGUUGCUACGCCUGAAUAAGUGAUAAUAAGCGGAUGAAUGGCAGAAAUUCGAUGAUAAGCUGUCAAACAUGAGAAUUGGUCGACGGCCCGGGCGGCCGCAAGGGGUUCGCGUUGGCCGAUUCAUUAAUGCAGCUGGCACGACAGGUUUCCCGACUGGAAAGCGGGCAGUGAGCGCAACGCAAUUAAUGUGAGUUAGCUCACUCAUUAGGCACCCCAGGCUUUACACUUUAUGCUUCCGGCUCGUAUGUUGUGUGGAAUUGUGAGCGGAUAACAAUUUCACACAGGAAACAGCUAUGACCAUGAUUACGCCAAGCUAUUUAGGUGAGACUAUAGAAUACUCAAGCUUGCAUGCCUGCAGGUCGACUCUAGAGGAUCCCCGGGUACCGAGCUCGAAUUCCUUUUGCCAAUGAAAAGAACAAGAGGAAACUCAAAUCCAUCAAAGAUAAAGCAAUAAUCUGCUUAUACCGUCAGUGUAGAAACUUCACUUCCAGAUGAGUUACAGGACUUGAGGCAUAUGCAAGUUAUCCUACCACAUGAACUACAUCUGCAGGAUGAAGUUGGGGUUGAACCUGCAUAAUAUGCAUAUACAGUUAUACAAUACGACUGUUGAGAACCCACUUAUUAAAAAAAGUAAAAUUUCCACACGUAAAUACCUUUGCUUGGGUUUUCCACAGUCGAACCAAGACCCUGCUCGAAUUUCUUAAUCCUCAACUGAAAAUAUCAAACAUAUGUCAAUCGUUUCAAUCCAAAAAAAUUACCCAUAAUCACAGUAACAAGUCUAUCAUUCUGAUCAUAUACCAUACCUUGGUUGCUAAAGUCGUCUGUGUGACAACAGGAGUAUCCUUUUUGCUCAGCUUUGUCACAGAUUUUAACAAAGGAGGAACCUUUUGAGACAUCUCUUUCGCCCGUUUUGGCAAUUCCGCAGAGAACCUCCCAGAGGAUGCUGACGUUUCAGGGCUGCUCUGUCUAACCCAACCCACUUCAACCGGCUGCCUUCUAGAACCUUCUGUAACUUUCUCCCCGUGUAAAUCCGAAACCUUUUUCUUCCUAAGCGAUUCCCAUCUCGCCUCAAAAAUCUCCAGAAGCUCCUUCGCCACAUCAUGAACAAAAUUCUCCGGAGGAUUAUACCUCAACGCAUUGUCAAAAGUCAACCUGACAUCGGCCGCAAACUCAUCCGCACUGCUGUAAACAUUCUUCAAAAGCUUGGAACUGAUAGUGCCAAGAUCCAUGGGCUUCGAUAUCACAGAGAAGUAAUCAGGAAUGUUGAGCUUAACAGGAUCCACAGGCUCGCCAAACAGCCACCCAAACUCGUGCCCUCUCAAAGAUUUCAAGAGGUUAAGACACUGACUAGACAAAACACGGUUCAGCUUCUGCUUCUUGUGAGCCUGAACCUCCUCUAGCUCCUCAGGUCCACGCUUCCUUGACUGAACAUCUUCUUCUUCUUUACCGAUGGGUUUAUUCUCAGUGCUCUUAGCGUUAGUGCAGUUGUUAAACGUUUGGAAAGCUUUGACGGAGCCUUCAGGGCCAAACUUUAUCCUCAGUUUGGUUAUUCCAACCAUUGCUUCUUGAUUCGAAUACACAUAAAAUCAAAACCAGUUUCAGAAUCGAUUCAAAUUCAAAUUCGAUUCAACGAUUAGAUACCCAAGCAAAGAACGAUUCUGAAAAGAGCGAUUAGGGUUUAUAAGUGCGGCUGCACAAAACUCGAAAAUUAGGGUUUUUACGUCAAGACGAUCAACUCGAUUCAACAAUUGGAUACACAAGCAAACUCCGACUAAUUAGGGUUUAUCGAAAUCGAUACGAUUGAGAUGAAAACAUUACGCUUCGAAACGAAAUUUAAUGACGAAUCCGAGAAGAGCAAUGAUUAGAGAGAGAGAGAGAGAGAGAGAGAGCUCUUACCUGGGGAAAGAAUUGAUCGAACGAAGGAAGGAGCGAUUAUGAGAGAGUGCAGUCGGCGUAAAGCAGAGUGAUGACGAACAUUAACCUUUUCUUUUCUUUCCAAGUGAGGCUUUUAUAGGGUGGAUUAAAUAAACGUGCAUUGUUAACCCUUUGUGCGAGCAAUGAUUUUACGCUUCGAAACGAAAUUUAAUGACGAAUCGAGAGAGAGAGAGAGAGAGAGAGAGAGAGAGAGAGAGAGAGAGCUCUUACCUGGGGAAAGAAUUGAUCGAACGAAGGAAGGAGCGAUUAUGAGAGAGUGCAGUCGGCGUAAAGCAGAGUGAUGACGAACAUUAACCUUUUCUUUUCUUUCCAAGUGAGGCUUUUAUAGGGUGGAUUAAAUAAACGUGCAUUGUUAACCCUUUGUGCGCAAAAGAAAAAGGUUAACCUUUAAUUAAUCGAUUAAACCACGUCAAAAUAACACAACACAACACAUUGAACACACCACAAAAUAAUUGUUAUUAUCUCGCAUUUAAAAAGUAACCUCCAGAGGAGAAAAUUUCCUUUUUGUAAUAAUUAAUAAAUGAUGUUCAGUCUACAUUAUGAAAAUAUUCUUUCCAGUUAUGUAUUUUUUAGAGGAAAAGACUAGGAUAGCACCAAACCAAGUUUUGUUCUCAAACUAGCAUUCAAGGUUUAAAGUCACAAAAAUAUGUUUCAUUAAAGAGAUAAAUAUACACUUAUACCCCUUGGGUUAAUUAAUUCAAACUUUAGGGUUUAGAGUUAAGAGGUGAGGUUUUGGAAUUAGGGUUUAAAAUUUUAUAAAAUAAAUAGUAAAAAAUUAAAAAUAAAAUUAUAAAAAACAGUUUCAAAAAGUAUUUUUGAAUUAUAAAAAGAAAAUUUGAAAAANNNNNNNNNNNNNNNNNNNNNNNNNNNNNNNNNNNNNNNNNNNNNNNNNNNNNNNNNNNNNNNNNNNNNNNNNNNNNNNNNNNNNNNNNNNNNNNNNNNNNNNNNNNNNNNNNNNNNNNNNNNNNNNNNNNNNNNNNNNNNNNNNNNNNNNNNNNNNNNNNNNNNNNNNNNNNNNNNNNNNNNNNNNNNNNNNNNNNNNNNNNNNNNNNNNNNNNNNNNNNNNNNNNNNNNNNNNNNNNNNNNNNNNNNNNNNNNNNNNNNNNNNNNNNNNNNNNNNNNNNNNNNNNNNNNNNNNNNNNNNNNNNNNNNNNNNNNNNNNNNNNNNNNNNNNNNNNNNNNNNNNNNNNNNNNNNNNNNNNNNNNNNNNNNNNNNNNNNNNNNNNNNNNNNNNNNNNNNNNNNNNNNNNNNNNNNNNNNNNNNNNNNNNNNNNNNNNNNNNNNNNNNNNNNNNNNNNNNNNNNNNNNNNNNNNNNNNNNNNNNNNNNNNNNNNNNNNNNNNNNNNNNNNNNNNNNNNNNNNNNNNNNNNNNNNNNNNNNNNNNNNNNNNNNNNNNNNNNNNNNNNNNNNNNNNNNNNNNNNNNNNNNNNNNNNNNNNNNNNNNNNNNNNNNNNNNNNNNNNNNNNNNNNNNNNNNNNNNNNNNNNNNNNNNNNNNNNNNNNNNNNNNNNNNNNNNNNNNNNNNNNNNNNNNNNNNNNNNNNNNNNNNNNNNNNNNNNNNNNNNNNNNNNNNNNNNNNNNNNNNNNNNNNNNNNNNNNNNNNNNNNNNNNNNNNNNNNNNNNNNNNNNNNNNNNNNNNNNNNNNNNNNNNNNNNNNNNNNNNNNNNNNNNNNNNNNNNNNNNNNNNNNNNNNNNNNNNNNNNNNNNNNNNNNNNNNNNNNNNNNNNNNNNNNNNNNNNNNNNNNNNNNNNNNNNNNNNNNNNNNNNNNNNNNNNNNNNNNNNNNNNNNNNNNNNNNNNNNNNNNNNNNNNNNNNNNNNNNNNNNNNNNNNNNNNNNNNNNNNNNNNNNNNNNNNNNNNNNNNNNNNNNNNNNNNNNNNNNNNNNNNNNNNNNNNNNNNNNNNNNNNNNNNNNNNNNNNNNNNNNNNNNNNNNNNNNNNNNNNNNNNNNNNNNNNNNNNNNNNNNNNNNNNNNNNNNNNNNNNNNNNNNNNNNNNNNNNNNNNNNNNNNNNNNNNNNNNNNNNNNNNNNNNNNNNNNNNNNNNNNNNNNNNNNNNNNNNNNNNNNNNNNNNNNNNNNNNNNNNNNNNNNNNNNNNNNNNNNNNNNNNNNNNNNNNNNNNNNNNNNNNNNNNNNNNNNNNNNNNNNNNNNNNNNNNNNNNNNNNNNNNNNNNNNNNNNNNNNNNNNNNNNNNNNNNNNNNNNNNNNNNNNNNNNNNNNNNNNNNNNNNNNNNNNNNNNNNNNNNNNNNNNNNNNNNNNNNNNNNNNNNNNNNNNNNNNNNNNNNNNNNNNNNNNNNNNNNNNNNNNNNNNNNNNNNNNNNNNNNNNNNNNNNNNNNNNNNNNNNNNNNNNNNNNNNNNNNNNNNNNNNNNNNNNNNNNNNNNNNNNNNNNNNNNNNNNNNNNNNNNNNNNNNNNNNNCUUAGGUCCCUUUGGGCCGUCUUUCGACUUGAAGCGUUUAUUACGUCUUCUUUCGAUAAAAACAAACUUUCCGCGGUUUUUAUCGUAAAGUUUUAUUGAUGACUUCGAAUGGCAGAAAACAUGAAAUGGGUUCGCUACGGUCUUCGGGAGACAGCAUCGAAGGGUAGACGAGAAUGCAUGGAUUUGUGUUGUAUCGUCGUUUUGGAAGAGCUUGGUCGCUACGUAGCGACCGAGCUCGGUUCGAGCUUGGUCGCUUCGCAUUGACCGGGCAGUUUGCAUGUGCGGUAGUUGCGUAGUGACUGAGCUUGGUUUGUCCGUGUUCCGAUCGUCAUAUUCGAACCUAUACGUGGCUGGUUUAGAUACGUUUCCGUUACCUUGGGACAGCUUGUGUUUGAUCCAAACGGGAUUUGAACAAGGUUUAAUCUCGAGAACAUAAGUCGCGACAUUCUUUUGACCAAGCACAAUUUGUCGCGGAAAGAUACUCAUACUUGUAAUUUGCAGAGAUUUGGAUGUUAACUUCGUCGUAACCAUUUUCGACCCCAACAUUAAUUAUUUUAAUCUGUUUUGUUAAGAAUUUUUACUAAACAUUUAGUAAUUCGUCUGACUAAUUGUGUGAUAUAUACUUCUUUGAUAAUUUUUAAAUAUGAAACUGAUUUGCUGUCAAUUUAUUAAGUCUAACAUUUUAUUUGUUUAAAACAUAUUUGAUAUCAACUUAAACCAAACAUAAUCUUGUGUAUAUAACUAUAAAUUAUAUACUUUUAAAAAUAAAAAUAAUAAAAUAAUAAGAAUCUAAUAUGAAAGGUUUACGAAAUUUAAAUCAAUGGAAUUUUGUUUAUGAAAAAUAUAUAAAAUAAUUCUUUAAAAACUAAUUUUAUACUAAACAAAUAAAAUGUUAGAGUUAAUAAAUUAAAAUCAAAGAAUUUUAUAAUAAUAUUUUUAUGAAAUAAGUAUAUAUCACAUAAUUAAUCAAAUGAAUUACAGAAAUUUUAUUAAAAAUUCAUACCAAAAGAGAUUAAAAGAAUUAAAAAAACUAAAUUAAAUAAUAUCUUAUAUAACUUUUAAAUUUAAUAAAAAUAGAAAGAAUAUAACUAUAAUAUUUUCAAAUACACUAAAAUAAAAAUGUUAAAACACUACUUAUCAAAAUUUACACUAGUUAUACCACCAAUGUUAAAAUUAACAAUUAAACAAACAAUAAUAUUCAAAACUAAACAUAUGUUAACAACAAAACAAACCACAAAACAAAUCAAAACACCAUUAAAGAUGAGAAGACACGAGAAAAAAGCAGAGAAAAGGCAUGUAUGUUGUUUAUCAUUAGAAACAUAUGAAAUCACAUAUUCGUAUACAUAAACCCAUAGAGAAAAAAAAUCUGAAAGUUGUAUAUGAAAUAUAAUUCAAACGUAAACAACUGAAAACAUAAAAAUCAGAAAGAGACAAGAAGAAAAAACAUGUGCAUGUGAGAUAUGGUUGAGAGUCAAAGAGAAAGACAUUAAGGUAGGAGAGGGGACAGGAGCGGGGACAUGAAACAUCAAACUUAAAAUUUGUAGAUACGGGUACGGCAUAGAAACAGCUAUAUAUAUAAUGUAAGAAUACAUAUAAAUCAAAAUAUUAGAAUCUCUCACAUAUGAUUCAAAAGUUUUAAAAACAGUUAGAAAGCAACAUGUUAAGCUAAAGAUCUACUGGUUAUACCACCAAUAUUAAAAUAAAUAGUUAAACAAACGAUAAUAUUCAAAACUAAACAUACAUUAACACCAAAGCAAACCACAAAGCAAAAAAAACAAAACAUCAUUAAAGAUGAGAAGACACAAGAAGAAAGCCGAGAAAAGGCAUAUAUGUUGUUUAUCAUCAUAAACACCUGAAAUCACAUAUUCGUAUACAGAAACACAUAAAAAAAUUGAAAGUUGUAUGAAAUUUAAUUCAAAUGUAAACAACUAAAAACAUAAAAAUCAGAAAGAGACAAAAAGAAGAAACAUGCGUAUGUGAGAUAUGGUUGAGAGUCAAAGAGAAAUACAUUAAGUUAGGAGUGGAAGAUACCAUUGAUAAUAAAAAAAAUUAUUUUCAGAAUUAUUAGAAUAAAAAAGUUUAAAAUCAAACGGAUACGUCUCCUUUGUCUUGAAACGUUUCCGAGACGUCUCCGGUCUCUGACCAAACCCCUCUCCGUUAAGUCAUGCCGUCACGGGUUCACCUUAUAAACUCAGACUUUUCGUUGAAACCAGUACUAUUGAGCUUCUGAGCAAAAGCCCUAAGAUCUAAGCUGCACCAAGAACAAGACGGGGACCAGAAAGUGGGACGGGAGCGGGGACAUGAAACGUCAAACUUAACAUUUGUAGAUACGGGUAUGACAUAGAAACGGCUAUAUAUAAAGUAAGAAUACAUAUAAAUCAAAAUAUUAGAAUCUCUCACAUAUGAUUCAAUAGUUUAAAAAACAAUUAGAAAUCAACAUGAUAAGCUAAACAUCUACUAGUUAUACCACCAAUACUAAAAUAAACAAUUAAAAAAACGAUAAUAUUUAAAACUAAACAUACGUUAACAACAAAACAAACCCCAAAAUAAAACAUCAUUAAAGAUGUGAAGACCAAUAAAAAAAGCAGAGAAAAUGUAUGUAUGUUGUUUAUCAUCAGAAAUACAUGAAAUCACAUAUUAGUAUACAAAAAUACAUAGAGAACGAAAAAAUCUGAAAGUUGUAUAUGAAAUAUAAUUCAAACGUAAACAACUGAAAACAUAAAAAUCAGAAAGAGACAAGAAGAAGAAACAUGCGUAUGUGAGAUAUGGUUGAGAGUCAAAGAGAAAGACAUUAAGGUAAGAGUGGAAGAUACUACUGAUAAAGAAAUUAUUUAUUUUCAGAAUUAUUAGAAUAAAAAAAAUUAAAAGCAAGCGGAUACGUCUCAUCUGUCUUGAAACGUUUCCGAGACAUCUUCGGUCUCUGACCAAACCCCUCUCCGUUAAGUCAUGCCGUCACGGGUUCACCUUACAAACUCAGACUUUUCGUUGAAACCAAUACUAUUGAACUUCUGAGCAAAAGCCCUAAGAUCUAAGCUGCACCAAGAACAGGACGGGGACCGGAAACUGGAACGGGAGCAGGGACAGGAGCGCGGACAUGAAACUUCGAACUUAAAAUUUGUAGAUACAUGUACAUCAUAGAAACGGCUAUAUAUAAUGUAAUAAUACAUAUAAAUCAAAACAUUAGAAUAUAUCACAUAUGAUUCAAUAGUUUUAAAAACAGUUAUAAAUCAACAUGAUAAGCUAAAAAUCUACUAUUUAUACCACCAAUAUUAAAAUAAACAAUUAAACAAAUGAUAAUAUUCAAAACUAAACAUACAUUAACAACAAAAUAAACCACAGAACAAAAUAUUAUUAAAGAUGAGAAGACACAAGAGGAAUGCAGAGAAAAAGCAUGUAUGUUGUUUAUCAUCAGAAACUCAUGAAAUCACAUAUUCGUAUACAGAAACACAUAGAGAAGAAAAAAAAUCUAAAAGUUGUAUAUGAAAUAUAAUUCAAACGUAAAAAAUUGAAAACAUAAAAAACAGAAAGAGACAAGAAGAAGAAACAUGCGUAUGUGAGAUAUUGGUGAAAAUCAAAGAGAAAGACACUAAGAUAGGAAUGGAAGAUAUUAUGAUAAACAAUUUUUUUCUUUUCAGAGUUAUUAGAAUAAAAAAAAAUUAAAUGCAAACGUAUACGUCUCCUUUGUCUUGAAACGUUUCCGAGACGUCGCCGGUCACCGACCAAACCCCUCUCCAUUAAGUCAUGCCGUCACGGAUUUAUCUUACAUUUGUUGGGGAUGUUUCCUAGGCGUACUCGUUCCCCCUCCCCGGCCGAACCCUGGCACUAUGCAAAAUUUUCUCUAUUUCCUGGUGUAGUUUACACGUUGUUAGAACUUGCCGAUUUGGACGUUUGAAAAAAAAAAAACAAAUUUUACAAUGCAAAUUAAAAUAAAUAAGAAAAUGAAUGUUUCCAAAGUUAGCCUUUGACCGAUCAACCUUCAAUUCUUGUUACUAACCGAAUCAAAGAUAUAUUAAAAAAAAACACAUCUUCAUAAAGUGAACUUUGUCGUCGUAUUCAUCUUCAACACGGUUUGCCUUGUUAUAUUCAUCUGCAUAUGCAAAUCAUUCUAGUAUAAUAGCAUAUACAUACUUUCUAAUACCACAUAUAUAUAUAUAAAGGGAUUAGAUUUGACUUUCACAUUCUCUUUUAUGAUCAAUACAUGUAUUUAACAGAACAUUUUGUACAAACUUGCAAUAAUAAAAUAUAAGUAGGAAGUGGAAUAAAUAAAUAUAUUGAUUUUAGUACAAUAUUCUCAAACAAAAAUGGCGUAGUUCAUAGUUUGGAGAAAACCUUUUAAUAAUUAAAUGGCCUAUUUAGCUUAAUAUACAAAUUGUAGGCGGUAAUUGCAGAAGUGUGCAUUUUUUAAAAAUAAUUGGCGAACCAUGUCAUUUAUGCGAUGAGUAGUCAAUUCUGUCCUCGAACUAAAACUUCUUCAUUACGUAAGUGUUACCUGCUAUCGGGGCUGAUGCCAAAAAAAUUAAGUUGUAUUGAUACUGUAUGGAAACGCAAACUACGUUUUGAAACCGGAUAGAUUGAUGGUAAUUGAUGAUAUAAGAGCUUGAAACCGGAUAUAGCUUUAAUAAUUGAAAAGAAAAAAAUUGUAAGAUAUUUUACUAAUUGUUUGUCCGAAAUGGGAUUCAAAGCAAGAUAUUUUAGAAAAUGUUGGUCGAUGUUCUGAACGUAAGGUGGGGAGUGCUCGAUGCCAUAGGACCAUGGUUUCCUGUUCAGCUGCGUCCGUACCCUGUCAAAUAACAAAACUUGGAUGUUAGAUUUACCAUAUUAACGAAGCCAAGAGGUAGAGGAAAGCAUAUAUUUGUGACUAUGUUGUAAUGAUUGUAGGAUUACAUUUUUUCUCCGGAUUUUAAUAUUAGUAACUGGAUAUUUGAAAGUAGUGUGCAUAUCUACAUUAUUGAAUCCUUACUUCAAUAUCUUCACUUGCUAGUGGAGUGAGUUGAUGGUUGUUUUCACCCAGCCGGCCACCCCUUGGUAGGGAAGAUUUUUCUUCGUGACAAAGGGCGUCCGAAACCUGAAAUUGCAUUAACGAGACAGAAUUAACCGGUUACAAAUAUAGGAUAUUGGAUUAGAUUACGAUUGUUAAAUAUAUUACGACGAUUCUUCGGGAGUUCACCGCAAGGAAGUCCAGUGAUGAUGGCGAACUAACGCAAAGAAAAACCUAAUAGGUUUUUCGGCGAACCGAAACCAAGCUUCAUGUUUUUUCCACCUAAAGUUGUUGCGAUAGUAGAUAUCUAGCAAAUCUACCAGAAAAACCAGGCUUCUCCGCUAUCUCUACGAGUAUACCGAAAGAUGACUCUCUGAGAUACCGGAUCUCAUCUUCGUUCAGAGCAUUAAGGAUGGUGUUGAUUGAUCGGGAAGACUGGUAAGUCAGAACCCUAACGCCCACUGGUUCCUCUCCAUCCGCUAACAUCAUCUGAGGUAAAUCGACUUAUGUUUCAUCUACUAUGUCUUCUGGAAAAUCGACUAAUCUUGAAGCGACCAUUACGGAUUGGUAAAAGAGAUUUUGAGAUAGAACUAAGAAAUGAGAUGUUGGUUCAAAACGAGACGAUAUAUUAGGGAACAAAUUUAUAUCAAACCUCUUUGGGCUUUUGCAGUCAAGAGAAAAAGUUUUUGAACAUUCCGAUUCUUUGCAUUAUUAUCACUCUCUCUCUCUGUGCAACCGUCUCUUCAGUUUCUUUAAUUUUCCAAUUGUAUUUCUUUUUUAUACGACCAAUGACACUUUCAGUAUUACUGAAAAUGCACAGUGCCUUAUCCACUUACCUAAUAUACUUCUAUAUUUUUGCUAUCUAUAAUUUUUCGGAAACGUUGGUUUUUUGGACAAAAAUUACGUUGUUUUUUUGUCAACAAAUUACUAUGUGACAUAUCAUGAGCCACAACUGGGCUAGCCGGCUAGCUUCUUUUAUAUUUUGCUUCUUAGAUCAUUGUAGUAUAGAAGUCAUUCUAAAGUAGUUUAGAUUUUAGCUUAGCUGAGCUCAUGUAUACAAAUGUAGUUCUGGCUUUAGCGUUGUGUCGCCUUUGCUAUGUUCAAAUUUAAUAAUUAUUAUUUUACCCAAAUUACCAUUUUAAACAGCUACAAAACAAAUCCUACCAAAGUGUAUAGUCAAAUAAAAGAGAACCGCACUGUUGGCAUAAAAUUCACUAAUUGAAUUUCACAUAAUAUGACUAUCUUUUCCAAAAAACUGUAACUACAUGAAACAACUAAUUUUCAGCUGAAUCUCAUGCUAAAACCACGAAUAAGUUACAUCCUCUCUGUCAUGUCCCCGAUCCUAGAUAGGAUCGGCCGGACGGGCCAUGGUGCGGGGAGACGCACCAGUCAGGUCAUUAGACCUUGAGACAAGCGUAUCAUGGCCCUGAAUGAAGGUUAAGGGCAUCAGUCAGCUGAGACUUAACCAGGAUACGAUGGAAAUAAGGGUAAAGGGGCUGGGUGAGUGUUUAGGCAGCUGGACGAGUGUUGGUUUGAGUUCAAUCAGCUCGGUUCAGCUGGUAAUCAGUUCACCAUGAUCUGUUCAGCUCACAGGAGCUGGUGGGCUAGCUCAAUCAGCUGGGAACAGAUGGGGGUCAGCUCAAUCCAGUGAACGGUGCGUUCUGGUUCGGAUCAGUGUGGGCGAGUCCGGGACGGUUACUGGGCGAGCCGAUGGUCCGGGUGCAGGACGGUUCGACCAAAUGGGUCUUAGGCUUGGGAUAGGGAGCGGGCAAGCUCCCAGAGUGUGAGCUGAGGCUCAGUGAUCGAUUUGCCAAAGGAAGAAAAGGGGAGAAACCGCCAAGGGCGGUUAUGGGACGGUUUUGGGAAGAAAGGAAGGGAUUUUGGUAACUGUUCGCCCAGGCGGUUGGGGACAGUUUAAAUCGUCUUCUCUCUCUCAUUUCUGAUCAUUCUGGUCGGUUUUUACUCAUUCCACACAGAGAGAAACACAGAGAAAAUUCAAGAGAGAAAGAGAGACAGAAACUUUGGAUCGGCCGAUUUGAUCCAAGAGAUUGUUCUUGAGUGUUCCUGGUGUGUUUGGGCGUGUGAUCAAGAGGAUGGAUUUGAGACAGAAAGACAAGGAGAAGGCAAAGGAGAAAGAGAAGGAAGUCGCCCCUGGAGACCGAACUCCUAAGGUGAGAGGUGUGGCCAAGAGUAACCGGACAAGGCCGCGGAUGAUGGCCGUGUGAGCCUGGCCGGUUUGGAUCGAUUGGCUACUCCUUACUCUGACUUCUUCUACUCUGUUUCUUCUUAUAUGUUGUGCUUUGGAAUGGUUUAUGUUGUUACAGGAAAGGAUUCAUUGAUCCUAAGGCCUUGGCCUGAUCCAAUUUCCAUGAAAGUCCCUUGUUCUUGUGUGGGCUGUUCAUGGCCGAGAUCACUAUGAUCUGAGCCGAUUCUUCUGAAUCUGUUUAUGGGAAUAUUUUUCUUCUGAAUUAUCAUGAAUUAUCAUGAAUUUUAUUUGGUAUUUGGAUCUCUUUUUAAAGGGGUCAGAUUUGACAUUUUUGAUGAUUGUUCUUGACUAGAUUGGAUCCGACCAUGCAAUGUGAUUUGAUUCUUGUUUUGUAAUCUAACCUUGUGAUUGUGUGGUUGUUUGUGUUGGAUCCAGGACCAGAAAUGGACCGUGGUAAGGGAAAAGCACCAUGAGGACCGCGGCCAUGGGAAGAUGUGUGGUGAUUGGGUUGAUUCUGAAAAUUGUGUGAUUAUUGUAGCCUAUUGUGCAACUUGUGAACUUAUGCGAUUCUAGUAUGUAUUCUAUUAUUUAGGAUGAUGAAUGAUGUAUGAACCUUGGUUAAUAUCUAUGAAGUAUCUAUUUUCAUUAGUUGAUGCUUGAUUGUUUAAGUGUGAAUGUUGGAACCUCAAAACUCUGAAAAAGACUUAGAAUUAUUUAACACUUGAACUUGAAUAUGAAAGAUGGAAUUGGUUGCAUUGUUUGGUGAGGCCGCGGUCUGGUUGGAUUGAGGAAUCCAGGAUCGGGUCUUACAAUUUGGUAUCAGAGCAUUCUUGAUUCUAGGAUUUGUUGGGUUAUUGGUUCACCACACACUUGGCCGUUUGGACUCAUGGUGAGAUAGUUGGGUUCUAAGUAAUCUUUUCUACUGAUUAACUUAGGAGUGAUUGAGGUUUGUGUGUUCAGUUGUGGACUAACCUUUUGUUUGUGUUUGUAACUCCUAAGGGAACAAGAAGGUAUAAAUCUCGGAAAGGAAAGGAGGCGACUGGGGCGUCUGGAGCAGUGGGGCAGGAUGGUGCUGAACAGACCGGAGUGUUACCAGCUGGAACCAUUCCAACCACAGUGCUACCGGCUCUGGUGGAGCAGGUGGAUAAUGCCACCGGACUCCCAGUGGGUCCAACUCUUCCUACUGAGGUUAAUGAAACUAAUGUGGACGAGCAACAAGAGCAAGUCCAUGGAGAAGAUACUGGGUCAUCCAACGUUGGUGCUGGGAGUGGCCAGAAUGUUGAUGCAAACAAUGUUCGGGUCACUGGUGCUGAGGAGGUCAUUGAGCCGACCAUAAGGGGCUUGGUGGAAGCUAUGCAGGUCAUGGGAGCUCAGAUAGCCUCCUUGACACAGGCGUUCACACCAUUGGUGAACUCGUCCGUAGGACAGGCUAAUCCCCCGGUUCGGGUUGCUGCUGGAGUGACCGAUGUUGGUGCUGGCCGUGUGGCCGAGGUGAUUGAGAUAGACCCACCGGUCAGGCCAGUGCAUGGUAUGGACUACCUGAAGGUGCUGGAGCAUAUCUCCAAGUUGGGAACCAAACACUUUGCUGGAAGUGUUGAUCCUAUGGAGGCGGACGAGUGGAGAACCCGGUUGGUUCGGAACUUCAAGUCCACGCGUUGUCCUGAGGACUACCAGAAGGACAUAGCAGUACACUUCCUGGAGGGAGAUGCACAUAACUGGUGGUUAGCUUUGGACAAGCGUACCAAUGGCACCAUUGAGCAUUUUGCUGACUUUGAGGUUGAGUUCAACCAUAAGUACUUUCCUGCUGAGGCGUGGGAUCGUUUGGAGUCCAAGUUCCUGGACUUGACUCAGGGACGGAGGACUGUUCGUGAGUAUGAAGAAGAGUUCAACCGACUCAGGAGGUAUGUGGGAAGAGAACUGGAGGAUGAGAAGGUUCAAGUCCGAAGGUUCAUCCGAGGCCUAAGGGUGGAACUUCGAACCUACUGUUCUGUUUGUAAGUUCCACACGGUUUCUGAGUUGGUUGAGAGGAUGGCCUUGCUGGAGACCAACCUCACCGAGGAGGGUAAGCAGAAGCUGAAGAGUGUGGUGGUAUCCUCGGGUCAGAGUGGUGACAAGAAGAGGAAGAGGGACUCGACCGAGGAGGGUAAAACCUCAAGUGGUAGGUCAGAGUGCCCUAAGUGUGGACGAUACCACGGUGGAGAGUGCUGGAAGGCCAUGGGUGCCUGCACUCGAUGUGGUAAGAUGGAUCACUCAGCCAAGGAUUGUCCAAGUCCGUUGGGUGAGUCCAGGACCUGUCACCACUGCGGCCAGAAGGGCCACUACCGCAGGGACUGCCCUAAGUUGCAAGGCAACCAAAGUAAGGGACGUGGGGAGGCUAGCAGGCCAGUUCAGGGACGAGGCCAGACCUCCACACCUCGUGUGUAUGAGCUAUCCAAGGAUGUGGAUGGGGCUCGGCCUUUCCAAGCGAUCAAUGGUAACACUCUAGACAACUACUUUUACAAUUCCAGUAGAAUUGCAUGGUAUGGAAUCUAGGAUGGAUAGAUAUACUUUGAUGGGUCUUGUGUAGGGACCUUAAGUAUUGGUGGUGUGGAAACACACACACUAUUUGAUACUGGAGCUACACAUAGUUUUGUGAGUCCAAGUAUGAUAGGAAAAGGUUUGUUCCAGUAUGGAACAUGGGAUGGUCCUGAACGAGUGAGUGCGGCCGGAGGGCAAGUUAUGAACUCACUCGGUCUGGUUAAGGACAUCCCUGUGGUGAUCUUGGAUAGGCCGAUGCCUAUAGAUCUGAUUGUUGUCCCCCUCAAGCAUCAUGAAGUGAUCUUGGGCAUGGACUGGUUGGGAAAGUAUCGGGCAACUCUAGAUUGUCACCGGGGAAGGGUGCAACUUGAGAAUGAGUUUGGACCCCCGAUCAAGUACCAAGGAAUCAAGCCAACCUCUUGUAGUUUGGUGGUUUCAGCAGUCCAAGUAGAACGGAUGCUUGGAAAUGGUUGUGAGGCCUUUUUGGCUACCAUUUACACUGAUGAGGUUGUAGGGGCCUGUGACCCAGAGGGUAUACCGUUGGUUCGAGAAUUUCAGGAUGUGUUUGGGGCACUACAGGGCAUUCCCCCUGAUAGGGCUGACCCAUUCAUCAUUGAAUUGGAACCUGGAACGGCCCCAUUAUCAAAAAGUCCAUAUAGAAUGGCACCAGCUGAGAUGGCAGAGCUGAAGAAGCAACUUGAGGAGUUGCUUGAGAAGGGGUUCAUACGCCCUAGUGUAUCACCUUGGGGAGCACCAGUCCUAUUUGUUAAGAAAAAGGAUGGUAGCUUUAGGUUGUGCAUUGAUUAUAGGGGUUUGAACAGGGUGACUGUGAAGAACAAGUACCCUUUACCCAGGAUUGAUGAGUUGUUGGAUCAACUCCGUGGAGCCAAGUGGUUCUCCAAGAUUGACCUGGCCUCUGGGUAUCAUCAGAUCCCCAUUGCACCAGAUGAUGUGAGGAAGACAGCGUUCCGAACUAGGUAUGGUCACUAUGAGUUUGUGGUCAUGCCGUUCGGACUGACCAAUGCACCUGCUGCAUUCAUGAAGAUGAUGAACGGCAUCUUCAGGGAAUACUUGGACGAGUUUGUGAUCAUCUUCAUUGAUGAUAUACUCGUGUAUUCCAAGACAAAGGAGGACCAUGAAAGACACCUUAGGGCGGUGUUGGGCCGCCUGAGAGAACAGAAGCUCUUUGCUAAGCUAAGCAAGUGUAGUUUCUGGCAGAAGAGCAUUGGGUUCCUUGGACAUGUGGUGUCUGAUAAAGGAGUCUCAGUGGAUCAAGAUAAGAUCAAAUGUAUCCAGGAAUGGCCACAGCCAAAGAAUGCUACGGAAGUGAGAAGCUUCUUAGGGUUGGCUGGUUAUUACCGGAAAUAUGUCAAGGGGUUCUCGAGCAUAGCUCAACCUAUGACUAAGCUGACAGGCAAGGACGUGAGGUUCACAUGGUCUGAGGAGUGUGCGAAAAGUUUUGCAGCACUCAAGAACAUGUUGACUAAUGCACCUGUCCUGGUGUUGCCUGAGGCUGAUCAGCCUUAUGUGGUGUAUACGGAUGCAUCCAUAACUGGUCUUGGUUGUGUUUUGACACAACAUGGGAAGGUGAUAGCCUAUGCUUCCCGGCAGUUAAGGAAGCAUGAGGGUAACUAUCCAACCCAUGAUUUGGAGAUGGCUGCAGUAGUAUUUGCAUUAAAGAUAUGGAGAUCAUAUCUUUAUGGUGCCAGGGUGCAAAUACUCACAGACCAUAAGAGCUUGAAGUACAUAUUCACUCAGCCUGAGUUAAACUUAAGGCAGAGGAGGUGGAUGGAGUUUGUUGCAGAUUAUGAUCUGGACAUAGCUUAUCAUCCUGGGAAAGCUAACCUAGUGGCUGAUGCUUUGAGCCGCAGAAGGGCUGAAGUGUCAUCUGAGAGGGAGGCGGAUGAACUGGAAGGGAUGAUCAGGUCCUUGAACCUCAACACCUUGGUUGGUUCAGAUGAGCCACUGGGGUUGGAGGCAGUGAACCAGGCCGAUCUCCUGACCAGGAUCAGGCAAGCACAGGGCCUGGAUGAAAAUCUAAAGAAGGUAGCCGCCAAUGACAAGACCGAGUACCAGACAACUGACAAUGGUACCAUCUUGGUCAAUGGGAGGGUCAGUGUUCCUAAUGAUAAGGAACUCAAAGAAGAGAUUAUGAGACAGGCUCAUAAGUCCAAGUUUUCAGUUCAUCCUGGACUGAACAAGAUGUAUAGGGAUCUGAAAAGGUACUACCAUUGGGUGAGGAUGAAAUCUGAUGUUGCAGAGUGGGUGGCUAAGUGUCCCACUUGUCAACUGGUGAAGGCAGAACAUCAGGUUCCCAGUGGUCUACUUCAGAACCUACCCAUACCAGAAUGGAAAUGGGAUCACAUCACAAUGGAUUUUGUGACUGGAUUUCCCACGACCAGGAAUAAGAAAGAUGCGGUAUGGGUUGUGGUUGAUCGGCUGACCAAGUCGGCUCAUUUCCUACCCAUCAAGAAAGGGGAUGGGGUCGACAGGAUAGUGCAAGUGUACCUAGACGAGAUAGUGAGGUUGCAUGGUGUUCCAGCAAGCAUUGUCUCGGACAGGGAUCCAAGAUUUACAUCUUAUUUCUGGCAGGCUUUCCAAAAGGCCUUGGGAACCAGAGUGAAUAUGAGCACAUCUUAUCAUCCUCAAACGGAUGGGCAGUCUGAAAGGACAAUCCAAACCUUGGAGGAUAUGCUAAGGGCAUGUGUGUUAGACUGGGGAGAGUCUUGGGAAAAACACUUACCCUUAGUGGAGUUUGCUUAUAAUAACAGCUUCCAUACAAGCAUUGGUAUGUCGCCAUAUGAGGCUUUGUAUGGUAGGCCGUGCAGGACACCCCUAUGCUGGACCCAAGUGGGGGAGCGUAGCAUGUUGGGACCUGAGAUUGUAGAACAGACCACUAAGAAGAUCAGGAUGGUCAAAGAGAAGAUGAAAGAGACGCAGGACCGCCAAAAGAGCUAUGCGGACAAGCGUAGGAAACAUCUUGAGUUUGAGGUCAAUGACCUGGUGUAUCUCAAGAUGAUUACCUUUAAGGGUAGGACCAGGAUUUCUGGACGAAAGAAACUGGACCCUAGGUACUUGGGUCCAUUCAGGAUCAUAGAGAGAGUGGGUGCAGUGGCAUACAAGUUGGACUUGCCAUCAGCAAUGGAUGCAUACCACAAUGUGUUCCAUGUAUCCCAACUCCGGAAAUGCUUGUCUGAACAAGACAUUGUCUUGCCCGAGAUUCCUACUGACCUUGGUAAGGACNNNNNNNNNNNNNNNNNNNNNNNNNNNNNNNNNNNNNNNNNNNNNNNNNNNNNNNNNNNNNNNNNNNNNNNNNNNNNNNNNNNNNNNNNNNNNNNNNNNNNNNNNNNNNNNNNNNNNNNNNNNNNNNNNNNNNNNNNNNNNNNNNNNNNNNNNNNNNNNNNNNNNNNNNNNNNNNNNNNNNNNNNNNNNNNNNNNNNNNNNNNNNNNNNNNNNNNNNNNNNNNNNNNNNNNNNNNNNNNNNNNNNNNNNNNNNNNNNNNNNNNNNNNNNNNNNNNNNNNNNNNNNNNNNNNNNNNNNNNNNNNNNNNNNNNNNNNNNNNNNNNNNNNNNNNNNNNNNNNNNNNNNNNNNNNNNNNNNNNNNNNNNNNNNNNNNNNNNNNNNNNNNNNNNNNNNNNNNNNNNNNNNNNNNNNNNNNNNNNNNNNNNNNNNNNNNNNNNNNNNNNNNNNNNNNNNNNNNNNNNNNNNNNNNNNNNNNNNNNNNNNNNNNNNNNNNNNNNNNNNNNNNNNNNNNNNNNNNNNNNNNNNNNNNNNNNNNNNNNNNNNNNNNNNNNNNNNNNNNNNNNNNNNNNNNNNNNNNNNNNNNNNNNNNNNNNNNNNNNNNNNNNNNNNNNNNNNNNNNNNNNNNNNNNNNNNNNNNNNNNNNNNNNNNNNNNNNNNNNNNNNNNNNNUUUGUUGCAGAUUAUGAUCUGGACAUAGCUUAUCAUCCUGGGAAAGCUAACCUAGUGGCUGAUGCUUUGAGCCGCAGAAGGGCUGAAGUGUCAUCUGAGAGGGAGGCGGAUGAACUGGAAGGGAUGAUCAGGUCCUUGAACCUCAAUACCUUGGUUGGUUCAGAUGAGCCACUGGGAUUGGAGGUGGUGAACCAGGCCGAUCUCCUGACCAGGAUCAGGCAAGCUCAGGGCCUGGAUGAAAAUCUAAAGAAGGUAGCCGCCAAUGACAAGACUGAGUACCAGACAACUGACAAUGGUACCAUCUUGGUCAAUGGUAGGGUCAGUGUUCCUAAUGAUAAGGAACUCAAAGAAGAGAUUAUGAGACAGGCUCAUAAGUCCAAGUUUUCAGUUCAUCCUGGACUGAACAAAAUGUAUAGGGAUCUGAAAAGGUACUACCAUUGGGUGAGGAUGAAAUCUGAUGUUGCAGAGUGGGUGGCUAAGUGUCCCACUUGUCAACUGGUGAAGGCAGAACAUCAGGUUCCCAGUGGUCUACUUCAGAACCUACCCAUACCAGAAUGGAAAUGGGAUCACAUCACAAUGGAUUUUGUGACUGGAUUUCCCACGACCAGGAAUAAGAAAGAUGCGGUAUGGGUUGUGGUUGAUCGGCUGACCAAGUCGGCUCAUUUCCUACCCAUCAAGAAAGGGGAUGGGAUCGACAGGAUAGUGCAAGUGUACCUAGACGAGAUAGUAAGGUUGCAUGGUGUUCCAGCAAGCAUUGUCUCGGACAGGGAUCCAAGAUUUACAUCUUAUUUCUGGCAGGCUUUCCAAAAGGCCUUGGGAACCAGAGUGAAUAUGAGCACAUCUUAUCAUCCUCAAACGGAUGGGCAGUCUGAAAGGACAAUCCAAACCUUAGAGGAUAUGCUAAGGGCAUGUGUGUUAGACUNNNNNNNNNNNNNNNNNNNNNNNNNNNNNNNNNNNNNNNNNNNNNNNNNNNNNNNNNNNNNNNNNNNNNNNNNNNNNNNNNNNNNNNNNNNNNNNNNNNNNNNNNNNNNNNNNNNNNNNNNNNNNNNNNNNNNNNNNNNNNNNNNNNNNNNNNNNNNNNNNNNNNNNNNNNNNNNNNNNNNNNNNNNNNNNNNNNNNNNNNNNNNNNNNNNNNNNNNNNNNNNNNNNNNNNNNNNNNNNNNNNNNNNNNNNNNNNNNNNNNNNNNNNNNNNNNNNNNNNNNNNNNNNNNNNNNNNNNNNNNNNNNNNNNNNNNNNNNNNNNNNNNNNNNNNNNNNNNNNNNNNNNNNNNNNNNNNNNNNNNNNNNNNNNNNNNNNNNNNNNNNNNNNNNNNNNNNNNNNNNNNNNNNNNNNNNNNNNNNNNNNNNNNNNNNNNNNNNNNNNNNNNNNNNNNNNNNNNNNNNNNNNNNNNNNNNNNNNNNNNNNNNNNNNNNNNNNNNNNNNNNNNNNNNNNNNNNNNNNNNNNNNNNNNNNNNNNNNNNNNNNNNNNNNNNNNNNNNNNNNNNNNNNNNNNUUGUUUGUGUUGGAUCCAGGACCAGAAAUGGACCGUGGUAAGGGAAAAGCACCAUGAGGACCGCGGCCAUGGGAAGAUGUGUGGUGAUUGGGUUGAUUCUGAAAAUUGUGUGAUUAUUGUAGCCUAUUGUGCAACUUGUGAACUUAUGCGAUUCUAGUAUGUAUUCUAUUAUUUAGGAUGAUGAAUGAUGUAUGAACCUUGGUUAAUAUCUAUGAAGUAUCUAUUUUCAUUAGUUGAUGCUUGAUUGUUUAAGUGUGAAUGUUGGAACCUCAAAACUCUGAAAAAGACUUAGAAUUAUUUAACACUUGAACUUGAAUAUGAAAGAUGGAAUUGGUUGCAUUGUUUGGUGAGGCCGCGGUCUGGUUGGAUUGAGGAAUCCAGGAUCGGGUCUUACACUCUCCACUAAUAUGGGAAAUCAAUUAUACCAUCUCUAUAUAAAAAUGUUGUAAACUUAUUACACUUUAUAGUUUUUGUGUCCUAUUUGAUACAUCUAAAUAAAUCUCCAUCACUUAAAACGUUUAUAGUUGGUUAAGAAACUUAAAGAGGCAAAAAAAAAAAAAAGUAGGAACAUAAAAAAAGGGUUUUUACCAAAAAAAAGAAAAGGCAUAAAAGAAGGGAGCCGAAAGCAAAAAGAAGAAGAGAAAAAGUGUGAUUGAAGUAUAAGAUGAUCUUUGUCACCAAUUUCACCCUCUCCUUCCUUAAUCCCAAAUUUAUAGGGCAACCCCAAUGAUGGAUUCUCAAAACACAUGUAUAUGUAAUAUAUAUAUAAAAAAUUCCAUUAAAUAGCUUUUUUAGUUUAUUUUUUACAAAAAUAAAUCUCAAAAAAGAAAAUGACCAAAAUAAAUUUUAUUAAAAGGUAAAUAUGUAUUUAUACCCAAGAGUUAACUAAUCUGACUUAGAGUAACAUUUUCGGUGGAAAAGGUUUUUGGGAUUCUUAAGUUUUUUUUUCUUUUCCUUUUUCUGAUUUUAAAAAAAAAAAAAAAAAAAAAAAAAGAUAAACCAGUUGCGGGCCGCCACGCUUCAGUGGAGCCCGCAAACAGUCUAACAAACGCAGUGCAAACGUAUGUUAAUUAAGGACAUUUUGGCACAGGCUUUGGGAAAAGAUGGUGGGGCUCACGCGUAAGAACUCUACCCCCAUCACCGAUAAUGUUGCCCUUAGAGUUUAGAGUUAAGGGGUGAAGUUUUGGAAUAGAGUUUCAAAUUUUAAAAAAUAAAAAAUUAAAAUUAAAAUUUUCAAAACAAAAAAGUACUAUUUUGGUCAUUUUAUUUUUUAAGUGCUAUUUUUGUGACAAAAAUUUAAAGAUCUAUUUGAGAAAAUUGACAUAUAUAUAUUAAUAUUUAAUUAUGAAUACCUCAAAAUUGAAAAAAAUAAAAGUAUUUAAUAAAAUUAACAAUAAUAAUAAAUUCAUGUCAAAUUUGAGAGAUUCUGCCUAUACCUUAAGACAAUUUCUUACGUUCAAGUUCAUAUAUUUCAUAAGCUAUGACACUAGAGGUCUAGGAAUAGCUACUUGUUGGAAUGGUGUCUUUGAUAAGACGCAUUUGAUGUUUCUUUUUCUACCAUCUUAAAGCAUUUUUUUUUGCAACUGAUUUUAUCAUAAAGCAUAUUAAAAUACCAAUUUGUCUGAAUUUGUUAACUGUCUCACUUUUUUUUUUUUGAACAAAUUGUUAAUUGUCUCACUAUGAUUAGCAACUUUCGGUAAUCUUUAAACCUAAACUAGAUAUCAUAUAUAAUAUAGUUGUUCAAAUGCAUUUCUACAAAAGAGAAAUAUAAUUAGUUAGAGAAAACGAACUUUUAACUUAUUUAUAAAAAGUCUCAAUGGUCUAGUGGUCAGUUUAUCAAUAUAGGUACCAGUGAGGCUGGGUUCGAAAUCCAUUUUUAACCUUUUUCAAAAAAAAAAACUUAUUUAUAUGUUUUUCCUUUUUUCAUCCUACGAACUGUCACGCACAUUAUUAGUUUAUAGUCUGAAUUACAUGUUUUGGUACUAGAAUAGACCAAUUAUACUACAAACUUUUAUCUAUUACAUUCGUUAAAAAGAAUGAUAAUCUUACCAGUGUUAAGUGAGUUCGUAUAUCGAUAAGCUAUAUUCACAUUAUACACUACGACAUACAAUUUAACAUAUAACAUGUUUCUACCUCCGGAAACCCUUAUCACUAAUCCAAAAUAAAACUCACAUAUUCUAGAGUUUAAGUUAAACUACAAAGCUAUGUAGUAACUUUUUUUUUUUUUUUUUUUUUUUUUUUAAAAAACUNNNNNNNNNNNNUGAUUUUUUUUUUUUUUUUUUUUUUUGAAACAACUAUGUAGUAACUUUUUAUUUUUUACUUUUUAGAUACAUUAUUUCAUUGCCUACACUAGACAGAUAUUGAACUCACGCGUAAAACUUUACUAUUAGUUACAAAUUAAUCUUGUUGAUUAGGUAUCCGUGAAGGCCUGAAGGGGUGGUCACUACCAGAUCAGUUCUUCGUAUCAACAAACCUUUUUGAUUAUUUUCUUACAACUUGACGCAUUAUUUGUCAUUUUUGGGUUUCUUUGUUGAUAUAUUUUUACUGUUUCGGUAGUGUUCCACUGUUCCCUUGAAACGUUACCAUGGGUUAAAGUAAACGUAUGUAAAUGAGGGGAUAUUCCCACUCUGUCAAAGUGAAAAGGUACAUUGUAUAGAAUACUAGUAGUAUUCCGGCGCUACGCGCCGGGUUCGUUUGUUUUAUUUUAAAUGAAUUUUCAAUUUAUUUUAUAGUCUUAGUAAAGAAAAUAUGUUCAAAAAUACGAACAUGAAAAUAUGUUGAAAGAGAAUGAUAUUCAUUUGAUAGUGGUUAGCGAUUGUAAUGUAUUACUUUGUUUUGAAGUUGAUUAGUCUAAAUUAGAAUAUCAUAAAUGGUUGUGACUAAUCAAUUUGAUAGUCAUAUCAUAGUUAAUUUAAUUAGAAUUUAAACAUAAAUUAAAGUUGAUGUUUUAUUUAUAAAAUAUACUUAUAUUUAAUGGUGAAUUUAAGUUUCUGAUUUUUUUGACUUCUCGCAAAAAAUAAAACUAAAAACAAAUCCGAAUCAGAUCAUAACAUAACAUAUCUUACGACAUGAGAAAACUGGAUGAAGGUAAAAGAUAGUGACUUACAUCACAAUUGUAGGAAGAAGUAACAAUAUUCUUAAGCUUGCGUUUUUCUAGUCUUAGAGUAUCUCCAACCUCACUCCAUAAUUUACUGCAAAAUGAAGUGAAAAAUAAAGUAAUGAAGAAACAAAAAGUGAUUACUCAAUUUAUGGAGUGAUAUUUUUUUUUGGUUCAUACUACAUUUAUUUUUGGAGUAAAUUAUAUAGUGGAGAUGGAGAAAUUUAUAGGAGAAAUUUUUGUAAUAAAUUUAUAGGAGAGAUUUUUUCAAUAAAAUUUAUUUGUUUUAACUUAAAUAUAUAUAUAUUAAUGGGAAACAAUAUCAGUAAGAUUUUAUUUGACAUGGCAGCAAAGAGUUUAAAAAAAAGUGUGCAACUUUUAGUAUGUAUAUUAAUAUUGUUCGUCUGAUGGUAGUUCAGUACGAACUGGAGGUGUGCAAGGAAUAAGCGGUGGACACAUAUUGAUUUUCUUAGUUAAAGCCCCUUGAUUUCCUUUAUAGAGAAGAAGCAUAAGUAACUAAAACAGAAAAAUGGAUUAGGAAAAUGCACCAGGAGGCAAUUCAAUGUCAUUUCCUUUAGUAUAAUAUUUAGGAUUAGAAUAUGUAACUUUUAAAUGAAAACAUGUAUAAAUGUAAUGGAUCUAAUUAAAAAAUAUUUUGUUAUGUAAAUGAAACCCAAAGUUUAGUAAGGCAUGGUUUAAUAAAUAGUUCAAAAUUGUUGCAUAAAUAGUUUUUGAUGAGUAGAUUUAACAUCUCAAAUAAAAUAUUUUUUACACAAUUUAACAUGCUGAGGACUUAGACUUAUUCAAUGCAUAUAUUGUGUUUAUUGAAAAACCACCCACCGCGUUGAGUUUAAUUAAAAAUUGAUAAAGUUCUAACUUAUAGUGCAUAAGCAAGCGAAAAGGACGACAUAAGAACAUAAGGAAAUGUAAUGGUGAUUUGUGUUUUCUAGGUGGAUCCAAUCCAACCGUGCCUUCUUCUUUCCAUUCUUUGGGUCAAAAAUCUGAUUGUUUGAUGCUGAACGCCCUCAUCUGGUACAACAGAUGAGGAAAUUUGAUGGUUGACAUUUGUAUUUUCACCAAGUGCUGCUGCCACACCAUCAGUCUGCUCCACAUGAGUAUUGACACCAACACCCUGCAAUCAAACACACAGUGUCAUAGAAAACUAAACAUAGAAAGCAAACACCAACAACCUGUUCGUUUGUAGUUGUAAUUUUUGAAGUUUUUAGAACUGGGUGUAUUUUGAAAGAAAAUGGAUCAGAAACCAGUGGUGUAAUGUUAAAAUAUUGUUUCACGGUGGAAGAGAUUAAAUAACCUGAAAUCAUUAGAGUAACAAACCAACGUUUUACAGAGGAAAUUGUCAAAAUCCUAAUCCAAGUAUGUACCUUGCUCUUGAGAGCAUUAGUUGCAGUGCCAUUAAAUUUUGAAUCCAUUGGGAACACACUGUUUAGAAGCAAAAUAAUAGAAUCUGGAACUCUUUGAAUGUCUCUGCUGGCAUGUCUAACAUUAGAAUAUAGAGAAAGAGCCCGAGAUUUUACUUUUCUAGUAAGAAAAAAUCAAUUGGAAUGUAACAGUCUAGGAAAAAUCGAUUGGAAUGUAACAGUUUACCUUGUUUAUACUGGUAAGUGCGUAUAUUGCACCAAUUAUGCUGCUGGUGCUCUCGAAGUCAAUCCCAACACUGUAAUGAGAAGCUCCAAAUAAGAGCUCAGGAGGUCGAUACCACAGAGUUACAACACGAGUAGUAAAAUGACGAUGUUAUGAGGAGUUUCUAAAAUUCGCAAUCUUGUCCGUUUAUGCGAAAAUUGUAGUUAUUUGUUUAAUAGACAUGACUUACAUGAUUAGCGGGACAAUGAUUGAGCCCUUUAAUAGCUGAGUAAUGUAGCAUUUAACCUGAAAGAGAAGAAGAGAGAUGUGAUUGAUGGUUACCAAGAUUCUUUAGAGUAGAAGCAAUAAAAACAAUACCUGAGGCUCUGAGAACUCAACACAAAGUAAUGAAGAGAGUCACAAGCAAUCAUGUAGAUGAUAGAGGAGUCGUGGCCUUUCGCAAACUACUUAUAUGACGGGAUUGUUAAAUAGCAGAAACGGCUGUAUUGCGGAUCUGUAAGUAUAGUGAUGCAGAACAUCAAUGAAAAUUAAAGACAAAUAUGACGAUUGAGUUAAAGACCAUAACAAAUCAUUGCAGACCAUAAUAAAUCAUUGCAGACCAUGAACAUUGUUUACUCACAUAUACUGAAAAAGGAGGGAGUGGGAGGGAAGGCCAUGUCCCUGGAACUCCAAGCUCAACAUUUCCUCUGGUUGGUAAUGUUACCUAUAUGUAGAGGCUCACCCUCUUGUUGCUUCCUGAAAACAAAUUAAUCAGGUAAGAAUAGCUUGGAGUUAAAUUAAAACAGAAUCAUAAUUACCAUGAGACCAGAGAAAAGAGAGAGAGAUGGAGCGAGUACAUGUGAAGUUUCAGUGCUCGAUGCUGAGUCAUCCAAAUGAUCUUUUGAUCUGCAGAAUGAACCUUUGAACCUACACAGUUUUUAAAAACCUGACGUGAGUGUCUCAUCACUCAAGGAAUCAGAAGCAAUUCCAUCAUAUCAACUCAAUAAAUCAAUGGCCACAGAAUCAGAAUACACGAAAGAGGUUCUUGUGAAUCAAAUUCUCUGCAUUUUCUCUUGAAGAUACAAACAAAGCAAUAUAGAUUAUUGUAGCUAGACAGAUCAAAGACUAUAUGGAAUCAACUUUGCGACCACUGUUCGUAAGAAAAUCUAGCAGCUGCAAAUACAACAUCGUAAAUGAUAAGAAAUUAUUACUUCAAAAUCAAAUUAGCGAAGAGAAAUUAAAAGGAAUCAUGUUACCUUGGAGUGUAGAAGCUUGCCAAGAUUCUUCGAUUUUGAUAAUUUUAGUAAAGAGGAGAAGCUAGGGAACAAAAGUUCGAAACUGAGGGAAUCCAAAAAGUUUCAAUGAAGUGGAAAUCAUAGGAUUGGUGGGUUUUCAGUGAUUGACAUAACGCCGGAACGUUACUUCCUCGAGAAGCGGAAGAGAAAUCAGCACAAAGAAGAAGGGGAUUCUUUGAUGGACCAAAAAAACGAAGCCCAAUAUAUUGAGGUCUCCAUAGUUUUAAUUAAUGCUCGUAAAAGAAACCCAUAAUGAAAUCGAAAACAUUUUUUUUAUCGCUGAAGAAAAGUGGACACCUGGCGCAAAAUGCCCCCUUCUCUUUGCUGACGUGGACGCAUGAGGAGAGAGGUAAGUCAACUUUAUUAUAUAAGAUAACAAAACUUCAGUUACCGUCAACUGAAGUCAUUCUUUUGUGUGUUUUUUUUUUGAAUGAAUGUUAAAUUUAUUAUUCAUCAAAAAAGCAUUUGUACAUGUGUGUCUUUGCUAGGAACAAUAGAUUCUACUCCUACUCCUUUAACAUUUCUAUAGCUUCAAACCUACAUAACCCCAUGAAGAAUAUUUACAAUCUAGUUCCGAACCAGUAUUACAAGAUAGUUUCUAACCCCUUUACCAAGGCCGGACCGGGUCUGAAUAGAAGCCCAUCAAGCUUGUGUUUGGGGCCCGACGAAAAUAUAGGCGUUUUAGGACCAAUUAUUUUUCAUAAAGAACAUGUAGCUCUAUUGGCUUGGGGCCUAACGAAAUUAUAGAUGGAUCCGUGUUCGAUUUUCCGCAACCGCAUCUUAUAAUAUUAUCACUACUUUUUAGAAACAAAGGGUCAAAAAUAUUUUUUUGCUUGUGGGCCAAUAUUUCUCAGACCCGGCCCUGCCCUUUACGCCUUUAGACUGCACUAAGCUGAGCUUGUUCCAGAUUACUUUGUCCGUGAGUUUGAUCAGGACUUGGUGUGGUAAACCCUGCUCACCAUGUCUACGUUUAUUGCGCUCUCUCCAGACCGCAUACAUGGUGGCUUGAAACGCAUAUCUCAGGCCUUGCCAUCGUGUCAUAUCAGAAAUCAGAACAACAACUGCAGCCCAAUCUGUGGUGUAUGAGCUUUGUAGAAUCCCUUUAGUAAGGUGAUGCCAGACUUGCAGCCCAAUCUGUGGUGUACGAGCUUUUGUGCUUUAUUUACACUAGGUUGCUCAAUUCAAAACUGAAUUCAACCAAAAAGGGCCAAAAUAGCGAUACAAAUCAAUUAAGUAUACAAUAUAUAUUUACAAUUUCGAAUAACUAGUAAAUAUAGCCAAAACAAACAAGGGCUUAUUUGCUGAAUAACCUAAAUCAUAAGUGAAAUAAAGUGCAUGCUUAUGAUUUUGACAUAAUUAAGUAAGUAACAAUUAUACCUCUUUUGAUCCGGUUAUAACCUUCUCUCGAACAAGUAGCAGGUGAAAGGAAGAAGGUAAUACCACAUCACUUAAAUUAAAUAUGGCUAAUAAUGAGGCCACAUCACACACAUACAAACCACAUAAGCCAAAUUAAAUAAGGUCACAUCAUACACAUACAAACCACAUAUGUUUUAUUGUUUCAGUAAAUAUAUAGAGGAUAAUAGAAAAACAAUAGUUUGAUAAAUAAUGUAGUCCAUUCAUUUGUGUAAAUAUAAUGAUGUUGUUCUCCAUUAAAGAAUAAAUGUUGACAAAUGUGUAGAUGAUGUAAUAUGGUAAAGUUACAAUAUAUUACGUACUAUUCCUUAAAAAAUUGAAUAUCUCUAACCUAAUCUGGAUAUGUCAACCUACAUUCAACAUAUAAACAGUUUCUCACGUUUUCAAAUAUCAAAUGUACCCAGGUUCAUACCACUAUACUAUAUAAUGGAUAUAGUAUAGUACGUUUACAGUGUACUGUGAAGUAAACUUUAGUAGUAAGGUUAUAUGGAUGUUUAAUUACCAUAUUAUUGGAUAGAAUAGACUGACACUACGACAUGGAUGAGUUCAUAUCACUAAUACAAGUAAAGGAGCAACGAGGGUGAGUUAUUGAAACCCCCACCCAGAUGAUAACACUAAACUCUAACCUGGAAAUGUCAACCCACAUCCGAGAUAUAAACAGUUUUCCCCGUUUUCAAAUAAUGACAUUAUCCAGGUUCAUAAUACUAUACUACACGGUGGAUAUAGUAUAGUACUUUUAGAGUAUACGAGGAACUAAACUUAGUUCUCGUUCAAUAAUUCAGAGGAGUUUAGUAGCAAGGUUAUAUGAAUGUUUUAUUAUUCAAUUAUUGAAUAGAAUAGACUGACACUACGACACUGACGGGUUCAUAUCACUAAAAUCUAAACUCUAAUUAGUAAACCCUAACUCAAAUAUAAAUCCUAAACCCAAAUAUAAACACAAAACCCAAAUAGAAUGGAACAAAAUAAAUAACAUGGUACAUAUAAGUGAAACUAUAAAAUAUCGAUGAUUGCAUGAAAGAAGUUAAUGAUCAUCCCAACCAUACCUCCUCACCUUCUAAAUACUAAACCCUAAAUUAUAGGCACUAAACCCUAAUCCAAAUAUAACCUAAACCCUAAACCUAAAUAAAUAGAUUAAGCUAAACCCUAAUCAAGGAAGUAUAAACCCAAAUAGAAUGUAUAUAAUAUGGUUUACUAUACCGAAACCUUUACUUAGUAAAUCUAAACCCUAGGCAGGAACCUAUAAACCCAAAUACAAUCUAUAAAUUAUUUUCCAAUAUUAAACACUUGAAAGCACAUUUACUUGAAAUAAAUAGAUUAAGCUAAACCCUAAUCAAGAAAAUAUAAACCCAAAUAGAAUAUAUAUAAUAUGGUUUACUAUACCCAAACAUUUACUUAGUAAAUCUAAACCCUAAACUCUAAUCACUAAACCCUAACUCAAAUAUAAACCCUAAACCCAAAUAUAAACACAAAACCCAAAUAGAAUGGAACAAAAUAAAUAACAUAGUACAUAUUGGUGAAACUAUAAAAUAUCUAUGAUUGCAUGAAAGAAGUUAAUGUUCAUCCCAACCAUACCCUCUCACCUUCUAAAUACUAAACCUUACAUUCUAAUCACUAAACCCUAAUCCAAAUAUACCCUAAACCUAAAUAAAUAGAUUAAGCUAAACCCUAAUCAAGGAAGUAUAAACCCAAAUAGAAUGUAUAUAAUAUGGUUUACUAUACCCAAACCUUUACUUAGUAAAUCUAAACCCUAGGCAGGAACCUAUAAACCCAAAUACAAUAUAUACAUUGUUUUCCAAUAUUUAACACUUGAAAUCACAUUUACUUGGUUAGCAUAUUGCAUAUCUUAUAUUCCAUAUAGUCUAAGUAGUAUACUUAACGAAUGUUCCAAAUAAUCAAAUUUGUCCAACACUCGAAAAAUGAAUUUCAUAUUACAAUCAAUCACACAAAUUGACAAAGAAGAGACCUAUCAAAUUUAAAAACAUGAUAUAUUAUUACAUUUUUAAGGAGUAGUAUAGAAAUAUGUCUCAAAUAGUAUGGUAACCGUACAUAAGUAGCUAUACUUAAAAAUAUAUACUAUACUAUUCAUUUCACGAAAUAUAGUAUAGACGGCGAAUUCAUCUUCUUCAAUUCUUCUUUUUUUAGACAGGCUGAUACACAUUCAUUUCGUUCACCACCAUAUAGAGAUCAUCUUCAUCUCCUCUCUUUUUCCCGACACGAUGAUGCUUUAACUGAUUCGCCGUCGUUGUUCUUCACCACUAGAUCUGUAAAACAAAAUCAGAAACAAAAACAGAGUAUGUAAACAAAAUCAAGAUUGUGAGAAUCAAUUAAUUUAAGAAAAAAAGGAGAAAAAAAGAAAAAGAUUUUGUGUGUGCUUACCGUCUACGCUUUCAUUGCAGUCUGUUCUUCACCACUGGAUCUUAAAAACAAAAACAGAAAAGAAAACAAAAAAACAGAGUAUGAAAAUAAAAGCAUGAUUGUGAGAAUCAAUUGAUUUUAAAAAAAGAAAAAAAAUGAAAGAGUUGUUGUGUGUGCUCACCGUCUUCCUUAGAACAAUUGAUUAUUCUUUUGGUGAAGUAUUGAAAGAGAAGAAUUAUGUGACAGAAGAAAAUGUAUGAUUGUUUUGAUAAUCUGAAGAAGAAAGAGAAACAGUGGAAUGAGAUGGUAGAGUACAGACAUGGAGGUGGUGGUGAUGGAUUAGAAGAUGUGGCUAAAAGUUUUUUAUAUAUUUUUUAAUUAUUUUUGUUAGUAGGUUUCACCGGUUGGUUGCAAGGGUAAUAUAGCAAUAAUCUAUAAUGUGUAUAGUGUAUAUUGAAAAAACAGGGUUUUUAGUUAGUGGAUGAAUUAUAAUUUGUUUGAUUGAUGUAGGAUGCAAUUCCCCAACAAACAACCCAUUGCGUCUUGGUCAGAACAUUGCCAUAAUUGACCAAUGAUAAUCGUAUCUAUCUAGGCAUCCAUUUUCCGAAUGCUAUGAUUUUAUAUAUUCAUACGUUUUCUAUAUUUCUGCUUAUUUAUGCCAAGAUUAUACCACACACAAACAUUUUGAAUACUUCUUUUUUUAACACAUUAGAAUACAUCUUCAACAUUAUAUAUAACUAUAAGCAAUUUUUACAUGUCUAACUUUACGGUUUUAUCGACCCUACGAUCAGUAAGCCAUAUGAACAUUUUACUUGUAUUUGUGAAAUUUAAUCCGAUAAAAUAAUAUAUAAAUAGCUUAUUUAUUCUGGAAAUAUAGUUUUUCUUAUAAAUUCACCUCAGUAAGAACCGAACCUAUACAUUAAUAGAAACUGAAAAUAUGUUUUUGGUCAGAUUAGAGCAGGCGGGGCUCCACUUGUUUGUUCCGACCCAAAUGUAGUUUUCAUUGUCACUUUCUUCUUCUUUUUAGUCGUAUGACGUAAAAGUGAUUAUUUACACUUUAAAAGUUGUUUUGUCCUACGCAUUGUGACGUGGAGCAGUAUUUUUAAAACUCAAUAUUAUUUAAAGAUAAAAGUUGGACACAUUAUAAAUAGAUAGCAUUGGCUGGUUUAAAAUGGAUAACAAAAUUAUUCAUUUUAAACAAAGAAAAACUAAUUUGACGACAAUUUUAAUCGUAUUGCUGAAGUUAUAGAGAUACGCCUAGAAGAAAAAAAACUUUGAUAUAUCAAGAAGAUAAUCAAAGUGAAAGACAUAUAAGCCAAUAUAAGUAUGAACAGAAAAACUGAAAAGCCAAUAUGAAUGAGUUGUUAGUUGCAUGUAUCUAUGUGUGAACAAGUUCAUAACCUUUCGAGUCUGUGUGGUUACAUUUACUUUGUGUUUUUUUUUCCUGUAGAACACUUCAGACAAGUUAUGUCUUAGUCACUUUAUCGGUCUUCGGUUUUGUAAAAAACAAAAGCCGAACUAUAGUAACUCAUUUAUGUGUUUCAAAAAAAAAGUAACUCAUUUAUAAUCCCAAUUAAAAAUUUAUUUAUUACAAGGAGAGUUUUUGCAACAGGUCUUAAUGAUUGUGGCCAGCUUGGUGUCUCAGACGUAAAUACUCAUGCUUUGGUAUGUUACAUAUGUCAAAAAGACUAUAGAGGAUGCAAGCUUUUGUUUUUUUUUCUUUGCUUCUUUGUUUUUUUACAUGUCUUCAUCUCAAAUAAAUUCAAUCGGAACUUGUUUCUUGUAUAUAAACGUUGUAGGAGCCGCUUGAAGUUUCUGGUAUUGAAAAUGAUAUACUGCACAUCUCAGCUGGUUAUAACCACUCUGCUGCUGUCACAGGUAAAUAUAAGCAUAGUGUUCUUCAUUACAUCGUCAUGGAACUGAUACAUGAUCUCCUACAUGCCAAACAUGAUCUUCUGGUGCAGUAUUGUAUGUUAUUUUUACUUAGUCACAUUUUUUUUUAAAAACCCUUAAAUAAGAGACUUGCAUUGGACCACACAAAUAUUUCCGUCUCUUGACUAAGUUUCUUAAACUCACUUUUCCAAUUAAAAAUUAUUAAAAAAAGAUAUAAAUGAAUAUUUGGGAUAAUGAUGCUCCAUGAGUUUAAAAAAAGAUUGAAAAAUUUUGUGAGAGAGAAGAAAAGAAAAAAGGUAGCAUUUUUAAUAAGUUUUUAAUAAAACUAAGUCCUUGUCCGCGCUACGCGCAGAUAGUAUUUUGAUUUUUUUUCUUCAUAUUUUUGUACUAUUAUGUCAAUUGUUUAGUUUUAUAAAAUGUUAUGUUUUAACUGUAAAUUUAGAAUUAAAAAUCUAAUUUUUCCUUACUGUUAAUUUUUUUAAAUCUUACCACAACACAUUAUACAUGAAGAAAAUAUAGUUGGCCUUUAUAUUUUUAUUUGGUGUAAUAUUGAAAAUUUUGAUGGUUUGUUUAAAUGGCUUUUUUAAAUUAUAUAUUUUAGGAUUGAUUUUCGUGACUAUAUUCUAUAAUUGUCUAAAAAAAUUGUUUGUCCCAUAUAGACAUCCACAUAAAUAUGGGCUUCUGAUAAAUUUGUUCAUUGGGAUAUUUAGUUUCACUUUCAACUUUAUUCCUUUUUUUGGCACCCUCAUGCUAGCUUGUGGGGCUAGCCAACUUGGUGCAAAAGGGUUUACAAAAGCUGAUCAAGAUGCGCGUGAUCGGACACCUUUUGCUAGGCUAUUCGUACGGAAUUUUAAAGAUCUAGGAAUAUAAGCAAUAGAAAGUUCAGAAAAUUCUUUGGAUACAGCCUGUAUUUCGUCGAGCUCCUUGUCCAACGCAGGCCAAUCUUCCUCCUUUUGAAUGAGUAUAACCAGUUGUUCACAGUCGAUUGAAAGACCAUCUCUCUGUGUCCAAACUUCAGUAUCACUUGCAUUGCCCAUAGCAAAUCUUCAGCUUCCGCUUGAAGUGGUGAUUUAGUGUGUGCAUAUCGGGCCUUGCUCCAAACAGGAUUGGAAAAUCACCAUCCAUUAACACAAAGCCAAGUCCAGAUAUGUCUCUUUCAUUUAUCCAGGAUGUCUAGCAGAAGCGUUUCUUUGCGGAGGAACAGUUGUGUCCGUUACCUCAACUCCCAUAUCAAUCUCCAUAAUCUCGUCGAUACAUUGAGCUAUCCUCCAACACUCUGCUUCAAUUUUAUUCGCUAAUAGGAAAGACAUAAUUCCUACGACACUAUUAAUGAUUGUUUUUUAUUGUAACACCGAUACGGCAAACUUAUGUUUUAUUUAACAAAACUCUUAUUUUAAUUUUGUAUUAAAAAAAUCAAUCAUAUUUUAUAUUAUCCAUAAUUUUAGUAAAUUUGCUUAUUUGUCAUGUUUUUAUUAGGUUUUAGCUAAAUCAUUGAUUUAUUAUUUAUUUUUAGCUAAGUUACUAAUUUAUUAAUUUAAAAAUACCCUUAAUUAAUAUUAUAUAUAUAUAUUAAAAAUGAAUUUUAUUUUAGUAAUAUUAAAUUUAUAUUUUAUAUUAAAAUUCAGUUAGUUUUUCUUAUUUGUCAUAUUUUAUUAGGUUUUAGACUUUUAGAUAGUUUAUUGAUUUAUUAUUAAUUUCUAACUGAUUCGCUAAUGUGUUAAUUAAAACAAUACCCAUAAUGAAUUUUAUAUAUAAUUAAAAACGAAUUUUAUUUUAAUCAUAUAAAAUUUAUAUGUUAUAUUAAUAUUAAAUAAUUGAUUCUAAAAUAAUAUAAUAAAAUUAUCAAAAAAUUUUAAAAUAAGAUAAUUAUUAUAAAAGUUAAAAAGAUACAAAAAAUUAUAAUUAAAUAUUAUUCAAGAAAAAACAUUUAUAUAAAGAUAUUUUCUAAAUAAUUUCUAACAUAUGAGUGUUUUAAAAAAUUUAACACUGGAUGUUUAGAACACGGGAUUAUGCUUAUGAGAGAGUGGUUCGGGAAUGGGCUUCGAGAUGGGUCGAAUGGGCUCUGAAAAUAGCUUUUUUUUUAACUCAAGCCCAGUCCGGAUGACAUGGCAUCUUGGUUGAUUCACAAUAUUUUGCCCAUGUGGCAGGGCUUAGAAAGGAGGGAUUUAGUCCCUUUUAUAUAGUAGGAUUCUUAUAUAUAUUUUGUUGCUAUCUGAAAAAAAUAUUUUUAUUGUAAAAGUUAAAAAGAUACAAAAAUUAUAAUUAAAUAUUAUUCAAGAAAAAAACAUUUAUAUAAAGAUAUUUUCUAAACAAUUUCUAACAUAUGAGUGUUUUAAAAAAUUUAACACUGGAUAUUUAGAACACGGGAUUAUGCUUAUGAGAGAGUGGUUCGGGAAUGAGCUUUGAGAUGGGUCGAAUGGGCUCUGAAAAUAGCUUUUUUUUUAACUCAAGCCCAGUCCGGAUGACAUGGCAUCUUGGUUGGUUCACAAUAUUUUGCCCAUGUGGCAGGGCUUAGAAAUGAGGGAUUUAGUCCCUUUUAUAUAGUAGGAUUCAGACUGCUACCAACUCUGUUCUAUAAAUAUUCAGCACUUCAUGACCAUUCAACACUCUACCAACCUUCUAAUAUCUCAAUCACUCUCUUAAUCAUUCACAAAUCACUUUUGAAGUUUUCACACCAUCAUUCAUUUCUUUCGAAAGUCGAAACUCCUAUCUUAAUUUGAAGUCUUUGGAGGAUUUUUGGUUAAUUGUUUCUGUCAUAAAAUAGUCUCUUCCCUUUUUUUGUUCAGACAAUGUUCUUGUCACACAUAGAAUGCAAUCGACUUGAUUUGCAAUUUUUUCUUAACAACAAAACGUGCGUCGAGAAAAGUUUUUAUUUCUGGAUUUUCCAAAUACCAACCGUUGUAACUUCGUUAUCGUGUCUUAAAACAUAAUCUGAAUUCUAAAUACUCUUCUUGUGGGUCAAGAUUUCGCAGUUUCUUGUGUAUCAAGUCACUUAAUGUCAGAGAUAUUGCAAAUGGGAAGUUCAUGUUUACCCCCAGGCUUCCGGUUUCAUCCUACAGAUGAAGAACUCAUCGACUAUUACCUAAAAAGAAAAGUCGAAGGUCUUGAGAUCGAGCUUGAAGUCAUUCCCGUUAUUGAUCUUUAUAAAUUUGAUCCUUGGGAGUUACCAGGUAUUAAUUGCCUUCAAUUCAACAUUAUUCUCAACCUUUUUAUUACUUUUCGAAUUUUUAAACAAAAAAAUGAUAGUAUUUUGUAACAUUUAGACAAGUCUUUUCUUCCGAAUCGGGACAUGGAAUGGUUCUUCUUCUGUUCAAGGGACAAAAAAUAUCCUAAUGGUUUUCGUACAAACCGAGGAACAAAGGCCGGUUAUUGGAAAGCAACCGGAAAAGACCGGAAAAUUACUAGUCGUUCAUCUUCUACAGUCGGCUAUAGAAAAACCCUAGUUUUCUACAAAGGUCGUGCCCUGUUAGGCGAUAGAACCACUUGGCUCAUGCAUGAAUAUCGACUAUGCGAUGAUGAGAGUUCAUCACAAGGUUCACAAACUUACAAGGUAAGAACUUUACAUAUUCAUCACAUUCUAUAAUGCUUUAUUUGUUUCUAAGUGUGAUAAAUUACAGGGAGCUUAUGUGUUAUGCCGUGUGUCUAAGAAGAAUGAGAUCAAGACUAAUUCGAAAAUCCGAAGAAACCUAAGUGAACAAACACUUGGAUCAGGAGAAAGUUCUGGAUAUUCUAGUCGAGUGACUUCACCUAGUCGGGAUGGAACGAUGCCGUUUCACUCAUUUGUCAAUCCGGUUUCUACUGAAAUAGACUCUUCCAACAUUUGGAUUUCACCUGAUUUCAUUCUUGAUUCUUCAAAAGUAUGUAUUAUACAAUUCUAGUUUGACCAAUAACUAAACCGGAACAAGGUAUUGUUUAUCUAAUACUUGUUUGAUUAUGUUCUUGUAGGACUAUCCUCAAAUUCAAAAUUUUGCAUCUGAGUACUUUCAAGACUUUGAUUUUCCGGUUAUCGGUCAAGAAGUAAAUUUUCCAGCGAGUAUAUUGCAUACCGAUGUAGAUCAGAACAUGGAUGAAUCUAUGCAAACCGGUUAUUGGACAAAUUGUGGAUACGAUCAAACCGGUUUAUUCGGUUACUCAGAGCUCUCCUAAUCGGAGUCUCGUUUGAAGUCUCUUCUAAGACUAAACGGCUUUUAUGGUUCGAGUCAUCCCACUUGUAGCAUUGGUCUAUAGGAUUUGUUUUAUUAAUGUAUCCGGCGCUACUAGUGGUAUAACUGAUAGUUGCACCAAAAUAAAUAUAGUUCAACUCAAAACAUAAAUAAGGUUGAUGAUCCAAAAGAUAUAAAUUUAAAUGCAUGUGUUUGUUUUGUGAUUUUCUUGUUCGAAGGAAGAUAGUAAAUCCGUUCAUCCUCUUAAAAUAGCAACAACCCUCGCAUGCUUUGAAUGUCGAUGUGGCAAUUUGUUAGGAGCUUCGUUGUAGACGUAUUGGUUACAUACGCUGUCUUCAAAAUGAUUCUAAUCCAGUAAUUGAAUUAUUAAUCAUGGUCCAACAUUGAUUGGACCGGAAUUGACUAUUUUUUCAGGAUAAGUUAUCCAACUAUUAUUUUCCCUCUAAAUUGCUUAUGCACAAUAUUAAAAUACCAUAAGAAAUAUGUGUUGUUGUCAUAGUUUUCAUCUGUAGAUUGGCGAAGAUGGUUGAGUUCUUUGCGGUGGUUGAGUAUAAUUUAAAAUAUUAAUUUUUGAAUUAAAUUAAUUUUUAUUUAUACAUAUUUAAAAGAUAAAAUUAAAAACUAAAUUUUAUGAUAACUUAAAAGAAGAACGAAUUGAAAUAAUGAUAAUGUUUUUUUUGCUUUACUCGAUAAAUAUAUAUACACAUUUUUAUAUUAUAUCUUAUAAGUUUUAAUCUUUUUUGAAAGAAAUAUAGUGAUGAUAAUUUUGUUACUAUAAUACAUUUGUAGUUACUAUACUGAUAAACUUAAUCACUAUUAAGAGUAAUAAUAAUUUUAACCAGUUUAACUUUUAAUGUGAGAUCCAUGAGAAGAAAAAAAUUUCAUAAAUAUAUUUUUGUAAUAACUAAAAAAAACAUUAAAAGAUAAAAUUUAGAUAAUGAUAAUAUUUACUACGUAUAUUCGAUAAAUAUAUACACAUAUUUAUCUUAUUAUUUAACAAAUGUUACUUCAUUUAUUAGAUAAAUAUAUACACAGACUUAUUUUAUCAUUUAAUAUUUUUUAACCUUGUAGGAAAGAAAAUAAGUAAAAAUAAUUUUAUCAGUAUAAUAUAAUUGUGGUUAAUUUUAUUAUGUUAAACCUAAUUAUUAUAAUAGAUUUAUGUAUAUAUAUUAUAAUCAUAAGAAUAUAAUUCAUGAUCAAAACCCAAAAUUUGUUGGUUUUUUAACAUCCAAAUAUAUAGAUGGAAUGUGAGGCAAAGGGAAGAUGAAUACAUACUUAAAUAAAUUGUGACUAUAAUCUAAAUGGUCUUCUAUCUUUCAUAUUUGGUUUCGUGUAAAACUAAUUUGUUUAUCACAAUUGAUUCAAACGUUGUGUUCGCCUUCAAAAUCACUGAUUUGCCAUUUUUAACUGACAAUGGAUUUCUUAUUUACGGUUUUAAAGAAUCUAAAGAGGGUCUUAAAAUAUAUAUGAGUUCAUGUUGCUUAGUUUGAUGACCGAUGCCCUUUUUAGACCAACCCUUAGCAUCAACAGUAUUUUUGGCAGCUUGAUGUUAGGAGUUUUCAAGGCUCCUAAGACAAAUGUUGUAGUAUAAAAGAUUGUCGAACCAGUUCUGAGGGAUAUCAAAGCACUGAGAAUGCAAGUACUCACUUAAUCUAAGUGCAACCAAUGAUUUAGAUGGGUUUUAAACUACUACUAAACUAGAAUGCAAUAACAGAAUGAUACUUUCUUAACUAAGGGAAAAGAGAACUCAUGGGCAUAGGGAUUAGACCUUGGGUGAUCAAGUAUCGAAUUAAGGAUGGCAAAUGAUCAAUCAAACUAUCAACCUUAAGCCUAGACACAAUUCUAAGCAAGCUCUAUGUCUAGAUGAAUGCUCAUUUGCUAACAUAUCUCAAACAUCAAAUGUCUUUGGUUGAAUAAUAUGAAAGCAAUCAUUAAUAACAAGUCUAUUAGCUAUNNNNNNNNNNNNNNNNNNNNNNNNNNNNNNNNNNNNNNNNNNNNNNNNNNNNNNNNNNNNNNNNNNNNNNNNNNNNNNNNNNNNNNNNNNNNNNNNNNNNNNNNNNNNNNNNNNNNNNNNNNNNNNNNNNNNNNNNNNNNNNNNNNNNNNNNNNNNNNNNNNNNNNNNNNNNNNNNNNNNNNNNNNNNNNNNNNNNNNNNNNNNNNNNNNNNNNNNNNNNNNNNNNNNNNNNNNNNNNNNNNNNNNNNNNNNNNNNNNNNNNNNNNNNNNNNNNNNNNNNNNNNNNNNNNNNNNNNNNNNNNNNNNNNNNNNNNNNNNNNNNNNNNNNNNNNNNNNNNNNNNNNNNNNNNNNNNNNNNNNNNNNNNNNNNNNNNNNNNNNNNNNNNNNNNNNNNNNNNNNNNNNNNNNNNNNNNNNNNNNNNNNNNNNNNNNNNNNNNNNNNNNNNNNNNNNNNNNNNNNNNNNNNNNNNNNNNNNNNNNNNNNNNNNNNNNNNNNNNNNNNNNNNNNNNNNNNNNNNNNNNNNNNNNNNNNNNNNNNNNNNNNNNNNNNNNNNNNNNNNNNNNNNNNNNNNNNNNNNNNNNNNNNNNNNNNNNNNNNNNNNNNNNNNNNNNNNNNNNNNNNNNNNNNNNNNNNNNNNNNNNNNNNNNNNNNNNNNNNNNNNNNNNNNNNNNNNNNNNNNNNNNNNNNNNNNNNNNNNNNNNNNNNNNNNNNNNNNNNNNNNNNNNNNNNNNNNNNNNNNNNNNNNNNNNNNNNNNNNNNNGUAAAUAUGCAAGAUAUCAACUCCCCCAAACUUGUUCUUUUACUUGUCCACAAGUGAACUUUCUAGAACUCAUAGGGAGAGAGGUUGAAGGUGGGAGCACAUAGCCAAAAGAAACACAACUAGCACACUCUCUUAUUACACUCUAGCUUCUCUAGGCCUAUCUUAACUCUUUUUGUUCUUACACUCAUCAUCAAGCAUCCACACAUUCAAAUCAACCAACUCUCACAUUCAUUAAGCACAAAACAUCAGGUGAAUUCUUGCAAAUGGUCAGUUGGUCCAAGUCAUUUGGUUGGGUAAGGGAAGGCUUUUAUUCAAGUGAUUCAAGAGAUUCAAAACAUAUGAUCUUUAAGGUGGUUUACUCUCGAAACAAGUAGCCUUGACAUUGCACAUAAUAUAUCUAAGAAAGGGAUCAACUCAUGCAUACAAUGCUCAAUCUCCAUUGUUCUACCCUUUUCCCAAACAUACAAUUACACAAUCAUUCCCAAAUGUCAAACCCAACUCACAUCUCUCACCAAAAGAUCCUAAGAACAUCAACUCUUUCUCUUUGAAAUCUACAAGGGAUUUUUCACAACCUCAAAACAUUUCUUAGCUCUUAACAACUUUGCUAGCCCCCUUUUUCUUUUUUUUUUUUUUUUUUNNNNNNNNNNNNNNNNNNNNNNNNNNNNNNNNNNNNNUUUUUUUUUUUUUUUUUUUUUUCGUUUUUUCUUUUUCCUUUAUUUUUUUUUUUUUUUUUUUUAUUUUUUUUUUUUUUUAGGCUGGGGGCCAAGACUUUUCAAAACUUGAGCUAGAGGCUUCUCUACUUAUCCCAAUAAAACAAUUCACUUAAGCACAAAGAGUCUAUUCUUUUCCUUUUCAUUCCUCCCAAAUCAUAAUCACAACACUCACCCCCCACCUAUAGCUAGACAAUAGAGUGCCCAAUCUAGCAAGAAUGAAGAUCAAGCAUUGUCGUUCCCGAUACUCUCAACAUUAUGCACAUGUAAGACUUUCCGAAAAAGGCCUCACUCAUCAAACAAUGAAAGCUUAAAAGGAGGGAAGGGUUUUGGGAGUGGUCUACCACUAGAGUUUGUCAAAAUAAGAUUGGCAUAAAGGAUGUGACAACUCAAGUGUGUAUAGCCAUGACUCAGUACACAAGGGACCAUGAGCAAGAGGCAUUAAGUUCGUUCAGUUCAAAUAAGGUUGUAGUUGGCUUCAAAGACUGAGUUUCAGCAAUCAACAAGUUUCAGGAAGAGUUUUCAAGGCUCGAAACAUACAAGUCUUUUUGAGAGGUGCAAAAGCUACUCAGGUGCAACGUAGUGUUCUUUACAAGGCAUUUAAAAUCAUUGCUCCCAAUGCAUGUGAAUGCAACCUAUAUGCUCUAGACUCUCCUAGAAAUGCAAAUGAUGCAAACUAAAUGAUUGAUUUUUUUUUUUUUUAUAUGCAAAUAGGUAUGCAAUGCAUGACUCAAUGAAACAACAUCAAAGCAAACAUGAUCAAAUACUUGGUACCUCCCCCAAACUUGAGUUACACAGCCUCUGUGUUGUCAAGUAGAGAGAGAGAUACCGAAAAGAAGACUAAUAUGCAAAAAUAAAAUGGUAUAUACAGGGGAGUGUGAUGGGUUACCUUCUAUGGGGAAUGAGUAGAGGGAGAUGAUCCCUCCUCGUCGUCCUCAGGUGGUAACUCUUCAAGGUGCUCAUCAGCAGGAGUGUCCAUCUCUUCAAUGUAGAAGGCUUGCCCGAACACAGUUGGUUUCCUCAUUUUCCUCUUGAUGUCAAAGUGGAGGAUGUUCUCUUUACCCAAAUGGAGAUCAAUCGUGCCUUCCUUCACAUUAACAAUAGCUCCUGCUGUAGCUAAGAAUGGUCUUCCACAAAAAUAUUAUAUGUUUGAAAUAAGUAUAAAAUGAUUUCUCUAUAUGGAGAAUAGAUGAUGAUAGGGUUGAAUCCUUAUGUGUUAUAUAGGGUUGAAUCCCUAAAUAAACCCUAAAAUCUAAAUUUGUUUCAUCUAAAUUGUAUAAAUUUGUUACAAUAGGGUUGAAUCCCUAAAUUUGAAUCCCUAUAUGAUGAUAGGGUAUAAAUUUGUUACAAUAGGGUUGAAUCCCUAAAUAAACCCUAAAAUCUAAAUUGUAUAAAUUUUUAUGAACAAUUUAUUUGUAAAAAUUUUAAUGGAACACUUAAAUUGUAUAAAUUAUUUUGAAACACUUAUUUUUUAAAAAUUUUAAAGGACCACUUAUUUUUAUAAUUUAUAUAUAUGCCAAGCCUACAUAAUCUUAUUAGAAAUAUGUCUUAACAACCAAACAAAAUAUGUCUUACAACCAAACAAGCAAAAUAUGUCUUAAAACAAAACAAGCAUACUCCGAUCCAUAAAUAUGUCUUUGAGAAUACUCGAUCGAGUACAUUUAAACAUACAGAAUCUUAUCAUUUGGCCAAGCCACUGUGCUGCCCACAGCAUCUGAUAUGUCUUCCAGAAAAGAGUUUGGUCUCCAUAGAGAUGCAUCUUCAAUCAAGGCCACUUCAACCCAGACCCGACUUGCAUUGGGACCUAACGGGACGUGAUGGACUAAACACAAUGGAUCAGUACUACUUACUCUGCCUUCUGCGACUUUCCGUCCUGAGUUGUUGUGGUCCAACAAGAUGCACUUCUUUUUACCACCUGAACGGGUGGAACUAGUGCUGCCACUUGGACUCUACAAGCACAACAAAUACAUCACACCAACUACAUCUAAAUAAGUUUGUAAAAGAGAGAAGUUUGUAAAUUUACCAAUGAAGGCCUUCUGACACUAGCUUCCCCUUCAUCUUCAGGAACUUUAAUUACUGAUACAUUAUGGAGCGGCCAUGCGAUCUUUUCAUUAACAGCAUCACUCAUUGUUGUCAUGUCACUUGUUGGCCUCCAUAGAAAAGCUUUCCCAUUAAUCACCUUAGCAACUCUCAUAACUACAGCAUUCGGACCCAAAGGAACAUUGUUCACCAUCUCAUAUGGGUCAGUCGAACCCAUAAAACCUUCAGCGAUUACCUCGACGCCCUUAACCCAAUCGUAGAUCUUGCACCUUUCAAGAUCAUCUACGGUAGUAUUCUAUAUUGACAAUGCAUAUGGUUAGUAUCAUGUUGAAUUUUAUAAUACAAACGUAAGUAUACGUGCUAAUGGAAUGACCUUUGAUCUUAACACAUCCGAGGAAACUGGAUGGUUGUUCGAUGCACUAUCUAGUAUCAGUUUAUCAAUUGGCCAUGGAAUUUUGCAUCCCGCUGCUUCCUGAAGAUUACGCACAUCCGUAGUUGGCCUCCAAACAGAUGCCUUCGGGUUUGAUACCGACUUUACAACAACCGCCGCGGCGUUAGGACCAAUCGGAAUACGACCAAUCUUGUAUGUACCUUCAGCAGAGCAGAAUUCUCCUUCAGCGACAACAACAUCUUUUGACUCACACCAAUCAAGUAGUUGAACUCUAGUUCCUUCUUUGUAUACAUAACUAGCCUCAGAUGGAGAAACACAAUCAUCAUUGUUUUUCUGUAAAAACAUAAAAUGAAUCAUUGAUUUUAUAUCAAUCAAGGAAAUUCUACAUUAUAUAACCAGUUAAAACUAAAGAAAAUUCACCUUAUUUCCAGCUAAGUCACGGACCAGAAUCUUCAAGUCUUUAAUCUCGCUUUCCAAGUCGGCAAGUUUGGAGUCUCUAGCUGACAAGAAUGCUAGUUUCGUAGCAGUAAUCCCUCUUCCCAACCCUCUGACUCGUCCAGGUUUGUCUACUCCCAACACUUGACUAACAGCAUCUUCUUUUAUAUUAACACUGGAUGUGGAGUCCAUUUGACUAUCAAGUGAAAUUAUUUUUUCCUGAGACAAACACAAUAUAAGUUAUGGUCCUUUUCAAUACCAAAAAGAGUAACUUAAUUAAUCAGACAAUGAAACCUUACAAUGGUUUCAGCAAACUCAGGUCUAACAGGUCUACCAUCAGAGUGAGUGUGUCCUGCUAUCCAGACCUUGCUCCGGCUAAUCUUCUUAGGGUCUUCACUCUUUUUUUUCUACAAGAGUGAUAUAUUGUUUUACUUAUCAGUUUGUUCUAUCUUCAGAUAUAAUAUAAUUACAUACUGUUACUUACCAUUUCACAAGCUAGACGAUUCAUUCCUCUACGACUAGUGGUGUGAGGAAUCUGAGCUCUCCUUAGUGCUCUGUACUUUUCACUCUUUGCCUACAAUAUUAUUAAAUCAAAUUUGAUCAAUCAAAUCUCCGAAGUAAACACUUAAAAACCAAAUGCUCUGUAUAUUUCACCUUGAACACAGACGAAGUCCUACUCUUAACCCAAGCGCUCCAAACCUGAACAGAUCGAAUGUUGCUUGGUUUCAGUGCUGCUCUCUCUGUGGAGCUUUUUGCAUUUCGCAGUUGUGAUACAAGCCUUGACUUUCCAGAUCUCCACAAACAGCCCAUCUGUUUGAAGACUGAAUCUUUUUGCCACUCUUCUUUCAAAUCAAACCUCGCCUGCAGUAAUGUAUGCAAAUGCCACACAUUAUAAUCCUUACAAAGACAUUAUACAAUAGACUUAAGGGCAUAUAUAUACCUGAAUUUCCUCCCAUAAUGUGUCCUUUGUCUGCUUAUCAAGAUUCCUCCAAUCAUCAAGAAGUACAGUCACAUGUUCGCGUACAAGGGGUCCAAGGAACGAUGAAAGUGUCACUGAUCCAGGACCUACAUGUUCGCCAAGCUCAGUGAAUGACACAGAAACCUUCUCUUGAUGAUCCUUGGCCACUUUACGCAUCUUUGUGGGUCCUCUUUUCUUCUUUUGUUUUCCAUCAGAUGGCGAUGCUUCUGCUCCUGAAAUGCCAUUCUCAGUUUCAAUGUCAGCUUCUCUCGGCUGAGAAGGUUCUUGAGUAACUCCAUUCUCAGGUUCCAUGUCAGCUUCUCUCGACUGAGAAGGUUCUUGAGUAAAUCCAUUCUCAGGUUCCAUGUCAGCUUCUCUCGGCUGAGAAGGUUCUUGAGUAACUCCAUUUUCAGCUUCCAUGUCAGCUUCUCUCGGCUGAGAAGGUUCUUCAGUAACUCCAUUCUCAGACUGAGACUGUUCUUCAGCAAUGACAUUCUCAACUUCAAUUUCCACAUGUGGAUCAUCACCAUCACCAUCACCAUCCGCCUCAUUAACAUCUUCAGAAACCUUUGUCGGGACUUCGUCAGCACUUUCUUGCCUUAUCUCAAUGUUUUCUUCUUCAAUAGCAACUUCUUUUCCCUUAUUUAACUUACGCAUUUUCGUACUCUUUCUGGUUAUCUCAAUGAACUCUGUUUCUGCUUCCAGACCUUGGGAACGUCUGCUUCUUCUAACCAUUCCUCCUCGUGUCUUCGGCCCCAUGUUAAUUUGUUCCUAAAAAAAUCAUUUUUGAGAUCUAUUGAGAUAAUAAGCAAUCGAUUAAUUUUCAUGAUUGUAGAUUGUAAAAAUGGAAGACGAUCGAUACAUAUCUAUUGAGAUAAUAAGCAAUCGAUUAUUAUCAUGAUGCAUGCAAGUUAAAGAAGACAGAGAUCAAAGAAGACAAACCUGAGAUCGAAGAAGACAAAGAAGACAGAGAUCGAUGAAGACAAAGAAGACAGAGAUCGAUGAUUCCGAAGGGGUCUCACGAAGAACACUUUGGGAGAGAAAAUGCAGAGACGAUAUUCUUUUGUUUUAAUGAAAAAGUACUAAAUAUUCUUUGCUUUGGUCAAAGAUAUAUUUCCCACAAAAUUUAUCAUUCGCGGGUUUUAAUAAAAAAAUAAGCGGUCGAGGAUACCAUAACGAUUAUUCUUUCUCAGUGCUAUAAUCUAAAGAUCAAAAUCCCAAAAACAUGCGCGCUUGCAAAUUUCAUUUUGCCGCUCCAGAUAUAAUAGCUUUUUACUUAAAGAAACGCUAUUAUAUUUCUAGCCACAAACAUACAAUAGCACAAACUUCUUUUCCGCUAUAUUACAUUGCUAUUAAAACCCUUAUUUCCUGUAGUGCAAGCACCACAAAAUCUGUAGGUAUCUCAUACCUUCCAAUCUUCACAGGGAGGUCCUCUAAGAUGCCCACAGGAUACUUCACUGAACGAUCAGCUAACACCAGAGAGAGUCUACACUUCUUGAACUGGGUGAAUCCAAGCUUCUUUGCAACAGACAAUGGCAUCAAGCUGACACUAGCUCCCAAAUCGCAGAGACUUUUCUCAAAUACCAUAGGUCCAAGAGCACAAGGUAGUGUGAAGCUUCCUGGAUCCUCUAAUUUCUCUGAAGCAUCAAGCCUCUGGAUGAUGGCAUUGCACUCAUGGGUAAGAAUCAUCAUGCCUUCCAUCUCCUUCUUCUUUGCAGCUACAGCAUCUUUCAAGAACUUGCUGUAUUGAGGAAUCAACAUAAAAGCAUCGAUGAUGGGCAUUGCAACCUGAGCUUCACUCAUUUGCUUCUCAAACAGAGCCUUGUAUUUCUCUAGCAGCUGCCUCUUGAAUCUACCAGGGAAUGGUAGUUUGGGUUCAUAGGGAGGAGGAACAAAAGAACUUUCACUUGCUGGAGUAACAACUUCACCAUCUUUUACUGUCUUCUUCUCUUCCCCAACCUUUCCUUUACCUUUGGCUUCUACUAUCUUUUCCAAGAUCUCGUCAUUGAUCUUCUCAUCAACAAUCACCACUUCAUCAUCUAUGUUGAUGGCAACCCCCUCACCUAGUUUCUCAGCAUCCUUGGUGAGGGUUUUAGGAGGUAACUGUUUACCACUCCUAAGGGUGAUAGCUUUGGCCUCCUUGGGGUUUUGGUCAGACUUUCCAGGUAGAGAUCCUUGCUGGCGAUUCUGGUGAGUGUUCAUGGAAGCAAACUGAUUCUCUAAAUUCCUGACUGUAGAAGCAAGGUGAGAGAAUUUGUUGUUGAGCUCAUUGUAGCUCCCAUCAAUCUUGGUAUGAAGGUUCUUCAACUCAUAACCAACAUGCUUCUCACUUCUAGUCUGAGACUCCAAGAUUUGUUUCAGUAAGGUAUCAGUGCUGCUCUCUUGAGGAGCAGAGGAGCCAGACGAGGGGUUUUGCUGAGGCUGAUAGCUGCCUUGCUGGUUGUUUCUAGGCGGAUAACCACUCUGUUGGUUGUUGGGAUAGGAUUUCUGUUGGUAGUUGUUGUACUGAAAGUUGGGCUCCUUUUUGUACCAGCUACCAUUGUUGUUGAUGAAGCACAACUCUUCCUGACCUUCCAAACCCUCAACCUCAUUGACAGCAAGUGGAUCUUCCUGCCUGGAGUUACCAACAAACUUCAGCUGCUCUUGGGUGGCUUUUUCAGCAAUGAGAAGGUCGAUCUUGUCUUCCAAAGCUUUGAUCUCUUUCCUCGUCUGCUUAUCAUCUGUUCUACUGCCUCUGUCGUGGUCUCCACUGUAGACUGCAUCACUCUUUACCAUGUUGUCAACCAGCUCUUCUGCAUCCUCCUCAGUUCUCCCCAAGAAAAACCCAUUGCUAGCUGUAUCCAGUCUAGCUCUGUACUUAGGAAGAGCACCACGGUAGAAUGUGCUCAGCAAGCUCUCCUUAGAAAAGCCAUGGUGUGGGCAUUGAGCUUGGUAGCCCUUGAAUCUCUCCCAGGCUUCACUGAAGCCUUCCAAGUUCUUCUGUUGAAAGCUGGAAAUCUCGUUUCUCAGCUUAGCAGUUCUUGAAGUAGAGAAGAACUUCUCCAAGAAUGCUUUCUUGCAGUCAUCCCAAGUGGUGAUGGAGUCGCUGGGUAGAGACUUCUCCCACUGACGUGCUUUAUCCCCCAAAGAGAAAGGGAAUAGCUUGAGCUUUAAGGCAUCUUCGGACACACCAUUGGUUUUUGACAACCCACAGUAGCUGUCGAACCUGUCCAAGUGAUCAAAUGGAUCCUCUAGAGCCAAGCCAUGAUACUUGUUGUUCUCGAUCACAUUGAGGAGUCCUGAUUUGAUCUCAAAGUUGUUGGCUGCUACAGCUGGUGCUCGGAUUCCCAAUCUAUGACCAUGAAUGUUGGGGCUUUUUAACAUCCAAAUAUAUAGAUGGAAUGUGAGGCAAAGGGAAGAUGAAUACAUACUUAAAUAAAUUGUGACUAUAAUCUAAAUGGUCUUCUAUCUUUCAUAUUUGGUUUCGUGUAAAACUAAUUUGUUUAUCACAAUUGAUUCAAACGUUGUGUUCGCCUUCAAAAUCACUGAUUUGCCAUUUUUAACUGACAAUGGAUUUCUUAUUUACGGUUUUAAAGAAUCUAAAGAGGGUCUUAAAAUAUAUAUGAGUUCAUGUUGCUUAGUUUGAUGACCGAUGCCCUUUUUAGACCAACCCUUAGCAUCAACAGUAUUUUUGGCAGCUUGAUGUUAGGAGUUUUCAAGGCUCCUAAGACAAAUGUUGUAGUAUAAAAGAUUGUCGGCGGUCAUAAGUGCCAAUAGGUCGCGCUGCUCGCUGUUGGUUUUGAGGUAUGUCUCCCAUAUCAGUAUCCAAUCUCUGCAAGUGAGCCUGUUGCUCUUCUUCUCUUCUCUUUCUAGCACACUCUCUCUCUAAAGCUCUGAUAUCUGCAGCUCUUGGAACUAGGUUUGAUGGACCCCUGCUCCUCAAGUGCAUACACCUGUAGAUUAAAGGGAGGUGAAGAAGAAUCAGUAACAAAAGAAAAUAAAAAUGACUUAGUCUCAAGCAAGUGACUAAAUCUCAAUGUUUAAAUCUACUCAGAAUUUGGCAACGGCGCCAAUUUGAUGUUAGGAGUUUUCAAGGCUCCUAAGACAAAUGUUGUAGUAUAAAAGAUUGUCGAACCAGUUCUGAGGGAUAUCAAAGCACUGAGAAUGCAAGUACUCACUUAAUCUAAGUGCAACCAAUGAUUUAGAUGGGUUUUAAACUACUACUAAACUAGAAUGCAAUAACAGAAUGAUACUUUCUUAACUAAGGGAAAAGAGAACUCAUGGGCAUAGGGAUUAGACCUUGGGUGAUCAAGUAUCGAAUUAAGGAUGGCAAAUGAUCAAUCAAACUAUCAACCUUAAGCCUAGACACAAUUCUAAGCAAGCUCUAUGUCUAGAUGAAUGCUCAUUUGCUAACAUAUCUCAAACAUCAAAUGUCUUUGGUUGAAUAAUAUGAAAGCAAUCAUUAAUAACAAGUCUAUUAGCUAUCUUAGCAUCUUUAACAACAAAUGUCUUUGGCAAAGUAUACUAAAAGCCUAGGAGAGUUGUCUCGGGCAUUUCAUCGAACACCUUUCGGGUGAGAAAUGCCUAAGGAUCAACUUUUGAGUGGCCAACUCAGAAGAUGCAUUAUGAUUACUCUACUAGCAAGGAAAUAUGAAUGAUCUACACUAAAACAUCCUAGCUCUAACCUAAUCACCCUUAAUCUCCCUAACCCAUGAAUUCAAAAGAUGAUUACUCACUAAUCUCCAUGAUUCCUCUUAAACCCAUAUUGGAUUUUAGAUUAACCAUGUAGAGAAAUAGAUAAGAAAUCAACAAGAACACAAGAUGAAAGCAAUGAAAUCUGAAUCAAAAGAGGUUUUUUACUAGUUCUUCCCUAGAAAAGAGAUUAUUCUUGCCUCCCUUCGCUUACAAAGUACUUAACUUAGGUUUAGAAAGUGUAAAACAUCAAAACAAAUGACCAAAAGGUCCCUGAAAAAUCAUAAGUUUCGUCCAAGCAAAACACGCGGAGGGACUUCGUGGUGUAGCUCCGAGACGUAGCUCUGGGUUGGGAGCUACCUUAUGGUGUCGCUCUGGAAGGUCCCUCCAGGCCUAUGUUUUGGCCUCCAAAGUGAUGAAAAGGCGAGUGACGUAGGGGUGUAGCUCUGGAAGGUCGCUCUGGGUUGGGAGCUACCUUAUGGUGUCGCUCUGGAAGGUCCCUCCGCGAUGCUCGACCAGGAUGGAUAUGCCUCUAGUAAAUUGAUCAUAACUCCUUCAUUACAUCUCCAAAUGACUUGAAACCACUUCCAUUAGAAAGCUAACUCGAUUUUCUGUGUCUCCACAAAAUCUUAGCAACAGAAGAUUUCUCUAAGGCCUCCAUCCAUGCUCAUCUUUCACCCCAUUUUGGAUCAUAAUGCUCCCAAACAUCUCAAAUCACUCCAUGGCACACUCCAGCACCUAAUAAGGACAAUGAAUGCAAAAUGCAACCUAGACAUGGCUAAAUCCUAAUCUAUAUGAUGAAAAUGCUCAUGGAUGAAUGGAUAAAACAAUGUAAAUAUGCAAGAUAUCAACUCCCCCAAACUUGUUCUUUUACUUGUCCACAAGUGAACUUUCUAGAACUCAUAGGGAGAGAGGUUGAAGGUGGG